AGUUUCAAACUCAAACGAUGCUUAAUGCUCAAGUUCAACUCCUAAGGGUUAAUAGGAUUGACAACUUAGUAUUGUCAAGAAAACAACAAGUGCAGACUUGGAAACUAGGGGGAAUAGAACUCGAAAGUUAAGCGUGCUCAGACUGAAGUAGUGAGGGGAUGGGCUUUAGUCUCGACCAUUUAGUCCCGGUUCUAAAGGCCCUCUGGAACCGGGACUAAAGGCCCGUUUUUCUACUAGUGUCGGGCGGAGUCGUGGGGCUAACAUGGGUCUCCUCGGCGUGGCGGCGUCGGCAGUGCGGUGGCAUGUUGCUGCAUGUCCAAGGCGCAACGGCUGCUGUCGGUGUCAAAACUGGCGGAUCUCGGGUAGGGGGUCCCAAGCAGUGCGUCUCAGGAUCAAUGGUAACAGGAGGUAAACCUGGGCAAACGUCGGGCCGGGCCGGGUUUCGGGUCGGGCUUGUAAAAGCCCGACCUUCAUUUCUCAAGCCCGAGCCCGGCCCGAAGCCCAAAAUACUCCCUGAAAUCAAGCCCGAGCCCGGCCCGAAAUCAAGCCCCAAGCCCGAAAGCCCGGCCCGAACGCUGUUUUUUAGUACGUGUACGUGCAAGCCCGGGUCGAAGCCCGAAAGCCCGGCCCGAAAAAUAGAAAAAGAGAAGCCCGAGCCUGGCCCGAACUACCUUUCGGGCUGCAAAACAAAGCCCGAGCCCGGCCCGAGUGUCAAGCCCGGCCCGGCCCGGCCCGGGUUUUUCGGGCCGGGCUCGGGCCGGGUCGUCGGGCCGGGCUGCCCAUGCCCGGGUUUAACAGGAGGUAAGGGAUACAAUGUUUACCCAGGUUCGGGUCCUCUCGAUGGAGGUAAAACCCUACUCCUGCUUGAUUAAUAUUGAUGAUAUGGGUAGUACAAGAGUUGAUCUACCACCAUAUCAGAGAGGCUAAACCCUAGAAGCUAGCCUAUGGUAUGAUUGUUGUAUAUGUCUAUCGACUAGCCUAGCCCCGGUUUAUAUAAUGCACCAGAGGCCUAGGAUAACAAGAGUCCUAGCCGAAUGCGCCGGUGGGGGAGGAGUCCUUGUCUUGAUCGCCAAGUCUUGUUGAUUCUUCCUUGUAUGCGGCAGCUGUCCAGACUGGCCCAUGAGUAUACGGCCAUGGGGGUCCUCGGCCCAAUCCAACUGAUCGGGGGACGGCGCGUUGAGUACCCCCUAGUCGAGGACACCGUCAGUAGCCCCCUAAACCGGUCUUCAAGUUAGGGACGCUCCUCGAUUCUUCCGAACUGUUCUUCAUCUUCGGUUGCCGGUCUUGAAAACUGGUUCAACAAAUCUUCUCAUCUUCUAUCUUGAGGAUCGCCGAAAUGCAUUCGACGAGUUUACACGUCGGGUAUCCGAGGAGCCCCUUUAAGUUUCCGGCCUUUAUCAAUGCCUUGUUAUUUUUAUGCCACACCUCGGGUUUGAAGUUGUUCCCGGGUGGCAACGUCCUCUUGCGUCCGAGCUCCAACGCCGGACUGCAUUCGAGGUAUCUUUUGCAGCCGAGCACCAACGCCGGACUGCUUCCCAGCUCUAAUGCCGGACUAUGUAUCCGAGCUCCAACGCCGGACUGUAUUCGAGAUCCAACGUCGGACUGUAUCCGAGCUCCAACGCCGGACUAUGUAUCCGAGCUCCAACGCCGGACUGUAACCGAGGUGUCGUAAAUCACCUUGGUUCAAAGAAGUUUGAAGGAGUUUUGCCGAGCUUAACACCGGAAAUGCCCUCUAUGGAGCCAGCAACUAGCGCCCGAGCUUUAUGCCGGACUGCUUCCCAGGUGGUGCACCACCCCAAAUGUGGGCCGAUUUUUGUCAAUAUUUUUUGUUGGUGCAAUUUAUUCUCUGCCGAGAUACAUAGCCAGUAGCCCUCAAGGUGGGUAUCGGUCUAAAACCCGAGAUGCCCAUGAAGGAUGACAUAAGACCGCUGAUCCCCGUAGCUGCUGAGACUCAGGUUGAUUUGCAAAAUCGGUCUGAGGAUCAAGUCCUAACUUGGCAGAAUACUUCGGGACACAAAAAGCGGCAUGCUCAGUCCUCGAGACUCAGGUUGGGUGCGGCCGACCAACUUGAGGAUCAAAAUCUCCUCGGAAACUGUAUUGCACUUAAAAUUUUCUGCAUAGAACAGGCAAUGCAGUAGCCCCCGAGACACUGGUCGGGUGGCAACACCAGAUCAGGGGAUUGAUGUGCCCAUUUAAUAUUUGUAAAUAAUAAGCCCGAAGCCCAGUAGCCCCCGAGCCUUAAUGCGGGCACGGGAGGCCGAAUUAAGGAUCGAUAUCCAUAGUAAAAUCACAAAUUAUGUGUAAUGACUCUAUGUAUCCAAGUACUUUACGUCAUUAAUGCUCGGAUCCGCAUUGUACAAAACUUUGUUGACCGACCAUCGGCUUCCACCUCCUCGUCCAAUAGCCGAGGAGUGUUUGUCCUACUUUAUAAAGCCUUUAUGAGGAUAAAGACUUACAACAAACAAGGCAAUCUGGCCAUACGGUUUUAUAAACAAAGGUACGCGAAGAGACAUGUUAUAUUACUGUUUAAUAGAAGAAAUGUCUUCCAAAGAAAAUAGUCCCGCUAUCGGUUCCUUUCUUUGGGUUGUCGUGCUAAGCAUGAUCAUGAAACCUCAGCUCCAAUGUAAGAGCAAAAUAUCGAGGAUUUAGUUUGGGAGGCUAGUUACUAGCCCCCGGUAGUGUUCGGCGACAGUCGAUGUCAAGCUGGAAACACUUCGACCAAUGUUAUGAAUGGCCCGUCAUUUAAUAUAGUCAUCGGAUCGCUGACCAGUUUACACCUAUUGUGAAAGUCAGUUUUCGGCUUUCUUCACUGAGGUGCUUGACCAUGCGAGCUGGAAGCACAAUCGCAGUGGUUCUCCCUUUGCACACCUAGCUGAACAAAGCGGAACAUAGGGGGCAAGCGCGGGAGCCGGGCAACCCAACUAUUGACCGAAGACACAAUUCGAAACUGAUGCAUAUAUAGCAAUAUCCGAGAAUGUCUUUUGCCGAAUCUCUAAAGGUGUCCGGCGUUGCACUGCGAGACUUGUGCUGAAAACACACAAAUAGUUUAAAAGUGCCAUGGGCUCGAAAAGCCAAAAAACUUAUUCAAAAGAUUAAUGUCCGAACUAGAUCAAGUGUUCGGCGCCAAUCCGAAAAUUGGACUUUAGAAAAGAAAAAAAAGGUGUUUCUGCCGUGCUUUAACAUGACACAUCCUAUCUCAAAACUUCAAGCGGGUCAGCCUACGGCUUCCGGCUAGUGACCGCACACUUGUGUCGAAAAAAGGAGUGAUAAAUAAUAAUAAAAACUUUGCAACGACUAAGAAGAAAAACACUUAUCAUAAAACUGCUCAUACAAAUUUAAGAGCCCCCAAGUGACUUGGGUAAAAGAAUGAUUGCAUGUAUCGAAGUACUUAUAUCAUAUCUAUGUUCAACCGAACUUUAAACGCAUCUUAACCGACCGUCGGCUUCUCCCUCUUCGGUCAAGGACCGAAAAGUGUUAUGUACUCCAUCUGUCGAGAAUAUCGACGGUGUUUCCAAUAACCACACAAUCAGGCCAUAAGGCUGUAACAGACAAAGUGCGCUCAGGGAACUUAUGCUAUAUUACUGCGAAGAGUAAGAAGCAUCUUCGAAGAAAAUAGUCCCCCCACCGAUACCUUUCUUCGGUGCUCAUUGUUAUUAUGAGAUUUGUGCAAUAUAUUUUUUGUACUCAUGAGUUCCAUUGUGUGCCGACCAUGAUUGAAAACAAUAAGAGCGCUAGCUUUCGGCUUCACCCAGUCUGAGGUCUGGCUGGGUUGACCCGAUCGUCACAAUCGCAGAGGUGCUCCCUUUACUCCCUAGCCGGACAAUCGGGAACGUAGGGGUAAGCACAGGAGACAAGCAACCCAGCUUGCAAAUUGCUUAAGUCAAUAUGGUGCAUAUUAUGGCGUAAUACACGAACAAGGAACGAAGCCGUACAAGUGUAACCAUAUGCAAGAGGAAAAAGCUUCAUGAAGAAAGCCCCCAAGCAAACGGGGUAUUUGAAUUUGCGUGUCACAAACAAAGUUUGGACAAGGAAAUUUUAACAAGCAACUUUUUUUCAAAAAAGUAUAAUGCUUGGAUGAGCCGAACACAAGUUAAAAAUUUAAAACUUUGAGCAUGAAGACAACUUAGCUAGUUAAUGUGUUCGAUAUUGAUGACACGGUCCGAGCUUGAUGCGGGACAAGGUUCCAUCCCCGAGCCGGUCCCGAGGUGGCGGAGCAAAGAGCUCGGCACUCCGAAGUGGUGACAUAGCACGGUCAAUGCAGGACGGCAGGGUGAUGCCGAAGUCCCCGGCAUGGGGUAAUGAAGUGUUGACGAAGCCCCCCGUCCAGCCGAGGUGACGCCGAAGGAUAUAGUCUGGCUGGAUCAUUUUCCUAUGCACAAAAAAUAGUGCAAACCGGAGAUAAUAGUAAUAAUAAUAAAAAUAAAAAAUUUGUUGCAUAACAAAUAAUUUAUGCAAAGUGAGUAAUAAAAGAAAUAUGGCAUGGCGCCGAAGUCAAUGUCGAUGCAGGGCGGCGGCGUGAUGCGGUAAAGGCAUGGCAAGACCUGAAUUCACAGGUCGGUUCGAGUUCCGGAUGCGGCGUUUGCCGGACUAUGUACGGAAACUGACCGAACCACCAUGCGACCGUUGUUAAUGCGGCCACCAUUUGAUAGACCUGCGUACAUAUGACGGACAAACCAGAGUAAUAAUUCAUUGGAAAAAAUGAACCCUAACAAGCAAAAAAUACUAGGAUUAAUAGCACCUGGCUUAUUUGUUGUAGCAAUCCGAAGAAAGGUGAUUCCCAAAAUUGAGACUCGAUCCGCACACCUAUCGCCUGAUGGGCGAUAAAGCAACAGCAUGGCGAUGCUGGCAAAGGUUGGCUCGCCGAGGCAAAGCCCUCGGUCAGCUAACGUGACGGAGCUGGUCGGCCAGCGACGCCGAAGUCUCCGGAGUAGGUUGAUGAAGAGAUGAUGAAGCCCCCGGUCCAGCGAUGCAGGUCGAUACGUGGUCGAUGCCGGCUUGAUGAAGUGACCGUGUGGCGAUACAGGUGUGCCCGCUCCGUGUAAUCCAUGGGGCGGCGAUGUUGGUGACGAUUUAUCCUUCGCGAUGCCGAACUAUUGUUCGGCUGGCCGAGAUGAUGAUCCGAAGAAAUUGAGCUCGGCUCAACAAAGCGAUGACGUGUCUAACGCAGGUCGGCCGCCGUGGAGUGAUGUUGUCGGGCUGGUUUGACACCGGCGCGACGGUGAAGUUCGUAUUGUAAGAAUACUUUUAAUACUAUUGGGAUGUGUUUGAGAAUAAAACAUAACACCCCAUACGAAACUUCCUUCAAAAAGGAUGUCCGAGAUCCCGUUCAUAAAGAAGAUGAAUUCGGGUCGGAUUCGUUCUCGCGCAGAAAACAGAUCCAAAAAGUGAUGCACUAAUCGGAAGUUUCCCGGAGUUUGGACGGUCGGAUCGAGCUGAAUUUUUGGCAGAUGAUAGAUAUGGGAAUUCCACAGCAAAUCAACGGUUGGAUCCUCCAAAGGAAAUCCGAGCUAGAUGCUGGAUACCACGCCCUAAACUCGUCCGGAUUCUCAUCCAGAUUCAACAGGGCUCUGGUAUAUCGGAGAUUGCCGGAGAUUCCUCCAUCGGAACUCGACGAAAUUUUUGCAGGGUUGUUGUAGACUUAAUUCCGCAUAAUUUCACCAAAGUAAUCGUUUAAGCGACACUCGAGAAGGCGAUGGCGGCGGAUACAAGUUUGCUGUCCAGAAAAACAGCACGGUCGCCUGAGGGCAAUGUUGACGUUGAGCCCUCGAGCUCCAUGGAUGACUCCCCCAUGAUCUUGAUAGAGAUCGGAGUUGAUGUUGAUGAAGGCCCUCAUCCGAACAUGACGAUCGGAGGUAGGAAGCAGUCCUUGGUCGAACCAAGGUGACCAGUCGAGCUGGUGACGAAGCAGCCGACAUCGCAGUUGACCUGCAGUCGAGCCAUUGAUCCUUUCGCCGAUCACACAGCGGAACUCUCAAUGAAAGCACCAAUGUUGGUGUCAAAACCGGCGGAUCUCGGGUAGGGGGUCCCAAGAAGUGCGUCUCAGGAUCAAUGGUAACAGGAGGUAAGGGACACAAUGUUUACCCAGGUUCGGACCCUCUCGAUGGAGGUAAAACCCUACUCCUGCUUGAUUAAUAUUGAUGAUAUGGGUAGUACAAGAGUUGAUCUACCACCAGAUCAGAGAGGCUAAACCCUAGAAGCUAGCUUAUGGUAUGAUUGUUGUAUAUGUCUAUCGACUAGCCUGGCCCCGGUUUAUAUAAUGCACCAGAGGCCUAGGAUAACAAGAGUCCUAGCCGAAUACGCCGGUGGGGGAGGAGUCCUUGUCUUGAUCGCCAAGUCUUGUUGAUUCUUCCUUGUAUGCGGCAGCUGUCCGGACUGGCCCAUGUGUAUACGACCAUGGGGGUCCUUGGCCCAAUCCAACUGAUCGGGGGACGACGCGUUGAGUACCCCCUAGUACAGGACACUGUCAGCUGCAGAGGGUCCUUCUCUGGCCGACGCGUGCGGGAGGUGCCUUGGCUAGGUCCGGCCAGAUCUAGUGCCAGUGGCCUGGAGCACGGCGCGGGUGGUGACCGGAGCCUGACUGAGUCUCUAUAGGAGGUGGGCACGGUGUCCUGGAGUGCGCGGGUGGUGACUGGAGGCCCGACCGAGUCUCUACAGGAGGUGGGCGCGGUGGCCUGGGCACGCCAGGGUUCCGGAUGUGGUGGCGGCAGGAAGCUGGGUCUCGGCCCAGAUCCGGUUUGUCUUGUGCCUCGAGGGCCUUGUUUGGCGUUCGACCGUCGCGUAGUGAUGGCACUCUGGUUGUCCAUGCGGCCACAUCUUCUUGGGCAGCGAUGGUUGGUGCUCAACGGCGGGGUGCAUGUGGUGGUGGCGAAACCCUUCUCCUAGUUCUGGGCCAGCGGCACAGGCUUCUCGUGCAAUGGAGAUGGUACGGACGUGGGGCUUGUGCUCGGGAAGAUUUGGUUGGGCAUGAGGUGGGUCGGGGCUACCACUCCUGGUAGGUGAUGUUGGGGCUUGGUCUGGGUGGUGCCCGCGGGCGAUGAGGUCCCUCUCGUCGUGGGUGAGGUGGCCGGGAACCCGCUACUUUGCUGGGAAGAUCAUCGUCGAAGACCUUGGGCAUGGCGUCAUGAGAGUGGACUCGGUGACGGACGUAGGUAGUCACGGGAUUGUGUGUCCCCCGGUCCACCAGGACUGGCUGGAGAUGCAGGCUUGGGCGCCUCCUGCCGUGGAGGCGUCGACCUAGAUGAUAUAUCCCAAAUGUAUCUACUUUUCCAAACACUUUUGCUUUUGUUUUGGACUCUAAUUUGCAUAAUUUGAAUGGAACUAACCCGGACUGACAUUGUUUUCAGCUGAAUUGCCAUGGUGUUAUUUUUGUGCAGAAAUAAAAAUUCUCGGAUUAGGUUGAAACUUCAUGGAGAUUAUUUCCAGAAUAUAUAAAAAAUACUGGUGAAGAGAACUACCGAAGGGGGGCCACCCAGGGGCCACAAGCUCAGGGGGUGUGCCAACCCCCAGGUCGUGCCUAGUGAGCUUGUGGGCCCCUGAAGACUCCGGCAACCCUAAGUCCAACUCCAUAAGUACCGUCUCGCGGAGAAAAAAAUCAGAGAGAAGGAAUCAUCACGUUUUACAAUACGGAGCCGCAGCCACCUCCUGAUUUUCAUCGGGAGGGUUGAUCUGGAGUCUGUUUAGGGCUCUAGAGGGUGGAAUCCGUCGUUGUCAUCAUCAUCAACCCUUCUCCAUCAACAAUUCCAUGAUUCUCACCAUUGGGAGUGAUUAAUUCCUUUGUAGGCUUGCUGUACGAUGAUGGAGUUGGAUGAGAUUUUUCAUGUAAUCGAGUCAAUUUGUUAGGGCUUGAUCCCUAGUAUCCACUAUGUUCUAAGAUUGAUGUUGCUAUGACUUUGCUACACUUAAUGCUUGUCACUAGGGCCCAAGUGCCAUGAUUUCAGAUCUGAACCCUUUACGUUUUCAUGAAUAUAUUUGAGUUCUUGACCCUAUCUUGCAAGUUGUAUGCAUCUAUUACGUGUUAUGAUCCGCACACCCAAGAGGACAAAAAUUGGGAUUCUUUUCGGUGAUUACCGUAGUAUGAGGAGUUCAUGUAUUCACUAAGUGCUAAUGCUUUAUUCCGGUUCACUAUUAAAAGGAGGCCUUAAUAUCCCUUAAAUUUCCUUAUGGACCUCGCUGCCACGGGAGGGUAGGACAAAAGAUGCCAUGCAAGUUCUUAUUAUAAAGCACGUAUGACUAUAUACGAAAUACAUGCCUACAUUACAUUGAUGAAUUAGAGCUAUUGUGUAUCACUCUAGGUUAUCACUAUUACAUGACGAAUAUCAUCCAACAUAAUUAUCCAUCGUUGAUCCAAUGCCUACGUUUUUUCUCAUAUCGGUCUUUCCUAAGUUACUUUAGUUCUUGCUGCUAUUACAAUCACUACAAAAUUGCUUCUGUUACUAUUACUGUUACUAUUGGUACUGUUACUACUGCUAUCAAACUAUCAUAUACUGUGCUACUAAACACUUUGCUGCAUAUAAUAUCCUAGGUGUGGUUGUAUUGACAACUCAACUACUAAGUCUCAUAAAUAUUCUUUGGCUCCCCUUGUGUCUAACCAAUAAAUUUGGGUGAAAUAUUACCUUCGAAGACUGUCGGAUCUCCUAUACUUGUAGGUUAUUAGUAGACUCUGUGGCCGAUGUCGGGCUAGGAGUGAAAGGAGACGCCUUUUACUCCUACUAUCUUAGUGGGUGCAUUGCGAUGUGAGGGAGUGAUGGUGUCUCGGACAUGGAUGCCGGGGCGACGGCCCUAGAUGGUCGUCCGCAUGGUUGGAUCUCCGGGGAGCACCAUUGUGGCAGUGUUUGCUUUUNNNNNNNNNNNNNNNNNNNNNNNNNNNNNNNNNNNNNNNNNNNNNNNNNNNNNNNNNNNNNNNNNNNNNNNNNNNNNNNNNNNNNNNNNNNNNNNNNNNNNNNNNNNNNNNNNNNNNNNNNNNNNNNNNNNNNNNNNNNNNNNNNNNNNNNNNNNNNNNNNNNNNNNNNNNNNNNNNNNNNNNNNNNNNNNNNNNNNNNNNNNNNNNNNNNNNNNNNNNNNNNNNNNNNNNNNNNNNNNNNNNNNNNNNNNNNNNNNNNNNNNNNNNNNNNNNNNNNNNNNNNNNNNNNNNNNNNNNNNNNNNNNNNNNNNNNNNNNNNNNNNNNNNNCUCUCUGUAACUGGCAGUGGAGGCUCCCCGGUCUGGAUCUAGAGUUCUGAACUCACCAAUAGGGUACCAAGGUAUGAAAUUAUCUUGAGUAAUCCCCCAGCGAUUAACAAUGCACUCCCUCUGUCCCAUAAUUUAAGAGCGUGUGUCAAAAAUGCUCUUAUAUUAUGGGAUGGAGAGAAUAGUAAAAAGGCAACAUCCAACCACAACAUUAUGAAGCAACAACAUUGCACACCUUUGCGGGACAUUGGCAGCAUCAAUGGGUGUGUUCCCACUCAUUUCAAGUUUUUAGCAAACAUCUUCCUUGAGGGGCUGGUUGUGCACCUUUUCUAUCCGUCGCCAUGCGGUUGACAAAAUUCAUGAUUCUCCACAACAUGGUAGGACGGGUCAAGAACAUGCAUAGAAGAAAAGAAAGAGAAAACAAUAGGAGCAUCAGAGCGAUGAAGGGGGUUAAACAAUGAUAAAAACAAAUAGAACCAAGAAUUUUCGACCACCCUUAGAAGGUUGCUUUGAGUUACAUGGAUAGUCAUCAUCGUUGAAGAGAUUCGGGUGCUCGUAAUUCAGAGUGACAAACUCCACUUCCCGUGAAAGCUCUUCGCCACUCCACAUUUCCGGCACCGUUUAGCUCAUACGCAACAUCUCUAGGCUAUUGUGCUCCUCUGGCGGUUCUUUUUUUGGUGAAAUGAUGCUCACUGUCACCCUAUUCAAGCAUGAGCUCCCGACCAACAGUUCCGAUGAUAUGGGGCAAUUUUGGCUGCAAAGUAUGCCGAUAAGGAAAUUCAAGGUGGACUAAGAGGUCAGCGAGGUUACAGGAUGUCGGUGGGGUGGAGGCUGCCGAGAGAGAGAGGGAGCAGCAGCCCAAAGGGAAUCUUUUUUUGAGAACUCAUUUCCGCUGCUCAAAUUUUAGAGCCGGUGUAGGCUUCUCCUAUUCUUUUGGAUACGAUUUACAUUUUGAGAGUUUGUCUAGGUGCGACUUAACUCCUCAAAAGGGAAUCUUUUGUGGAGUUAAGCUCUUUUUGGAAGUUGGCUAGAGUUCCUCUUAGAUCCUGAAUUAACUUUCAGUCUACUUUCUUUCCUUAAGUCUGUCCUUGAGCAAUGUUAUGGAUGGUGCAUUGGUUGAGAAAAUAACUGGCCCUCGUAUAACAACAAAACCCAAUCUCCAUCUCAUCAACGUGCAUGACUUUCAUGUCCAGCGAAACUCAUGCCAGGUUCAUUGUGAAUUGACUACUACGCUUGGCCAUAGGUGCGGGCAAAGAAUGCUCAAAGGUGCUCCGAUAGGGCAAUCAUUAGCACGUGCGAGAACCUAUUACUUAGAACAACUCUAGCAGAGUUGCCAUAUUGGUAGCCACUCCACAUGCAUUAUGGAGGUUGUUGAGGUGAUGUGCAAAGUUGUGCCUCCGUAUUUGCUGCCUCUAUAAUUGUGGGGCCCACUCGAUAGUGGUGCAUCUUUUUCCCAAUCUCCCUGCCAUCCCAGGUGAGGUGAGGGACCACAUGAAGUUUCCUUCAUACCACAUGCAAAUGUCAUACAGACUGCGCUCCAAAAGGCAGGCCCGAGUUGCCAAUUGUGGAGGCUGGUAGGCUAGAUAUGGAGGGAGAUCCAUAAAUUAUGGUGAUAUAGAGGCAUAUGUGCUGGAAAUAUGUACUAGAGGCAAUAAUAAUUCAUGAUUAAUGUUUACAUUAUAUGCUGUAACUGUUGUGGUUCUCGAUCCUGCAAAAACCAAGAGGAUCAGAGGAAAACUCAUCUACACAUGUAGAGUUAUAAAUGGUAAAAUAAGAUUCCUAGUCUUGCAUUUAAGACUAGCUUAGUUGUUGUAUGAUGGUUGAUCAUGGGCAUAGUUAAGUGUAAUGAUGAUGCAGACAACAUUUGAGAGAAUGAUGUUGGAAGAACACUCGUAUUUUCUUGACCCAAGUUGUAUCUUUUACUAAGAGAUGAAAUCAUCACAAGUCUAUAGUCUAUAAUACGAUAAAUUAACAUAUGCACAAUUCGUUAGACCAUGAGAGUAUAGAGUCACUCCAUAUCGGAUGAUGCUCUUUGGAGUUAUUCUAAUGUCUGUUGUAAUAGGGUGGUCAUAACAGCAAGUUACAUGUUCAUCGGAAACAUAUGAUGGGGGACUAGAUAGCUCGAGACUCGGAUUUUGUUCAUGUGACGAUGGAGAGAUUUUGUAGGGCCCUUCGGUGUGUCGACAUCCAUCGUCGUCAGGUAUAGUGAGAAUGUAUUUGACUCACGGGGAUACUGAUAUAUAUCACCUCGGGUUUUGUAAAUUAUCGCAAAGCAAAAUGAAUAUCAUAUGGUAGCUACAGGUUCAGUCGAUAAACAUUUGUGUGGGUAUAGCCGUAUAAGCAUCAAUAUGGAUGUCCACAGCUCCGCUAUUGAUCAUUGACCGAAAGUUUUUCUUGGUCAUGUCUAUAUUUCACCGAACCUACAAGGUCACAUACUUAAGAACCUUUGAUCCGUUGACUUCUAAAUGAGUUUGGAGUGUUGGAGUAUAUCACCAAAAAAGUUUUGGAGAUAACAUAAAUUGUUGCGGGAGAGAACCGGAAGUGUUUCGGGGAAACUAGAAGCAGCUCGGAGAAAACCAAAUAAAACUGGAUGGGUGGAAAAGUUCUGGAGGAUGUAAUAGUAGUAUAUGAGGGCUCCGGUAUUUAUAGAGAGCUCCUCGGGAUUAUUCUAGGCACCAUGGGCUGCCCAAAUAAACUAAAGCCUAUUAGGGCGCAUCCACAUAGGCCUUGAGGCCCAUAUAUGUGUUGCCCUCCCUUAGCCUCGCCCCCCAAGCUAGGGGGUGGUGGGCUGGUGGGGCGCCACCCCCUUGGUCAUCGCCACAAGGGAAGCCCCCUCCUACAAGUUGGUCUCGCCCCUCCACCUAUAUAUACCCAUGGGGGCGCCCGCUAUUGAGACACAAGUUCUCUCGUGAUCUGGGGUGCCCCCCCUCUCUAGCUCUCCACCAUAGCUCUUCUUGCGAAGGGCUGCUCCUCCCUCUUUUUUCUAUUCCGGCAUCGUCAAGGCCUAGACAAGGAAGCACUGCCGGAUCUCUGGUCUUGAACGCGUGCGAUGCACAGAGGGCCCGUACGUUUGGUUCUUGUUCAAGGGAUCUGUUCGUGGGACUUCAAGAACACGAUCUUCACAAACUCUUUUUCCGCUGCAACUCGUUGUUGGUAAAGAUCAGAUCUAACCUUGUAUGUAUGUCUUCAUAGUGAUCCUGGUUUUGUUCGUAGGACAUUUUAUUUUCUAAAUUACAAUUCCCAACAAUAUGAUGACCAUGCCAGAGUGCAUUUUUUUGGCAACAAUCAUAAUCAUUGGAAGUUAUUAUGGCAACUGUGCUCAGACGUGUGCAGGUAGUAAUCGACAUGUACGGCCACACAGGUUUUCCCACUAGACAAUCACAUUGUGGGUCUCACAUAGGAUGUAAAUUUUCUAUUUUUUCUGAAAUUUUCCAAAAUCCUACAAUUUCAAUAUUUUGAAAGAUUUUUUGAAGUUCAAAAUUCUGUAAGUUCGAAGUAUUCUAAAAGAUCAAAUUUUGAAAUUGAAACAUUUGAAAAUGAUUUAAAAAUAAAUAAAUUACUAUUGUCAAAAUUUUGAAAGUUGACAGACUUGGAGCAGCCGCGACGUCCAUGAUCGAGCUCGGCCGUUGGUCGUCCGCCUCUUGCACGCGGCUCCAACGCACAUCCGCUCUGGUGCUCACCUCCACGUCGGCCCCACGCUACCUCGCAUGUGAUUCGAACCGCCGCGUCAUCGGUGGAAGCACCUCGCGACACCAAUGGCCACUACGCCAGAUCAUGCGCCAGCUCCACCACAUCCCGCAUGGCACGGCAUGGAAAAAAUCUUACCAUCGCACGAGUUUUGCCUGACUAUGUCCUACAGGGACGACAAGAGAGGAAUGAAGGAGCCGGUUGUACGGGUGAGUUGGUAGGUUGGGGCGCCAAAUUAGGGUAUCUUUUCUCAAAACGAGGGAAAUAUAAAUAUGAAGGAUUUUAGUGACAUGUCCUCUUAAAUCCUACAGGAUUAGAAAACUACAGGAAUUCAGAUAAAAGAGUGUUUGAUGGAGUGAGGCGUUUUGGAGGCCGAGCUCCAUGGAGCCUUUUAUUUUUGAAUCUUUUCUUCAAAAAUUGAACUUUUCGGUUUAAAUCUGAAAAAAUUUAUGCAAGUAUACAAAGAUGAAAUGUAUAUGUGUGUAAAAAUUCAGGAUGAAAAACCUUGAAAUGCGACCUGUGCGACAAAUUCAUUGUGUUUGAGGCUUAAUAGUAUCUUGUGUUGAAAAACCUCAGAUUUGUUUUUUUAGAGGCCUCAUUUCAACGUAUUUUGUCCUGAAUAUUUACACACAUGUAUAUUAUGCCUUCAUGUAUAUGUGUAUUUUUUCAUAAUUUUUUAAAAUCUAGAAAUAUGAAUUUUGAUGAAAUUUCAAAAAUGCUUUUGGACUCCUCCAUGGAGCUCGGCCUCCAAAAGGCAUUUUUGUGUUUGAUAUCACUAUAAAGAAAAUGAAUUAUACAAAGAGAUUUGAGUGGAUGCACAUUUUUCUCCAAAAUAAAGUGCAAAUGAAUUCUAAGAAAACUUACUAACAUUUCAAUAUACUAUGAAUCAAACAGCCAACACGGAAAAAAAAUUCCUACGAUCUAAAUUCUCUAAAAAUCCUACAAAACUCUUUUGGAUCAAACCCCCAGCUCAGCCUGUCAUAUGCUUCGAGUACUUACUUUCGUUCUCGUCACAUGUCGACACUUUCGAUCCGCUAAGCAAUACCAUUUUUGCAAACGAAAAGAAGAAUGAUCAGAUGUUUCUGGGGAAGUGUCUUCUUCACUCUAGUCGGCAGCCACCUGCCGACCCACUCAUGCGAGCACACGUAGCGCCCUGCCCGGCGAUUCGUCCGUCUGACCACCCCUCUUUAUGGGCUAGUCGGCACUCACCUGCCCAUCCACUCACGAGAGCACACCUGGAGCUUCGUCCACCCUCGAACGGCCUAUAAAUAGUGCCUCAUGCUGCACCUGCUUUACACAACCACGUUCUUCACACAACCAAGACAAGUAAACAGCAGCACUAGCUAGUAGAUUUCCCGAGUGACAGGUUGAGCGCAAGAUGGAGCACCAGGGACACGGCACCGGCGAGAAGAAAGGCAUCAUGGAGAACAUCAAGGAGAAGCUCCCCGGUGGCCACCAGCAGACCGCUGGCACCCACGGGCAGCAGGGACACACUGGAAUGACCGGCACGGAGAUGCAUGACACCACGGCCACCGGCGGCACCUUUGGGCAGCAGGGACACACCGGAACGACUGGCACUGGGACACACGGCACAGCCGGGACCGGCGAGAAGAAGAGCCUCAUGGACAAGGUCAAGGAGAAGCUGCCUGGACAGCACUAAGCCCGGUGUGCCCACGACCGCUACCUUCGCAGAAUAAUACUCCACCGUAUAUGAAUUGAUCGAGUCUAGUUCACCUAGCUCACUUGGUCAUUGGAGGAGCGAAUGUAUCUUUGCUUUAAGUUUUCACGGAAAUGUGUUCACUGUUUACGUUUGUUUACACUCUCUGUCGUGCAAAUUUCCUUUUUGUUCUUUUUUUUGGGCUAUCUAUUUUUUGACUAUCAGGAGGGCCAAAGCCACCCGGUUCCAUUAUCAAAUAACGAAACCAGAGUGAGUUCAACAUCAUGCAUAAAGGCAUGUUCAGGAGGGGGUAUACAGCGUGACCAGCAUAUCCCUCCGUUCCCCUAGGGUUUCCCUAGGGUCUACCUCUUCCUUCGGCGGCGCCGCCGAAGUCCACAAAUUCCCACGUGAAAAUCGGCCGGAUUGCUACACGCUUGCUGGUGAUCGGGUCGUCCCGAGGCAAUCGUCUUGGCACAUCGUUUGCAUGGAGUUAGGGGAUGGAGUUCGAGGAGCAGGAGGGUCGAAGGGAGCGCAGGCGGAGGAUUUAGGGCGGAAGGCUUUGGGAGCUGGAGAGGAGCAACUCCCGUCAUCAUCGGCGGCGGGGAUGGCUGCGGGAGGGGCGGAUGAAGCGAGGCGUAUGGAGGAGGAUCGGGAGGAUGGGGAUGAGGAGGAAAAUUGGGAUCACCAUGGCCCAGAUCCGAAUUUGGAAGACGUGUUUGAAGGACUAAAUUUGCAGGGGGAGGAGGUGGAUGAUCUCGAUCUGUCAGGAGAGGUUGAUGAGUUGAUCAAGGAUGUGAGGUGGCUGGCUCUUUUUAGGGUUCAUACCCUACGUCCGUUCGGUCAUGCGGCGCUGUUAAACUCUAUGAGGAAUGCAUGGGCGUGUGCUCAAGGUGUGACGUUCAAUAUAAAGGGACCUAAUUUGUUCUUGGCGCAAUGCCAUUGUUUGGGAGAUUGGAAGAGGGUCAUGGAAGGAGGACCAUGGCAGUUUAGAAGAGAUCCGGUGGUUUUGGUUGAAUAUGAUGGGUUUACUAAUGUCUCUGACUAUACGUUGGACAUGUACCCACUUUGGGCAAGGAUCAAAGGCCUGCCUGACGGUCUAACGAGGAAGAAAGAACUGGCUGAGAAGGUGGCAAAGAAGGUAGGGGAGCCUCCGUUUACGGUGAUUGUCAAUGAAGGCAAGAUCAAUCCUUCGAGCUACUUGAGAGUUAGGGUGUUCGUUAAUGUUAAUAAGACGCUGGUGAGAUUUGUGCCAAUAACCUAGAAGGAGAGGAAGAAAUACCCAGUUUACUACGAAAAGCUGCCUGAUUUCUGUUUGUUUUGUGGAUGUAUGGGACAUGUGGUCGAGGAACGUGGAGAUGGGAUACAUGAUCCGUCAUCGUGUGAAUGGGGUGACUAUUUGCAUUGGAGUGGAGAACCAAUAAACAAUGGUGCAAGGGGAGGUCGAGGUGCCUGGUCUGAGUCACGUAGAGAUAAUGCGGCUGGGGAAGGAGUACGGGGCGGUAGAAGAGGAGGUGGAGGUAGGGGUGACAGAGGAGGGAGAAGCUUUGGGACUGGAGGAAGGGGUGCUGGAGUGCAUCCGAGUGUACCUGAGGGGGUUGUUGAGGAAGGCGAGCAGGGCGGGCUAGAUCAGGAACGCUCGGCUCGUAAAAGACUCGUCAGAGAUGAUGGUACAGUUAAUCUACGUGGGCAGUUGGUUCCUAACCUGGGAGGGAAGGUGGCUGAUACUGUGCUUUUUAUUGAGUCCGGCGCCGGGAUUGGAAUGCCGAGCCCGAGUGCAGCGGCCUCCACACUGGGAAAGAACCCCAUAGUGAAAAGGUUGCGUCACAGCGGAAGUGGGGACCAGAUGAUUGUCAUUGAGGAUAUGGGUACCUCUUAUGCGGCGGCCUCCGAGUCGGAGGACCGCCAGGUCCAAUGAAUUGCUUAAGCUGGAACUGCCGGGGAGGGGGGAAUUCCCGGACAGUUCGUGAGCUGACGACCCUUUGUAGGUCAUAUUCCCACAUGUUUGUGUUCCUGUGUGAGACGAGACAGAAGGAAGCGAAGAUGAAGAGAUUAAGAGGCCGGUUUGGCUUGAAGGGCUUUUGUGGCGUUGAUAGUUCAGGCAUGAGUGGUGGCCUGGCGGUAUAUUGGCAUGAAAAUUGUGUGGUUGAAGUGCUUGACAAAGAUGAUCGUCAUGUUGAUGCCCUAGUUCAGGUGCAGGAAGGGGCGGAUCAGUGGAGAAUUACGUUUGUAUAUGGAGAACCGCGGGUAGAAAACCGGCAUCUCAUGUGGGCAAAAAUACAGAAUUUGAAAACUGUCAAUGAUCUUCCGUGGUUGGUUUUGGGGGACUUUAACGAAGCAAUGUGGGAUUUUGAACACUUUUCAGCUACUCCAAGACCAGAGCCGCAGAUGAUAGCAUUCAGGGAUGUGUUGGAAGUUUGUAGUUUAGUAGACUUGGGAUUUUUGGGGGUUCCUUUCACCUAUGACAAUAAAAGAAGUGGCUCGAGCAAUGUUAGGGUGAGGCUGGAUAGGGCCGUUGCAACAAAUGAUUGGAGGAAUAUAUUCCCCUUUGCCUCUGUACAACAUAUUCUAAGUCCUUGUUCGGAUCAUGUGGAUGUACUUCUCAAGGGCGAGGCGGAUUCUGGACCGGUUGGGCCGAAACAUCGCCGAUAUGAGAUCUUCUGGGAGCGGGACUCCACGCUGCCGGAGGUCGUCAAGAACGCGUGGGAAUCUGUUGGCAAUGUCCAAAAUUUGGAGCAGUUGCGAGAGGCGCUAACCAAGACAAUGGUGUCGUUGGGUUCUUGGUCCAGGAAGUUCGGGAAUGUUACAAAGGAGUUAGCUAAGUCCCGUUCACAGUUAGAAGAGCUCAUGCAUAUGAAUGCGGAUCGACAAGAAAUAAGGAAAGUGACAGACAGGAUGAAUGAUCUUUUGUACCAAGAGGAGAUGAUUUGGCUUCAAAGAUCGAGAAUUUCAUGGCUUAAGGAGGGGGACCGCAACACAAAGUUUUUUCAUAGUAAGGUAGUGUGGAGGGCUCGUAGAAACAAAAUCAGGCAGUUAACGGAUAGUAUUGGAGUGGUCCAUUCAGAUUUGGUGUCUAUGGGUAAGCUAGUGAAUGAGUAUUUUCGGGAUGUCUUCACUGCGGAUGUUAACCUUGAUGCAGGCCAUGUGGUUGAUCUCUUUGAAGUACUUUGUCACGGAGGAGGACAAUAUUAAGCUAUGUGCUCCGUUUAGUGAUAAGGAAAUCUCUGACGCACUUUUUCAGAUAGGGCCACUUAAGGCGCCGGGCCCUGAUGGAUUUCCAGCCAGGUUUUUCCAGAGGAAUUGGGCGACUCUCAAGGACAGUGUGAUUGCGGCUGUCAAGGAUUUCUUCAGAUCCGGGGUGAUGCGAGAGGGAGUAAAUUCCACGACGAUUGUCCUCAUUCCGAAAGUUGCUAAUCCUACAAAGCUGACUGAGUAUAGGCCAAUCAGCUUGUGCAAUGUGAUUUACAAGGUCAUAUCUAAAUGUUUGGUUAAUAGGCUCCGUCCUCUCUUGGAUAACCUAAUCUCUGAUGAGCAGAGUGCGUUCAUUCCGGGUAGGAUGAUUACUUACAAUGCGCUGAUUGCCUUUGAGUGCCUACACUACAUCAAACAGGAAAAGUAUCCAACAAAAAGCUUUUGUGCUUAUAAGCUUGAUCUCUCCAAAGCUUAUGAUAGGGUGGACAGGGGUUUCUUGAAGCAAGUGAUGCAAAAGUUGGGGUUCUCUCAGCGAUGGAUAGACUGGAUUAUGACUUGUGUCACAUCGGUGAGAUAUUCUGUCAAAUUAAACGGAACUCUCUUGGAUUCAUUUGCACCGACGCGUGGGCUUCGGCAAGGUGAUCCCCUUUCACCAUUUUUAUUCUUGUUUGUGGCGGAUGGUCUUUUGGCGAUCCUAAAAAAGAAAGUGGCAUCUGGUCAUAUUACUCCUGUAAGAGUAUGCAGGCGAGCACCGGGCAUAUCCCAUUUGUUAUUUGCUGACGAUACCAUGUUGUUUUUUGAGGCAACUAGAGAUCAGGCUAAGAGCGUUAAGGAAGCUCUAGACUUGUAUGGUGCGGCCACUGGGCAAAGUCUCAAUUAUGGAAAAUGUUCUAUGUUCUUUGGUUCUUCUUGUCCGAACACAAUUCAAGAUGAGGUUCGACAGGUGCUGCGUGUGCAAAGUCUGGUUUUUGAGGAAAAAUAUUUGGGUUUGCCUACCCCUGAGGGUCGCAUGUCUAAGGGGAAGUUCCAAAACCUUCAAACAAGCUUGAUAAAACGCCUUAUUCAGUGGGGAGAUGGUCAACUUGCCCAGCCUGGUAGGGAGGUAUUAGUGAAAGCUGUUGCACAGGCGUUGCCAACCUAUAUCAUGGGGGUUUUCAAAUUGCCAUUUUCAGUUUGCGGUGAUCUUACAAGAAUGGUUAGAAACUUUUAUUGGGGCUCGGCAAAAGGAAAAAGAAAGGUCCAUUGGAGGGGGUGGGACCAUCUCAUGCAGCCAAAGGAUAGAGGUGGUGCAGGUUUUCGUGAUUUUCAGCUGUUUAACCAGGCGCUUCUGGCUCGGCAGGCGUGGAGAUUGAUUUCUAGGCCGAACAGUUUAUGUGCACUGGUUCUGAAAGCAAGAUACUAUCCGGAGGGCAAGCUUGAAGACACGGUGUUUUCUGGCAACGCUUCCUCCUCCUGGCAAGCAAUAAGCCAUGGGUUAGACUUACUAAAGAAGGGUCUGAUUUGGCGUGUGGGCAAUGGCAGGAGCAUACGAGUUUGGCGCGACAACUGGAUCCCAAGGCCUUUCUCAUAUAAACCCAUCUCACUGCAGGGCAGAUGUCGUAUUCGCUAUGUUUUCGACUUCCUGAAUGAGAAUGGAUCCUGGAAGGGGCAGUUACUGUCAGAGUAUUUCCUUGCUGCGGAUGUUGAUGAAAUACUAAAGAUUAGAGCUUCUCCGAGGCAGGCCGAAGAUGUUAUUGCAUGGGGUCCCAAUAAGCUGGGUGUGUUCACAGUAAAAAGUGCUUAUAUGUUGGCGUUUGAAGAAGCACAUAGAGAGAGGGCAUCCUCGUCUAGUUCUUCUCCAGAUGGGAGUAGAGCUUGCUGGUCUUACAUAUGGAAGAGCUUGGCGCCUCCGACCGUCAAGAACUUUGCUUGGCGUAUGGCGACUGAUGGGCUACCUACCUGGCGGAACAAGCAUAAAAUCGGAUUAGAAGUAUCAAGUACCUGUCCAGUUUGUGGUGUUGAAGAGGAAGAUAAUUUUCACCCCUUUGUGCGCUGCCAAUUUGGGAGAGACUUGUAUCUAGAGAUGGCCAAGGUUUGGAGGUUACCUAGUAUUGAUAAUCUGAUAAACAGUGGGAAGGAGUGGCUGCUUAUUGCCUUAUCUUCAUUAAGUGAUAUUGAGCGAUGCAUGAUGCUUAUGACCUUUUGGCGGAGCUGGUUCGUCCGAAAUGAGAUUACACAUCAAAAACCAGCUCCACCACUUGAAGUUUCGGUUCGGUUCCUGCAAAGCUACCUGGAGUCGCUGGUGGCGAUCAAACUGAAUUCCAACAUGGACCCGAUCAAGGGCAAUCCGUUGUGAUCCUAGACUCGUUGCCUUCACCGUGCAGGGCGGUUUCCCCAGAGAGUAGAUGGUCUAAACCAAGCAGGGAUUGUGUUAAACUAAACACUGAUGGGUCCUAUGAUUCUUCGAGAGCAGCGGGAGCUGGAAUGAUCCUUCGGGAUUCUAAUGGCGAAAUUAUAUUCUCAGCCUGCCGAGUUUUAUUUUCCUGCAGAGAUGCUCUGGAAGCGGAGUUAUGUGCAUGCAUGGAGGGGCUUUCGAUUUCUAUUCAGAGGUCAAAUCUUCCUAUUGUGGUUGAGAUGGAUUCGUCGGAGGCGGUGGCCAUGAUCAACUGUGUUGGCAAGGAUCGAUCGGUCUAUGCUGCUCUUAUUGAUGAGAUAAGAUAUCUUGUUAGUCUUCGUUCUACUUGCAUUACUCACGUUUCGCGAACUCAAAAUAAAGCUAGUGAUUGCCUAGCUACCUUCAGGAGAGUUGAGAGUAGAAUUAUGACCUGGAUUGGGUCAGGCCCCCCGGAGGUGGUACAGAUUGCUAAGGAUGAUUGUAAAGACUUGAUUAUUGAGUAAUACAAGUAUUUCUCCCCGCAAAAAAAAGGCAUGUUCAGGAAGGUAAAAGGUUACAUAAAACGCUCAGGAAAAAGUGAAAGGUGCAAACUUAUUACAACACGGGUAUCUUCAGAGUGUCGAAUACAUUCCGCUUUUCUCCCAUUCUAUGGUUUACAAUGUUUUAAAUAACUCAACUAUAGCCUUUGAGACCUCUCUCGCUAAAGCUAUGCACUUUUAAUGCUAAAUUAAUAUGACGGUAAUAGCCCGCAAUUUCCCGUUAUAAUGCUACCUUUGGAGUUAUUUAGCCCGCUAAGCCGCAAUACAAAACCAUCCUUUUGCAUUAUUUUUUGUUCUUGUUUAUGAUAUAUUUGACACAUUGAUGCGAAGCUUGGUUAUUGAAUUAGGACACCAGAUUGGUGCUAGGGUUUCGAUGUGCGAACAUGUGUAUAUAUCGAGUAUAUGCAAUAUAUCAUAUAUGAUGUUCAUUUUAUAAUUAUUUUUUUUUCAAUUUUGCAUGAAUAAAGGAAAACAAAAAACGGGGCUUAGCUUCGCUAUAGCUUUUCAUAGCAACGGGCCAAUCCGCCGCUAAAUGGCAUAGCCCGCUAUUUAAAACAUAGGGUUUUCAGCACGAUCCUCCAGACUGCAGUACCAGGGGCCACCCCCACUCCAGGCCGCUUGAGCUUCUUUGCAGGUUGAGCUGGAGAACUAGGUAGAUCCAGUGGUGUGACUGGGCUCGGUAGGGAGUGUUUGCAGGGGGCAUUGCCAGGACUCCUGGGACGUGAUGAUAGAGUAACCCGAUUCAGUUUGGCAAUGAGCACUUGAGAAAAAGCACCUUCAGCAUUUUGGUGAAGCUCCACUACCCACUGUGAUCUGAAAAGGGGUGUUUAGGAUCAAGGAAAUUUUGAGACAAAAUUCCUCUAUCUUCAACAGUGAGGCAUCCAUAAAUAAUAUCACCCGUCUCCUCAUGAGCCCUAGUGUCAAGUUCGAAACUUGUUUCAAAAUCAAUCCAGACAGUAUUAUAAAGAAUACAUGAAUUCCUAUGUUUCCACAUAGCCCACAACACACAAGCACAUGUAGAAUUUAAAUCACUGUGUUUCUUGUGGGCUAGCAAGAAUUUGGCAAUGGAGAGGUAAAUUUUUCCUAGUUCAUAGGAGAAGAAUUUUGAUACAGAAGCCCAAACUUGUUUUGCAACAACACAAUCAAAGAAUAAAUGGUGUAUGGAUUCCUACUCAGAACAAUAAACACAUUCUAGAGAUUUUCUACCACUACUAGGGAAAACGUUAUACACAGAACUUUAGCAGUAGCGCUUGUCAAAAAAGCUCGCUACUGCUAGACAGCAGUAGCGCGUGCCAAAUAAGCGCGAUGCAGAUGCAUAUAUAGCAGUAGCGCGUCUCGCUGAAAACUCUCUACUACUAAAAUUUCGACCACUAAGCCGAUGGGCUACACAUAGUAGUAGCGAUCUUUCAGAAACCGCGCUGCCGCUAAUAUUCUUAUAGCAGCGCGUUUACGUGCAAAGCGCUACUGCUAACGAAAAUAAAAUAAAAUGAAAAACAAAUAGAAAAGUAAAUGAAAAAUGAAAGAAAUAGAAAAAGGAGAAAGGAAAAAUAUAAAAUGUAAAGAAAAAUAAACGAAAAAGGGAAAAAAGGAUGAAGGAAUAGCAGUAGCGCGUUUGCGAAAACGCGCUAUAGCUAACUUAGCUAUAGCGCGUUUUCCCUAACGCGCUACCGUUAUUAUUGACUUAACCCAAAAAAUGGUUUCCCCCCGGCCACCACUUCUCCCCCAAAUCCCUCGCCCCACUCUUCGCCGCCGUCUCCCCCACCUCACCGUCUCCCCCACUUCGCCGCCGUCUCCUGCCGGCGUCGACGCCGCGCUCAUCCUCACCGCCGCCGCCCGAGGCCGCCCAACCUCACCGCCGCCGUCUCUCGGGCCGCCCUCGACCUCACUGUCACCGCCCUCGACCUCUCCGCCGCCGNNNNNNNNNNNNNNNNNNNNNNNNNNNNNNNNNNNNNNNNNNNNNNNNNNNNNNNNNNNNNNNNNNNNNNNNNNNNNNNNNNNNNNNNNNNNNNNNNNNNNNNNNNNNNNNNNNNNNNNNNNNNNNNNNNNNNNNNNNNNNNNNNNNNNNNNNNNNNNNNNNNNNNNNNNNNNNNNNNNNNNNNNNNNNNNNNNNNNNNNNNNNNNNNNNNNNNNNNNNNNNNNNNNNNNNNNNNNNNNNNNNNNNNNNNNNNNNNNNNNNNNNNNNNNNNNNNNNNNNNNNNNNNNNNNNNNNNNNNNNNNNNNNNNNNNNNNNNNNNNNNNNNNNUUUCUCUUAGCUUUUUCUUCCUCUGCCAUGUUAAUUAGCAGUAGUAGUAGAUGUUAAUUAGUACUAGGGUUCAUACAUAAUGAUUUUUAGUAGUAGUAGUAGAUGUUAAUUAGUAGUAGUGAUGGUACUAGUUAACUAGGGCAGUAUGUUUAAUAGUAGAUGUUUUUAGUUAGGGUAAUAAUAGAUGUUAAGUAGUAGAUAAUGUUGAUGUUAAUUAGUUCAGUAGGGUUUAGUUUUUGAAUUGAGUUUGUUUAACUAGAUGUUACUUAGGGCAGUAGGGUUUAGUUUAGAGUAAAGUAAUUUAGUUCAGUAGUUAAGUAAAUAUAAUCUAUAUUUGGUUUUUGAAUUGAGUUUGAGAGAGCAUGAGAUUUGUGUAGAUUUUCUUGUAGUGUCAAACGCUAGGACAUGCAAAUUUGAAGUGGUCAGGAUAUAUGCAAAUUCCUUAAUUAUGUUUACACAUGCAUGUUUCGAUUGUGCCCAAGUGGCCUUUUGUUGUUUCCAGGGAAUGAAGCCGAGUGGCCUAUGUUUUGCCGGAAUGUUGAUUCAUUUCCAUUCCGGCAAAUUUUAGACUCUCGAUUUGUCCACUUUUUAGGAAAGGUCAUGCCGAAAUUUUCCGUGAAUUUCGGCAUGACUUGUGCUACAAACUAGGACAUAUCGAGUGCCCGGGAUUUGCCGCACCAGGAAGGAGUCAACGUUCUUGCAAAACAUUAGGCUUUUUUAUGUCAUUAUUCAUUUUAUUAGGUCUAAAAUUAAUUGACUAGAUUUAAUCGUAGGAAACAUGGCUAGCAAUGAUGAAGGACAGGGUUCUGGUGAUUGCGACAACGUCUACCGGGCGGCAGACGAAUUUUUGAGCCUUGCUGACGAUCAACCGAUGUUGUUGCUGGGCCCACCGGUGGCAUCGGGGACUGAGACCGACACAUAGACCUGUGCUGAGACUGAGACCGGCGCUGAGACUCAGACCGGCAUCGAGACCGGCGCUGAGACUGAGACUGGCGCUGCCUCGAGGAGCGGAGCCGGUGUAGAACUGAAAGCAAAGAGGCAACGGCUUCCUAACAAACUCAGGACUACUAGACUGAUGGUCACGGAGGUGGACGACAGCAAUUUUGAGCUAAAUGCGCCCGAGGAAGCGCGCGCAUGCUACGGCAAUCAAAUAGGCUGCAUCGUACGGACAACCGCCACCAUCAACGAUGAGAAACUAUAGAAGAUAGAUAAUAUGAGGCCCUCCCUCCUAAAGAAGUUUCACCAGAUAUUCUUGUUCCCGGGCCGGAAUGAAAAGGAUUAUGAAGAUCCAGGUAAGGACCCGCUAAUGAAGAAGAUACAGAAACACACCAUGACCAAGUUUAGCGACGCGUUGGCCGCCUGGAAAACAAGGGUGAAAGCAAGGAUCAUCGACAAGAAGGAACCCUACUCCGACAUUGUAAAGUAUAAUCCGACAAUCACAGAAGAGUAGUUUCAAAUAUUCAAGGUGGCUUGCGAGGCCGAAGCUGGCAAAAAAAGUCUAAGUACAUGAAGGGGCUUCAAGAGAGGAACAUUGGGAGCCACCACCUAGAAAGCCGUGGUUACGGCGGGAAGAGGUCCAAAUGGGCCAAGGAGGACGCGGAAGCCGCGAGUCUGGGCAUCCCAGACCCCUUGGCGGAGUUCACCAUCUCGCAUGAGCGUGACAUCCUCAGGGCCCGGCACCGUUGGGACCCAGUGAAGAAGGUUUACGAGACAAAUGCGGUCACGACGGAGUUCAUUAGACUGCUGGUAAUUUUAGUUUUUGAUCAAUUCGACUGCACAUGUUAGUCAUAUUUAUAAACGAUCCUUGUGCCUUUUUGAUGUCUACUACGCAACCUUCUCCUUGUAGACGUUGUUGGGCCUGCAAGUGCACAGGUUUGUAGGACAGUAGCAAAUUUCCCUCAAGUGGGUGACCUAAGGUUUAUCGAUCCAUAGGAGGCGUAGGAUGAAGAUGGCCUCUCUCAAGUAACUCUGCAACCAAAUAACAAAGAGUCUCUUGUGUCCCCAACACACCCAAUACAAUGAUAAAUUGUAUAGGUGCACUAGUUCGGCGAAGAGAUGAAGAUACAAGUGCAAAAUAGAUAGUAGAUAUAGGUUUUUGUAAUCUGAAAUAAUAAAAACAGCAAGGUAACAAGCGAUAAAAGUGAGCGUAAACGGUAUUGCCAUGAUAGGAAACAAGGCCUAGGGUUCAUACUUUCACUAGUGUAAGUUCUCUCAACAAUAAUAACAUAGAUAGAACAUAUGACAAGCCCUCAACAUGCAACAAAGAGUCACUCCAAAGCCACUAAUAGCGGAUAACAAACGUAGAGAUUAUGGUCGAGUACGAAACCACCACAAAGCUAUUCUUUCAGAUCAAUCUAUAAAAGAGUUUGUACUAGAAUAACACCUUAAGAUACAAAUCAACCAAAACCCUAAUGUCACCUAGAUACUCCAUUGUCACCUCAAGUAUCCGUGGGCAUGAUUAUACGAUAUGCAUCACACAAUCUCAGAUUCAUCCAACCAACAUAAAAGUACUUCAAAGAGUGCCCCAAAGCUACUACCGGAGAGUCAAGAACGUGUGCCAACCCCUAUGCAUAGGUUCCCAAGUGUCACGAAACCCGCAAGUUGAUCACCAAAACAUACAUCAAGUGGAUCAAUAGAAUAACCCAUUGUCACCACAGUUAUCCCACGCAAGACAUACAUCAAGUGUUCAUAAAAGACUCAAUCCGAUAAGAUAACUUCAAAAGGGGAAACUCAAUUCAUCACAAGAGAGUAGAGGGGGAGAAACAUGAUAAGAUCCAACUAAAAUAGAAAAGCUCGGGAUACAUCAAGAUCGUGCCAUAGAGGAACACGAGAGAGAACACGAGAGAGAGAGAUCAAACACAUAGCUACUGGUACAUACCCUCAGCCCCGAGGGUGAACUACUCCCUCCUCGUCAUGGAUAGCGCCGGGAUGAUGAAGAUGGCCUCCGGUGAUGGGAUCCCCCUCCGGCAGGGUGCCGGAACGGGGUCCCGAUUGGUUUUUGGUGGCUACAGAGGCUUGCGGCGGCGGAACUCCCGAUCUAUCUUCUGUUCUGGAAGUUUUAGGGUACGUAGGUAUAUAUGGGUGCAGGGAGAACGUCGGUGGAGCUACGGAGGCCCCACGAGGCUGGGGGGCGCACCCAAGGGGAAGGGCGCCCCCCACCCUCAUGAGCACCUCCCAUAUCUUCUGACGUGGGGUCCAAGUCCAUCAGGUGGGUUUCCUUCCAAAAAUAACUUCUCUAGUUGAUUUCGUUCCGUUUUGACUCCGUCUGAUAUUCCUUUUCCUCGAAACACUAAAAUAGGCAUAAAACAACAAAUCUGGGUUGGGCCUCCGGUUAAUAGGUUAGUCCCAAAAGUAAAGUGGAUAAUAAAGCCCAAUAUUACCUAAAACAAUAGAUAAAGUAGCAUGGAGCAAUCAAAAAUUAUAGAUACGUUGGAGACGUAUCACUUUUGCAGAGAGAGCAGCAAAGGAGUGCGGCCGAAAGCGACUCGCCGUUUGAGGCAUUGGCGAGGCCCAAGUGGGACACUCCAUUCAACCGGUCGUUGAACAUAUUGAAACGACUCCCGGUGGAGACUCGACCGCCGUAUGGACGCGUGCACAGUGUCGGAGACGGCGCCACAUGGAAGAAGUACUACCGUGUGACCACGGAGGAGAGAAAGGAAAGACGGAGGUUAACUGAAGAAAACAUCGAUAAGAAGGUUGAGAUUGCGGUUGAGAAGAAAUCAUCUCGGACAGUCGCAACAGCGGUAAUCCUCUACCCCGAUACUCCCACGCUCUUUACUUGGACUCAUCGAAGAACAUUCACAAAAAGGAUUACACCCACAUCAAGGAUGUUCUCGACAGUGCUAUGUUUUACUACCAAGCAUGGGGUGGAGAGGUCAAGGACAAGAAGAGAAGGGGCGGCAGGCUCGCCUUCGGCCAUAAGACCGACUUCUGCUGCAUCCAGCAACCGAGUGAUUCUCUUAAUGAUGGAUUCUAUGUCCUACACCACAUGCUGGAGUACAGACGGGAUCACCAGAACCUUCGCAUGUCACCUAGAUCCGGCGAUGCCCAUAUUCUGCAAUGGGCAAAGAACGUAGGAGAUAUCGAGGAUCAUCGACUUUGAGCUGAGUUCUAUAACAUCCAGCGCGAACUUGCCCAAAUCAUCAUGAAGGAAGUCGUCGGAAAAACAGGGAUGUUCUACGAAGAAGGACAAAUGUCGCGGGAAGACGUCCGAACAUGGGUAUCCUCUCAGCGUCUCGACAUGAAGCCUUUCACUAAACUCGGGGACUAUCUCCCUGACAUCGAUGGAUGGCACGACAUGUUGGAGUGAUUGUUGAUAUAUGACAAUGUGUCCGUUUAGUCCAUACUUUCUGUACGACAAAACUUUGAGUUAUGCACGGCAAAACUUUAUUUGUGAUGUAAUUAAACCGUCCUCCUCCUCGAGUAGCGAAGAUCACUCUAGUUAGGGCAUUUUAGGUAUGAUGAACUUUGUUAUUUAUGCUUAUGAUAUGUUGUUUCUAUUUUGCCAAGUCUGUCUCUUUAUGUUGCUCAACUAUAUAUGUUGCAUAUCAUCGACUAAUGUGACGAUGCAGGUGCAUAGAUCAUCGAUGGAGAAGAAGUGCUACGCCAGGAGUAUAUAUACGAUGAGUGGCUGGAGUGUCAGGCAUAGGUGUACCGGUUUCCGGUUUUCGAGCGAUAGGCAGUAGUUAGUUUAGGUUCACGCUAAUGCGAGAGAGGGAUACGAACUCAUGUACUGCAUAGUUCCGCUCUCACUCAAAGUGAUAUCUCUUCUCGUGUAUAUCACUGUUUAGAUGGAUGACGAUGUAUUUGCAUGUAAUCGAGACUUGUAUCGCUAUUUUCGAGAUGAUGACGAGAGACCACUUUGUGUUGGAUGAUGAUUAUGAUCAUGACAUGAUUUGAUGAGACUAGUUGUAUGUAUAUGCUAUGAUUACAUUUGUAUGUGUAUGAUAUGCUAAAGAUUAUUGUAUAAAGCCUAUUCAAAUACAAAACAAAUAUGCAAAAAAAAUAAUAAAACUAGUAGUAGCGAGGGGGGAAAGUUAGCAGUAGCGCCGCCUUACCAGUAGCGCUUCCCUGUAAAAAGCGCUGCAGAUAAUAUCAUUAGUGCUCUUCAGUGAAGCGCGGUACAACUAUCCAUGUAUAGCAGUAGCGCCUUAUCAGUAGUGCAUCUUCCCGCGCUAUUGAUUGGCCUAAAAUCCGCGCUGCUGCUAGGCUUUUCCCUAGUAGUGUACCCCUCUUUUACACUACCAGGGAAAUGCUUAUAGGUAGGACAUCAGUAGUAGCGCUGGAAAAAAAGGAAUCGCUGCUGCUAAUUAGCAGCAGCGCUUGUCCGGGUACGCACUACAAUUAAUGCUUUAGAAGUAGCGUUGGAAACAGAAAAGCGCUACUACUAAGUGGGACCCAACGCUCCCACCGACGCUAGUUGUAGUAGCAACGCUGUCCAGAAAACAACGCCACUACUAAUAUUUUAGCAGUAGUGCUUUAUUUUACAGCACCGCUACUACUAACAGGCCUCACUUUGUAGUAACGCUGCUUCCUGAAAAGCGUUGCUGCUAAGUAGCAUAGCAGCAACGCUUUCUGGGAAGCAGCGCUACUGCUAGUUGCGGCUGGUGCCACGUUUUCACCCCCUCCUCCUCCCCCUCCUUUCCCCACUUCUUUCCCCCCUCUCCACCAUUGUUGCCCUUCUUCUCUCUUCCUCCUACCUCUCUUCUAUCCUCAUUAAUGUCCCCCUCCAUCAUAACUCUCCUCCAUAAAUGGUCUUCUCAUCUCUCUCUUCCUCGUACCUCUCUUCUUUCCCCAUUAAUGCCCCCUCCACCAUAACUCCCUCUCUAUUAGUUAGCUAGAGUCAUUUCUCCUCCCCAACAACUAGAUCUAGCUAGCUAUUUAGCCAUCCACACUUUCGAUCCCUAUAGGUAGCGAAAGGCCUCAUCUAACCGUGCUCGGUCUCUCUCGGGAGAUAUAUAGGUGAGUAAAAAGUUGUUCAUUUCAAGAAUGGGAAUAUGUGUGUUUGGGGUAUGGAGAGAUUUGUGCGAGUGACAUGCCCCCGAGUUGCUUAUGUUUUGCCAAAAUGUCUAUUUAUUUCCGUUUCGGUGAAUUUCAAGCAAAAUCGACAUGUCCUACUUUUAGGCAAGGCCAUGCCAAAUUUUUAUAUGACUUUGAUGCAUGGAUGCAUUUUGUUUAUAACCCUUUUGCUUGUUAUACCGUGCAGUCGGUCAUGAAGGUGAGUGGAUGGAACAUGGAGCGAUACAUGCAAUCCGCGGUGAUGGACAUGUAUGCAAAUAAUCGGACUAGGAUUAGAUGUUCGUGUGCAAGAUGCAAAGAAGGAGUCCUUUUGGACCCUUUUGAUCGUGGCACUUUGAAGGCGCACCUGCUGAUGAAUGGUUUUAUGGAUGGCUAUACUCGAUGGAUAAGUGAAGAAGAUGAUGAUGAUGACGAGGACGUCCACAUGGCAGGGAAUAACGACAUGGGGCUAGAUGAAGAGAUGACCGAUUGACACGAAGACGAUGAUGGCGCCGGACAUGGCGGUGGGGAAGAGUCCGGAAAUGAUGGCGGCAGAGAAGAUUCUGGACACGCGAAGAAGAGUCCGGACAUGGCGGAGAAGAGGCAGACGUCAUGCUGCAGUCUUCGACGCUACUAAGUGCAGUCGUGCAAGACCCUCAUGUUCGAGACCUCCUAGCAAGAGUACGACUAGCGAGAGAGUUGCUUCUAGAGAGUAGGCAAAGCUGGUGCAACUUAAAGUAGACUCGAAGACUCCAUUGUAUGACGGUUGCGACCCGACAUGACCCGCUUGAGUUUCACGCUCGAACUUCUAAAGACGAAGGCCAACAAAUGGACAGACAAAAGCCUCGAUGAGCAUUUGAAGUAUCUACAUAAUAAAGUUCUUCCCGCGGGGAAACUAUGUCGUAAUAGUGUUCAGGAGGCCAAGAAAAUCAUUUGCCAUUUUGAUUUGCCGCACAUUAGGUACCAUGCAUGCAUCAACAAUUGCAUCAUUUAUCCGGGGAAGCACACGAAAAAAACCAGCAGUCCAGUGUGCAAUGCUUCUCGAUACAAGAAGGCAGGAAAGAAAGCUCCUCAGAAAGUUGUAUGGUACUUUCUGAUCACUCCCCGUCUGCAGUGGUAUUUAGUAGAUCCUAAGGAAGCAAAGCUCAUGCGCUGGCACACGGAGAGGAAGAAGCCCGACGAUGGAGAUGAUCCGAAGCUGAGACACCUCAUAGAUGGUAGCCAGUGGAGAGUGACGGUGUCCUGGACUAGGGGGUACUCAACACGUCGUCUCCCGAUCAGUUGGAUUGGGCCCAGGACCCCCAUGGCCGUAUACUCAUGGGCCAGUCCGGACAGCUGCCGCAUACAAGGAAGAAUCCACAAGACUUGGCGAUCAAGACAAGGACUCCUCCCCCACCGGCGUAUUCGGCUAGGACUCAUGUUAUCCUAGGCCUCUGGUGCAUUAUAUAAACCAAGGCCAGGCUAGUCGAUAGAGAUAUACAACAAUCAUACCAUAGGCUAGCUUCUAGGGUUUAGCCUCCUUGAUCUCGUGGUAGAUCUACUCUUGUACUACCCAUAUCAUCAAUAUUAAUCAAGCAGGACGUAGGGUUUUACCUCCAUCGAGAGGGCCCGAACCUGGGUAAACAUUGUGUCCCUUGCUUCCUGUUACCAUUGAUCCUAAGACGCACUGCUUGGGACCCCCUACCCGAGAUCCGCCGGUUUUGACACCGACAUUGGUGCUUUCAUUGAGAGUUCUGCUGUGUGAUCGGCGAAAGGAUCAAUGGCUCGACAGUAGGUUAACUGCGACGUUGGCUUCUUCAUCACCAGCUCGACUGGUCACCUUGGCUUCACCGAGGACUGCACCCUACCUCCGACCGUCAUGUUCGGAAGAGGGCCUUCAUCAACACCAACUCUGAUCUCUAUCAAGAUCAUGGAGGAGUCAUCCAGGGAGCUCGGGGGCUCAACAUCAACAUUGCCCUCAGGCGACCGUGCUAUGUCACCACUUCGGAGUGCCGAGCUCUUUGCUCCGCCACCUCGGGACCGGCUCUGGGAUGGAACCUUGUCCAGCAUCAAGCUCGGACCGCGUCAUCAGUACCGAACACAUUAACCAGCUAAGUUGUCUUCAUGCUCAAAGUUUUAAACUUGUGUUCGGCUCGGCCAAGCAUUAUACUUUUUUGGAAAAAAGUUGCUUGUAAAAAUUUCCUUGUCCAAACUUUGUUUGUGACGCGCAAAUUCAAAUACCCCGUUUACUUGGGGGGCUUCCUUCAUGAAGCUUUUUCCUCUCGCAUAUGGUUAUACUUGUACGGCUUCGUUCCUUGUUCGUGUAUUACGCCACAAUAUGCACCAUAUUGACUUAAGCGAUUUGCAAGCUGGGUUGCCUGGCUCCUGUGCUUACCCCUACGUUCCCGAUUGUUCGGCUAGGGAGUAAAGGGAGCACCUCUGCGAUUGUCACGAUCGGGUCACCCGAGCCGGACCUCAGACUGGGUGAAGCCGAAAGCUAGCGCUCUUAUUGUUUUCAAUCAUGGUCGGCACACAACGGAACUCAUGAGUACAAAAAAUCUGUUGCUCAAGUCUCAUAAUAAUAAUGAGCACCGAAGAAAGGUAUCGGUGGGGGUACUAUUUUCUUCGAAGAUGCUUCUUACACUUUGCAGUAAUAUAGCAUAAGUUCCCUGAGCGCGCUUUGUCUGUUACAGCCUUAUGGCCUAUUGCCUGGUUAUUGGAAACACCGUCGAUAUUCUCGACAGAUGGAGUACAUAACACUUUUCGGUCCUUGACCGAAGAGGGAGAAGCCGACGGUCGGUUAAGACGCGUUUAAAGUUCGGUUGAACAUAGAUAUGAUAUAAGUACUUCGGUACAUGCAAUCAUUCUUUUACCCAAGUCACUUGGGGGCUCUUAAAUUUAUAUGAGCCGUUUUAUGAUAAGUGUUUUUCUUCUUAGUCGUUGCAAAGUUUUUAUUAUUAUUUAUCACUCCUUUUUUCGACACAAGUGUGUGGUCACUAGCCGGGGAGCCUAAUUUGUCUCUCAAAGAAGCCGUAGGCUGACCCACUUGAAGUUUUGAGAUAGGAUGUGUCAUGUUAAAGCACGGCAAAAGCACCUUUUUUUAAAGUCCAAUUUUCGGAUUGGCACCGAACACUUGAUCUAGUUCGGACAUUAACCUUUUGAAUAAGUUUUUUGGCUUUUCGAGCCCAUGGCACUUUUAAACUAUUUGUGUGUUUUUAGCACAAGUCUCGCAGUGCAACGCCGGACACCUUUAGAGAAUCGGCAAAAACAUUCUCGGAUAUUGCUAUAUAUGCAUCGGUUUCGAAUUGUGUCUUCGGUCAAUAGUUGGGUUGCCCGGCUCCUGCGCUUGCCUCCUAUAUUCCGCUUUGUUCGGCUAGGUGUGCAAAGAGAGAACCACUGCGAUUGUGCUUUCAGCUCACAUGGUUAAGCACCUCAGUGGAGAAAGCCGAAAAAAAACUGUCACAAUAAGCGUAAACUGGUCGGCGAUCCGAUGACGGUGUUAAACGACGGGCCAUUCAUAACCAUAGCCGAAGUGUUUACGGCUUGACCUCGACUAUCGCCGAACACUACCGGGGGCUAUUAACUGGCCUCCCAAACUAAAUCCUCGAUAUUUUGCUCUUACACUGGAGCUGAGGUUUCAUGAUCAUGCUUAGCAUGACAACCCAAAGAAAGGAACCGAUAGCGGGACUAUUUUCUUUGGAAGACAUUUCUUCUGUUAAACAGUAAUAUAACAUGUCUCUCCGCGUACCUUUGUUUAUAAAACCGUAUGGCCAGAUUGCCUCGUUUGUUGUAAAUCUUUGCCCUCAUAAAGGCUUUAUAAAGUAGGACAAACACUCCUCGGCUAUUGGCCGAGGAGGUAGAAGCUGAUGGUCGGUCAACAAAGUUUUAUACAAUGCGGAUCCGAGCAUUAAUGACGUAAAGUACUUGGAUACAUAGAGUCAUUACACAUAAUUUGUGAUUUUACUAUGGAUAUCGAUCCUUAAUUCGGCCUCCCGUGCCUGCAUUAAGGCUCGGGGGCUACUGGGCUUCGGGCUUGUUAUUUACAAAUAUUAAAGGGGCACAUCAAUCCCCUGAUCUAGUGUUACCACCCGACCAGUGUCUUGGGGGCUACUGCAUUGCCUGUUCUAUGCAGAAAAUUUUAAGUGCAAUACAGUUUCCGAGGAGAUUUUGAUCCUCAGGUUGGUCGGCCACACCCAACCCGAGUCUUGAGGACUGAGCACGCCGCUUUUUGUGUCCCGAAGUAUUCUGCCGAGCUAGGACUUGAUCCUCAAACCGAUUUUGCAAAUCAACCUGAGUCUCAGCAGCUACGGGGAUCAGCGGUCUUAUGUCAUCCUUCAUGGGCAUCUCGGGUUUUAGACCGAUACCCACCUUGAGGGCUACUGGCUAUGUAUCUCGGCAGAGAAUAAAUUACACCAAUCAAAAAUAUUGGCAAAAAUCAGCCCACAUUCGGGGUGGUGCACCACCUGGGAAGCUGUCCGGCAUAAAGCUCGGGCACUAGUGGCUGGCUCCAUAGAGAGCAUUUCCGGCGUUAAGCUCGGCUAAACUCCUUCAAACUUCUUUGAACCAAGGUGAUUUACGACACCUCGGAUAUAGUCCGGCGUUGGAGCUCGGAUACAUAGUCUGGCGUUGGAGUUCGGAUACAGUCCGGUGUUGGAGCUCGGAUACAGUCCGGCGUUGGAGCUCGGAUACAUAGUCCGGCGUUAGAGCUGGUAAGCAGUCCGACAUUGGUGCUCGACUGCAAAAGAUACCUCGAAUGCAGUCCGGCGUUAGAGCUGGUAAGCAGUCCGACAUUGGUGCUCGACUGCAAAAGAUACCUCGAAUGCAGUCCGGCGUUGGAGCUCGGAUGCAAGAGGACGUUGCCGCCCGGGAACAACUUCAAACCCGAGGUGUGGCAUAAAAAUAACAAGGCAUUGAUAAAGGCCGGAAACUUAAAGGGGCUCCUCGGAUACCCGACGUAUAAACUUGUCGAAUGCAUUUCGGUAAUCCUCAAGAUCGAAGAUGAGAAGAUUUGUUGAACCAGUUUUCAAGACCGGCAACCGAAGAUGAAGAACAGUUCGGAAGAAUCGAGGAGCGUCCCUAACUUGAAGACCGGUUCAGGGGCUACUGACGGUGUCCUGGACUAGGGGGUACUCAACGCGUCGUCUCCCGAUCAGUUGGAUUGGGCCGAGGACCCCCAUGGCCGUAUACUCAUGGGCCAGUCCGGACAGCUGCCGCAUACAAGGAAGAAUCCACAAGACUUGGCGAUCAAGACAAGGACUCCUUCCCCACCGGCGUAUUCGGCUAGGACUCAUGUUAUCCUAGGCCUCUGGUGCAUUAUAUAAACCGAGGCCAGGCUAGUCGAUAGAGAUAUACAACAAUCAUGCCAUAGGCUAGCUUCUAGGGUUUAGCCUCCUUGAUCUCGUGGUAGAUCUACUCUUGUACUACCCAUAUCAUCAAUAUUAAUCAAGCAGGACGUAGGGUUUUACCUCCAUCGAGAGGGCCCGAACCUGGGUAAACAUUGUGUCCCUUGCUUCCUGUUACCAUUGAUCCUAAGACGCACUGCUUGGGACCCCCUACCCGAGAUCCGCCGGUUUUGACACCGACAGAGAGAAUUCAACACUUUAUAUGGAUUUGAUGUAGAAGAUCCAAGGAACAUCGUGCUUGGUGCGAGUACCGAUGGCAUGAAUCCGUUUGGAAACCAGAACACCAACCACAACACAUGGCUCGUCUUUGUAUGGAUGUACAACAUCCCCCCAUGUAAGUGCAUGAAGACAAAGUACAUACACAUGAGCAUGCUGUUUCAAGGGUCGAAACAACCGGGAAAUAAUAUUAACCUGUAUGUGGGGCUUCUGAAAGAGGAGCUAGACACGUUAUGGGAAACACCGGCAUGGACAUGGGAUGCCAACAAAGGAGAGUAUUUCUAUAUGAGAGCCACGCUGAUGAUGACGGUGCACGACUAUCUCGGUUACGGUACACCUCAGGCCAGGUGUGCCACAGAUACUGCGGAUGCACGAGGUGCAUGGAUGAUACAACGUCUCAGCAGCUUAGGUCAAUGAAAGAUGUCGGGUCUGGGAAAAUUGUGUACAUGGGGCAUCGUAGAUGGCUCGAGAAGGAUGACCCGUGGAGAAAGCAUAGAUAUCUAUUCAAUGGGUUGGCUGAGCAUCGAGGACCUCCACAUAAGUGGAGCGACGCCGCAAAUCAACGAGCUAUUGAAAAACUGGGAAUAGUGCCCCGCGCCGGGAAAGAUGAAAAAGGCACAGGAGCCGCUGCUGAAGGUAUGGAAAACUAGGUCUGUUUUCUGGGACUUGGAGUACUGGCCCAAUCACGACACGCCUCAUCAAAUGCAUAUCACGAAGAAUGUCCUCGAGAGCUUGCUUGCCACACUGAUGAACAUGCUGGAGAAGACCAAGGACAGGCUGAAGGCAAGGAAAGACUUGGAAGAUUUGAAGACUAGGAAAUAUCUCCACCGCAAAAGUCGAUGGAGGAGACGAAGAUGGAGACGGAGGAGGGGGAAAGGGGCAGAAAAUUCAACAAGAAGGAGGAGAAUUAUUGCCCCCCUUCUUGCUUCACCUUAAGUGCGAAAGAUAUCGAUCAAUUCAUCAAGUGCCUUAUGGGAAUCAAAAUCAGCUCCGGUUACUGUGGAAGAUAAUAAGAUUUCUAGACCCCAAGAAGAAAAAGGUUCAGCGGGAUGAAGUAUCAUGACUAUCACGUGAUGAUGACGCAGAUACUCCUGGUUGCCAUUAGAGGGAUAAUGGACAAGCACGUCCGUGACACGCUUACUGGUCUCUGCAACUUCUUUGACGUUAUUUCUCGAAAGUCCAUAAGUGUGAAGCAGCUCCCAAGGCUACAGGAAGAGAUCGUUGUCAUACUAUGUGAGCUUGAGAUGUACUUCUGCUACGUCUUGAGCUUGUGUUGGUUUUCCUUGAGGAGGAAAGGGUGAUGUAGCAAUAGUAGCAUAAGUAUUUCCCUCAGUUUUUGAGAACCAAGGUAUUAAUCUAGUAGGAGGCUCCUCAAAAGUCCCACGCACCUACACAAACAAACAAAGAACUCGCAACCAACGCAAUAAAGGGGUUGUCAAUCCCUUCACGGCCACUUGCGAAAGUGAGAUCUGAUAAAGAUAGUAUGAUAAGAUAAAUAUAUUUUUGGUAUUUUAUAAUAUAGAUGCAAAAAGUAAAGAUGCAAAUAAAAGUAGAUUGAAAGCUUAUAUGAUAAAAGAUAGACCCGGGGGCCAUAGGUUUCACUAGUGGCUUCUCUCAAGAUAGCAUAAGUAUUACGGUGGGUGAACAAAUUACUAUCGAGCAAUUGAUAGAAAAGCUAAUAAUUAUGAGAUUAUCUAGGCAUGACCAUGUAUAUAGGCAUCACAUCCAUGACAAGUAGACCGACUCCUGCCUGCAUCUACCACUAUUACUCCACACAUCGACCGCUAUCCAACAUGCAUCUAGAGUAUUAAGUUCAUAAGAACAGAGUAACACUUUAAGAAAGAUGACAUGAUGUAGAGGGAUAAACUCAAGCAAUAUGAUAUAAACCCCAUCUUUUUAUCCUCGAUGGCAGCAAUACAAUACGUGCCUUGCAACCCUUUCUGUCACUGGGUAAGGACACCGCAAGAUUGAACCCAAAGCUAAGCACUUCUCCCAUGGCAAGAAAGAUCAAUCUAGUAGGCCAAACCAAACUGAUAAUUCGAAGAGACUUGCAAAGAUAACUCAAUCAUACAUAAAAGAAUUCAGAGGAGAUUCAAAUAUUUCUCAUAGAUAAACUUGAUCAUAAACCCACAAUUCAUCGGAUCUCGACAAACACACCACAAAAAGAGUUUACAUCGAAUAGAUCUCCACAAGAGAGGGGGAGAACAUGGUAUUGAGAUCCAAAAAGAGAGAAGAAGCCAUCUAGCUAAUAACUAUAGACCCGAAGGUCUGUGGUAAACUACUCACAACUCAACGAAGGGGCUAUGGUGUUGAUGUAGAAGCCCUCCAUGGCCGAUUCCCCCUCCGGCAGAGCACCGGCGAAGGCUCCAAGAUGGGAUCUCGCGGAUACAAAAGGUUACGGUGGUGGAAAUUGUUUUUCGUUGGCUCCCUGGAUGUUUUCAGGGUACGUAGGUAUAUAUAAGAGGAAGAAGUACAUCGGUGGCUGCUCGAGGGGCCCAGGAGACAGGGGAGCACGCCCAGGAGGGGUGGGCGCGCCAUCCUAUCUCCUGGCCACCUCGUUUGCUUCUUGACUUGCACUCCAAGUUCUCUGGAUCACGUUCAUUCCAAAAAUCAUGCUCCCGAAGGUUUCAUUCCGUUUGGACUCCGUUUGAUAUUCCUUUUCUUCGAAAUACUAAAAUAGGCAAAAAUCAGCAAUACGGGCUGGGCCUCCGAUUAGUAGGUUAGUCCCAAAAAUGAUAUAAAUGUGUAAAAUAAAUCCCAUAAACAUCCAAAAGGGGUAAUAUAAUAGCAUGGAACAAUCAAAAGUUAUAGAUAAGUUGGAGACGUAUCAAGCACCCCCAAGCUUAAUUCCUGCUCGUCCUCAAGUAGGUAAAUGAUAAAAACAGAAUUUUUGAUGUGGAAUGCUACCUAGCAUAAUAUGUAAUUUUCUUUAUUGUGGCAUGAAUGUUCAGAUCCAAAUGAUUCAAGAUAAAAGCUUAUAAAACAUAAAAAAUAAUAAUGCUUCGAAGCAUACUAACAAAUAAUCAUGUCCUAUCAAAAUAGCAUAGCCAAAGAAAGCUUAUCCCUACAAAAUCAUAUAGUUAGGCCAUGCUUCAUUUUCAUUACACAAAAUACUCCCAUCAUGCACAACCCCGGUUUCAGCCAAGCAAUUGGUUCAUACUUUUUAACGCGCUUCAGCUUUUUCAACUCUUACGCAAUACAUGAGCGCAAGCCAUGGACAUAGCACUAUGGUGGUAUAUGGUGGUGGUUGUGAGGACAAAAAGGGAGAAGAUAGUCUCACAUCAACUAGGCGUAUUAACGGGCUAUGGAGAUGCCCAUCAAUAGAUAUCAAUGUGAGUGAGUAGGGAUUGCCAUGCAACGGAUGCACUAGAGCUAUAAAUAUAUGAAAGCUCAACAAAAGAAACUAAGUGGGUAUGCAUCCAACUUGCUUGCUCACGAAGACCUAGGGCAUUUUGAGGAAGCCCAUCAUUGCAAUAUACAAGCCAAGUUCUAUAAUGAAAAAUUCCCACUCAGUAUAUGAAAGUGACAACAUAGGAAACUCUCUAUCAUGAAGACCAUGGUGCUACUUUGAAGCACAAGUAUGGAAAAAAAUAGUAGCAUUGUCCCUUCUCUCUUUUUCUCUCAUCUUAAUUUUUUUCUCUCUUUUUUUCUCUCUUUUUUUCUCUCUUUUUUUUCUUUUUUUUUCUUUUUUUUCUUUUUUUCUUUUUUUCUUUUUUUUUCUUUUUGGCCUUUCUCCUUUUUUUUGGCCUUUCCUUUUUUUAAAGCCCGAAGUCUCACCCCGACUUGUGGGGGAAUCAUAUCUUCAUCAUCCUUUCCUCACUGAGACAAUGCUCUAAUAAUGAAGAUCAUCACACUUUUAUUGAUUUACAACUCAAGAAUUACAACUCAAAACUAGAACAAGAUAUGCCUCUAUAUGAAUGCCUCCGGCGGUGUACCGGGAUAUGCAAUGAAUCAAGAGCGACAUGUAUGAAAAUUAUGAAGGUGGCCUUGCCACAAAUACGAUGUCAACUACAUGAUCAUGCAAAGAGCAAUAUGACAAUGAUGAGGUAUAUCAUAAUAAACGGAAUGGUUGAAAGUUGCAUGGCAAUAUAUCUCGGAAUGGCUAUGGAAAUGCCAUAAUAGGUAGGUAUGGUGGAUGUUUUGAGGAAGGUAAAUAAUGGGUGCAUGAUACCGGCGUAAGUUGUGCGGUAUAAUAGAGGCUAGCAAAGUGAAGGAUGAGUGUGCGUAUAUCCAUGGACUCACAUUAGUCAUAAAGAACUCAUAUACUUAUUGCAAAAGUCUACUUGCCCUCAAAGCAAAGUACUACUACGCAUGCUCCUAGGGGAAGGGUUGGUAGGAGUUAACCAUCGCGCAAUCCCGACCUCCACUCAUAAGGAAGGCAAUUAAAAGAGCACCUCAUGCAACAAAUUUGUCACACAACUUUUACCAUAUGUGCAUGCUACGGGACUUGCCAACUUCAACACAAGUAUUUCUCAAUUUCAUAAUUACCCACUAGAAUGACUCUAACAUUACUACCUCUAUAUCUCAAAACAAUUAUCAAGCAUCAAAUUGAUCAUAGCAUCCAAUUCACUUCCUAUGAUAGUUUUUAUUAUACCCAACUUGGAUGCCUACCAUUCUAGGACCAAUUUUAUAAGCAUAGCAAAUACCAUAAUGUUCUAAAAGACUCUCAAAAUAAUAUAAGUGAAGCAUGAGAGACUAGAAAUUUCUUCAAAAUUAAGCCACCGCCGUGCUCUAAAAGAUAUAAGUGAAGCACUAGAGCAAAAACUAUCAAGCUCAAAAGAUAUAAGUGAAGCACAUAGAGUAUUCUAGCAAAUUCUAAUCAAGUAUGCUUCUCCCAAAAGGUGUGUACAGCAAGGAUGAUCGUGGUAAACUAAAAAGCAAAUACUAAUAUAAUACACGACGCUCCAAGCAAAACACAUAUAAUGUGGCGAAUAAAAAUAUAGUUCCAAGUAAAGUUACCAAUGAACGAAGACGAAAGAGGGGAUGCCUUCCCGGGGCAUCCCCAAGCUUAGGCUUUUAGCUAUCCUUGAAUAUAUUAGGGUGUCAUGGCAUCCCCAAGCUUAGGCUCUUGCCACUCCUUAUUCCAUAGUCCAUCAAUGCUUUACCCAAAACUUGAAAACUUCACAACACAAAACUCAACAGGAAAUCUUAUAAGCUCCGUUAGUGAAAGGAAAACAAAAUCACCACAUAAGGUACUGUAAUGAACUCAUUCUUUAUUUAUUUUGGUGUUAAACCUACUGUAUUCCAAGUUCUCUAUGGUUCAUACCACUUAAUACUAGCCAUAGAUGCAUCAAAAUAAGCAAACAACACACGUAAAACAGAAUCUGUCAAAAAUAGAACAGUCUGUAGCAAUCUGUAACUAACGCAAACUUAUGGAACUUUAAAAAUCCUACCAAAAUAGGAAGUCCUGGACAAUUUAUGUAUUGAUCAGCAGCAAAAAUAAUCAAUGCAAAAUCAUGUUUCUGUGAUUUAACAAAACUAAUUUCGUGCGUGCGAAGUUUGUGUUUUUCAGCAGAAUCAAAUCAACUAUCAUCAUAGGUUGUCCUAUAGGUUCUACUUGGCACAAACACUAAUUAAGAGAUAAAAACACAUCUAAACAGAAGGUAGAUGAAAAAUUUAUUACUAAACAGGAACAAAAACAAAAAACACAAAUAAAAUUGGGUUGCCUCCCAACUAGCGCUAUCGUUUGACGCCCCUAGCUAGGCAUAAAAGCGAAGAUAGAUCUAAGUAGUGCCAUCUUUGGCACUCAAAUCAUAAGUAGCUCGCAUGAUAGAUUCAUAAGGUAAUUUGACUUUCUUUCUUGGAAAGUGCUCCAUGCCUUUCCUUAAUGGAAAUUGGAAUCUAAUAUUCCCUUCCUUCAUAUCAAUAAUCGCGCCAAUCAUUCUAAGGAAAGGUCUACCAAGAAUAAUAGGGCAAAAAAGAUUGCAAUCUAUAUCAAGAACGAUAAAAUCUAUGGGCACCAAAUUUCUAUUUCAACAAUGAGAACAUCAUUGACCCUUCCCAUUGGCUUUUUAAUGGUGGAAUCCGCAAGGUGCAAAUUUAAAGAGCAAUCAUCAAGAUCAUGGAAACCUAGAAUAUCACAUAAAGUUUUCAUAAUCAUGGAAACACUAGCACCCAAAUCACACAAAGCAAAACACUCAUGAUCUUUAAUUCUAAUUUUUGUAGUAGGUUCCCACUCAUCAUUAAGUUUUCUAGGUAUAGAAACUUCCAAAUUAAGUUUUUCAUCAAAAGAUUGCAUCAAGGCAUCAACAAUAUGUUUGGUAAAAGCUUUAUUUUGACUAUAAGCAUGAGGAGAAUUAACAACGGAUUGCAACAAGGAAACACAACCUUCUAAAGAACAAUUGUCAUAAUCAAAUUCCUUGAAAUCCGAGAUAGUGGGUUCAAUGCUAUUUAAAGUCAUGACCUCUCCAAUCCUACUUUUACAAAAUUUAGCAUCAAGAUCUAAAAACUCUGAAUUCUUGGGACGCCUUCUAACUAAAGUUGACUCAUCUCCAGUCCCAUUAUUAUCAAGAUUCAUAUUGCAAAACAAAGAUCUAAUAGGAGACACAUCAAUAACUUUAAGAUCUCCAUCAUUAUUUUCAUCUAACUUUUCUGGUUUGGCAGCCAUCUUAUUGACUAAGGUAGCUUGCUUAUCAAAAAUUUGGGCUAUAGCAUUCUCAAGCCAGGUAAUUUGAGAGUUCACACCAUAAAAUUCCUUAUUCAUAUCAUCGAGCUCCUUAUUCAUAAACCCCAAAAAACCUUUUUUUUCUUUAAGCUCUUUUCUGAAGAAAUUAUUAUGCUCAAAUUGCAAAGUCAUAAAGCUUCUAAUAUUUGAUUCAAUCUCUCCCAACCUUCUAAGAAGGAGGUCGGUACUCUUAGGCAAGGCCAUAAGUACAAACAGGCACACAAGCAAACAGAAAAAGGCAAGCGAAAAAGAGAGGAGAAGAUUGGGAAAGAGAGGGCGAAUAAAACGACAAGGGUGAAGUGGGGGAGAGGAAAACGAGAGGCGAAUGACAAAUAAUGUAAAUGCGAGGGAGAUGAGUUUGUGAUGGGUACUUGGUAUGUCUUGACUUGAGUGAAGACCUCCCCGGCAACGGCGCCAGAAAUCCUUCUUGCUACGUCUUGAGCUUGGGUUGGUUUUCCUUGAAGAGGAAAGGGUGAUGCAACAAUAGUAGCGUAAGUAUUUCCCUCAGUUUUUGAGAACCAAGGUAUCAAUCCAGUAUGAGGCUCCUCAAAAGUCCCACGCACCUACACAAACAAACAAAGAACUCGCAACCAACACAAUAAAGGGGUUGUCAAUCCCUUCACGACCACUUGCGAAAGUGAGAUCUGAUAAAGAUAGUAUGAUAAGAUAAAUAUAUUUUUGGUAUUUUAUAAUAUAGAUGCAAAAAGUAAAGAUGCAAAUAAAAGUAGAUUGAAAGCUUAUAUGAUAAAAGAUAGACCCGGGGGCCAUAGGUUUCACUAGUGGCUUCUCUCAAGAUAGCAUAAGUAUUACGGUGGGUGAACAAAUUACUAUCGAGCAAUUGAUAGAAAAGUGAAUAAUUAUGAGAUUAUCUAGGCAUGACCUUGUAUAUAGGCAUCACGUCCAUGACAAGUAGACCGACUCCUGCCUGCAUCUACUACUAUUACUCCACACAUCGACCGCUAUCCAACAUGCAUCUAGAGUAUUAAGUUCAUAAUAACAGAGUAACGCAUUAAGAAAGAUGACAUGAUGUAGAGGGAUAAACUCAAGCAAUAUGAUAUAAACCCCAUCUUUUUAUCCUCAAUGGCAACAAUACAAUACGUGCCUUGCAACCCUUUCUGUCACUGGGUAAGGACACCGCAAGAUUGAACCCAAAUCUAAGCACUUCUCCCAUGGCAAGAAAGAUCAAUCUAGUAGGCCAAACCAAACUGAUAACUCAAAGAGACUUGCGAAGAUAACUCAAUCAUACAUAAAAGAAUUCAGAGGAGAUUCAAAUAAUUCUCAUAGAUAAACUUGAUCAUAAACCCACAAUUCAUCGGAGCUCGACAAACACACCGCAAAAAGAGUUUACACCGAAUAGAUCUCCACAAGAGAGGGGGAGAACAUGGUAUUGAGAUCCAAAAGGAGAGAAGAAGCCAUCUAGCUAAUAACUAUAAACCCGAAAGUCUGUGGUAAACUACUCACAACUCAUCGGAGGGGCUAUGGUGUUGAUGUAGAAGCCCUCCAUGGUCUAUUCCCCCUCCGGCGAAGCACCGGCGAAGGCUCCAAGAUGGGAUCUCGCGGAUACAGAAGGUUACAGCGGUGGAAAUUGUUUUUCGUUGGCUCCCUGGAUGUUUUCGGGGUACAUAGGUAUAUAUAGGAGGAAGAAGUACGUCGGUGGCCGCUCGAGGGGCCCAGGAGACAGGGGGCGCGCCCAGGAGGGGUGGGUGCGCCCUCCUAUCUCAUGGCCGCCUCGUUUGCUUCUUGACUUGCACUCCAAGUUCUCUGGAUCACGUUCAUUCCAAAAAUCACGCUCCCGAAGGUUUCAUUCUCUUUGGACUCCGUUUGAUAUUCCUUUUCUUCGAAAUACUAAAAUAGGCAAAAAUCAGCAAUACGGGGUGGGCCUCCGGUUAGUAGGUUAGUCCCAAAAAUGAUAUAAAUGUGUAAAAUAAAGCCCAUAAACAUCCAAAAGGGGUAAUAUAAUAGCAUCAAACAAUCAAAAAUUAUAGAUACGUUGGAGACGUACCAACUUCCUGCCCGCGUUCUUUGACGUCAUGGUGCAUCUGUGUGUCCACGUCAUGGACGACCUCAUCGACCUCGGGUCGACAUUCGUUCAUAGCAUGAUGUCGUUCGAGAGGAUGAAUGGGGUCAUCAAAGGAUUCGUUCAUAACAUGUCCCAUCCCGAUGGGAGCAUCGUCCAGGGGUAUCUGACGCAUGAGUGGAUCUCCUUUUGCGAGAAUUGUAUAGGCACCGGAGACCCUGUUGUUGGUUUGCCCGUCAAGAAGCACGAUGGGAGGCUCGAAGGAGAAGGUGACAACAAUAGCCGGAGGGAAUUGCACGUGGACUACUCGGAUUGACGGAACGACUUUGACAGGGCUAACUUAGUAGUGCUACAACACCUACAUGUGGUAGAUGAUUAUGUGGCAUGGCACAAAGAAAGCAUCGCAAAGAAGUACCGUGAUAAGGGGAUGCUCAAGACGGACGACGAAGUUACUGUAGAGCACAAUGCUACAUUCUUGCGUUGGUUCAAAGAGCAAGUUCUUAAAAAUCCCCCGGAAGAGGUCAGUUUGGAUGGAUUGCUCAUACACACCUUAGCACAUGGCCCAACGCCCAAAACCACGACCUAUCAGUCAUACGAUAUCAACGGGUACAUGUUCUACACGGAGGCCAAAGACAUGGACAGUGAUUACCAGAACUCCGGCGUGACAAUUGAAUGUGUGACCGAUGCCAACGGCACAACUGGAAGAUUCUACGGAAGGGUCGAAGAGAUCUGGGAGCUUGACUAUGCUGGAAUGCUUGAUGCGACGAUGUUUCGUAUCAGAUGGGCUAAGGACGUCGUAAGAGAAAAUAAGUAUUUCACUACCAUGUGUAUACCCGACACGAAGAGCACUCCCGUGAACAUUAACGUCAUUGCCAAAAAUGAGGCAUGAGUACACGCUAAGCAUGUGACACAAUGCUUCUUCAUAACCGACCCGGCCAAUCCCAGCCGCUUUGUCGUGAGGAGAGGCAAAAGGAGCAUGGCUGAAGUCUCUUCUUCGUCUCGAGGCGCCCAGUAUCACACCAAUGCCACCUUCUCAAGAAGGUAUGAACACCACCCCACCUACCAAAUUACCUACACCUGUCGUGGCGGGUGAUAGCAGACAACGCAAGGGAGAGCCUCCAUUAGUGCCAGAUGAUGUCGCCCCCAUUGUCGAAGAAGCAAAUGUUGAUGAUGACAUGGAGGAGGAUGAUGAUGACCCAGACAAGUAUUUCAAUACCGCCUAUGAUGAUGGAGGAUUGAUGGCUCAGGAGGACGAAGACUCGGGCUAUAAUCAUGGAGACGAUGACUUGAUGCUGCCUGAUUUGCCAGAGCCGGAAUGUCCUAAGGCAGAAUGCAAAAAGUCUCUCUUCAAGCGAUCCUCACAGGAGACGCCUCCAGAUUCCGCCUCUACCCAGCAACAACCCGAGGGACAUCCACUGAUUAGCCCAAUGACACUAGGGGGUGGUUAGGGAAGGUAUGGUGGGCUCACUACCGCCACUCACCAAGAAGAAAACGAGGAGACCCGACAGGAAAGGCCCUAAAGGCGCCAGAGUUGCUUCAAGUAGCCAACCGCCUCUGAAGCCUCGGGUGGUAGACAGAAUACCCGUCGAAGGUGCGAAUCGUUUCCAUGUCACCGGCGAACCGAUCCUACCUACGAAAGCGCUAGAGCACAUACUGAACAAUGAUCUAGGAGAUUCCAUGAAGAUCUGCCGGCCAGAGAGAAAAGUCUUCUCAUCUUGGAAAAACCAGGAUACCCGCUUUACGCAGCUCAGGUGCCGGGUGGGAAGUUGUACGUUGAGAGAUGGCCCGCGGAUAAGUUCAUCCUAUGAUUUGACUACAUCUACGACAUGUUCCACAUGACCAAGCUAGAUUUCUAGUUCAUCCGCAUGUAUUCGCCGUAUCUCAACUACUUCAUCAGGAUCGAGAACAUAAAAUAUUUGCAUCGCGGACCCAUACUAUAUGCACGAGAGCUUCUUCGAAGUAUGCAAAGAGCACCGUGACUAUGCGAGCAGGUACAUCACGGACUUCAUGAUUGCUAAUAAGGACAAGGAAGCGAUGCUCCUGCCUUAUCAUCCCACGUAAGUCAUCCACGCAUAUCCUUUCAUAAGUGUGAAUCAUUCCUUUGCAAUCAUGGAGGCUAAUUUGAGGUGUACUUCAUUUGCGCAGUGGGGGGAGUGUCCUCAUCGUUUUGUACUCAGAAUACUCCCAUGCUAUGUACUUGGAAUCAUCGAACAACAUCAAGAAAAAGGAUUACAAGCACAUAAAGAGUGUUCUCGAUAGGGCCCUAUUAACCUUCAGCCUAUCUGGUGGAUAUAUCAAGCUGAAAAAGUACAGGAAGAACGGGGUGGUUUUCGGCCAUAAGACUGACUUCUGCUGCAUCUAGCAACCGCACACCAGUAAGGCUAAUGGAUUCUACCUCAUGCAUCACCUGCUCGAGUACAGAAGGGAUAAUCAACGCCUUCGCAUGUCAGCUACUACCAACAAUGACAAGAUUGUCAACUGGGCCACAAGCAUAGGAAAGACACCGGAUCAUCGAAUCCGAGUUGAGUUUUAUCAUGUACAGUGUGAACUUGCCCGAGUGAUCAUGAAGAAGGUCCUCGAACCAAUAGGGAUAUUCUACCAUGGGCCAAUCACGCAGGAUGAUGUCCGAGCACUGCUUGACGCUUAGUGUCUGGACCUGAAGCCUUUCAAGAAGCUUGGGUGCUUCCUCCCUGACUAUGAAGAUUGGAACGCCGACAUGGAGGACUAAUUGUCGAUGACAAUGUGUCACUACUGUCUUUCUACCGCAAAACUUUGAAUUUAUGCACGGCGAAACUACGUGAUGUAAUUAAAUCGUGGUCCUGAGCUAGCGUAGAUCGCUCUAGUUAAUUAGUUUGGGUAUGAGGAACUUCGUCAUUUAUGUUUACUAUAGCUUGCUUGUAUUUUUCUAAUUAUGCCUCUUUGUUUCCUUAAGUACAUUAUGUUGCAUAUUAUCGUUCAAUUCAUCAACUGAUGAUGCAGGUACAUAGAUCAGAGAUGGUGAAGGACUGCUACACCGUGUUCGUCUGGAGGGUUCCAGGAGUCUACGACCACUGGCCAGACGCUCAGGCCUAGGUGGACAACUACCCGGGUGCUAGCCACAAAGGGUUUGACAGCAAAGCUGAAGCAAAGUAGUUACUUGACGUGGACGCUCCGGCAAGAGCGAGGGCGGGACGCCGGUGCCUCAAGUACUACAUAGUCGCGGUCUUGCUCAUGCUGAUCGCUCUUCUCUUCUACAUCAUGAUUUAGAUAGAGAUGAUGAAACUUGUGCGUGUGACAUGACCAUGCAGUUGCACUUAUUCGAGACAUGACAUGACUUGUGUAUCGCUAUUUUUGAGAUGUGAUGAUAUUUUUGUUGAAUGAUGAUGAUGAUGACGGUAUGACGAGACUAUUGUAUGUGUAUGAUAUGAUGAGAAUAGUGUAUGUUUAUUGUGAUCUGAUGAAACUACUGUAUAAAGCCUAUACAAAUACAUCACAAAUACGUAGAGGAGGUAUGAGUCUAUGAAAGCAGGAGUAUUAGCAGUAGCGCUUGACUUUCUACAGCGAGAUAGUUAGCAGUAGCACUGGUUAGUGCAGCGCUACUGGUAACCAUACUUUGCAGCAGCACUGCACCAACCAGUGCUACUACUACAACUUAGCUGUAGCGUGUUAGCAGUAGCGCUGGACCUAGCGCUACUGAUAUAUGUAUUUCAAGCGCUACUACUGGGUUUUCCCUAGUUGUGUUAGCAAGGUUAUCUCUAGUCAUGAAUUUGUUGUGUGAGAGAAGCCAUAGAAAAACUUGCACCCUAGAGGAACCACAAUAGACCAAACAGAGGGUAUGUAUAUAUCCCCUAAAGUUUAUUAUACUAUACAAAGAUCUAGUGGUGUAUUUUCCCUUGGAAUCAUGUUGCCAGACAAGGUCAUCUUCAUCGCAUAGGAAGUUGGUACUCAAAAUGAUUUGCUCAUGGUGUUGGAAGUAUGCCCUAGAGGCUAAUUUAGAGUUAAUAUUCUAUGCCAUAACUGCUAUGAUCCUUGAAUAUGCGAUUCAGUGGAAAACUCAUAUGCACGUAUAUAAUGAUAAAUGGUAAAAUAAGAUUCCUAGUCACGCCUCUAAGACUUGCUCAAGUGUUGUUGGUGAUCACGUUUCCUAGAUCUUGAGAUAUUGUUAAGUGUGUAAGGAUAUUCUCAAAACAAUCUUGAGGGUAUGCCGUAAGAAGAACGAUCAUAUUGAAUCGACCCAAACUUGUUUGUUAUACUUUGAGAUAAUAUAGUCAUAAGUCAAUUGCUAUAACUCGGACUGUUAACUUGCGAUUUUAGUUCCCUAGACCAUGAGAGUAUCGUAGUCACUUCUUAUCGUACGAUGAGCUUUGGGGUUGCUCAAACGUCAUCAGUAAUUUGGUGAUCAUAAUGACAACUUACAGGUUCAUCAGAAAGUAUGACAAGUGAAAUGAUAGCUCAAGAGUGGAAUUUGCUCCGCUGACGAUGGAGAGAUAUUCUUAGGUCCCUCUCGAUGUAACAACAUCCAUCAUCGUCUGGCCAAACACAUGUCACUUCCUCACGGGGAUGCCGGAACACGAUAAGAAGAAGGAAGAACAAAACCGGCAAUGUGGAGACCGGUAUAGUGAGCAUGUGUAUGACUCAAGAGUAUAACAAUAUAUCUCUCGGGUUUUGUAAAGUAUAGAGAAGCAAAGGAAACAUCGUGCGAUAACCAAAGGUUCAAUUCAAUGUCAUUCGUGUAAUCAUAGGGAUCGAUAUGGACGUCCACGGUUCCGCUAUCAGUCAUUGAACAAAGGGGUUUCAUUAAUGUCUAUGGUUUACGGAACCUAUAGGGUCACAAGCUUAAGGUAAUCACGAUCCGAUGAGUGUUAGUAGGACAAGAGUAUCGGGGAUUUAAUUGUGAAAUAGUUUCUUUAAUAUCCGGAAUAGUUCCUAGAGGAACCGGAAGCAUUUCGGGGUCAUCGGAAGAGUUUCAGAGUUUAUUGGGCAAUACCGGUAUUACUCAUAUAUAAUAUGUAGGUGGAAAAUGUUCCUACUGAUGUUAAAUUAUAUAUAAAAGGCUCUAGUAAUUUUUGGAGGGCUUUAUAAUUAUUUAAAUAUCAACGNNNNNNNNNNNNNNNNNNNNNNNNNNNNNNNNNNNNNNNNNNNNNNNNNNNNNNNNNNNNNNNNNNNNNNNNNNNNNNNNNNNNNNNNNNNNNNNNNNNNNNNNNNNNNNNNNNNNNNNNNNNNNNNNNNNNNNNNNNNNNNNNNNNNNNNNNNNNNNNNNNNNNNNNNNNNNNNNNNNNNNNNNNNNNNNNNNNNNNNNNNNNNNNNNNNNNNNNNNNNNNNNNNNNNNNNNNNNNNGGAACCCAACUCCUCCUUCCCUUGGUCGGCUCCCCAAGGAGGCUUUCCCUCCUUGCUGGCUGCCCUUCUCUCUCCCCCACUAGUGGAGGUAUUGCCCCUUUUCUUCAUACAAGUUUUACCUGCCUCCCUAGCCCAAUACUACUAGUUCUAAUUCAGAUAAUUAGAGCUAGAUCUAGUUCCUCUAAUCCUUAUAAUUAGAAGCCUUGAGUGGCUCUAAUCUUCUCUAAUUCUCUGGCGGCAAUUAGUUCUGGACGGUGAAGCGCUGCCGGAUCGUGAAGGUCGUAUGCUUGCAAACUGUAGAGGGGUCGUGCUUUCGGUCUUCAGUUCGAGGCGGUUCGCGGGAUCGUUCAUUAAUAGUUCGAGGGACUCCAAGUACAAUCUACACCGACUCGUCUGGUUCCGCUGCAUACUUGGAGUUGGUAAUGAUCAUGAUUCAAUUCCCUAAUGCACCUUCAUAUUGUUCCCGGGUGUCGGAAGGCCAAUUUGUUUUAUACUACGUUCCCCAACACAAGGCACAACUUUCCAUCAUGACAGCGUGAAGACCCACCCCUCCCCCACCCACCCACCCCCCGUGCGCGAAGUCAACCUGAUGGUAUUUUUAUCCUAGGCAUGUACUAGGGUCACACCAUGUUGAUGACAAAUUAAAGGGGCCAGAAUUGUACUGAUAAUGCAGAUGUGCCAAAGCAUAUAUCUUCCCAAAAUCCGAUUAUCCUACCAUCUCAAACCACCCAUGUGUAGCCUUGUUUAAGUGAUUUGGCAGCCCACAUGACUCCUUGUCAAAAUUUAGAGGGGUUUUGUGUGGUACAAGAAAACAUAUUAGGCGUGUUCCUUAUGUACUUAACAUCUACUAUUCAUCUCCAAUUUCCCCCCUCAUCUUUUAUUUAUCUCUUGACCCAGCUUCCAAGGAGGCAGAGAUUUACAUGUCUGAUGUUUGGCACUCCUAAUCGUCCAUAUUUUUAUUUCAUACAAACUAAGUUCCAAUUGGAAAUGUAUAAUUUUCUAUUUCCUUCAAAGUCACUCCAAAGGCACUGAGCUAGUUGGCUAUUUAUUAGCUUCGAAGCCCACUUGGGGAACUUUUUGGGCCAUCUUAUCUGACAAAUAGACCCAACGACAUUGUCAGAUCAAACUCCGGAUUAAUCCUACAUGACCACAUUAUAGAUCAACCCUACUAUAGGUCCACUAUCGAGUCACGGGCUUGCAGCACAACCUCAAUCAAAAGUGCUUUAGCUUGUUGUACCUUGUUACAGCGCCGCCGUCUCAGCACCUUCCGGAAAACCUGCAGCAACAUCUCAAAAAUAUUUGUUUUGAAAGUUGUCGAUAGAACUUGAAGAGCUUGCCAACAAAGAGGACCACACGAGUCCUAGUAUCAGGUGACACUUAGUGUUUAAUGGAUCCGAAUAGCAAUUAGUGUUUAGUGGGUCCGACAAAAUAAUAGCUUUUAUUAAAAAUAUAUAUUAAAUGUAUGUAUCUACCGUAUAAUAAAUAAAUAGGACAUCAAAUGAGCUCUGAAUUAGAUGAAAUUUUAGGUGUAGCCUCUCUAGGCUAUAAUGAGACCACACAGAAAAUAAUCAAACCAUUUGGAGAAUUUUUAAUUUUUGUUUGAAAUUAAAUUACAAAAAUGACAUAAAUGUGAUUUGAACUAGGGCUGUGUGCAAGACUUGUGCAAAAAUUGUGAAAUAUUUUCUGGGGCUUUCAAAUAUUAUACAAAGUCCAUGUGAAAAGUUGGGACUCUUAUCUUAAUGUACAAGGACAAAAGGGAAAAUGGUUUUGGUAAAACCCAAAUAAAUUAAACGGUAAAAUAAUUUGCUUUUAUGUGUUUGAUAUUUUUGUUAUGCGUGUUGAGAAUAAUGCAUAGUGAAAUGAUGGCAUCAUGUCAUGAUGAUGCAAAAUAAAAUAACAGACAUUUAUUUUAGUUAAGGAAUUAGUCUAUUCUAUUACAACCAUCUAAAAAUUUCUCUAUGGAUGGCGCAUUAGCUGCAAAAGUACCCUUCUACUCCCGAGCUCAAAUAGCUCGGGAUGAACAGUAAAUUCUGAAACCAAAAAAAAUCUCAAAGUUUUUUGGUGCAAACUUUCACAAAUGUUCUCAGUGCAUGGAAAUUUUCAGCUCGAAACAACACUUGUAGAACGCGUGGCAAAAGAAAAAAAAAUCAGCACCCCAAAAUGCUUUCAAAAAUAUCAUUUUUGGAGAUUCGAUUUUGUUUUUUACCACGACUUCUAGGAUUGUUGUUUUAUAAUAAUUUUUUGCAAGCACAUUUGUCAAAGUUUGCACUAAAAAAACAGUUUUUUUAUUUUUUUUGUACUAUUUUUUUGAUUUUACUGUUUAUCAGGGUGCAUUUGAGCUCGGGUGUAGAUACUUCGUGUCCCAUUAGCUGAGAAAAUAACUAGCCCUCUUCUAGCGCAACAAAACUCAAUCUUCCUUUCAUGUACGUGCAUGACUUUAAUGUAAAACUGGUAACUCCUUCAAGGUUGACUAUGAAUCGACUCCUACGCACGGUAGCUCGUGGGAGCGGGCAACACAUGCUCGAAGGCGCUCCUAUAGGUCCAAGGUUGCCAGAAUCAUGAUUUAGAAUCGGAUAGGAACUCCGAUGGUAGGAUUGUAAAUCAUAGAAGCUGAACUAUCAUCAUCGUAGAAACGUAGAUUCCAUGAACUAGAAUCGCAAAAUUGGAUGGGUUAAUUUGGAUCGUAAAAUCGUAUAAUAGAAUCGCGAUUCUCACAACCUUGGAUAGGUCUACUGGCUACCGCAUGCAAGCGCAUUUUUCUUAGACAAACUCUAGCAAAGUAGUCAUAUUUGGAGCCUCUAUAUCCAUAGCGCGCUCCAUAUGGAUUAUGGAGGUCACCAAGGAAAAUCGCACAAAGUCAGAAUCCUCAUAUUUGUUGCCUCUAUAACCAUGGGACCCACUCAUCUAUGGGACAUUCCUUUUUUCCCAAGCUUCUUGCAAUCCCACGUGAGGUGGGGAGCACCUAAAGUUUCCUUCCCAUCACACGGAACGAGAGGUAAUUUUCAUAUGGAGCACGCUCCAAAAGGCAGCCCCGAGACACCAUAUAUGACAUGCUAGAUAUGGAGGGUACUCCAUAAAAUAUAAAUGAUCCCUGACAAGAUGGAAACUUUGCCAGAGGGCCUUUUUGACCAAAGUUUCCAUAAUAGAGAUUAUUAUGGCGAUCGGUCAUAUAUAGCCACUCUCAUAGAAUUUCUCUUAAAGGUGCCACGUGAGUCUCUCACGUUCUGUGGCAUGUAGAACUGGUAACCGACAUGUUAGGCUACACAUGUUUUCCCACUGCACAAUGUGCUUCAGUUGUCUGUCACAUGGUGGUGCUGGAUUGUGGGUUAUGCGGUCUACCCUUAAAUUCACCAUAUUUGUGGUACCGCUAACAAUUGCAUAUUAAGCCGAGAGGGUAGGAACCUAUUUAUGGACUAUAUUUGCGCCACAAAAGUACGGAUGCCAUGAGUUAUGUCAUGGAUCAUGAUUAAACACGACAGUUCUAUGAGUCUAAUAUUAUAGUCUCUAGCAUACCUGUGCGAGUUAUGUUCAUGAUCACUUUGCGUAUAUGAGAUUAAGUUCCAAUCCAAGCAUGUGGGUCAACACCUUGCAGAACUAACCCUGCAAAACGAACCCAACUCUUCCACCAUGAUUGUAAACGUAUAUACAUAUUAAUUUCACUAGAGUCAACCUCAAGUAAUUCCUCUAUUGUAUUCCAGCACAGUUCUCCUCGACACCUCCAGUAUUGCUUCCACAAAUAAAAUUACAUCUACAUCGGCACCUCAAGUAUUACUUGUCGAGUAUAAUUUUGCAUCUAUUAUUCUCCAUCAUGUACAUCAAUAAUAUGAACAAUCCAAAUCGAGUUUAAUAAAUAAUAACCAUGUUGAAUCAAUGUUGGAAGUCACAAAAAUACCCCACAAAGGAUGCUGUUUUUCUAGUCUUUCUUCGCAUGAUAGUUUACAAAAUUAUAUAAGUUUGAAAUUUCAAAAUAAUUUUGAAAGUUGAAAGUGUUUUAAAAGAAAAUAAAAUGAAAGUCAAGAUUUCUGAAAUUUAUUUUUGAAAGUACAAAUUUGGAAUGCAAUUUUUUUGAAAUUUCAAAGAUCCGGAGCAGACACACCGUCCACGAUCUAGCUCACAUUGUUGUGGUCGUCCUCCUCUUGCACGCAGCUCCAACAAGUAAUCGCUCAUGUAGUCACGUCCAUGUUGGUCAUGCACUAGCUCGCAUGUGUCGCCGCGUCAUCAGGGAAAGUAUCCCGCAACAACGAUGGCCACCAGACCAUAUCCCACACCAAUUUGACCACAUACCGCAUGCGACGCCAUGAAAAAACCAUGGCACCCAUGGGUUUUGCCUCACAGCGUCCUACGGCGAUGGGAAGGAGGAGAAGCAGUGGGACGGGUGAAUUGCUAGGUUGGGGCGCCAAAUCAAUGCCUCUUUGAUACUCAAAACGCCGGGAUAGAAAAAAAAUCAAGGAUUGUAGUGACAUGUCAUCUUGAAUCCCGCCGAAUUAGAAAACUAGGAGAAUUCGGAUAAAAUAGUGUUUGAUGCCACCAUAAAAGCAAAGGAAAUAUACCAAGAGAUUUUAGUGGAUGCGUAUUUUUCUCCAAAAUAAAGUGCUAAUGAAUUCUAAGGAAAAUUACUACGCAUUUCAAUCCUAUGAAUCGAGUAGCCAACAGAGAAAAAAAAUCCUAUAAAAUUCUUUGAAUGAAAGCACUUGCCCUCUCGUAUGCUUGGUCUAGUUACGUUCGUUGUCGUCACAUGCCGACACUUUCGAUCUGCAUCUCCUUAAGGCUUAAGCAAACAAUACCAUUUUUGCAAGUGAAAAAAAGGAUCACAUGUUUUUGGGGGAAUCAUCUUCUUCCCGGACGAGGACGAAUGAGGUGGGACGUGGAGACCGGGACGCGCCCGCUGCCUUCCGAGGCCCGGCUCCUCUAGUCGGCAGCCACCUGCCGACCAACUCAUGCAAGCACACGUAGCGCCCCUGCCACGGCGAUUCGUCCAUCUGACCACCCCUCAUUAUGGGCUAGUCGGCAGUCACCUGCCCAUCCACUCACGAGAGAACACGUCGUGCUUCAUCUAUCCUCUGACGGCCUAUAAAUAGUGCCUCGUGGAGCACCUGCUUCACAGUUCACACAACACCACCUGCUCCAAGUAAACACUAAACAGCAGCACUAGUAGAUUUCCCGAGUGACAAGUUUGGCGCAGGAUGGAGCACCAGGGACACGGCACCGGCGAGAAGAAGAGCAUCAUGAGCAAGAUCAAGGAGAAGCUCUCCAGCAGCCACGGUGAUCACCAGCAGGCCGCUGCCACCCACGGGCAGCAGGGACACACCACUACGGCCAUCGAUGGUGCCUACGGGCAGCACGGACACACCGGAGCCACCGGCACUGGGAUGCACGGCGCCGACACGGGCGAGCAGAAGAGCGUCGCGGAGAACAUCAAUGACAAUCUCCCUGUCGGCCAUGGGGACCACCAGCAGACUGGUGGCACCGACGGGCAACAGGGACACACCGCCGCGGCGACGCAUGGUGCCUCAGCCAUCGGCGGCACCUAUGGCCAGCAGGGUAACACCGGUAUGGGGACACUUGGCGCCCCGGCCGCUGAUGGUGCGUACGGGCAGCAGGGACACACUGGGGCCACCGGCACGGCGAUGCACGGCGGCGGCACGGGCGAGAAGAAGGGCGUCAUGGAGAACAUCAAUGACAAGCUCCAUGGUGGUCAUGAGGACCACCAGCAGACUAGUGGCACCUACGGGCAGGAGGGACACACUGAUGCGGCGACGCAUGGCGCCUCAGCCACCAGCGGCACCUAUGGGCAGCAGGAAAACACCGGUAUGGGGACACAUGGCGCCCCUGCCACUGAUGGUGCCUAAGGGCACCACGGACACACCGGGGCCAUCCGGACGGAGAUGCACGGCGCCAACACAUGCGAGAAGAAGGGCGUCAUGGAGAACAUCAAUGACAAGCUCCCUAGUGGCCAUGGGGACCACCAGCAGACUGGUGGCACCUACGGGCAACAGGGAUACACCAAUGCGGCGACGCAUGGCGCCUUACCCACUGGUGGCACCCAUGUGCAGCAAGGAAACACUGGUACGGGGACAUAUGGCGCCCCGGCCACCGAUGGUGCCUACAGGCAGCACGGACACACAGGGGCCACUGGCACGAGGAUGCACGACACCGACACCGGGGAGAAGAAGGGCAUCAUGGAGAACAUCAACGACAAGCUUCCUAGUGGCGACGAAGACCACCAGCACACCGCUGGCACUUACGGGCAGCAGGGACAAACAGGCACGACAAUGCAUGGUGCCUCAGCCACGGGCGACACCUAUGGCCAGCAGGGACACACCGAAAUGUCCGGCACGGGGACGCACGCAUCAGCCAGAAAAAGGACGUGAUGGAGGACAUCAAGGCCAAGCUCCCAGGUGGCCAUGAUGAUCGCCAUCAGACCGGUGACACCUAUGGGCAGCAUGGACACACCAACACUGCAAUACAUGUCACCCUUGCCACCGGCGACACCUAUGGGCGGCAGGGACACACCAGGAUAACCGACAUGGGAACAUACGGCACCGGCGAGAAGAAGGGCGCCAUGGAGAAGACCAAGGAGAAGCUCCCCAGUGGCCACGGUGACCACCAACAGACUGGUGGCACCUACGGGAGCCAGGAAGACACCGAAAUGACUGGAAUGGGGAUGCAUAGCACCAAGGCCACAGAUGGCACAGAUGGUCAGCAGGGACACACCGGAAUGACUGGGAUGGCGUCACACGACACCGACGAGACGAAGGGUGUCAUGGAGAACCUCAAGGGGUGUUAGACUAGGUAUAUUGUAGAUCUACGUGUUGUAACACAAUACAUGUACCUGUACGUUCUUUCUUAUAUAUACAUGACAGUCGUACCCGUUUAGGGUAUCGAGCAUUGUUCCAAACCCUAGCUUUGUCUAACAUGGUAUCAGACGACGCGUUCGAUCCGCGCCGUGCUUUCGCCUCCUCUGCCGCCGUCGCGUCGGCCUCCGCCGCCGUGCCGCCUCCGUCAACCCUGGCGAUGGACUCGCCGUUCAUGGCGUCCGCACCACUCGCCUGGGCCCGUCCGGGAUCGCAGCACCCGCCUGCGUCCCGAUCGCCCGCGCCCCGAUCGGGCGAGAUUCCAUCUGGCGAUCCAGCUGGUGCUCCUGUGCAGUCGAUGUACGCCGGGACUCAGCUCCCCCCUCGAUGCAUCUGGCGCUCGGACUACGUCGCGGCUGCCCUAUGUUGCGUCCCAGUUGCAUGCUGCGGCGCCUCCGUUGCAUGAUGCGUCGGCCGCCUCCGGUUCCCAUGCAACAUCGCUACACUCUGGGCCUGCAUUGCAUGCUGUGGCGCCCGCCUCCGGUUCCCAUGGUGCCCCCGUACAGAUGCCCUACGGUGGCCCAUAUCCAGCACCGUACGUCGCGCCGUCGCCGUCGCCGUACGUCGCGCCGGUGCCGUAUGAUUCGUCCUCCGCGGUGCCCUACGAGGUUCCGUAUGGAGCGCCCUAUGCUGCCCCGGUGCCGUACGUUGCGUCGCUGCAGCCCUACGGCGUACCUCCUACGGCGCCCUACGGUCAUCACCAACACUACCGUACACCUCCGUUGGCCGAUGCGCUGAUUUCGUACAGUGCUCCGCCGACGUACGACUCGUAGCUCUCCGCACCGGUGGCUGAACCAGGACCGUUCCACUUAGCUCUCUGCCGACAACUACCUCCUGUGGCGUGCUCAGGUGUUGCCGCUGCUGCGUAGUCACUACCUUGAGGGGUAUGUCGACGGUACACUGCCGUGUCCCCCGGCCAUGGUUCCGGUGCCCUCAGCCGCUGGUGUCUCCGUCAUGGUGUCCAACCCUGCUCAUCGUCGGUGGAUCGCUCAGGAUCAAGCUAUUCUUGGUGCCAUUCAGUCCUCGCUCACUCCCUCCGUGGCCGGCAUGGUGGUCUUUGCCGCGACGUCGAGGGAUGCAUGGGCCACGCUCGACUCCAGCUUCUCCUCGCAGUCGCUGGCCCGUUCCUCUGCCAUUCGUAAUCAGCUGGGCGAGGUCAAGAAAAAUGAUCUCUCCGUCACGGUCUUCUUCAACAAGGUCAAAAGUUUGGCUGAUACACUGUCGUCUAUUGGAAAGCCUCUCCGUGACGAGGAGUUUACUUCGUUCAUUCUCAAUGGACUUGAUGAGGACUACGACUCUCUUAUUGAAAAUAUCAAUGGACGUGACAUGCCGAUGCCGCCUCGCGACCUCUACGUGCGCCUCCUCAACACCGAACAACGCCUAGCUGCUCGCCGCUCCGUCGGCGUCUACACAGAGGGCCCUUCUGCGAACGCUGCACUUCGCGGGGGUGCCCGUGGUGCCAAGCAGAAGGCGCCGCCGUCCGUGGGCAAUCAGCCCCGUUCGUCGGCUCCACCUCCUCCGACGGCUGGUCGCAAGAGGUUGGCGCUGCGAGUCAUGCGGUGGUGACGUUGAGUGUCAACUCUGCAGCAUCGAGGGGCAUUUGGCGUCUCGCUGCCAUCGCCGCUUCAAACGCGACUUCCUUGGCAUUGGGAACAACGGGAAAGGCAAUGAGAAACAAGCUGCUCUCGCUACACAGGAGCCUGGGUUCACUCCUUCUUAUUCUGUGGAUCCGUCCUGGUACAUGGACACCGGUGCCACCAAUCAUCUGACGAGCCAGCUCGACAAGCUGGCUACUCGCCAGCACUACACUGGUCAUGACCAGGUCCGUACUGCCAGUGGAUCAAGUAUGCCCAUCUCACAUGUUGGUCAGGCAUCUCUUCUUUCACGUACCACUAAAACCUUGUGUCUCCUUGAUGUUCUUCGUGUUCCUUCAGUCACACGUAGUUUGCUCUCGGUUCCUAAAUUAACUCGUGACAACAAUGUGCUUGUUGAGUUUCACCCUUUUUAUUUUUUUGUUAAGGACCGGGACACGAGGGACGUUCUUCUUAGUGGUCGAGCUCGCCAUGGCCUAUAUGCUCUUGAUGUGCCGCCUGUUUCUGAAGUUUUCAGUGGUGUUCGGGUGUCGUCGUCGCAGUGGCAUUCUCGCCUCGGUCAUCCUGCCACUCCCAUUGUGUGACAUUUGCUUCAUCGCCAUAGUCUUCCAGUUGAGUCCAGUAAUAAGGAGUUUCUAGUGUGUGAUGCCUGUCAACAGGGCAAGAGUCAUCAGCUACCUUUCUCUGUAUCGAGUCGUGUUGUCAAGGCUCCUCUUGAACUUGUGUUUUCGGAUGUGUGGGGCUAUGCCCAAACUUCUGUUAGUGGUCACAACUAUUAUGUUAGUUUCAUUGAUGCCUUUAGUCGCUUUACUUGGAUUUAUCUCAUUAAGUGCAAAUCUGAUGUGUUUCAUGUUUUUAUGCAAUUUCAAGCCCAUGUUGAGAGGUUUCUUAAGUGCAAAAUUAUUCAUGUUCAGUCUGAUUGGGGGGGGGCGAAUAUCGCAACCUUAAUACUUUCUUCACGAAACUUGGCAUCUCGCAUCAUGUGUCUUGUCCUCAUACACACCAGCAGAACGGUGCAGCUGAGCGCAAGCACCGUCACAUAGUUGAAACUGGCUUAACACUGCUCGCACAUGCCUCUGUUCCAUUCCGGUUCUGGAGUGAUGCUUUUGUUACUGCUUGUUUUUUGAUCAACAGGCUACCCACACGACUUCUUCACAUGAAAUCUCCCCUAGAGGUUUUACUUCAUGAGACUCCAGAUUACUCUCUUCUCAAAGUGUUUGGUUGUGCGUGCUGGCCACAUCUUCGGCCGUACAACAAGCACAAACUCGAGUAUCGAUCUAAGAAGUGUGUGUUUCUCGGAUACAGUCCUCUUCACAAAGGUUAUAAGUGUCUCCACAUUCCGACGAAUCGUGUUUACAUUUCUCGUGAUGUUGUAUUCGAUGAGACUGUUUUUCCUUUUUCCACACUGUCACCUUCCACCGAUACCACCGCUACUGAGCUGCACUCCUUUCCAGUUUUGCCUGACCAAUUUGUAGAUGCUGCAUAUUCUCCUCUGUUGUUGCCUAACCAUGGUGCAGGAACUGGACGGGGUGCUCGCCUUGAGCUUCUUCAUGACGACGUGGUUGCUACGGCACCAACUGCAGUUUUGCCGCCGGACGGGUCGCUUGACUCUGCGCUUGAUGACGACCACCACGAUGAUUGCACGUGCAUGCCCCAUGCACGUGGAUCAGGUGGUGUGGCCACCUCACCUAGCCCGGCUGCUAGCCCGGCUGGGUCUCCAGUUCGGCCACCCGAGCCGGCUGCUACCGCAGUUCGGCCGCUCGAGCCGCCAACCUCCACGGCCUCUGCCCCGCGUGGGUCGUCCUCGCCUGGUCCGCCUUCACCGACCACUCCGGGCCCAACACCGCCGCGCCCGUCUUCGCCGGUCUCUCCGGCGCAUGCAGACCCUGUGGCAUCUCCUUCGGUAGAGUCUGUGGACUCGCCUACUGCUGUGGCUUCUCCAACACCUCCGCCGCCUGUCGUACUGCGCCCUCAUACGUGCAGCAAGAGUGGCAUUGUCAAGCCUGUCCAACGCACAGAUGGUACGGUCGCAUGGCUUGCGGCCUGUGUUGCUCGUGCUGAGGCCGAUCCUACGGUGGAACCGCGACAUUUUCAGGCAGCGCUUGGCAUUCCACACUGGCACGCUGCUAUGGAACAGGAGAUCCAUGCUCUUCGGAAGAAUAAUACUUGGCGUCUGGUUCCUCCUCCUUCCAGUGUCAAUGUUAUUGAUUCCAAAUGGGUGUUCAAGGUGAAGAAACAUGCUGACGGGUCCAUUGAGAGGUACACGGCACGACUGGUGGCCAAAGGAUUUAAACAAAGGUAUGGCCUUGAUUAUAAAGAUACGUUUAGUCCUGUUAUCAAGCCCACGACUAUUCGUGUUCUUCUUUCGCUGGCUGUUACUCGAGGAUGGUCGCUUCGUCAGCUCGAUGUCCAGAAUGCCUUCCUUCAUGGAGUUCUGGAAGAAGAGGUAUAUAUGCGUUAGCCCCCGGUUUUGUUGACCCUGCUCAGCCACAUCAUCUGUGUCGCCUCGACAAGGCUCUUUAUGAUCUGAAGCAGGCUCCUCGUGCGUGGCAUGCACGUCUUGGCGCUGCUCUUCGUGCACAUGGGUUUGUACCGUCUACAGCAGACACAUCUCUUUUCAUUCUUCAGCGACCUGAGGUGACUAUGUACAUUCUGGUCUAUGUUGAUGACAUCAUACUUGUCAGUUCAUCAGUCACUGCUGCAGAUCGGCUUGUGGCUUCUCUAGGGGCUGUUUUUGCUGUUAAGGAUCUUGGGAGACUGCACUAUUUUUUGGGUUUGGAGGUUCUUCAUUCUGACAGUGGCUUGACUCUCACUCAGCAGAAGUACUCUCAGGAUCUGUUGCGACGUGCAGGUCUGAUGCAGUGUAAACCUGCUACGACUCCUAUGUCCUCCACAGACAAAUUAUCAGCUUUUGAUGGGGACUUGCUCUCUUCUGAGGAUGCCACUGAGUACCGCAGCAUCGUUGGUGGACUGCAAUACUUGCUCGUCACUCGGCCAGAUAUUUCAUUUGCAGUUAACCGUGUGUGUCAAUACCUUCAUGCACCGCGUGAUCCUCAUUGGACGGCGGUUAAGCGCAUUUUGCGCUAUGUUCGACACACAGCUUCGUAUGGUCUCCAUUUGCAGCCUGCGGCUUCUGGUUUGAUCUCAGCCUUCUCUGAUGCUGAUUGGGCUGGUAGUCCCGAUGAUAGGCGAUCCACUGGGGGACAUGCUGUGUUCCUUGGUCCUAAUUUGAUCGCCUGGCAAGCUCGAAAGCAAGCUACCGUGUCUCGGAGUAGCACUGAAGCUGAGUACAAAGCAGUUGCUAAUGCCACAGCUGAGAUCAUAUGGGUUCAGUCAUUGCUUCGAGAGUUGAAGGUCUUUCAAGCCCAGCCGCCUGUUCUUUGGUGUGAUAACAUCGGUGCUACAUAUCUUUCAUCCAAUCCGGUAUUUCAUGCCCGAACGAAACACAUUGAAGUUGACUAUCAUUUUGUGAGAGAACGUGUUGCACAGAAGCUACUUCAAAUCAAGUUUGUUUCUUCUAAGGAUCAGCUUGCUGACAUUUUCACUAAACCCUUGUCCUUGCCCUCUUUUGAAGGAUGUCGACGCAAUCUUAACCUCAUGAAUGUUUCAGGACAUAGUUAAGAUUGAGGGAGGGUGUUAGACUAGGUAUAUUGUAGAUAUACGUGUUGUAACACAAUACAUGUACCUGUACGUUCUUUCUUAUAUACAUGACAGCCGUACCCGUUUAGGAUAUGGAGCAUUGUUCCAAACCCUAGCUUUGUCUAACAAGGGGAAGCUCCCCGGCGGCCAUGAUGACCACCAGCAGACUACUCGCACCAACGGGCACCAUGUUGGCACGGGGACGCAUGACAACCCUGCCACCGAUGACACCUAUGGGCAACAUGAACACCCCGGAGUGACCGGCACAGAGGCAUACAGCACCGGCGGCACAGGCGAGAAGAAGGGCAUUGUGGAGAAUACGAAGGAGAAGCUCCCCGGUGGCUACAAUGACCGCCAGCAAACCGGUGACACCUACGGGCAGCAGGGACACACCGGCACUAUGACGCAUGGCACCCCGUCCACCUGUGGCACCUACGGGCAGCACGGACACGCCGGACUGACCGACAUGGGAACCCAGGGCACCGGCAGCACCGACAAGAAGGAUGUCAUGGACAACAUCAAGGAGAAGCUCCCUGGUGGCCACGGUGACCACCAGCAGACCGCUGUCACCUACGGGCAGCAUGGACACACUGGAAUGACUGGCACGGAGACGCAUGGCACCACGGCCACCGACGACGGGAAGCAAGGACACAACGGAACAACUGGCACUGGGACACACGGCACCGACGGGACCGGUGAGAAGAAGAGCCUCAUGGAAAAGAUCAAGGAGAAGCUGCCUGGACUGAACUAAGCCCGGUAUGCCUAAGGCCGCUACCUUUGCAGAAUAAUACUCCACUGCAUAUAAAUUGAUUGAUUCUAGUUCACCUAGCUCACUUGGUCGCUGGAGAAGCGAAUGUAUCUUGGUUUAAGUUUUCAAGGACAAUAUGUGUUCACAUUUUUUUUUCUUUCUAACAUUGUCGUGCAAAUUUCCUUCUGGUUCAACCCAUGUAUGUAUGUUAUGAGGCCUAUGGCAUCUAAUAUAUCAAUAUAAUAAUAAAGUUACUAAGCUCCCAGGAAUUAGAGCCUUGUGGUCGAACAUGGCUGAUGGGACCACCUAUCAUCUAAUUUUCAGUCGGUAAGAGCAUCUGUAGCAGAUCCCGCAAACCGUCGUCCCGAAAAAAUCGUUUAGGGUAUGACGCCGAGCGUGCUGCAAAAACAGAUCCUGCAUAUGACACAAAUUUAAACAAACUACUUCGCGCUAAAAACGUCUCGCCGGAGUUCAUCAAACCAGCAUAGUUCAUCACACAUGGCAUAUGCGAGUUUUUAGUAAAAACCAUAAUUAAACAUAACCGAAACAUAGCAUAGGGGAUCUACUCGUCGCUGGAGUCCUCGCCGAAGCCAUUGUCGCUGUCAUCGCCCUUGUCGUCCUCGUCGCUAAAGAUGACCUUGGCGGGCAGCGGCUUCCCUCUGUAAAGCGUAUCGUAGAUCAGCAAAUCGGAGAUCCGGUUUUGGAGCUGGUACUCCUCCCAAAGCGUCGGCAGCUGCGCAGCCGCAACCACAUCUCCGGCGUCGGCGGCGGUCCUUGCCGCAAUCCGUGCUCCAAUUUUGAUAAUUUCCUAUUAGUAAAUAGUAAGCGUUAUUAAAAAUUCAGUUAUUGAUGAUGUAUAUUACGCUAGUGGUAAAUGAUGGAUCUCGCUUAUUGUCCAUAGUUGUUUGGUUGUUAUCAAUGCUUUGAGUGUCACCAUAUUUCAUAGCUGUAGAAAUUCUAAUAAUUUGACAUACAUGAAUUUAGAGUACUCCAGGUGUUAUAUUUGGCAUUACAUCUCCCAAACAACAGACCGGUUGAUAAAGUGUUCUAUACAUGGGCUGACCAAAAAAACUGCAUGUUGGAUGCAGUUGAUUUUGAUAUUGAUAGAAAUUAUGUUUUACCAGGUUACCGUUAGUAUAGAUUUACCAAAAUGAUAAUUGUCACACGUGUGGCCCGAAGCAGUCCCGCCUUGACAUUUUUUACAACUAAAUUGCCAUCCGAAAAGAAAAAACAAACACAAAGACUAAAAACUUGUUAUCCGAAAAAAGGUGUCGUGCUUGACAACUAAAGUCGUCAUUCUCGCGUCACUAAUUUUGCCAUAAAAAAUGUUCGGAGGUGCCAUGUGUUUGUGCCACACGUGUGGCACUUAUCAGGGUCCUAGAUUUAACCCUAUACAUUUACGAUUGUUUUCUUCUUAGAUAGAUAGAUUUAAAGACUUUGUUGUUUAUCCAUGCUUUCUUAAGCCGAAAUGAACUUUUGCUGAUGUACUAUGCAAAUGGGGAAUAGUGGACACUAGGGAUGGAGUUUAUUUGCACUAGAUACAUGUCAUGGUUUUAAUCCACACAGGAUAUGGCCAGAAGGGACACUGUCAAGUUUUUAUUUAAUGAUUAGAAAGUUAAUUUGUAUGAUAAUAUUUCAUAUACUUAAUAUCAACUCUCUCUGUCCCAAGAACCGAGGGGGCGAUUGCAAAUUUGCAGUAUGAGAUCUUUCCAUUUGCUUUCUAUGAAAGAUCCACUUGUUUUUUUAUUACCAUACAGGAUGUUAUUUCAUUUGUUCACUCAAUUUUUUGUGUUAAUCCAUUACAUGGUUUACUUCAUCGAUUUAUGUCCUCCUUAUAAGUAUGGCACUAAAGGAUGGGCGCAAACGUUUCUUAGGCAUUUCUAUUGGUGUUAACUGUGUUUGACGAUAAACAUGGAUAUCUCCCAAACUAAAGUAUCAUGGAGUCUUCUUUUAAUUUUUUGUGGGCUGGAAAAAGUUUAGCAAUUAGCAGCUCCAACAGCAAGAAUUGUGGUUGCAUCAUGUAACUAUGGCAUGCCACUGGCAGUAACAGUGCACAAAUACCUAAUUUAUAUUGUUCUGUUUAAAGUUUAUUGUCAUUCCUCAGUUUUGGGUGGACCGGGGUGUCAUAGUCCUACGUAGCGAAGGUCCGAACUCCUUCAAAGUCCCUCUGAUCUGCUUUCGAUUUGUUGAAAAAACGGGCACCCGGACACGUCUGUGGACAAAUAAGGGUUCAUGUAGGAUGGCUUGCGGGUGUUUGCGGCAGCGUCCAAACAUUCGGUCUGGAUGUUUGCGGACGUUUUGAGGGUUCACGUUGGAGAUUUCCUUAACAUGCCAAAAACUGCAUUACUAGAAUUAUACCAUAUGCAACCUCUUCCACUUAGUAAAUUCCUCGCUACAUAUCCCGCGAUACAUAUCGCGCAACCAUAAUUUCUUGCAUGCACUUCUUCCAAUGAACACCGAGCGAUAGAGUCAUGUCCGAACUCCUGCAAAGCCCCACUAAUUUGCUUCCGAUUUGUUGAAAAAAGGCACGCAGGCGCGUCUGCGGACAAAUACGGGUCCGCAUUAGAUGGCUUGCGGAUGUUUACGGCAACGUCCGCAAACAUCCAAACACUCGGUCCGGAUGUUUGCGGACGUUUUUGUUGACGCUGGAACGCGUCACACGAACACGUUGAUGUGUACCAGCGGCGCCGAGGGAGAUGCUCCGCAAUUCACACUGCGGGAGGCUGACUUCCAGCGCGAUACGCAAGACAGCAAGCCGGCGCUUUUGGGACCAGACGCCCCGCUCGCCCUGGAGGGACCCCGUCAGGGCUCGCGGCGACGAUUGGCUGCUCGAGGUCGGCCUUACCGCCCCUAGAGCCUCGUGGAUUCGCAGCCUCCAAUCUUGAAGAACGACGAAGAACGAGAAGAAAGAUACAAGGGGAGAGAUAAAAGUAGAUGAACACGAAAAAAUAGUAGAUGUAUUUGUUCGAUUGGUGUUGUUCAAUCGGCCGUCACCUCUCAUCUAUUUAUGAGGCGACUGGACUUCCCGUAUAAGAAAAGGACUAAAAAUUCCGUCCAAAACAUCAAAAACCCUAACCUAACUCGGACAGGAAUCUUUGGUAAUUUCUCGGACCAACUCGGUCUCACCGAUUGGUUCAUUUCGAUCCUACCGAGUCAACAUUGCCAUCUCUCUGGUAAAUUUUUGGACCAACUCGGUCUCACCGAUCAAAUCAACUCGGUCGGUCCGAAAUGACUCUGCAGCUUCUGUUUCUGACAUUGUUUUGCCUCCACAGGUUGCAUACGACCUCGGAUUAAGACGAUUUUAUAUCAAAAUCCACUGUUUCAACGAGACGGACAACUUUUCAGUUGUAAAUUUUUCCAUCCGAGGCCCUAUUAAUUAGGUUUCAUGCCAUUCUUCAAUCUGGUGUCAACACGGGUAUCUCCAAAAUUGUCAUAUCUUUUGCACUUGAGCUCCGUUUGAAGGAAAUAUGCCCUAGAGGCAAUAAUAAAGUUAUUAUUUGUUUCCUCAUAUCAUGAUAAAUGUUUAUUAUUCAUGCUAGAAUUGUAUUAACCGGAAACAUUAUACAUGUGUGAAUACAUAGACCAACAUAACGUCACUAGUAUGCCUCUACUUGACUAGCUCAUUAAUCAAAGAUGGUUAUGUUUCCUAACCAUAGACAUGUGUUGUCAUUUGAUUAAUGGGAUCACAUCAUUAGUAGAAUGAUGUGAUUGACAUGACCCAUUCCGUUAGCCUAGCACUUGAUCGUUUAGUAUAUUGCUAUUGCUUUCUUCAUGACUUAUACAUGUUCUUGUAACUAUGAGAUUAUGCAACUCCCGUUUACCGAAGGAACACUUUGGGUGCUACAAAAUGUCACAACGUAACUGGGUGAUUAUAAAGGAGUACUACAGAUGUCUCGGAAGGUACAUGUUGGGUUGGCGUAUUUCGAGAUUAGGUUUUGUCACUCCGAUUGUCGGAGAGGUAUCUCUGGGCCCUCUCGGUAAUGCACAUCACUAUAAGCCUUGCAAACAAUGUAGCUAAUGAGUUAGUUGCGGCAUGAUGUAUUACGGAACGAGUAAAGAGACUUGCCGGUAACGAGAUUGAACUAGGUAUUGGAUACCGAUGAUCGAAUCUCGGGCAAGUAACAUACCGAUGACAAAGGGAACAACGUAUGUUGUUAUGCGGUUUGACCGAUAAAGAUCUUCGUAGAAUAUGUAGGAGCCAAUAUGAGCAUCCAGGUUCCGCUAUUGGUUAUUGACCGAGAAUAGUUCUAGGUCAUGUCUACAUAGUUCUCAAACCCGUAGGGUCCGCACGCUUAACGUUACGAUGACAGUUUUAUUAUGAGUUUAUAAGUUUUGAUGUACCGAAGUUUGUUCGGAGUCCCAGAUGUGAUCACAGACAUGACGAGGAGUCUCGAAAUGGUCGAGACAUAAAGAUUGAUAUAUUGAAAGCCUAUGUUUGGACAUCGGAAGUGUUCCGGGUGAAAUCGGCAUUUUACCGGAGUACCGGGAGGUUACUGGAACCCCCCGGUGACCUAAUGGGCCUUAGUGGGCCUAGUGGAGGAAGAGGAGAAGGGGCCAAGGGGCAGCCGCGCGCCCCUCCCCCCCCCCCAAGUCCGAAUAGGACAAGGAGGGGGGCGCCCCCCUUUCCUUUCCCCCCUCUCCUCCUUCCCCCCAAGUCCUAGUCCAACUAGGGAAGGGGGGAGUCCUACUCCCGGUGGGAGUAGGACUCCUCCGGCGCGCCUCCUCCUAGGGCCGGCCGCACCCCCCCUUGCUCCUUUAUAUACAGGGGCAGGGGCACCCUAGACACACAAGUUGAUCUACGGAUCGUUCCUUAGCCGUGUGCGGUGCCCCCCUCCACCAUAUUCCACCUCGGUCAUAUCAUCACGGAGUUUAGGCGAAGCCCUGCGCCGGUAGAGCAUCAUCAUCGUCACCACACCGUCGUGCUGACGGAACUCAUCCCCGACACUUUGCUGGAUCGGAGUCCAGGGAUCAUCAUCGAGCUGAACGUGUGCUGAACUCGGAGGUGCCGUACGUUCAGUACUUGAAUCGGUCGGAUCGUGAAGACGUACGACUACAUCAACCGCGUUGUCAUAACGCUUCCGCUUACAGUCUACGAGGGUACGUGGACAACACUCUCCCCUCUCGUUGCUAUGCCAUCACCAUGAUCUUGCGUGUACGUAGGAAAAUUUUUGAAAUUACUACGUUCCCCAACAGUGGCAUCCGAGCCUGGUUUUAUGCCUAGAUGUCAUAUGCACGAGUAGAACACAAGUGAGUUGUGGGCGAUACAAGUCAUGCUGCUUACCAGCAUGUCAUACUUUGGUUCGGCGGUAUUGUGAGAUGAAGCGGCCCGGACCGACAUUACACGUACGCUUACGCGAGACUGGUUUCACAAUUACGAGCACUCGUGCUUAAAGGUGGCUGGCGGGUGUCUGUCUCUCUCACUUUAGCUGAAUCGAGUGUGGCUACGCCCGGUCCUUGCGAAGGUUAAAACAACACUAACUUGACGAACUAUCGUUGUGGUUUUGAUGCGUAGGUAAGAACGGUUCUUGCUAAGCCCGUAGCAGCCACGUAAAACUUGCAACAACAAAGUAGAGGACAUCUAACUUGUUUUUGCAGGGCAUGUUGUGAUGUGAUAUGGUCAAGACGUGAUGCUAUAUUUUAUUGUAUGAGAUGAUCAUGUUUUGUAACCGAAGUUAUCGGCAACUGGCAGGAGCCAUAUGGUUGUCGCUUUAUUGUAUGAAAUGAAAACGCCCUGUAAAUGCUUUACUUUGUCACUAAGCGGUAGCGAUAGUCGUAGAAGCAAUAGAUGGCUUAAACGACAACGAUGCUACGAUGGAGAUCAAGGUGUCGCGCCGGUGACGAUGGUGAUCACGACGGUGCUUCGGAGAUGGAGAUCACAAGCACAAGAUGAUGAUGGCCAUAUCAUAUCACUUAUAUUGAUUGCAUGUGAUGUUUAUCCUUUAUGCAUCUUAUCUUGCUUUGAUUGACGGUAGCAUUUUAAGAUGAUCUCUCACUAAAAAUUAUCAAGAAGUGUUCUCCCUGAGUAUGCACCGUUGCCAAAGUUCAUCGUGCCCAGACACCACGUGAUGAUCGGAUGUGAUAAGCUCUACGUCCAUCUACAACGAGUGCAAGCCAGUUUUGCACACGCAGAAUACUCAGGUUAAACUUGACGAGCCUAGCAUAUGCAGAUAUGGCCUCGGAACACGGAGACCGAAAGGUCGAGCAUGAAUCAUAUAGUAGAUAUGAUCAACAUAGUGAUGUUCACCAUUGAAAACUACUCCAUCUCACGUGAUGAUCGGUUAUGGUUUAGUUGAUUUGGAUCACGUGAUCACUUAGAUGACUCGAGAGAUGUCUGUCUAAGUGGGAGUUCUAAAGUAAUAUGAUUAAUUGAACUUAAAUUUAUCAUGAACUUAGUACCUGAUAGUAUUUUGCUUGUCUAUGUUUGUUGUAGAUAGAUGGCUCGUGCUGUUGUUCCAUUGAAUUUUAAUGCAUUCCUUGAGAAAGCAAAGUUGAAAGAUGAUGGUAGCAAUUACGCGGACUGGGUCCGUAACAUGAGGAUUAUCCUCAUUGCUGCACAGAAGAAUUACAUCCUGGAAGCACCGCUGGGUGCCAGGCCUGCUGCUGAUGCAACUGACGACGUUAAGAACGUCUGGCAGAGCAAAGCUGAUGACUACUCGAUAGUUCAAUGUGCCAUGCUUUACGGCUUAGAACCGGGUCUUCAACGGCGUCUUGAACGUCAUGGAGCAUAUGAGAUGUUCCAGGAGUUGAAGUUAAUAUUUCAAGCAAAUGCCCGGAUUGAGAGAUAUGAAGUCUCUAAUAAGUUCUACAGCUGCAAGAUGGAGGAGAAUAGUUCUGUCAGUGAGCAUAUACUCAAAAUGUCUGGGUAUAAUAAUCACUUAAUUCAACUGGGAGUUAAUCUUCUGGAUGAUAGCGUCAUUGACAGAAUUCUCCAAUCACUACCACCAAGCUACAAGAGCUUCGUGAGAACUAUAAUAUGCAAGGGAUGAACAAGACAAUUCCCGAGGUCUUCGCAAUGCUAAAAGCUGCGGAGGUAGAAAUCAAGAAGGAGCAUCAAGUAUUGAUGGUCAACAAGACCACUAGUUUCAAGAAAAAGGGCAAAGGGAAGAAGAAGGGGAACUUCAAGAAGAACAGCAAGCAAGUUGUUGCUCAAGAGAAGAAACCCAAGUUUGGACCUAAGCCUGAAACUGAGUGCUUCUACUGCAAGCAGACUGGACACUGGAAGCGGAACUGCCCCAAGUAUUUGGCGGAUAAGAAGGAUGGCAAGGUGAACAAAGGUAUAUGUGAUAUACAUGUUAUUGAUGUGUACCUUACUAGAGCUCGCAGUAGCACCUGGUUAUUUGAUACUGGUUCUGUUGCUAAUAUUUGCAACUCGAAACUGGGACUACGGAAUAAGCGAGCACUGGCCAAGGACGAGGUGACGAUGCGCGUGGGAAACGGUUCCAAAGUCGAUGUGAUCGCGGUCGGCACGCUACCUCUACAUCUACCUUCGGGAUUAGUUUUAGACCUGAAUAAUUGUUAUUUGGUGCCAGCGUUGAGCAUGAACAUUAUAUCUGGAUCUUGUUUGAUGCGAGACGGUUAUUCAUUUAAAUCAGAGAAUAAUGGUUGUUCUAUUUAUAAGAGUAAUAUCUUUUAUGGUCAUGCACCCUUGAAGAGUGGUCUAUUUUUAUUGAAUCUCAAUAGUAGUGAUAAACAUAUUCAUAAUGUCGAAGCCAAAAGAUGCAGAGUUGAUAAUGAUAGUGCAACUUAUUUGUGGCACUGCCAUUUAGGUCAUAUCGGUGUAAAGCGCAUGAAGAAACUCCAUACUGAUGGACUUUUGGAAUCACUUGAUUAUGAAUCACUUGGUACUUGUGAACCGUGCCUUAUGGGCAAGAUGACUAAAACACCGUUCUCCGGUACAAUGGAGAGAGCAAAAGAUUUGUUGGAAAUCAUACAUACAGAUGUAUGUGGUCCGAUGAAUGUUGAAGCUCGUGGCGGAUAUCGUUACUUUCUCACCUUCACAGAUGAUUUAAGCAGAUAUGGGUAUAUCUACUUAAUGAAACACAAGUCUGAAACAUUUGAAAAGUUCAAAGAAUUUCAGAGUGAAAAGUGGAAAAUCAUCGUAACAAGAAAAUAAAGUUUCUACGAUCUGAUCGUGGAGGAGAAUAUUUGAGUUACGAGUUUGGUUUACAUUUGAAACAAUGUGGAAUAGUUUCGCAACUCACGCCACCUGGAACACCACAAAGAAAUGGUGUGUCCGAACGUCGUAAUCAUACUUUACUAGAUAUGGUGCGAUCUAUGAUGUCUCUUACUGAUUUACCGCUAUCGUUCUGGGGUUAUGCUUUAGAGACGGCCGCAUUCACGUUGAAUAGGGCACCAUCAAAAUCCGUUGAGACGACGCCUUAUGAACUGUGGUUUGGCAAGAAACCAAAGUUGUCGUUUCUUAAAGUUUGGGGCUGCGAUGCUUAUGUGAAGAAACUUCAACCAGAUAAGCUCGAACCUAAAUCGGAGAAAUGUGUCUUCAUAGGAUACCCAAAGGAGACAGUUGGGUACACCUUCUAUCACAGAUCCGAAGGCAAGACAUUCGUUGCUAAGAAUGGAUCCUUUCUAGAGAAGGAGUUUCUCUCGAAAGAAGUGAGUGGGAGGAAAGUAGAACUUGAUGAGGUAACUGUACCUGCUCCCUUAUUGGAAAGUAGUUCAUCACAGAAAUCGGUUUCUGUGACACCUACACCAAUUAAUGAGGAAGCUAAUGAUAUUGAUCAUGAAACUUCAGAUCAAGUUUCUACUGAGCCUCGUAGGUCUACCAGAGUAAGAUCCGCACCAGAGUGGUACGGUAAUCCUAUUCUGGAAGUCAUGUUACUUGACCAUGAUGAACCUACGAACUAUGAGGAAGCGAUGAUGAGCCCAGAUUUCACAAAAUGGCUAGAGGCCAUGAAAUCUGAGAUGGGAUCCAUGUAUGAAAAAAAAGUAUGGACUUUGGUUGACUUGCCCGAUGAUCGGCAAGCCAUUGAGAAUAAAUGGAUCUUUAAGAAGAAGACUGACACUGAUGGUAAUGUAACUGUCUAUAAAGCUCGACUUGUUGCAAAAGGUUUUCGACAAGUUCAAGGGGUUGACUACGAUGAGACUUUCUCACCCGUAGCGAUGCUUAAGUCUGUCCGAAUCAUGUUAGCAAUUACCGCAUUUUAUGAUUAUGAAAUUUGGCAAAUGGAUGUCAAAACUGCAUUCUUGAAUGGAUUUCUGGAAGAGUUGUAUAUGAUGCAACCAGAAGGUUUUGUUGAUCCAAAAGGUGCUAACAAAGUGUGCAAGCUCCAGCGAUCCAUCUAUGGACUGGUGCAAGCAUCUCGGAGUUGGAAUAAACGCUUUGAUAGUGUGAUCAAAGCAUAUGGUUUUAUACAGACUUUUGGAGAAGCCUGUAUUUACAAGAAAGUGAGUGGGAGCUCUGUAGCAUUUCUGAUAUUAUAUGUAGAUGACAUAUUAUUAAUUGGAAAUGAUAUAGAAUUUCUGGAUAGCAUAAAGGGAUACUUGAAUAAAAGUUUUUCAAUGAAAGACCUCGGUGAAGCUGCUUACAUAUUGGGCAUCAAGAUUUAUAGAGAUAGAUCAAGACGCUUAAUAGGACUUUCACAAAGCACAUACCUUGAUAAAAUUUUGAAAAAUUUCAAAAUGGAUCAGGCAAAGAAAGGGUUCUUGCCCGUGCUACAAGGUGUGAAGUUGAGUCAGACUCAAUGCCCGACCACAGCAGAAGAUAGAGAGAAAAUGAAAGAUGUUCCCUAUGCUUCAGCCAUAGGCUCUAUUAUGUAUGCAAUGCUGUGUACCAGACCUGACGUAUGCUUAGCAAUAAGCUUGGCAAGAAGGUACCAAAGUAAUCCAGGAGUGGAUCACUGGACAGCGGUCAAGAACAUCCUGAAAUACCUGAAAAGGACUAAGGAUAUGUUUCUCGUAUAUGGAGGUGACAAAGAGCUAGUCGUAAAUGGUUACGUCGAUGCAAGCUUUGACACUGAUACGGACGAUUCUAAAUCGCAAAACGGAUACGUGUUUUUAUUAAACGGUGGAGCUGUAAGUUGGUGCAGUUCUAAACAAAGAGUCGUGGCGGGAUCUACGUGUAAAGCGGAGUACAUAGCUGCUUCGGAAGCAGCAAAUGAAGGAGUCUGGAUGAAGGAGUUCAUUUCCGAUCUAGGUGUCAUACCUAGUGCAUCGGGACCAAUGAAGAUCUUCUGUGACAAUACUGGUGCAAUUGCCUUGGCAAAGGAAUCCAGAUUUCACAAGAGGACCAAGCACAUCAAGAGACGCUUCAAUUCCAUCCGGGACCAAGUCCAGGUGGGAGACAUAGAGAUUUGCAAGAUACAUACGGAUCUGAAUGUUGCAGACCCAUUGACUAAGCCUCUCUCACGAGCAAAACAUGAUCAGCACCAAGACUCCAUGGGUGUUAGAAUCAUUACUGUGUAAUCUAGAUUAUUGACUCUAAUGCAAGUGGGAGACUGAAGGAAAUAUGCCCUAGAGGCAAUAAUAAGUUAUUAUUUAUUUCCUCAUAUCAUGAUAAAUGUUUAUUAUUCAUGCUAGAAUUGUAUUAACCGGAAACAUUAUACAUGUGUGAAUACAUAGACCAACAUAACGUCACUAGUAUGCCUCUACUUGACUAGCUCAUUAAUCAAAGAUGGUUAUGUUUCCUAACCAUAGACAUGUGUUGUCAUUUGAUUAAUGGGAUCACAUCAUUAGUAGAAUGAUGUGAUUGACAUGACCCAUUCCGUUAGCCUAGCACUUGAUCGUUUAGUAUAUUGCUAUUGCUUUCUUCAUGACUUAUACAUGUUCCUGUAACUAUGAGAUUAUGCAACUCCCGUUUACCGGAGGAACACUUUGGGUGCUACCAAACGUCACAAUGUAACUGGGUGAUUAUAAAGGAGUACUACAGGUGUCUCCGAAGGUACAUGUUGGGUUGGCGUAUUUCGAGAUUAGGUUUUGUCACUCCGAUUGUCGGAGAGGUAUCUCUGGGCCCUCUCGGUAAUGCACAUCACUAUAAGCCUUGCAAGCAAUGUAGCUAAUGAGUUAGUUGCGGGAUGAUGUAUUACGGAACGAGUAAAGAGACUUGCCGGUAACGAGAUUGAACUAGGUAUUGGAUACCGACGAUCGAAUCUCGGGCAAGUAACAUACCGAUGACAAAGGGAACAACGUAUAUUGUUAUGCGGUUUGACCGAUAAAGAUCUUCGUAGAAUAUGUAGGAGCCAAUAUGAGCAUCCAGGUUCCGCUAUUGGUUAUUGACCGAGAAUAGUUCUAGGUCAUGUCUACAUAGUUCUCGAACCCGUAGGGUCCGCACGCUUAACGUUACGAUGAUAGUUUUAUUAUGAGUUUAUAAGUUUUGAUGUACCGAAGUUUGUUCGGAGUCCCGGAUGUGAUCACGGACAUGACGAGGAGUCUUGAAAUGGUUGAGACAUAAAGAUUGAUAUAUUGGAAGCCUAUGUUUGGACAUCGAAAGUGUUCCGGGUGAAAUCGGCAUUUUACCGGAGUACCGGGAGGUUACCGGAACCCCCUGGUGACCUAAUGGGCCUUAGUGGGCCUAGUGGAGGAAGAGGAGAAGGGGCCAAGCGGUAGGCGCGCGCCCCUCCCCCCCCCUCCCAAGUCCGAAUAGGACAAGGAGGGGGGCGGCGCCCCCCCCCUUCCUUUCCCCCCUCNNNNNNNNNNNNNNNNNNNNNNNNNNNNNNNNNNNNNNNNNNNNNNNNNNNNNNNNNNNNNNNNNNNNNNNNNNNNNNNNNNNNNNNNNNNNNNNNNNNNNNNNNNNNNNNNNNNNNNNNNNNNNNNNNNNNNNNNNNNNNNNNNNNNNNNNNNNNNNNNNNNNNNNNNNNNNNNNNNNNNNNNNNNNNNCUCUUCCUUCCCCCCAAGUCCUAGUCCAACUAGGGAAGGGGCGCCUCCUCCUAGGGCCGGCCGCACCCCCCUUGCUCCUUUAUAUACGGGGGUAGGGGGGCACCCUAGACACACAAGUUGAUCUACGGAUCGUUCCUUACCCGUGUGCGGUGCCCCCCUCCACCAUAUUCCACCUCGAUCAUAUCGUCGCGGAGUUUAGGCGAAGCCCUGCGCCGGUAGAGCAUCAUCAUCAUCACCACGCCAUCGUUCUGACGGAACUCAUCCCCGACACUUUGCUGGAUCGGAGUCUGGGGAUCGUCAUCGAGCUGAACGUGUGCUGAACUCGGAGGUGCCGUACGUUCGGUACUUGAAUCGGUCGGAUCGUGAAGACGUAUGACUACAUCAACCGCGUUGUCAUUACGCUUCCGCUUACGGUCUACGAGGGUACGUGAACAACACUCUCCCCUCUCGUUGCUAUGCGAUCACCAUGAUCUUGCGUGUACAUAGGAUUUUUUUGAAAUUACUACGUUCCCCAACACCGUUUUGGUUCAUCUUCAUAUUUAUUUCGAUCAUCUUGAAGAGGGCCAUCAAAUGGUGACAUGCACUCAUAAUUUUAGCCUCAUCCCAUUAUAGACUCAAGUCACUCUUCACGAUCAUGCCAUUUUUUAGCGUCAACAGUUUUGAAAGUCCGCGUUGGAGAUUUCCUACCUUGCCAAAAUUUGCAAAUUAUUAAAACAACACCAUAUGUGAUCGCUUCCACUUAGUAAAGUCCUCAUACAUAUAUCCGGCGAGACAUAUCGGCAUACCACGCAACCAUAAUUUCUUGCAUGCAUUUCUUCCGAUGAACACUCAAAAUGUCCGAAACUACCGGAUUAACAACCACGUCUAUCUAUAGAGAUACUAAGCUCCCACGAUUUGAAGCGCUCUCGUGCUUCGGGGUUUGUGGAUCGUUGUGGGACCUGCAUGAAAGGUUGUCUGUUGCUUAGUUUUAUUUCCCCUUCUCUUUUUAUUUUCUUACAAGUUUAAUUAUGAGCGCUUAUUAAAAUUUGCAAACAUUAAAAAGAAAUAAUAAUAAUAAUUUAUAUCUUUAGCUUCAUUAAUAUUUAUUACAUUCAUGAGUAUUUUCAAGUUCAGGGUAUUUUUCAAGUUUGCGAACAUUUUUAAAAAUUGAAACUUGUUUAAUUCGCAAAUAUUUUUAAUCCAUGAAUAUAUUUUAAACUCAUAAACAUUUUCUACAAUUCAUGGUUUUGUAAAAUUCACAUAUUUUCAAAAAAUUCUUGAACAUAUUUUAAUUAAACUAACCUAUUUAUAUUUAAAAAAUAGUUCAUUUUUCUGAGCGAGCAGUGGGGCGAGCAGAAAAAAAGCUAACCGACUGAGAGGAAUAGGGAGUCAAACAAGCGAGCGAGAGCUCGUGGGCCGAUCCAUGUGAGUAUUAUAGCAACAAUUGCAUGAUUUUAGCGUGGGUAGGACCUCUCAAGAGGCUCAAACGACCACCUCCUACUGACACCGAGACGGACACGUGUAAAGACAUCACAAUGACACACCAAAAAACUUCAUUCUCCUUUAGAAAAUAUUAUCUCCAACAAAAUCCGACAUGAUAUAUAAAUGAAAAAACACACCUUCAUAAUGUAAUUAAAACACAAGACAACAUUGAUAAAAUCCAAACAAAACAACCGACCGUGGCUCUCUACUUAGAUAUAAAAGAAUUGGUCACACAAGUGAAGAACGGCACGGCGAAGCGCGUUAGCCUUUAGUCAUUCCACGAUUUGAAGCGCUCUGGUGCUUCGGGGUUUGUGGGUCGUUGUGGGACCUGCAUGAAAGGUUGUCUGUUGCUUAGUUUUAUUUCUCCUUCUCUUUUUAUUUUCUUACAUGUUUUAAUUAUGAGUGCUUAUUAAAAUUUGUGAACAUUAAAAAGAAAUAAUAAUAAUAAUUUAUAUAUUUAGCUUCAUUAAUAUUUAUUACAUUCAUGGGUAUUUUAAAGUUCAGGGUAUUUUUGAAGUUUGCGAACAUUUUUUUAAAUUUGAAAAUUGUUUAAUUUGCAAAUAUUUUUAAUCCAUGAAUAUAUUUUAAACUCAUAAACAUUUUCUACAAUUCAUGGUUUUGUAAAAUUCACAUAUUUUCAAAAAACUCUUGAACAUAUUUUAAUUAAACUAACCUAUUUAUAUUUAAAAAAUAGUCCAUUUUUCUGAGCGAGUAGUGGGGCGAGCAGAAAAAAAGCUAACCGACUGAGAGGAAUAGGGAGUCAAACAAGCGAGCGAGAGCUCGUGGGCCGAUCCAUAUGAGUAUUAUAGCAACAAUUGAAUGAUUUUAGCGUGGAUAGGACCUCUCAAGAGGCUCAAACGACCACCGCCUACUGGCACCGAGACGGACACGUGUAAAGACAUCACAAUGACACACCAAAAAACUUCAUCCUCCUUUAGAAAAUAUUGUGUCCAACAAAACAUGACAUGAUAUACAAAUGAAAAAACACACCUUCAUAAUGUAAUUAAAACACAAGACAACAUUGAUAAAAUCCAAACAAAACAACCGACUGUGGCUCUCUACUUAGAUAUAAAAGAAUUGGUCACACGAGUGAAAAACGGCGCGGCGAAGCGCGUUAGCCUCUAGUUAUUCCACGAUUUGAAGCGCUCUGGUGCUUCAGGGUUUGUGGGUCGUUGUGGGACCUGCAUGAAAGGUUGUCUGUUGCUUAGUUUUAUUUCUCCUUCUCUCUUUAUUUUCUUACAUGUUUUAAUUAUGAGCGCUUAUUAAAGUUUGUGAACAUUAAAAAGAAAUAAUAAUAAUAAUUUAUAUCUUUAACUUCAUUAAUAUUUAUUACAUUCAUGACUAUUUUGAAGUUCAGGGUAUUUUUGAAGUAUGCGAACAUUUUUUAAAUUUGAAACUUGUUUAAUUUGCAAAUAUUUUUAAUCCAUGAAUAUAUUUUAAACUCAUAAACAUUUUAUACAAUUCAUGGUUUUGUAAAAUUCACAUAUUUUCAAAAAAUCCUUGAACAUAUUUUAAUUAAACUAACCUGUUUAUAUUUAAAAAAUAGUCCAUUUUUCCUAGCGAGCAGUGGGGUGAGCAGAAAAAAAGCUAACCGACUAAGAGGAAUAGGGAGUCAAACAAGCGAGCGAGAGCUCGUGAGCCGAUCCAUGUGAGUAUUAUAGCAACAAUUGCAUGAUUUUAGCGUGGAUAGGACCUCUCAAGAGGCUCAAACGACCACCGCCUACUGGCACCGAGACGGACACGUGUAAAGACAUCACAACGACACACCAAAAAACUUCAUUCUCCUUUAGAAAAUAUUGUGUCCAACAAACCCCGACAUGAUAUACAAAUGAAAAAACACACCUUCACAAUGUAAUUAAAACACAAGACAACAUUGCUAAAAUCCAAACAAAACAACCGACCGUGGCUCUUUACUUAGAUAUAAAAGAAUUGGUCACACGAGUGAACAACGGCGCGGCGAAGCGCGUUAGCCUCUAGUCAUUCCAAGAUUUGAAGCGCUCUGGUGCUUCGGGGUUUGUGGGUCGUUGUGGGACCUGCAUGAAAGGUUGUCUGUUGCUUAGUUUUAUUUCUCCUUCUCUGUUUAUUUUCUUACAUGUUUUAAUUAUGAGCGCUUAUUAAAAUUUGCGAACAUUAAAAAGAAAUAAUAAUAAUAAUUUAUAUCUUUAGCUUCAUUAAUAUUUAUUACAUUCAUCAGUAUUUUGAAGUUCAUGAUAUUUUUGAAGUUUGCGAACAUUUCUUAAAUUUGAAACAUGUUUAAUUUGCAAAUAUUUUUAGUCCAUUAAUAUAUUUUAAACUCAUAAACAUUUUCUACAAUUCAUGGUUUUCUAAAAUUCACAUAUUUUCAAAAAAUCCUUGAACAUAUUUUAAUUAAACUAACCUAUUUAUAUUUAAAAAAUAGUCCAUUUUUCUGAGCGAGCAGUGGGGCGAUAAGAAAAAAAGCUAACCGACUGAGAGGAAUAGGGAGUCAAACAAGCGAGCGAGAGCUCGUGGGCCGGUCCAUGUGAGUAUUAUAGCAACAAUUGCAUGAUUUUAGCGUGGAUAGGACCUCUCAAGAGGCUCAAACGACCACCGCCUACUGGCACCGAGACGGACACGUGUAAAGACAUCACAACGACACACCAAAAAACUUCAUUCUCCUUUAGAAAAUAUUGUGUCCAACAAAACCCGACAUGAUAUACAAAUGAAAAAACACACCUUCAUAAUGUAAUUAAAACACAAGACAACAUUGAUAAAAUCCAAACAAAACAACCGACCGUGGCUCUCUACUUAGAUAUAAAAGAAUUGGUCACACGAGUGAAGAACGGCGCGGCGAAGCGCGUUAGCCUCUAGUCAUUCCAUGAUUUGAAGCGCUCUGGUGCUUCGGGGUUUGUGGGUCGUUGUGGGACCUGCAUGAAAGGUUGUUUGUUGCUUAGUUUUAUUUCUCCUUCUCUCUUUAUUUGCUUACAUGUUUUAAUUAUGAGCGCUUAUUAAAAUUUGCGAACAUUAAAAAGAAAUAAUAAUAAUAAUCUAUAUCUUUAGCUUCAUUAAUAUUUAUUACAUUCAUGAGUAUUUCGAAGUGCAGGGUAUUUUUGAAGUUUGCGAACAUUUUUUAAAUUUGAAACAUGUUUAAUUUGCAAAUAUUUUUAAUCCAUGAAUAUAUUUUAAAUUCAUAAACAUUUUCUACAAUUCAUGGUUUUCUAAAAUUCACAUAUUUUCAAAAAAUCCUUGAACAUAUUUUAAUUAAACUAACCUAUUUAUAUUUAAAAAAUAGUUCAUUUUUCUGAGCGAGCAGUGGGGCGAGCAUAAAAAAAGCUAACCGACUGAGAGGAAUAGGGAGUCAAACAAGCGAGCGAGAGCUCGUGGGCCGAUCCAUGUGAGUAUUAUAGCAACAAUUGCAUGAUUUUAGCGUGGAUAGGACCUCUCAAGAGGCUCAAACGACCACCGCCUACUGGCAUCGAGACGGACACGUGUAAAGACAUCACAACGACACACCAAAAAACUUCAUUCUCCUUUAGAAAAUAUUGUGUCCAACAAAACAUGACAUGAUAUACAAAUGAAAAAACACACCUUCAUAAUGUAAUUAAAACACAAGACAACAUUGAUAAAAUCCAAACAAAACAACCGACUGUGGCUCUCUACUUAGAUAUAAAAGAAUUGGUCACACGAGUGAAAAACGGCGUGGCGAAGCGCGUUAGCCUCUAGUUAUUCCACGAUUUGAAGCGCUCUGGUGCUUCAGGGUUUGUGGGUCAUUGUGGGACCUGCAUGAAAGGUUGUCUGUUGCUUAGUUUUAUUUCUCCUUCUCUCUUUUAUUUUCUUACAUGUUUUAAUUAUGAGCGCUUAUUAAAAUUUGCGAACAUUAAAAAGAAAUAAUAAUAAUAAUUUAUAUCUUUAACUUCAUUAAUAUUUAUUACAUUCAUGAGUAUUUUGAAGUUCAGGGUAUUUUUGAAGUAUGCGAACAUUUUUUAAAUUUGAAACUUGUUUAAUUUGCAAAUAUUUUUAAUCCAUGAAUAUAUUUUAAACUCAUAAACAUUUUAUACAAUUCAUGGUUUUGUAAAAUUCACAUAUUUUCAAAAAAUCCUUGAACAUAUUUUAAUUAAACUAACCUGUUUAUAUUUAAAAAAUAGUCCAUUUUUCCUAGCGAGCAGUGGGGUGAGCAGAAAAAAAGCUAACCGACUGAGAGGAAUAGGGAGUCAGACAAGCGAGCGAGAGCUCGUGAGCCGAUCCAUGUGAGUAUUAUAGCAACAAUUGCAUGAUUUUAGCGUGGAUAGGACCUCUCAAGAGGCUCAAACGACCACCGCCUACUGGCACCGAGACGGACACGUGUAAAGACAUCACAACGACACACCAAAAAACUUCAUUCUCCUUUAGAAAAUAUUGUGUCCAACAAAACCCGACAUGAUAUACAAAUGAAAAAACACACCUUCAUAAUGUAAUUAAAACACAAGACAACAUUGAUAAAAUCCAAACAAAACAACCGACCGUGGCUCUCUACUUAGAUAUAAAGAAUUGGUCACACGAGUCAAGAACGGCGCCGCGAAGCGCGUUAGCCUCUAGUCAUUCCACGAUUUGAAGCGCUCUGGUGCUUCGGGGUUUGUGGGUCGUUGUGGGACCUGUAUGAAAGGUUGUCUGUUGCUUAGUUUUAUUUCUCCUUCUCUCUUUAUUUUCUUAUAUGUUUUAAUUAUUAGCGCUUAUUAAAAUUUGCGAACAUUAAAAAGAAAUAAUAAUAAUAAUUUAUAUCUUUAGCUUCAUUAAUAUUUAUUACAUUCAUGAGUAUUUUGAAGUUCAGGGUAUUUUUGAAGUUUGCGAACAUUUUUUAAAUUUGAAACUUGUUUAAUUUGCAAAUAUUUUUAAUCCAUGAAUAUAUUUUAAACUCAUAAAUAUUUUCUACAAUUCAUGGUUUUGUAAAAUUCACAUAUUUCAAAAAAUACUUGAACAUAUUUUAAUUAAACUAACCUAUUUAUAUUUAAAAAAUAGUCCAUUUUUCUGAGUGAGCAGUGGGGCGAGCAGAAAAAAAAGCUAACCGACUGAGAGGAAUAGGGAGUUAAACAAGCGAGCGAGAGCUCGUGGGCCGAUCCAUGUGAGUAUUAUAGCAACAAUUGCAUGAUUUUAGUGUGGAUAGGACCCCUCAAGAGGCUCAAACGACCACCGUCUACUGGCACCGAGACGGACACGUGUAAAGACAUCACAACGACACACCAAAAAACUUCAUUCUCCGUUAGAAAUAUUGUCUCCAACAAAACCCGACAUGAUAUACAAAUGAAAAAACACACCUUCACAAUGUAAUUAAAACACAAGACAACAUUGAUAAAAUCCAAACAAAACAACCGACCGUGGCUCUUUACUUAGAUAUAAAAGAAUUGGUCACACGAGUGAAGAACAGCGCGGCGAAGCGCGUUAGCCUCUAGUCAUUCCACGAUUUGAAGCGCUCUGGUGCUUCGGGGUUUGUGGGUCGUUGUGGGACCUGCAUGAAAGGUUGUCUGGUGCUUAGUUUUAUUUUUCCUUCUCUCUUUAUUUUCUUACAUGUUUUAAUUAUGAGCGCUUAUUAAAUUUUGCGAACAUUAAAAAGAAAUAAUAAUAAUAAUUUAUAUCUUUAGCUUCAUUAAUAUUUAUUACAUUCAUGAGUAUUUUGAAGUUCAUGGUAUUUUUGAAGUUUGCGAACAUUUUUUAAAUUUGAAACAUGUUUAAUUUGCAAAUAUUUUUAAUCCAUGAAUAUAUUUUAAACUCAUAAACAUUUUCUACAAUUCAUGGUUUUCUAAAAUUCACAUAUUUUCAAAAAAUCCUUGAACAUAUUUUAAUUAAACUAACCUAUUUAUAUUUAAAAAAUAGUCCAUUUUUCUGAGCGAGCAGUGGGGCGAGCAGAAAAAAAGCUAACCGACUGAGAGGAAUAGGGAGUCAAACAAGCGAGCGAGAGCUCGUGGGCCGAUCCAUGUGAGUAUUAUAGCAACAAUUGCAUGAUUUUAGUGUGGAUAGGACCCCUCAAGAGGCUCAAACGACCAUCGUCUACUGGCACCGAGACGGACACGUGUAAAGACAUCAUAACGACACACCAAAAAACUUCAUUCUCCUUUAGAAAUAUUGUCUCCAACAAAACCCGACAUGAUAUACAAAUGAAAAAACACACCUUCAUAAUAUAAUUAAAACACAAGACAACAUUGAUAAAAUCCAAACAAAACAACCGACCGUGGCUCUUUACUUAGAUAUAAAAGAAUUGGUCACACGAGUGAAGAACGGCGCGGCGAAGCGCGUUAGCCUCUAGUCAUUCCACGACUUGAAGCGCUCUGGUGCUUCAGGGUUUGUGGGUCGUUGUGGGACCUGCAUGAAAGGUUGUCUGGUGCUUAGUUUUAUUUCUCCUUCUCUCUUUAUUUUCUUACAUGUUUUAAUUAUGAGCGCUUAUUAAAUUUUGCAAACAUUAAAAAGAAAUAAUAAUAAUAAUUUAUAUCUUUAGCUUCAUUAAUAUUUAUUACAUUCAUCAGUAUUUUGAAGUUCAUGGUAUUUUUGAAGUUUGCGAACAUUUUUAAAUUUGAAACAUGUUUAAUUUGCAAAUAUUUUUAAUCCAUGAAUAUAUUUUAAACUCAUAAACAUUUUCUACAAUUCAUGGUUUUCUAAAAUUCACAUAUUUUCAAAAAAUCCUUGAACAUAUUUUAAUUAAACUAACCUAUUUAUAUUUAAAAAUAGUCCAUUUUUCUGAGCGAGCAGUGGGGCGAGCAGAAAAAAAGCUAACCGGCUGAGAGAAAUAGGGAGUCAAACAAGCGAGCGAGAGCUCGUGGGCCGAUCCAUGUGAGUAUUAUAGCAACAGUGGCAUGAUUUUAGCGUGGAUAGGACCUCUCAAGAGGCUCAAACGACCACCGCCUACUGGCACCGAAACGGACACGUGUAAAGACAUCACAACGACACACCAAAAAACUUCAUUCUCCUUUAGAAAAUAUUGUGUCCAACAAAACCCGACAUGAUAUGCAAAUGAAAAAGCACACCUUCAUAAUGUAAUUAAAACACAAGACAACAUUGAUAAAAUCCAAACAAAACAACCGAACGUGGCUCUCUACUUAGAUAUAAAAGAAUUGGUCACACGAGUGAAGAACGGCGCGGCGAAGCGCGUUAGCCUCUAGUCAUUCCACGAUUUGAAGCGCUCUGGUGCUUCGGGGUUUGUGGGUCGUUGUGGGACCGGCAUGAAAGGUUGUCUGUUGCUUAGUUUUAUUUCUCCUUCUCUCUUUAUUUUCUUACAUGUUUUAAUUAUGAGCGCUUAUUAAAAUUUGCGAACAUUAAAAAGAAAUAAUAAUAAUAAUCUAUACCUUUAGCUUCAUUAAUAUUUAUUACAUUCAUGAGUAUUUCGAAGUUCAGGGUAUUUUUGAAGUUUGCGAACAAUUUUUAAAUUUGAAACAUGUUUAAUUUGCAAAUAUUUUUAAUCCAUGAAUAUAUUUUAAACUCAUAAACAUUUUCUACAAUUCAUGGUUUUCUAAAAUCACAUAUUUUCAAAAAAUCCUUGAACAUAUUUUAAUUAAACUAACCUAUUUAUAUUUAAAAAAUAGUCCAUUUUUCUGAGCGAGCAGUGCGGCGAGCAGAAAAAAAGCUAACCGACUGAGAGGAAUAGGGAGUCAAACAAGCGAGCGAGAGCUCGUGGGCCGAUCCAUGUGAGUAUUAUAGCAACAGUGGCAUGAUUUUAGCGUGGAUAGGACCUCUCAAGAGGCUCAAACGACCACCGCCUACUGGCACCGAGAUGGACACGUGUAAAGACAUCACAACGACACACCAAAAAACUUCAUUCUCCUUUAGAAAAUAUUGUGUCCAACAAAACCCGACAUGAUAUACAAAUGAAAAAACACACCUUCAUAAUGUAAUUAAAACACAAGACAACAUUGAUAAAAUCCAAACAAAACAACCGACCGUGGCUCUUUACUUAGAUAUAAAAGAAUUGGUCACACGAGUGAAGAACGGCGCGGCGAAGCGCGUUAGCCUCUAGUCAUUCCACGAUUUGAAGCGCUCUGGUGCUUCGGGGUUUGUGGGUCGUUGUGGGACCUGCAUGAAAGGUUGUUUGUUGCUUAGUUUUAUUUCUCCUUCUCUCUUUAUUUUCUUACAUGUUUUAAUUAUGAGCGCUUAUUAAAAUUUGCGAACAUUAAAAAGAAAUAAUAAUAAUAAUUUAUAUCUUUAACUUCAUUAAUAUUUAUUACAUUCAUGACUAUUUUGAAGUCCAGGGUAUUUUUGAAGUAUGCGAACAUUUUUUAAAUUUGAAACUUGUUUAAUUUGCAAAUAUUUUUAAUCCAUGAAUAUAUUUUAAACUCAUAAACAUUUUAUACAAUUCAUGGUUUUGUAAAAUUCACAUAUUUUCAAAAAAUCCUUGAACAUAUUUUAAUUAAACUAACCUGUUUAUAUUUAAAAAAUAGUCCAUUUUUCCUAGCGAGCAGUGGGGUGAGCAGAAAAAAAGCUAACCGACUGAGAGGAAUAGGGAGUCAGACAAGCGAGCGAGAGCUCGUGAGCCGAUCCAUGUGAGUAUUAUAGCAACAAUUGCAUGAUUUUAGCGUGGAUAGGUCCUCUUAAGAGGCUCAAACGACCACCGCCUACUGGCACCGAGACGGACACGUGUAAAGACAUCACAACGACACACCAAAAAACUUCAUUCUCCUUUAGAAAAUAUUGUGUCCAACAAAACCCGACAUGAUAUACAAAUGAAAAAACACACCUUCAUAAUGUAAUUAAAACACAAGACAACAUUGAUAAAAUCCAAACAAAACAACCGACCGUGGCUCUCUACUUAGAUAUAAAGAAUUGGUCACACGAGUCAAGAACGGCGCCGCGAAGCGCGUUAGCCUCUAGUCAUUCCACGAUUUGAAGCGCUCUGGUGCUUCGGGGUUUGUGGGUCGUUGUGGGACCUGCAUGAAAGGUUGUCUGUUGCUUAGUUUUAUUUCUCCUUCUCUCUUUAUUUUCUUAUAUGUUUUAAUUAUUAGCGCUUAUUAAAAUUUGCGAACAUUAAAAAGAAAUAAUAAUAAUAAUUUAUAUCUUUAGCUUCAUUAAUAUUUAUUACAUUCAUGAGUAUUUUGAAGUUCAGGGUAUUUUUAAAGUUUGCGAACAUUUUUUAAAUUUGAAACUUGUUUAAUUUGCAAAUAUUUUUAAUCCAUGAAUAUAUUUUAAACUCAUAAACAUUUUCUACAAUUCAUGGUUUUGUAAAAUUCACAUAUUUCAAAAAAUCCUUGAACAUAUUUUAAUUAAACUAACCUAUUUAUAUUUAAAAAAUAGUCCAUUUUUCUGAGUGAGCAGUGGGGCGAGCAGAAAAAAAAGCUAACCGACUGAGAGGAAUAGGGAGUUAAACAAGCGAGCGAGAGCUCGUGGGCCGAUCCAUGUGAGUAUUAUAGCAACAAUUGCAUGAUUUUAGCGUGGAUAGGACCUCUCAAGAGGCUCAAACGACCACCGUCUACUGGCACCGAGACGGACACGUGUAAAGACAUCACAACGACACAACAAAAAACUUCAUUCUCCGUUAGAAAUAUUGUCUCCAACAAAACCCGACAUGAUAUACAAAUGAAAAAACACACCUUCAUAAUGUAAUUAAAACACAAGACAACAUUGAUAAAAUCCAAACAAAACAACCGACUGUGGCUCUUUACUUAGAUAUAAAAGAAUUGGUCACACGAGUGAAGAACGGCGCGGCGAAGCGCGUUAGCCUCUAGUCAUUCCACGAUUUGAAGCGCUCUGGUGCUUCCGGGUUUGUGGGUCGUUGUGGGACCUGCAUGAAAGGUUGUCUGGUGCUUAGUUUUAUUUUUCCUUCUCUCUUUAUUUUCUUACAUGUUUUAAUUAUGAGCGCUUAUUAAAUUUUGCGAACAUUAAAAAGAAAUAAUAAUAAUAAUUUAUAUCUUUAGCUUCAUUAAUAUUUAUUACAUUCAUGAGUAUUUUGAAGUUCAUGGUAUUUUUGAAGUUUGCAAACAUUUUUUAAAUUUGAAACAUGUUUAAUUUGCAAAUAUUUUUAAUCCAUGAAUAUAUUUUAAACUCAUAAACAUUUUCUACAAUUCAUGAUUUUCUAAAAUUCACAUAUUUUCAAAAAAUCCUUGAACAUAUUUUAAUUAAACUAACCUAUUUAUAUUUAAAAAAUAGUCCAUUUUUCUGAGCGAGCAGUGGGGCGAGCAGAAAAAAAGCUAACCGACUGAGAGGAAUAGGGAGUCAAACAAGCGAGCGAGAGCUCGUGGGCCGAUCCAUGUGAGUAUUAUAGCAACAGUGGCAUGAUUUUAGCGUGGAUAGGACCUCUCAAGAGGCUCAAACGACCACCGCCUACUGGCACCGAGACGGACACCUGUAAAGACAUCACAACGACACACCAAAAAACUUCAUUCUCCUUUAGAAAAUAUUGUGUCCAACAAAACCCGACAUGAUAUACAAAUGAAAAAACACACCUUCAUAAUGUAAUUAAAACACAAGACAACAUUGAUAAAAUCCAAACAAAACAACCGACCGUGGCUCUUUACUUAGAUAUAAAAGAAUUGGUCACACGAGUGAAGAACGGCGCGGCGAAGCGCGUUAGCCUCUAGUCAUUCCACGAUUUGAAGCGCUCUGGUGCUUCGGGGUUUGUGGGUCGUUGUGGGACCUGCAUGAAAGGUUGUCUGUUGCUUAGUUUUAUUUCUCCUUCUCUCUUUAUUUUCUUACAUGUUUUAAUUAUGAGCGCUUAUUAAAUUUUGCGAACAUUAAAAAGAAAUAAUAAUAAUAAUUUAUAUCUUUAGCUUCAUUAAUAUUUAUUACAUUCAUGAGUAUUUUGAAGUUCAUGGUAUUUUUGAAGUUUGCGAACAUUUUUUAAAUUUGAAACAUGUUUAAUUUGCAAAUAUUUUUAAUCCAUGAAUAUAUUUUAAACUCAUAAACAUUUUCUACAGUUCAUAGUUUUCUAAAAUUCACAUAUUUUCAAAAAAUCCUUGAACAUAUUUUAAUUAAACUAACCUAUUUAUAUUUAAAAAAUAGUCCAUUUUUCUGAGCGAGCAGUGGGGCGAGCAGAAAAAAAGCUAACCGACUGAGAGGAAUAGGGAGUCCAACAAGCGAGCGAGAGCUCGUGGGCCGAUCCAUGUGAGUAUUAUAGCAACAAUUGCAUGAUUUUAGUGUGGAUAGGACCCCUCAAGAGGCACAAACGACCAUCGUCUACUGGCACCGAGACGGACACGUGUAAAGACAUCAGAACGACACACCAAAAAACUUCAUUCUCCUUUAGAAAUAUUGUCUCCAACAAAACCCGACAUGAUAUACAAAUGAAAAAACACACCUUCAUAAUAUAAUUAAAACACAAGACAACAUUGAUAAAAUCCAAACAAAACAACCGACCGUGGCUCUUUACUUAGAUAUAAAAGAAUUGGUCACACGAGUGAAGAACGGCGCGGCGAAGCGCGUUAGCCUCUAGUCAUUCCACGACUUGAAGCGCUCUGGUGCUUCGGGGUUUGUGGGUCGUUGUGGGACCUGCAUGAAAGGUUGUCUGGUGCUUAGUUUUAUUUCUCCUUCUCUCUUUAUUUUCUUACAUGUUUUAAUUAUGAGCGCUUAUUAAAUUUUGCGAACAUUAAAAAGAAAUAAUAAUAAUAAUUUAUAUCUUUAGCUUCAUUAAUAUUUAUAACAUUCAUCAGUAUUUUGAAGUUCAUGGUAUUUUUGAAGUUUGCGAACAUUUUUAAAUUUGAAACAUGUUUAAUUUGCAAAUAUUUUUAAUCCAUGAAUAUAUUUUAAACUCAUAAACAUUUUCUACAAUUCAUGGUUUUCUAAAAUUCACAUAUUUUCAAAAAAUCCUUGAACAUAUUUUAAUUAAACUAACCUAUUUAUAUUUAAAAAAUAGUCCAUUUUUCUGAGCGAGCAGUGGGGCGAGCAGAAAAAAAGCUAACCGACUGAGAGGAAUAGGGAGUCAAACAAGCGAGCGAGAGCUCGUGGGCCGAUCCAUGUGAGUAUUAUAGCAACAGUGGCAUGAUUUUAGCGUGGAUAGGACCUCUCAAGAGGCUCAAACGACCACCGCCUACUAGCACCGAGACGGACACGUGUAAAGACAUCACAACGACACACCAAAAAACUUCAUUCUCCUUUAGAAAAUAUUGUGUCCAACAAAACCCGACAUGAUAUGCAAAUGAAAAAGCACACCUUCAUAAUGUAAUUAAAACACAAGACAACAUUGAUAAAAUCCAAACAAAACAACCGAACGUGGCUCUCUACUUAGAUAUAAAAGAAUUGGUCACACGAGUGAAGAACGGCGCGGCGAAGCGCGUUAGCCUCUAGUCAUUCCACGAUUUGAAGCGCUCUGGUGCUUCGGGGUUUGUGGGUCGUUGUGGGACCUGCAUGAAAGGUUGUUUGUUGCUUAGUUUUAUUUCUCCUUCUCUCUUUAUUUUCUUACAUGUUUUAAUUAUGAGCGCUUAUUAAAAUUUGCGAACAUUAAAAAGAAAUAAUAAUAAUAAUUUAUAUCUUUAACUUCAUUAAUAUUUAUUACAUUCAUGACUAUUUUGAAGUCCAGGGUAUUUUUGAAGUAUGCGAACAUUUUUUAAAUUUGAAACUUGUUUAAUUUGCAAAUAUUUUUAAUCCAUGAAUAUAUUUUAAACUCAUAAACAUUUUCUACAAUUCAUGGUUUUCUAAAAUUCACAUAUUUUCAAAAAAUCCUUGAACAUAUUUUAAUUAAACUAACCUAUUUAUAUUUAAAAAAUAGUCCAUUUUUCUGAGCGAGCAGUGAGGCGAGCAGAAAAAAAGCUAACCGACUGAGAGGAAUAGGGAGUCAAACAAGCGAGCGAGAGCUCGUGGGCCGAUCCAUGUGAGUAUUAUAGCAACAGUUGCAUGAUUUUAGUGUGGAUAGGACCCCUCAAGAGGCACAAACGACCAUCGUCUACUGGCACCGAGACGGACACGUGUAAAGACAUCAGAACGACACACCAAAAAACUUCAUUCUCCUUUAGAAAUAUUGUCUCCAACAAAACCCGACAUGAUAUACAAAUGAAAAAACACACCUUCAUAAUAUAAUUAAAACACAAGACAACAUUGAUAAAAUCCAAACAAAACAACCGACCGUGGCUCUUUACUUAGAUAUAAAAGAAUUGGUCACACGAGUGAAAAACGGCGCGGCGAAGCGCGUUAGCCUCUAGUCAUUCCACGACUUGAAGCGCUCUGGUGCUUCGGGGUUUGUGGGUCGUUGUGGGACCUGCAUGAAAGGUUGUCUGGUGCUUAGUUUUAUUUCUCCUUCUCUCUUUAUUUUCUUACAUGUUUUAAUUAUGAGCGCUUAUUAAAUUUUGCGAACAUUAAAAAGAAAUAAUAAUAAUAAUUUAUAUCUUUAGCUUCAUUAAUAUUUAUAACAUUCAUCAGUAUUUUGAAGUUCAUGGUAUUUUUGAAGUUUGCGAACAUUUUUAAAUUUGAAACAUGUUUAAUUUGCAAAUAUUUUUAAUCCAUGAAUAUAUUUUAAACUCAUAAACAUUUUCUACAAUUCAUGGUUUUCUAAAAUUCACAUAUUUUCAAAAAAUCCUUGAACAUAUUUUAAUUAAACUAACCUAUUUAUAUUUAAAAAAUAGUCCAUUUUUCUGAGCGAGCAGUGGGGCGAGCAGAAAAAAAGCUAACCGACUGAGAGGAAUAGGGAGUCAAACAAGCGAGCGAGAGCUCGUGGGCCGAUCCAUGUGAGUAUUAUAGCAACAGUGGCAUGAUUUUAGCGUGGAUAGGACCUCUCAAGAGGCUCAAACGACCACCGCCUACUAGCACCGAGACGGACACGUGUAAAGACAUCACAACGACACACCAAAAAACUUCAUUCUCCUUUAGAAAAUAUUGUGUCCAACAAAACCCGACAUGAUAUGCAAAUGAAAAAGCACACCUUCAUAAUGUAAUUAAAACACAAGACAACAUUGAUAAAAUCCAAACAAAACAACCGAACGUGGCUCUCUACUUAGAUAUAAAAGAAUUGGUCACACGAGUGAAGAACGGCGCGGCGAAGCGCGUUAGCCUCUAGUCAUUCCACGAUUUGAAGCGCUCUGGUGCUUCGGGGUUUGUGGGUCGUUGUGGGACCUGCAUGAAAGGUUGUCUGUUGCUUAAUUUUAUUUCUCCUUCUCUCUUUAUUUUCUUACAUGUUUUAAUUAUGAGCGCUUAUUAAAAUUUGCGAACAUUAAAAAGAAAUAAUAAUAAUAAUCUAUACCUUUAGCUUCAUUAAUAUUUAUUACAUUCAUGAGUAUUUUGAAGUUCAGGGUAUUUUUGAAGUUUGCGAACAUUUUUUAAAUUUGAAACAUGUUUAAUUUGCAAAUAUUUUUAAUCCAUGAAUAUAUUUUAAACUCAUAAACAUUUUCUACAAUUCAUGGUUUUCUAAAAUUCACAUAUUUUCAAAAAAUCCUUGAACAUAUUUUAAUUAAACUAACCUAUUUAUAUUUAAAAAAUAGUCCAUUUUUCUGAGCGAGCAGUGGGGCGAGCAGAAAAAAGCUAACCGACUGAGAGGAAUAGGGAGUCAAACAAGCGAGCGAGAGCUCGUGGGCCGAUCCAUGUGAGUAUUAUAGCAACAGUUGCAUGAUUUUAGUGUGGAUAGGACCCCUCAAGAGGCUCAAACGACCACCGUCUACUGGCAACGAGACGAACACGUGUAAAGACAUCACAACGACACACCAAAAAACUUCAUUCUCCUUUAGAAAUAUUGUCUCCAACAAAACCCGACAUGAUAUACAAAUGAAAAAACACACCUUCAUAAUGUAAUUAAAACGCAAGACAACAUUGAUAAAAUCCAAACAAAACAACCGACCGUGGCUCUUUACUUAGAUAUAAAAGAAUUGGUCACACGAGUGAAGAACGGCGCGGCAAAGCGCGUUAGCCUCUAGUCAUUCCACGAUUUGAAGCGCUCUGGUGCUUCGGGGUUUGUGGGUCGUUGUGGGACCUGCAUGAAAGGUUGUCUGGUGCUUAGUUUUAUUUCUCCUUCUCUCUUUAUUUUCUUACAUGUUUUAAUUAUGAGCGCUUAUUAAAUUUUGCGAACAUUAAAAAGAAAUAAUAAUAAUAAUUUAUAUCUUUAGCUUCAUUAAUAUUUAUUACAUUCAUCAGUAUUUUGAAGUUCAUGGUAUUUUUGAAGUUUGCGAACAUUUUUUAAAUUUGAAACAUGUUUAAUUUGCAAAUAUUUUUAAUCCAUGAAUAUAUUUUAAACUCAUAAACAUUUUCUACAAUUCAUGGUUUUUCUAAAAUUCACAUAUUUUCAAAAAAUCCUUGAACAUAUUUUAAUUAAACUAACCUAUUUAUAUUUAAAAAAUAGUCCAUUUUUCUAAGCGAGCAGUGGGGCGAGCAGAAAAAAGCUAACCGACUGAGAGGAAUAGGGAGUCAAAGAAGCGAGCGAGAGCUCGUGGGCCGAUCCAUGUGAGUAUUAUAGCAACAGUGGCAUGAUUUUAGCGUGGAUAGGACCUCUCAAGAGGCUCAAACGACCACCGCCUACUGGCACCGAGACGGACACGUGUAAAGACAUCACAACGACACACCAAAAAACUUCAUUCUCCUUUAGAAAAUAUUGUGUCCAACAAAACCCGACAUGAUAUGCAAAUGAAAAAGCACACCUUCAUAAUGUAAUUAAAACACAAGACAACAUUGAUAAAAUCCAAACAAAACAACCGAACGUGGCUCUCUACUUAGAUAUAAAAGAAUUGGUCACACGAGUGAAGAACGGCGCGGCGAAGCGCGUUAGCCUCUAGUCAUUCCACGAUUUGAAGCGCUCUGGUGCUUCGGGGUUUGUGGGUCGUUGUGGGACCUGCAUGAAAGGUUGUCCGUUGCUUAAUUUUAUUUCUCCUUCUCUCUUUAUUUUCUUACAUGUUUUAAUUAUGAGCGCUUAUUAAAAUUUGCGAACAUUAAAAAGAAAUAAUAAUAAUAAUCUAUACCUUUAGCUUCAUUAAUAUUUAUUACAUUCAUGAGUAUUUCGAAGUUCAGGGUAUUUUUGAAGUUUGCGAACAUUUUUUAAAUUUGAAACAUGUUUAAUUUGCAAAUAUUUUUAAUCCAUGAAUAUAUUUUAAACUCAUAAACAUUUUCUACAAUUCAUGGUUUUCUAAAAUUCACAUAUUUUCAAAAAAUCCUUGAACAUAUUUUAAUUAAACUAACCUAUUUAUAUUUAAAAAAUAGUCCAUUUUUCUGAGCGAGCAAUGGGGCGAGCAUAAAAAAAGCUAACCGACUAAGAGGAAUAGGGAGUCAAACAAGCGAGCGAGAGCUCGUGGGCCGAUCCAUGUGAGUAUUAUAGCAACAAUUGCAUGAUUUUAGCGUGGAUAGGACCUCUCAAGAGGCUCAAACGACCAGAGCCUACUGGCACCGAGACGGACACGUGUAAAGACAUCACAAUGACACACCAAAAAACUUCAUUCUCCUUUAGAAAAUAUUGUGUCCAACAAAACCCGACAUGAUAUACAAAUGAAAAAACACACCUUCAUAAUGUAAUUAAAACACAAGACAACAUUGAUAAAAUCCAAACAAAACAACCGACUGUGGCUCUCUACUUAGAUAUAAAAGAAUUGGUCACACGAAUGAAGAACGACGCGGCGAAGCGUGUUAGCCUCUAGUCAUUCCACGAUUUGAAGCGCUCUGGUGCUUCGGGCUUUGUGGGUCGUUGUGGGACCUGCAUGAAAGGUUGUCUGUUGCUUAGUUUUAUUUCUCCUUCUCUCUUUAUUUUUUACAUGUUUUACUUAUGAGCGCUUAUUAAAAUUUGCGAACAUUAAAAAGAAAUAAUAAUAAUAAUUUAUAUCUUUAACUUCAUUAAUAUUUAUCACAUUCAUGAGUAUUUUGAAGUUCAGGGUAUUUUUGAAGUUUGCGAACAUUUUUUAAAUUUGAAACUUGUUUAAUUUGCAAAUUUUUUUAAUCCAUGAAUAUAUUUAAAACUCAUAAACAUUUUAUACAAUUCAUGGUUUUGUAAAAUUCACAUAUUUUCAAAAAAUCCUUGAACAUAUUUUAAUUAAACUAACCUAUUUAUAUUUAAAAAAUAGUCCAUUUUUCCUAGCGAGCAGUGGGGUGAGCAGAAAAAAAGCUAACCGACUGAGAGGAAUAGGGAGUCAGACAAGCGAGCGAGAGCUCGUGGGCCGAUCCAUGUGAGUAUUAUAGCAACAAUUGCAUGAUUUUAGCGUGGAUAGGACCCCUCAAGAGGCUCAAACGACCACCGCCUACUGGCACCGAGACGGGCACGUGUAAAGACAUCACAACAACACACCAAAAAACUUCAUUCUCAUUUAGAAAUAUUGUCUCCAACAAAACCCGACAUGAUAUACAAAUGAAAAAACACACCUUCAUAAUGUAAUUAAAACACAAGACAACAUUGAUAAAAUCCAAACAAAACAACCGACCGUGGCUCUCUACUUAGAUAUAAAAGAAUUGGUCACACGAGUGAAGAACGGCCCGGCGAAGCGCGUUAGCCUCUAGUCAUUCCACGAUUUGAAGCGCUCUGGUGCUUCGGGGUUUGUGGGUCGUUGUGGGACCUGCAUGAAAGGUUGUCUGGUGCUUAGUUUUAUUUCUCCUUCUCUCUUUAUUUUCUUACAUGUUUUAAUUAUGAGCGCUUAUUAAAUUUUGCGAACAUUAAAAAGAAAUAAUAAUAAUAAUUUAUAUCUUUAGCUUCAUUAAUAUUUAUUACAUUCAUGAGUAUUUUGAAGUUCAUGGUAUUUUUGAAGUUUGCGAACAUUUUUUAAAUUUGAAACAUGUUUAAUUUGCAAAUAUUUUUAAUCCAUGAAUAUAUUUUAAACUCAUAAACAUUUUCUACAAUUCAUGGUUUUCUAAAAUUCACAUAUUUUCAAAAAAUCCUUGAACAUAUUUUAAUUAAAUUAACCUAUUUAUAUUUAAAAAAUAGUCCAUUUUUUUGAGCGAGCAGUGGGGCGAGCAGAAAAAAAGCUAACCGACUGAGAGGAAUAGGGAGUCAAACAAGCGAGCGAGAGCUCGUGGGCCGAUCCAUGUGAGUAUUAUAGCAACAAUUGCAUGAUUUUAGCGUGGAUAGGACCUCUCAAGAGGCUCAAACGACCACCGCCUACUGGCACCAAGACGGACACGUGUAAAGACAUCACAACGACACACCAAAAAACUUCAUUCUCCUUUAGAAAAUAUUGUGUCCAACAAAACCCGACAUGAUAUGCAAAUGAAAAAACACACCUUCAUAAUGUAAUUAAAACACAAGACAACAUUGAUAAAAUCCAAACAAAACAACCGCCCGUGGCUCUCUACUUAGAUAUAAAAGAAUUGGUCACACGAGUGAAGAACAGCGCGGCGAAGCGCGUUAGCCUCUAGUCAUUCCACGAUUUGAAGCGCUCUGGUGCUUCGGGGUUGGUGGGCCGUUGUGGGACCUGCAUGAAAGGUUGUCUGUUUUAAUUAUGAGCGCUUAUUAAAUUUUGCGAACAUUAAAAAGAAAUAAUAAUAAUAAUUUAUAUCUUUAGCUUCAUUAAUAUUUAUUACAUUCAUCAGUAUUUUGAAGUUCAUGGUAUUUUUGAAGUUUGCGAACUUUUUUAAAUUUGAAACAUGUUUAAUUUGCAAAUAUUUUUAAUCCAUGAAUAUAUUUUAAACUCAUAAACAUUUUAUACAAUUCAUGGUUUUGUAAAAUUCACAUAUUUUCAAAAAAUCCUUGAACAUAUUUUAAUUGAACUAACCUAUUUAUAUUUAAAAAAUAGUCCAUUUUUCCUAGCGAGCAGUGGGGUGAGCAGAAAAAAAGCUAACCGACUGAGAGGAAUAGGGAGUCAGACAAGCGAGCGAGAGCUCGUGGGCCGAUCCAUGUGAGUAUUAUAGCAACAAUUGCAUGAUUUUAGCGUGGAUAGGACCCCUCAAGAGGCUCAAACGACCACCGCCUACUGGCACCGAGACGGGCACGUGUAAAGACAUCACAACAACACACCAAAAAACUUCAUUCUCCUUUAGAAAUUAUUGUCUCCAACAAAACCCGACAUGAUAUACAAAUGAAAAAACACACCUUCAUAAUGUAAUUAAAAUACAAGACAACAUUGAUAGAAUCCAAACAAAACAACCGACCGUGGCUCUCUACUUAGAUAUAAAAUAAUUGGUCACACGAGUGAAGAACGGCGCCGCGAAGCGCGUUAGCCUCUAUUCAUUCCAUGAUUUGAAGCGCUCUGGUGCUUCGGGGUUUGUGGGUCGUUGUGGGACCUGCAUGAAAGGUUGUCUGUUGCUUAGUUUUUUUUCUCCUUCUCUCUUUAUUUUCUUACAUGUUUUAAUUAUGAGCGCUUAUUAAAAUUUGCGAACAUUAAAAAGAAAUAAUAAUAAUAAUUUAUAUCUUUAGCUUCAUUAAUAUUUAUUACAUUCAUGAGUAUUUUGAAGUUCAGGGUAUUUUUGAUGUUUGCGAACAUUUUUUAAAUUUGAAACUUGUUUAAUUUGCAAAUAUUUUUAAUCCAUGAAUAUAUUUUAAACUCAUAAACAUUUUCUACAAUUCAUGGUUUUGUAAAAUUCACAUAUUUUCAAAAAAUCCUUGAACAUAUUUUAAUUAAACUAACCUAUUUAUAUUUAAAAAAUAGUCCAUUUUUCUGAGCGAGCAGUGGGGCGAGCAGAAAAAAAGCUAACCGACUGAGAGGAAUAGGGAGUCAAACAAGCGAGCGAGAGCUCGUGGGCCGAUCCAUGUGAGUAUUACAGCAACAAUUGCAUGAUUUUAGUGUGGAUAGGACCCCUCAAGAGGCUCAAACGACCACCGCCUACUGGCACCGAGACGGACACGUGUAAAGACAUCACAACGACACACCAAAAAACUUCAUUCUUCUUUAGAAAAUAUUGUCUCCAAUAAAACCCGACAUGAUAUACAAAUGAAAAAACACACCUUCAUAAUGUAAUUAAAACACAAGACAACAUUGAUAAAAUCCAAACAAAACAACCGACCGUGGCUCUCUACUUAGAUAUAAAAGAAUUGGUCACAUGAGUGAAGAACGGCGCGGCGAAGCGCGUUAGCCUCUAGUCAUUCCACGAUUUGAAGCGCUCUGGUGCUUCGGGGUUGGUGGGCCGUUGUGGGACCUGCAUGAAAGGUUGUCUGUUGCUUAGUUUAUUUCCCCUUCUCCUUUAUUUUCUUACAUGUUUUAAUUAUGAGCGCUUAUUAAAAUUUGCGAACAUUAAAAAGAAAUAAUAAUAAUAAUUUAUAUCUUUAGCUUCAUUCAUAUUUGUUACAUUCAUGAGUAUUUUGAAGUUUAGGGUAUUUGUAAAGUUUGUGAACAUUUUUAAAAUUUGAAACUUGUUUAAUUUGCAAAUAUUUUUAAUCCAUGAAUAUAUUUUAAACUCAUAUUUUUUUACAUUCAUGGUUUUGUAAAAUUCACAUAUUUUUGAAAAAUCCUUGAACAUAUUUUAAUUAAACUAAUCUAUUUAUAUUUUAAAAAUAGUCCAUUUUUCUGAGCGAGCAAUGGGGCGAGCGGAAAAAAAGCUAACCUUCUGAGAGGAAUAGGGAGUCAGACAAGCAAGCGAGAGCUCAUGGGCCGAUCCAUGUGAGUAUUAUAGCAACGAUUCCAUGAUUUUAGCGUGGAUGGGACCUCUCAAGAGGCUCAAACGACCACCGCCUACUGGCACCAAGACGGACACGUGUAAAGACAUCACAACGGCACACCAAAAAACUUUAUUCUCCUCUAGAAAAUAUUGUCUCCAACAAAACCCGACACGAUAUACAAAUGAAAAAUCACACCUUCAUAAUGUAAUUAAAAACACAAGACAACAUUGAUAAAAUCCAAACAAAACAACCGACUGUGGCUCUCUACUAAAUAUAAAAGAAUUAAUCCCACGAGUGAAAACGACGCGAGCGCGUUAGCCUCUAAUCAUUCCUAUUCUCGGCGAAAUCCCUGAUCUACGUCUCGAGAUCACCAAUUACACUUUGAUGAAUAGAGUGGUACCAUCCCACACGUCACGAAAACGUGUCCAGUAGUGGUAGGAAUACAAUCUCGCACUGUCCUAACACUGGAGCAUUAAAUGUUGAUCUUACCUACUAGAAAAAUCCGAAAUUAAUCAAUGCGUACGAUCUGCACCAUGCAUGUCUCCACCACCACGCGUUCCACACGCCGCAGCCACCACACACAAAUACAGGGUGAAGGCGGCUUGCCCGCCAAUCUCCACAUCGCUAUCCCGUUGAUCGCCAUAGGCAGGCACCAACCCACCUCUUCUCCCCACUUCGUGCGGCGCGCGGGCCGACUUGACUUCGGCUCCGCUGCUGCUCGGUGGCUGCGAGCCCGCCGACGGCAAGGGCGGCGAGGCCAAGCCCUGCUCGCCGGCGUGGUUGCGCCACCUGAUCGACACGGAGGAGGCGUGGGCGCAGCUGCAGUUCGCGGUGCCGAUGGUCCUCACCAACAUGUCCUACUACGGCAUCCCGCUGGUGUCCGUCAUGUUCUCCGGCCACCUCGGCGACGCCCAACUCGCCGGCGCCACGCUCGGCAACUCCUGGGCCACCGUCACCGGCUACGCCUUCGUGGUACGUACUGCAUGCUGCUAGUGCUGCCACACACUUGAUUUAAUUUGUCCAAGUUCGAUUAUUAGAUGGCGCAUUAAUCACACAGGCCCCUUCAGACGCUGUGUGAUCGCGUAUCAUUCGCCUUCGCACUGCUACGACGCGUUUGCAAUAUGCAAGUUACCUGAAAAUACAUAUCGGUCAGCCGGCUUCCAAACCUCCCAGUCCCAGGCGAGAACAGGGACGUCGCGAUGGACAGCAGCGAGGCGCGGGGUCAACCCGUGAAUGACACUGAAUUGUUUUUCCUAAAAUCUAAAAAGCGGCCGGCCACCAUCUGGUGGAAACGAGCGGCCGCGCUAGCCGACAACCCUUUGUUCCGCUCGCUCACAGCGGCUCUGGUUCCUUCUUUCCCUCCGCUCGCUCACUCUCUCCACCAAGCCGAGGCGAGGCGGCGGCCGCCGCCGCAGCGACCCCAGCGAGCCCUCCUUCUCCCCCGCUUCCCCGACAAGGGAGCCCUAGAAGCACGGGCCACAACCGCGGGCCUCGGAUCUCGCCCCGACUCGAUCGACUCCAUCCAGUUCAUCUUCGGCGAGGACGCCGGCGAUCCCUCCUUCUCCCCCGCGCCCCCGCGGCCGGCCAGCAUGCCUUGGCUUCGAGGGAGCCCUAGGUGCGUGCACUACAGCCGCGGGGAUCGAAUCUCGCUCCGUCUUGACGCCAUCUGGUCAGAUCGAGGCCUUAAACUCCCUACUCCUCAUAUCUGCAGUUCCAAACUGAUGUGUAGCCGAAACUGCACGCAUGACAUACAGCCGACAAUCAUAUCCAACGAUGCACCAGUGCUGCUGCCAUGCAUCGUACGCUGUAAUUUUAGCGUCGUCCACAAAUCAUGUGUAUAAAAUCAUGUGUAUAGCAGUGCUGUUUGCAGUUGAGUCAGUGCUAAUCUCCUUGUGCUUGGAAAACAGUGUUCGAAACUACUGUACUAGUCUGACGAACAGUUUACUGACACUUUCGCUAAAUCAUUUUCAGUUAGGACAUGGAAAUAGUCUGAACUAUUGUAGGAUUAUUAUAGAUAAUGGAAAUAGUUUUGAUAGAACACAGUUGUACUAAGUUGGUCAUGGUUGUAGUCUAAGUUGGACACGAUCAUUGCGAAAUUGCACAACACAGCCAUACUAAGUUGGCUAGAUGAUGAUUUUGCUUAAGUUUAUCUUUUUUUUGCUAGUCACAUUUUUUUGGUAUCCACAGUAGUUGUAGUUGCACACAUAGUAGUUCUCAGUUGGAUACGACCUUUAAGAAGUUGCAUAAUGUAGUGAUACUAUAUCGGCUAGAUAACGUCUCCGCCACAGGACGUCGGAGCACUAAACAUUUUUGUUACCAGACUUGCACCAAAGCAACAUAUUUUUAUUCAUACGUUCUUUUCAGUUGUGAUUGUAGUGUCUUAUUUGGAGUUGUACUAUGAACCGCCACUCCAUGCAUGUCCACCAAAAACUGGGCAGUAUCAACACGGGACAUCCUUGUCCGAUGUUGCAACGUUAGGGGUCUUAGGGUUAGUUAUUUAGAAGUUUUCGCAGAUUUUGUGUGAAUGUUUUUUUAGCCAUUUGUGCAACCGGGGCAGCUUCCCUUGUGCAACCUGUUAUAUUGAACUCGCCAACUUCAUGUUUAAAAAUAGCCAACCUAACUUUUUGUUUUUGAUGGAAUUUUUUGUUUUUGGCUGGCAGUUUUUUUUGUACAACUAGGCAGCAAAUCAUGUGCAACUUUUAUUUUAAUUCAACUAGGGUAGUCUUUCUAAGACUGCUAUUUUUUUUAGUUGCACAGUGAGGAUGCAAACGAUGUGGAUCACACGGUGAUACAAAGGCAUUUUGUAGCCUUUUUUUUUGCAACUAGGCAGGUCCCCUUAUCCAAGUUGUUUUGAUUGACUUGCCAACCAAGUAGUAUAACUGUUUCUGGGUGGCAGUUUUGUUAAUUUGACAAAUAUGUUUGUUCUUUUUCUGUUUUGCAGAGACAAAUUGGUUGGUGAAGGAGAGGUGCCUGGCAGUGAAACAAAGGUUCAUAUUUUCUUUUUCUUUUAUCCCAUGACCAUUAAUUAUGCUCUUCUCUUUUACCCUCUCAGUAGUUCAAUCUGUUUUGUUCAUUGUAGGGUUCUCCAAAUAGGACCUUUCGGCGGGACUCAAAACGGGGUGCUAAGCAGGAACCAUGUGUCACUGAUAAUGACGGGGAUGGAGAGGAUGAUGACGUGUCCCAGAGAGUAUCUAAGUGAGUUGGCAUCCUCAUACUUUUCUAGUUGCACAAGAGUACCUAAUUAGUUGGCAUCCUCAGCAUUUCUAGUUGCACAAUACCAUCCAACUAGUUGACAUCCUUAGUCUUUUUGUAGCUGCGUUGACACCCUCAGCAUUUCUUCUAGAAGCCUGAAACCUGAAUGUGCAAUUUUUGAUUGGUCAUGCAAGCGAUGAAUAUUUCUUUUCGAGUAUCUAAUUAAUUGGCAUCCUCAAUAUUUAUAGUUGCACAAUAGUAUUCAAUUAGGUGGCAUCCUCAGCAUUUCUACUUGCACAAACAUUAUCCAAGUAAUUGACAUCCUCAACCUUUCUAGUUGCACAAGAGUAACUAAUUUUUUAGUCCCAUCUUCAAAUUUUUGAGGGUUGCCCAAGAGUAUCUAAUGACUUGGCACCCUCAACCUUUCUAGUUGCACAUGAGUAUUAAUUAGUUGGCAUCCUGAGCAUUUUCUAGUUACACAAUAGCAUCUAACUAGUUAACAUCCUCAACCUUCCUAGUUGCACAAGAAUAACUAUUUUAGUUGGCAUCCUAUGCAUUUUGUAGUUGCACAACUAACAUAAUAUCAAGUUGGCAUCGUCAACCUUUUUUAUCUAGUUUUUCAGAAGAACAUAUAUUUUGUGUGCAAUGUUAACUAAUCACCUUUGGCUCCUUUUGUUUUGCAAAACCGCAUGUGCUCAAGUCGGAAUGUGAUCACCUUUGGCACCUUUUUCUCAUGACAAGAAAAAUAAUUUCAUCUUCUUUCCUAUUUACAUUUAGUAACAUCCUAUAGAACAUAUUCCCCCUAUUUGCAAUUUGUGUGAGACAAGCCUAUUUGUACGCUCAUUUUUAAUAUUGUUCUUGUGCUUUUUCUAGUCUGGUUUCUUUGCUGCACACAUUUAUAGAAAAAGUUGGGAUUUGGAUACAAGUUUAGUUGCACAAUUAUAUGUUUAUAUUUGCAGACAACAAACUCAGUCUUUUUUAGUUUCAUCUAGUAUGUGUGUUGGUUGUACACAUUUUUUGCAGGAAAAGAUGGAUUGAAUGUAGUGUCUGUGCAAAUAGAAGCCCAUAUUUGUGCCAACUAAACAUGGAUCCAAAACCAUCUUUUCCUGCAAUGUGUGCAACCAACAGCCAAAAGAUUAGAACAGAUGGUCUCCAGUCUGGGCUGUUUUGUUGUACAUUUGCAUAAAAAGGUUGGCUUGGACCCGUUCUUAGUUGCACAAAUAUGUUCAGAAACAGUACACCCAAUCCAUCUUUCUAGUCUGGGAUGUUUUUUUUGCACACAUAUUGCAGGAAAGUUGGUUAUGGACUAAUGGCUUAGUUGCACAAAUAUGUGCUUCUUUUCGCACGAACAGUACACCCAAUCCAUCUUUCUAGUCUGGGUUGUUUGUUGCACAUAUUUUGCAGGAAAGAUGUCAUCGGAUUAAUGCUUAGUGUGCAAAUAUAUUUACUCCUUUAUAGUUUUGGCUGUUGGUUGCACACAUUGUAGAAAAAGUUGGCUUGGAUCCACGAUUUAGUUGCACAAAUAUGGACUUCUAUUUGCAUAGACACUACAGCCACUCCAUGUUUCUAGUCUGGGCUGUUUGUUGCACAUUUUUUUUGCAAAACUACUCCCUUGUGUCUAUUUGCACACAUCCAGGCAGAAGUUGGUUUUGCUACUGGGUCUACUUGCACAAAGUGGUGUUUAAUUACAGAGACAUUAGAUUACUGUUGCUACUCCCUUCAAUUAGGAGAAGAUUGGUGGUAGAUCCAGAGGCAAAGGGGAAGGGGAAGUGAAGAAGGGAGGAUCUGGAGCCAAAAGGGAACUUACCUUGAUUGAUGCUGCCUAGUACGCCUCUCACCUCCCUCUACUUCCGCUCGGCCAACUGCUCAUUACGUGAAGUUGGUUCAUGUAGCACUAAAAUUGCAUCACGUUGUAUUAUAAUUGGUUGUGGUAGCACAAACGGUGGUCUAAAAAAUAGUUGCAUCUCAUAGUAUAAAAGUUGCACCAUCUAGUACAACCAGUUGGCAAUGAAAAAAGUUCAUCGAAACAUAUAUAAAUGGGGUCUAAUUUUAAAGAUCUCGUCGCGAGGGUUCCGAUGGUGGAAACGGAUUUUAAUUUUGACAUGUAAUUCGAAAGUUAUAGCUUUUUGAAUUUUUUGGAAUGCAAUUAAUUGCCUUUUUACUUUAUUACUGGCAUGGCAGAGCAUAUGAAAAAGAACUUGGGCCAGCGUGAAGGCGAGUGGAUGAUGCUUUUCGAUUUUGGUCUCUGGAAUCAGCAGACUUUCCUAAUCAAGAGAUGGGACAAAAAAUUUCCUAAUACAGCCGGCUGCCGAGGAGCGCUAGCGAGCGCACGGCUGCUCGCUAGACGCGUCCAUUGUUUUUUAGGCGGGGAGAGAGAGAGAGAGAGAGAGAGAGAGAGAGAGAGAGAGUAGUUAAACGUGGCACUAGAGCCCUAGUUGGAAUGAUCAGAUGAGAUAAGAUAUUACCAAUGGUGACCAUACGUGCAGUACCAUAUCAUUUUAGCUCCUUUGGUAUUCCAUUAGUUUCAUAUUGGCAAGCAGGUAUAAGGAUAUUAUACAAGCUAGAAUACGUUGAGUACACCAGAUAUCGAUAUAUGGAUAUACGCGUGAGAACACACAUAUGAUGCCAACGUUUUCCUUGUUUUCUUCCUGGCCGAGGAGGCGGUAUUCGCAUGAAUUGACACGUGUUGUUCUGGAAGCGCAUGCCCGAAGAGCACGACCCCAACCUUGAUCCUUGGUGUGCCGCCGUGUGACGACCUUCACCUUGACGCCGGCGCUCAACUGCAUCUACAGCGCCGGCACCACUGGGAGAAUGUCAUCCCCGUGGCCUGCCAGAUGUCAACCUAUCGGGCAUUUGAACACAAAUAGGGUUCCAGUGCUGCUGCUGUUGCCGGCCAGAGGUUCCACGCGGGAGGUGGAAAUCCGUCGUCGUCGUGCUCAGCUCCCGACCGACCACCGCGACACCCCAACGUUCACGGUGGACUCCGUGCACUGGGUCACCUUGUUCGCCGACAAGCACAACCAACACCGUCGGUUCCUGGUUGUGCUUCGAGGGUAUGCCUCGUGCACCGAGCGCGCUCCAGCACCACAGUCGGUGGUACGCGAGGAAGGUAAUCAAAAAAGAGAGAAGACGAGUUCUUCUUUCUUUUAUCACUUAGGAGCCGUGCGAGAUGAAAGUCUCAUGCACGGUUUUGCAUGAAGGAGGAUGAGGAGGAGGUCGUAGAGUCCUAUGGGGGGCCGUGGAAGCCUUCGUGCUCUAGGAGCUUGCCAGCUGGCCUGGUCUGACCUGUCACUGGCGCUAUCUGAUUUGGUCGGAGUACAAGUCGUCGGGCCCUCGCCCGGGUUCGCGCCCGAGCCAGAGCAGCAGUCGUGGCCACUGGUGGGGCAUUCGUGAUCGUGGACAUCCAUGUUCCCAUGUGGGUGCACGCAGCCGAUGCGACAGUAGAAGGAGGCGCCCGCUGCACCACUGCACACACCGACACCAGCGGUAGUACCGUGGCCGUAUCCAUGGCGGGCGUCGGUCUACAUUGACCUCAUCGACGAGGAUAAUGGUGACGGCGCGACAGCCACUAGUCGUAGACUUUAUUUAUGUUUUUCAUUAACACUUUUAUGUUUAAUUAAUGGACGAAAGGACUUCCGAUGGCACUUUAUAUAUGGCUUUUAUUUUCAAUAAAAUUCGGUCGCAAUCUGAAAUGCGUCACUAUGGGCCCACGAACACUGCGUUGGAGUUGCCCUAACUAACUCAGAUUUUUUGCGGUGGAGGGGCAGGCGCUAGCGUUUCUGUGUACCGCUUAUAAUUCGCGACCAGCAUCUGUGCGUUGGAGAUGGCCACUGUACUGUAACUUAUUACCAGAGGAACAACCUAGCAUAUAUUUCUUUCUACUCCCCCCGUUCGGGUUUAUUAGGCCUCUUAGCAUCACAAGCAUGUCCCUUUUUAUAAGGCCUCGCUUUGGAAAGAUGCAUGCAUGCAACCAUUUCAUUGGUUGCAUUAAAAGUCAUUAUUGUUGGUGCCAUGAUUGGGAAAUUAAUACACUUCAUGGUGCUUUUUUAAUGGUUGCAUGCAUGUGAGAGAGUGCAUUGGGAGUGGAAUGAAAGAAUUAAUGUGAGCAAAUUACUACGUGUCUCGGUCUAAGAGAAAUUGUCUUUAGGCCUAAUAAACCCGGAUGGAGGUAUAGUACAACUCAACCGGUACUAUACAGGAGGGGAUGACACGCUCGUGCGACACGCUUCCGUGUGACGCAUGCUUCCCGUGCGACACGCGCCUCUCACGCGAUCUGCACAUCCGCUGCGAUUACGUGCCCAACCUUGGCUUGGCGCUGCUGAUCUUCCGACCAGGAGCGAUUCGCCGGCGGGGACGGCGACUGGAGCUCGUCGACGUUGAGAGGGUGGUGGUGGAUGCGCGGAGUUGGCCGGAUGAUGACGAGAUCAGGGUGGGUCGGAUGGUGGAGUUCUCCCGCCACUUGGCAUGCUUUGCGGCGGCUGACGGGUGGGGCGCGUUGGUGGCGGUUCCCGAGGGGAGUAAUGGCGACAGGGGCGAGGGGAGGGGGGGUUAUCUGGCCGACGCAUCGGCUCUUCUCCACUCCCUCCACCACUCCCUCCCUCGCAGAUCCGAUCCGAAAUCGCCGCCGCGACGAGCAGCCCGCGGAGCUAGGGUUCGAUGACGACGCGCCAGCAGCAGAUGCGGGCGCUGGCGGCCGGCGACGAGGUGCUGAUGGGGAGGCUCCAAGAGAUCGAUCGCUGGUUCCCGACGGCGAAGGCCCUCAACGACGCAUCCGAAAAGGUGAGGGAUAUGCUCAGGGGGGAAGUGACCCUCCGCUGCUUCCCCAACUACGACCGGCAUCCGGCGAUGGGGGUGCUCCUCUGGGCGAUGCUGGAGGCGGAAUCUCUGGAUCCGGCGCAGCGAGAGAAGUGGAAGGUGUUCCGCUCCUUCCGCUAUCGUCUGAUCCAGCCAAGAGCGCCAUUGCCGAUGCAGCUGCAGGCGCCGCCGCAGGCGCCUCCGCAGGCGGUGGUGGUGGGGAUUCCGGCUCCGGGAUCCAGAUGGCUUCUGUUCGAGAUCGAAGAAGACGAGGAGGACGAGGUGGUGGUGAUGGCGACGCCAAGACGCAAGAGGACGCCAGCGACUCCAACAACACUUCCUCGCCGCUCCCCUCGCUUCCCGAGGUGCUCACCUCGCCUCCUUGCCCUUUCCCGCCGCCAUUAGGGCGCUCGCCGGCCGGGAACCGUUUCUGGUUGCUGGCCGGCGAAGGCCCCAAGGCGGAGAUGGAAGGGGCAUCCACUUUCUCCGCUGCAGGUAUGUUUCCAAAUCCCAAAUACUUGAUAUCUACUACUUCAAUUGAGGUGGGUGAUGCUAAAAUGGGAAGAAUCAAAGGGGGCAUUAGACUCCGAAAUAAAAGUAAUGAGAGAAAAGGGUUAAAAUCUCAAAGUGCAGAUGACUGCAAGGAAAAGUACGAGAAGAAUGAUGAUGGGUUUCAUAAGAAAAAUAUAAAGGGGAUCGAGAAAGAAUUGGGUGCUAAUAAUGAUAGAGAUAGUAGGUUUGAUGCACAAAUAGUGUAUGAACAUAUGAAAAAGGAUGUUAUACAUCCUAUCCCGCCAUGGUUUGAACCAGAAGGGGUUGAUUUUGGUGAUCUAGUAAUCCUUGAAAACCCAAUUGGGGCUCCUGACGCUUCAAUGGAGAAAGAAAAAGUGAUGGUUGAAAUAGAUACCCUGGGGAGACCCCUGAUUAUUUUUGGGGGCUCUGUAGGGGGAGAUUUAAAUGUGGACCUGGAGUUGGGCUUGUCUUGGUGGGGGCCCAAUGGGUUGGAGGACAGCCCAGCCCAGGAAAGGGGGUGUGGGGUGGCAGAUAUAGAGGGGGAUGAGGGAGACAGAGCAAUUCAAUCACAUUGGGUAGGUUUUCCUCCCCCUCCUGCCACACUGCCGCCAGCUAAAGAGAUGGCCGAAAACCUAGGCAGAGGAUAUGGGGGUCCUAGAUUUAAUCGUGGAGGGGAGGGAGGAUUUUCCAGAGGUAGAUUCAACUUCAACAACAGGGGAGGGGGCUGGGUUGGAGGAAGACACGCCAUGACUGACAUAUUUGGAAGCUUGGGAAGAGGCAAUGGCAGGUUUGGUGCUGGAUACGGGGGUGGCAGAGGAGAUGGAGAUGAAGAGGAAUUUGCUGCAGAGGAUGGGGGUGGAAACCUGAAGUGGCAAGCUAAGACAGAGAAGAAAGAGAUAGUGGAAGACAUGAGUGAGAGGGAAACAGAUGAGGCAGAGAGUUCGGGAAUAGAAAAGAAGAAGGAGAAUGAGGGGUUGACGCAGAAAGAGCAGAGUGAUCAACAUCAACUGUUAACUUCCCUGCUGUCCCAGUUAGUUCAAGGGCUGAGAGGGGGAGAGAAAGACACUAUUGAUAGAGCAAUUGGAAAAUCAGUGGAGAAUCAACCUGGUAGGGAGGCCAUGAGGAGAGAAGAGAAGAAGAGUGAUCCCCUGCAGAAAGCUGAUAGGAGAGGUGAUCAUGAUCCAGUUACAGAUAUGAAGAAACAGGGGGGAAGAGGUAAUUGGCAGCUCAAUUUGGAUGAGAACAGGAAGGGAGUGGAAAGAAUCAACAAGCAAGCUUGUAGUAAAUGCAAGGAUCCAAGACACUCUACCAGGGAGUGUAGAGUGGGGCACUGUUUGGUUUGUGGUAGGGAAAACCAUAUCACUAAUGAUUGUAAUCUACUGAAGCAAAUAAAACUAGUCCCAAAAUAUGUUGGAUAUGCCGCCAAAGGGCUGGGAAUCUUACUGGUCUAAAGCUACAAAGAUAUGCUUGUUGCUGAACACACCAAUCCCUUAGGAGUGGUAAUUGUUAGAGAGGGAAAGAUUAAUGAAACUGAGCUCACUAAGGCUAUGGGAGAGAUGUUUGAUUGGGGAUGGUAGUGGAGAGUUAAAGAGUAUGGACAAAAUGGUUACAUGAUGAGAUUCCCCAACAAGGCAAAACUGGUAGAACUGGCUAAAUUCAAUGACUUCAAGCUGCUUGGGACUAGGGUGGUCAUCAAGGUUCAGCCCUGGUCCCUAGAUCACCAAGCUAUGGGGAAAAUGCAUACUGUCUGGGUUAAAAUUAGUAGGGUGCCUGACUGCUUCAGACAUUUUUAGGUAUAUGUGAAGUUUCUGCUGCUGUGGGGCCUGUACUGGAAGUGGAUAUGGACACAGUCAAUAAAGAAAAAGUGAGGGUCAAAUGUGGGAUUAGAGAUGUGGAGAAAAUACCACCUCAUGUGGAAAUCACUGCCCCUGAUCUACUCAUGUUCAGGAUGGGGGUGGAAAUUGAGAAGGUGAUAGAAGUUGGCUGGUAUAAGGAGGAUAAGAGGAAAAAUGAAAACAUACAUAAUCUAGAAGAUGGAUAUGGGGAUACAUAGAAUAGGAAGAGAACCAGGGUGGAGGAGAAUGAACAUAGGAGCAUUUCAUUGGGAUGUUUGUCUCUCAAACAAAGUGAGGAGGUGGAUGGGAAAAUGAACAAAAUGAAGAAACAAAUGGAGGAGAGUAUGAUGCAAUGGCAAGAUGAAAUGCAAGCUGAGAAAAGGAAAUGGCAGAAAGAGAAUGACAUUAUGUUCAACAAGAUCAAGAUCCUGGAAGAGGAUAAAGCUAGACAUCAAGCAUUGUGGGCUAAAGCUGAGCAGAAAAUUAAAGAGCUUGGGGAAAAUCAAUACAUUAUGCAGACUAAGAUCAACCAUCAACAAGAGGAGAUCAAAAAGUUAAUCCAAGAAGCAGUUGACAGGGAACAGUAUGAAAUGGAGCUGGCUAACAUGGAUCUGGAAGCUUAUGAGAAAGAAAACCAACACAGAAAAAGUGAAACUGAAUCUGGGAAAUACAAUGAACCAACUGAUUAUAAUGCCAGUCAGGAAUCAAUAGGUACUCUGGGUGAGAAAAUGGCAGACCUACAUGGUGCUGAGGUCACUGAUAAAGAGGGGGAGGAGAAACAAGUAGAGAUAAAAAGGAGUCUUAGGAACAAAGGAAAAGAAGAUCAGAAAAUAGAAGAGAUGGCUAAAAUCAGAGCUGAAGAAAGGGAUAAUUAUGGUAAGGAUUCUAUUUCUGAAUUUGCUAACCCCUCAUUGUUAGAAAUCAGUUCUAUGGUAGGGAUUGAUUUAGGGUGCUCUAUUGAUAUGAUUGAAAAGAAUGUAGAUAUUAUCAACAAAAUGGAGAAAGCCAGAAGAGAGAUAUACUUCCAAAGUGUUAAAAGAGAAAAAUUAGAUGGGGAGGGUGGAACAAAAAAAACAAUGGAAGGGAAUAUAGACACACCAGUAUACAUAAAUACUGGAGAUGUGGAUUUAGAUGAUUUAUGUUCUGAUUUGGAACACUCUGAUGUUGAGAUUGAGGAGCAACAGUAUAAAAACCUUAAGGGGAUUUUCUCUGGGAAGAAAGGAGGCAAAAAAAGCUCACCAGCAAUGAGCUGUGUGAAGCAAUCUAUUGGGAUUGGAGUUUUGAGAAGGAAAAAAGGAAAGAAGGCUAAUUAGUCUUUAAACCUUUGAAUAUACUAGAUUUGGGUGGACAGAUAGGAGAUUCUUGAGUAGAAGAGACAUAAAAUAUAGAAAACUACUCAAAAUGAAAGGGAUUUUCUGGAAUAUAAGAGGCAUUGGGCAAGAUCACAAAAAAAGAUAUAUUAGAGAAAUGAUCAUAGAUCAUAAGUUAGACUUUCUGGGGAUUUCUGAGACAAUCAAGCAAGACUUCACAAAAAAUGAAUUACAUAAUUUGUGUGGGGAAAAAAAUUGCCAAUGGUGUUGGAAUCCCCCUAGAGGUAUGUCUGGGGGGAUCCUGGUGGGCAUUAAUAAAGAUAUGUUCGAUAUUGAGCAUAUUGAGAAAGGACAAUAUUUCCUAAGAGUUCUGGUUUUUGACAAGAAUAUUAAAAUGCAUGGGAACUUAGUCACAGUUUAUGGGGAUGCACAGAAGGAAGGGAAAGCUAGUUUCCUUGCUGAAUUAGCUAGAUUAUACCAUGACAAUCCUCUGCCCUGUUUGGUUGGGGGAGAUUUCAACAUCAUCAGAAACAAUAAAGAGAAAAACAAACCUAUGGUAAAUGAACAAUGGUCCUUUAUGUUUAAUGCUAUAAUUGAACAAGCUGGAUUAAGAGAACUUCCUUUAAAUGGAAGACAAUACACUUGGGCCAAUAACCAGGAGGAUCCUACUUAUGAGAAGCUGGACAUGGUUUUGAUGUGUCCUGCAUGGGAAGAAAAAUAUCCAUUGACUAUAUUACAAGCCUUGGCUAGGGAGAUUUCUGAUCAUACUCCCCUGUUCUUAGAUACAGGGGACACACAUAUAAUUAGAUACACUUUCAGAUAUGAAAAUGGAUGGUCUUUGAGAGAAGGCUUUAAUUAAGGAGCUGAUAUAUAAAACCUGGAAUAAAAGAUUUAGAGGAGAUGUGUUGGACAGAUGGCAGUCAAGGAUGAGAGAAUUGAGAAGAAAAGCUAAGGGGUGGAAUAAAAAUAUGGAUGCUUGGUACAAAAAAAUUAAAAUAGAAAUCAUAAAUUUUUUUGAUGAUAUUGAUAAGAGAGCAGAGAAAAAAGGCCUGAAUGCUGCAGAAAGAACUGAGCAAAAAGAGCUUAGAAUGCAAUUGAAAAGAAUCAUGACACAAGAGGAAAUGAAGUGGAUGCAGAGAUAUAAAGACAAAGAGAUAAAAGAUGGAGAUGGAAACACUAGAUACUAUCAUGCAAAAGUGAAUGGGAGAAGAAGGAAAAACAGAAUAAUCUCUUUAGAACAAGAGGAAGGGGUCAUAGAAGGGGAUAACAGACCGAUGGAGUAUAUCACUAAAUUUUAUAAAAAUCUUUUUGGACAUCCUGAGGAAUUUAACAUAUCCUUGAGGGAUAUGGAAAUGGAAAAAAUAUCUGCCCAGGACAAAGAGGAAUUAUUGUCCCCCUUUUCCUUAAAUGAAAUUCAUCAGGUAGUUUUUGUAUGAAAAGAAACAAAAGCCCAGGACCUGAUGGAUUCCCUGUUGAUUUUUAUCAGGAUUUUGGGGAUCUGGUUAAGUGGGAUUUGAAGGCUUUGGUUGAGGGAUUUUCCAGGGGGGAUAUCAAUAUUGCCAGGCUUAACUAUGGCAUUAUUACCCUGGUUCCUAAAACCAAUGAUGCCAAACAAAUGCAAAAAUUCAGGCCUAUAUGCUUGUUAAAUGUGAGUUUCAAAAUAAUUACAAAAGUUUUGAUGAAUAGGUUGACAAAAUGUGUUGCACCUGUCAUCUCCAGAACACAAACUGCAUUCAUCAAGGGAAGAUACAUUAUGGAAGGAGUUGUUAUUUUGCAUGAAGCUCUAAACACUUUUCAUAAAGAUAAAGAAGAUGCCCUUGUCUUUAAAGUGGAUUUUGAAAAAGCCUAUGAUAAAAUUAAAUGGCCCUUUGUUAUACAGAUGCUAAAACAAAAAGGCUUUUCUGAUAAAUGGUGUGACUGGGUCAUGGAAACAAUGAGAGGGGGGCAUGUAGGAGUCAGGGUCACUGAUGAGAUUAGUCCUUUCUUUAAGACUCAUAAAGGUUUAAGACAGGGAGAUGCUAUGUCACUGUUGCUGUUUGAUGUAGCUGCAGAUGCCCUAGCAAUUUUAAUGAAUAAUGCCCUGAAAAUGGAUGUGGUUAAGGGAGUCCUGGGUAGAAAUGAAAACAAGGGGGUAAAUAUGUUGCAAUAUGCUGAUGAUACCAUCUUCCUGAUCAAAGAUGAUGAAGCAAGUGUGAGAAACCUCAAAUUCAUUUUGGGGGCUUUUGAACAGAUGUCUGGGCUAAAAAUAAACUUUCAUAAGAGUGAGUUGAUGUUGUUUGGUAAGGCUAAAAGAAAACAAUUACUCUACCAAGAAAUACUAACAUGUAAAAUGGGAGAUCUACCCAUUAGGUAUUUAGGAAUGCCUGUAUCUGAUUCCAGGAUCAGGAGCACACAUUGGAGUUGUGUGACAGACAAAAUUGAGAAAAGAUGUGGAUGUUGGCAGGGGAAAUUGUUGGGAUCUAUUGCUGGCAGGAUCACCCUGGUACAAGCUUGCCUGACUAAUAUUCCUUUGUUUAUGAUGUCCUUCUAUGCUGUUCCAAAAGGAAUCAUUAAAAAAGCUAAUUUUUUCAGGGCAAGACUGGUAUGGCAAGAAGAUGAGAACAUUAGAAAAUAUCACUUAGNNNNNNNNNNNNNNNNNNNNNNNNNNNNNNNNNNNNNNNNNNNNNNNNNNNNNNNNNNNNNNNNNNNNNNNNNNNNNNNNNNNNNNNNNNNNNNNNNNNNNNNNNNNNNNNNNNNNNNNNNNNNNNNNNNNNNNNNNNNNNNNNNNNNNNNNNNNNNNNNNNNNNNNNNNNNNNNNNNNNNNNNNNNNNNNNNNNNNNNNNNNNNNNNNNNNNNNNNNNNNNNNNNNNNNNNNNNNNNNNNNNNNNNNNNNNNNNNNNNNNNNNNNNNNNNNNNNNNNNNNNNNNNNNNNNNNNNNNNNNNNNNNCUUGGGUGGAUGACAAGCCCCUAAAAGAUGCCUACCCUAGAUUAUAUGGCAUCUGCUUUGAUCAUAAAAUUACUGUGUAUGAGGCCAUCCAAAAAGGAUGGAAAAGUUUUAAAUUUAGAAGAACUUUGCAUGGAGAAACUUUAGGGUUGUGGAAUGCUUUGAAAAGUAGAUGUGAAACAAUUAAAAUGAAUGGAGGAAAUGAUAAGAUUGAAUGGACCCUCACUGCUGAUAAAAGAUUUUCUGUUAAAUCUUUAUACAAGGAAUUGAUCACAUCAGGGGUGAAAUUUCCACAGAAAUAUUUGUGGAAAAUCAAAGUUCCUGCUAAAAUAAAAGUCUUCUUGUGGCUAGUGAAUAAAAAGAGCAUUUUGACUAGGGAUGUUUUACUCAAAAAAGGAUGGAAAGGAGGGAAAGAAUGUGUGUUUUGUGGACAAGAUGAAUCAAUUGAUCAUUUGUUGUUCACAUGCUCUGCGGCCUCUCUGCUUUGGAGUUUGGUCCGAUGCGUUUGUGGUCUGAAGUCCAGUCCGUUAAGUGUCAAAGAUUGUUUUGGGGGGUGGAUUAAUAAAUUCAAUAAAGAAGACAAGAAAAUGGUGAUGAUAGGGGUUUCUGCUUUAUUAUGGGCAAUUUGGAAAUGUAGAAAUGCAAUUGUCUUUGAGAGAAAAAGGAUUAAUGAUCCUUUCCAGAUAAUCAAACUAAUGGUUCGAUGGUUGCUUGAUUGGUCCAUUUUGCAGACAAAGGAGCCACCAAAAAAAAUGCUGGAACUGGGGGCAAGAGUUCUAGAACAGGCAGCAAGUGAGGUGUACACAGCUGGGCAGGGAUGGCGAAUCAAUGUGGCGAGGCUCCCCUGGAUGAUGGCUGCAACUCCUUCAUCUUCUGCUGCUGUUCCAAGUCCUUUUGUGCCUGCUAGUCACUAGUUGUUAAGUCUAUGACUCUGUUUAGUUGUGUUGAUGGACCUUCUUCAUGCUGGGCCUGUGUUGGUCCUUUUGGCCAGUUCUCAUUCGUCUUAGAACCUGUUUCUGUUUUCUGCUACUCGUCCUUUGAACUUUGUAAGAUUGGUUUUCAGUAAUGAAAAUUGAAAGGGGAAAACCCUUCUUUGAUCAAAAAAAGUACAACUCAACCUAUUAAUUUUUUUUUUGACAACUCAAACUAGUAUCAUUGAUUUGGAACACCAACCCACCAGCAGACCACCCCUACCCCGACCGUGCUAUGCGCAGGCACCUUGAAAUCUUCCUGUACCCGCACACUAGAAAAAAUACAAAAUCAAUGUGUAGUGCGCUGCCCGAUCUUCUCCAGUUCUCCACGCCACCACCCGUUUCCCACGCCGCACAGAAAAACGGGGUCAAUCUCCACAUCGCUCGCUAUCUUCUCGAUCGCCAUCGGUGGCGGCGGUACCACACACCUCCCACAAAACUAACGCAGCUCCUUCUCCUUCCCCUCUCGUGCGGCGCGCUCGCGGGGCCGACAUGUCCUCGGCGGCGCCGCUGCUCGAGCCCGCCGGCGGCAAGGGCGGCGAGGCGAAGAGGCCCUGCGGCUGCCCGCCGGCGUGGCUGCGCCGCCUGAUCGACACGGAGGAGGCGUGGGCGCAGCUGCAGUUCGCGGUGCCCAUGGUCCUCACCAACAUGUCCUACUACGGCAUCCCGCUGGUGUCCGUCAUGUUCUCCGGCCACCUCGGCGACGUCCACCUCGCCGGCGCCACGCUCGGCAACUCCUGGGCCACCGUCACCGGCUACGCCUUCGUGGUACGUACUACUGCAUGCUGCUACCAAACGCUCUUGAUUUAAUUUGUCCAAGUUCGAUUAGAUCGAUCGCCUGCGUAGUUCUGCCCAAAUUUUGACACGGAGACUGCGACGCGUUUGCCAUAUGAAAGCUACCUGAAAAUGCAUUUCGGUCAGAGGAUUUCAAAAGCUCCGAGGCGAGAAUGGGGACACAGCAAUGGACGGCGGCGAGGCGAGGGGUGAAGCCAUGAAUGACACGGAGUUGAGACCAGUGAGGGGAAGGCCGGGGCUUAACCGUUGGGGGUGUAGGGUGGACUGCCGGCGCCAGGAAAGGAGGCCGGUGGAGGGACGAGGGAGGGGGCGAAGCACCGCCGGCCGGUGGUGGCAGCAGCAGGAGGUUUGGUGGGGGCUGCAUCGGAGAUGGGAGCGGUGGAAACGAAAGAGGGCUAGAUCAGGAGGAAGAUGACACGGAGCCGUUGGAUGAAUAUAAUUGGACGUCCACACGAAAUCAAGUUGCACUGAAUUGUUUUCUAGGCGGAGAGAGAGAAGAGCGUGGACUUGAUGAGGUGACAUCUUUAAAGAUAGAUAUAGAUAUUACUCGCAGAAAAAGAUAUAUAGAUAUUAUGUGUAUUAUUUAACGUGGCACUAGCCCUAGCCGGAGUGAUCAGAUGAGAUAUCAACGCUCGUGCUAGAUGGCGGGUUGACCUUACGUACGGUACCAUAUCAUUUUAGCUCCACGCUCUCAUUCCAUUGAUUAAUUUCAUAUUAGCAAGCUGUUAUAAGGAUAUAGUACUAGCUAGAGUACAAGUAAUGAGUACACCAAAUAUAUCCGCAUGAACAUUUAUAUCUAUACUAAUACUUAAUAUAAAAAGACUCGGCCAGAUCCAAUUAAUCUCGGUCAUCAAAUCAUGCCAAGCCAACAACCUAGACUAUUUUAAUGUCGAGCGCUCAACAUGUUUAGCGUGUAGUUAAUUUCAUGCUAAAUAUAGUGCUAAUCACACAAUAACACGCAAAUAAUAUCCUACUUAAUAUCCGCAUGUAUUCAAUAUAUUUUUAAAUUAAUGUGCAUUGCAUGUAGUUGGAAUAAUCAGUAGGGGGUUUGCUGGGGAAAUGAAACAAUUGAUCGGCCAUCAUCUCUCCAAGUCCCAAUCCACCCAACCCAAAACCAGAAAACGCACAUGAUGCCAACGUACGUUUUCUUCUUGGCCCAGGAGGCGCUAGCUAUUUGCAGAAACUGUAGCCGUCGCAUUGAAAUCGUGUAGCUCAGCUGCCAACAAGAAACUGACACGAGGAGUUACGUCGUCUGCGUGGCCCUGGCCCGCAGAGGAAGAAGAGUUAUACAGUAUUGCCUGUGGCUGCCGGGCAUCGCUGGACUGACACGAACGUCGGUACGACUGUAUUCUGUUUCUGUGGGAGUCGAUCGACGACGUGUCGUGUCUGCAUGAUUGCCGUGGCUCGGCUCGGCUGGUCCUCACGUACGCCACCCGGUCCGGGCUGCAUGAAUGCGUGCAUGGGCGACGUGUCUGCAUAUACUCCUACAUGCGUCGACUAGGGGAUCGAACGAGGUCAAAUAAAUUCCGAGAAGUGGUAAACAUAUAUACACAGGGGAGGCCAAGUCUUCAGUCUUGAGCUAGGAAGGAAGAGGUCGUCUCGAUCUGGUCCAAGCACGAAUAUCUCCGUGGGGGAUGGCAACGGAGUUGUCAAGCAAUCGGUCUACCAGUCUCACGACUCACGAGUCUCGAUCCACCCACCCUUCUUGCGCUUGAUGCGCUUAACCACUACUUUUGUCUAAUUCGAUGCCGUGCUGCAAGUAAAGUAACCGAUCAACUCCUGCUGGGUGACAUGGUCAAUGACGUAAAUUAGCCAAGUCUCUCCAUAGUCGGGAUCCAGGACUUUUCAGUACAUGUGCGGCCACGAGUCCGUCGAAUCAUUGCCGCUGCAUCUACCAAUAGUGUGUGUGUGUGUGUGUGUGUGUGUGUGUUUUGCUGUAAAUAAUGUGGUUUUAUAGACCCGCAUUUUUUUUAGUUUUCUAAACAUGUUCUCUAGAAACCGUGGAUUUUCGUUUUGAGAGGUACGUACGUACUUCCCUCUGUCCGGAUUAUAGGGCGCUUCUAAACUUUUUCUUAAAAAACGAGGGCAAAAGCUUAGUACCACUUUUGAUUGAUUAUUAAGAAGAGAGUUAUAAGAGGACACGUCCUCGCCUUCUUUUCCAAUUUUAGCAACAAUGAUAAGCAGCACCGAGAAAUGGUUGAGGAAGACAUACACAUUUCUUUUGUUCAAAUUAAAUCUCUCAUGAGAAGGGCAUGAUAAGGGUGGCCAUGGCUUUACUCUGGCCGCCCGAUGGGUGAGAGUGACUGCGAACCACCACUUUGAGACGGAGCUGUAGUUGGCCCGAUUCUCAGCAUUCAAAAAGUUGAGGCCAAGCCAAUCUCGAAACAUCUUCUCAAUGUGGAUGGAACGACGGCACAUGAACAUAAUGUGGGUGGUAGUCUCCGGCUCCCUCCUACAAAACCGACAAAAACCUACAAUUUGGCCACCCUUUUUUUUGGAGGUGAUCUGCGGUCCAAACUCGCUCCGUCCUGAUUUGUUGUGCCUGCGGGUGAAUGUGUGUCAGUAAUGUUGCUUGGGACCAUGGUUCGGCCGCACCUAUACUCGGUGCGGUACAUCAUAUUUGGGAAUUUAAGCCUAAUGUCUAUUAUAUUUUAUGGCAAGAAUCAUCAACCGCGGUUUUACAGCCCUAGUGUUGCUAAUAAACCUACUGCAUGGCAAGUGCCAUAGGAAAUAAAAUAGAAACUUUGCAUCGGUGCAUGUAUUAGAUUUCUCACUGUUCAACAUUUUGUAUUGCCUUGUUAUCCGCAACAUCAUUGUUAUUCUUUUUACAUGUCUGUACAUCAACAUGGUUAUUUGGGUCAUCUAUAUCUUUUGAGUAAUUUCUUGAAAAAUAAAAUCAUAGCAACAACAGGAUAGAGAUAGUUAUGUGAAAGCACGUGAAAUCUUUAUUUUUUUUGAGAGCACAUGAGUUUUUUCUUCCAAGAACACAAAAGUAUCCUUUUUGCAUGAAAAAAUAACAUGAACACGCAUACAAACAUCGAUGUACCAUGCGUGCACUGUAGUUAUUCUAUAAAUAAAUAUCCAAAAAUAUACUAAUUGGUUUAUUUGCACGGGACAACCAUGAGGGGAAUCAACAUUGGGGCACUGCUUGGGCCCACGUAGAUUCCGAAAAGAAAUGACAUAGCCAUGGUCCCCCAUACUGUUCUAGAAUUAGCUUAAUCUUUGAAGUUUGAGUGAUAAACUGGCUCGUAUCCCCAUGAAAAGUAUUAAUCGGACGGCACCGAGGGUGGGUGUAGGUGGACCAUGGUCCAGAAUCACACCUCUCAAUGUGUGUUGGGUUUGUGUGUGGGCGCCAGUGUGUGUACAUGCACGUGUGUUCUAGUGUGUGCACAUGCACGUGUGUUCUAGAGUGUGCCAGUGCGAGUGGGUGUACAUGCACUAUGUGUGUGUGCUAAGAGUGUGUGUGUGUGUGUGUGUGUGGCAUGUUGGUGUACAGGUGCAUGCAUCUGUAUAUGUGCUUGUGGAUGCACGCGUGAGAGUGAUAUUGAGGCAACGCCACCGACAAGACAUGCAAUUCAUCUUUGAGUGUGCCGAGAGAUGAUUAAUCUCCACAUUCUUAUUAUGUUAUUUGAACGUUGAGUACGACGUUAGAUUUAUAAAUGCAAGUUCCAUACAAUGUGUGUGCAAAUCAUAUUUUUGUUCGAAAGUUACACUACUAUAAAGUUGUUCUUCCAUAUUACGAAACAGUGCCGAGAAAGAAAAAAGGUAACCGCUGGCAUCAUACAUCUGUUUAUAAGCGAGUCACAACAUAAUUUAUCUUGCAAGUUGUGUGUUUAUUUCUACCCCUCUCCCCCGUUCUUGGACGUUCAAAUUAAUUUGUUCUACAAGCAUGCAUGGAUACUACCUAGACAAUUACUCUUUAUGCAUGCAUACUGCAAUUUCAAUCAAGUGAAUGCUCAUAUACGUUAACUAACACUAGUGAAUAAGGGAGAUCAUUCACCUACUUAAUUAACUUUUGUGGAGAAGGUAGAUACAUGCUGUACUUGACGACGAAAAACUUGUGCAACUGCAUAUGUAAAUAGAGAAAAAUAAAACUAGAGUAAAAGAUAAAAACUAGAGUAAAACAUGGUCAAAAAAGUGGCUUACAUCAAAAAGAAAUCCAUGUGUGACUUACGAAUGGAUGGACCCAAUGAGUCCAUAACUUAUUCUGCAGUUGAACAUCGUCGCAUUGCAUCCUAACUCCCAAAGUUGUUGGACAUUUCAGACCGGCAUGAGCGGCGCCCUGGAGACGCUAUGCGGGCAGGCCUACGGCGCUCGACUGUACCGCAUGCUAGGACUAUACCUGCAGUCGUCACUCAUCAUGUCGGCGGUGGUGUCCAUGGUCAUCGCCGUCCUGUGGCUGUUCACGGAGCCGCUGCUUCUAUGCCUGCGUCAAGAACCCGAGGUGUCCCGCGCCGCCGCGGUGUUCAUUCGGUACCAGAUCCCCGGUCUGUUCGCCUUUUCCUUCCUGCAGUGCCUUAUACGGUACCUGCAGACACAGUCCAUCGUCCUGCCGCUCGUCGUCUGCUCCGUGGUGCCAUUCAUGCUCCACAUCGCGCUGAACCACCUUCUGGUGAACGUUCUCGGCUUCGGCCUCGUCGGCGCGUCCGCCGCCAUCUCCAUCACCCUAUGGUUCUCCUGCAUGAUGCUGCUUGGGUACGUGAUGCGGUCCAAGGAGUUUAGCGAGACGUGGAAGGGUUUCUCCACCGACGCGUUCAACUACGUGAUGCCGACGAUCAAGCUCGCUACGCCCUCCGCCAUCAUGGUUUGGUCGGUACAUACACAGUACCUUCGUCCCAAAUUACUUAUCUUAGAGUUGUCUAGAUACGGAUGUAUUACUUCCCAUUAUUGAUUUUGAGUUUCUUGGGUGCGUGCAGCUUGGAGUACUGGGCGUUUGAGCUUCUGGUUCUUAUCGCGGGCUUGCUACCGAAUUCCACAGUGAGCACGUCGUUGAUCGCCAUGUGGUACGUUUAUUCUUGAAUACUGUCAGUCCGAUGGAGCUUCAGAAGCAUUAUAUUGUUCCAUCAUGUUGACUUCUUCAACUUGUAAAUGCAGCUCAAGCACGGAGGCGAUUGCCUACAUGAUCACCUACGGAUUCAGUGCCGCUGUGAGGUAUGUAUGAUCUUAACUUCUUUCUUUGUCGCUGUAAGCACGAUGACCUGUUAUUUCAUUGUUUGCACAUUUUGCAGCACCCGGGUGUCGAAUGAGAUCGGAGCCGGGAACGUGGAUAUGGCGAAGAAUGCGGUCGCAGUGACGCUCAAGCUGUCAAUAUUCCUCGCCUUCUCCUUCAUCCUGCUGCUGGGCUUCGGCCAUGGCCUUUGGGCGAGACUCUUCAGCGGGAGCGAGGUGAUUGUGGCAGAAUUCGCGGCCAUCACCCCGCUCCUGAUGAUCUCCAUCGUGCUCGACUCCGCGCAGGGCGUACUGUCAGGUGAGAAAGAUCCAUCCGCUACCUACUAAACCAAUCUUCAAGAAUCACUUACCUGCACCGAACACAUAGUUUCAUAUCACGGACACGAAAUCAUAGACUGGAAUGCCGCUGCUAGUGCUAAACAUUUCCACAAAUUGACAAAUAAAAUGGCUUGCAUGUAACAGGGGUGGCGAGGGGCUGCGGAUGGCAGCACCUGGCGGCGAUGACCAACCUUGUGGCGUUCUACUUCAUCGGCAUGCCGUUGGCCAUGCUCUUCGCCUUCAAGCUCAACUUCUACACCACGGUAAUUAAUUACCCUAUUAAGAGCUCUCGCCCUUGCCAUUGCGGAAUGUGGGACAGCAAGCAGCUCAAACUCCACUCUGAAAUAUAAGUAAUUAAUGAGCUGGAGCACUCAACAGACCAUGUACUUUAUUUACAGGGUUUAUGGUCGGGUCUGAUCUGCGGGCUGACUUGCCAGACCAGCACGCUGGUGGUGAUCACCGCCCGCACGAAAUGGUCCAAGAUCGUGGAUGCGAUGCAGCAAGAGAAGGCCAACUACAUCGCUUGAUCGAUAAAUAUCGUUCAUGGCUUGCACCUGUAGCUGUAUAGGGGUUUUUGUGAGAUGGCUAGGGCGUACGAUGCUUGAAGAGAAAGGUGUAGUGCCAAAAAAAAACAUUCUACAUUAUGGGACGGAUGGAGUAGCUUUUUGACCGUGUAUGUUCAGGGAAUAUAUGUCGAGAAACAGAUGGAACCUGUAAUGGCAAUUAACCAAAGAGUACAGGAGAAACCUACAUACCGGGACGUGGAUGUUCCAUCCUCCCAACCGAACCCAUGGAUGUUCAUAUUUUCAAGGGCGCAAAUAUAUCAAGGACGUCAAUGCGAAGUUGUUAGAGCAACUCUAGCAGACCCCGCAAAAGGCCCCAACCCGCCAAAUAACCGUUAAAAUGCGGGACGGCACGGAAAAUCCCGCCCGAACAGACCCCGCAAACGCGGCCAGCCCGCAAAAAGUUUUGAGGGGCGCGGCAACAACUCGGCCCCAACCCGCGUAUUCGCGGGUUUCCGCCUCGCCCAUGCGGUGCCCCAUAUCGCAGUGAAGCAUUUGGCGGGAGGGACAUUUCAGCCCGCGCCCCUUUCCCCACCUCCUUCCGCCGCCGCCCGCCACAGCUUCCGCCCGUCCGCCACCACCGAUUCCGGCCAAAUCAGCCGGCGGAAUCGCACCGGCAGGGCCUUUUGCACCCUUCACCACCGCUAGGCCUCACCGCCCGCGCGGAUCCGGCUAGAAGAGCCGCCCCUCAUCGCUGUCGCCGCCGGGGAUCGACCGCCCUCGAGAUGCACCUCGUCGCCGCCGGUUAGUGUUAUUUUGCUUCGUGUCGAUGGAAUUUGAGCCCGGUUGGUUGACGCGGCGUGUGCUCCUCGUUCAUGUAGAUGGAAUUGAUCCCGUGCGAGAAAUUUCUCCUCUCCGAUUUGUCUGAUUCGGAUGAUUUGGAUGUUGAGAUGAUGCUCUCAAACUUACGACAGCAAACAUUAAUGAUGGCUCUUGCCGUCAAGGAGCACGAAGACGAGAACCAAAAGAGGCGGCGAGGAUUGACCGUCGGGCGUCUUUGCAUCCCUCGGAAUCGCCAUCUCGGGUACGAGAUGUUGAUGCAAGACUACUUCACGAAGAAUCCAACGUAUCCACCUCACCUCUUCCGGAGAAGGUACCGAAUGCACCGAUCCCUUUUUGUUAGACUUGUUCAAGCCUCGAGGCCAAUUGUCGGUAUUUUACGCAACGAAGAAAUGCUGCGGGCUUGAAGGGAUUUAGUGCAUAUCAAAAUUCUUGGCAGCUAUGCGGGUGAUUGCGUAUGGGGUUCCGUCUGAUUAUGCCGUUGAGUAUCUUCGCAUUGGUGAAGAUACAACAAUUGAGUCGGUGCGUAGAUUUGCCAAAGUGAUCGUCCGUGUCUUUGGUCCCCAAUAUCUUCGGGCAGAGAAUGAGGAUGACACAAAGAAAUUGAUGGCAUCUAAUGAGAGGAGAGGGUGGCCUGGCAUGCUAGGUAGCAUCGAUUGUAUGCAUUGGACAUGGAAAAAUGGCCCGAAGGCAUGGCAAGGAAUGUAUUAUGGCAAGUCUCAUAAUGCCACAAUUGUGCUAAAGGCCGUAGCGUCCGAGGAUUUAUGGAUUUGGCAUUGCUUCUUUGGUAUGCAGGGCACUCUCAAUGAUAUCAACGUGUUGCAACGAUCUCAUUUGUUUGCUAGACUUGCUAGUGGUGAUGCUCCUUCUUGCAACUACACAAUCAAUGGGCAUGAAUACACUAAAGGGUACUAUCUUGCUGAUGGUAUAUACCCUCCUUGGUGCACAUUUGUCAAGAGCAUCAAAGAACCAAAAAAUAAAAAACAAUAUGAGUUUGCAAGAGUGCAAGAGGCAGCCCGAAAAGACAUUGAAAGAGCAUUCGGGGUUUUGCAAUCUAGGUUUGCCAUUGUUCGUGGUCCUGCUCGUUUUGGGGACAAGCGGACCUUGAAGAACAUCGUGACAUGUUGUGUUAUUCUUCACAACAUGAUUCUCGAAGAUGAGAGAAGCAUUAACUUGGAAUUCUUCUACGACAAUGUAGGCAGCCGUGUCAAACCAGCAAAAGACCCUAACCGCAUUAGAGUUUUUCUUCAGACAUACAAGGAGAUUGAAAAUGCAAACACCUAUUUUCAGCUUCGGGAGGAUCUCAUUGAGCACCAUUGGCAAAGGGCUGGACAAUAGCAAACUCAUUUUUCCAUUCAUUUGUACUUGUAUUUGUAUUAGGGACAAGUUUUGUAUUGCAUUAUUUGUAUUUAUAUUCGGUGAUUUGAAUAAUUAUUUGUAAUGUGGAUGAUUGUUGUAUUGUGUUGAUAUUGAUAAUUGGUGUGGUAUUCAUAUAUUUGUGGGCCGGUGGGAUGAAGGAUGUAGCGGGCUGAUACGUCCAUUUUGCAUCAUGCUUUUAUAUCGAUAUUUAUUGCAUUAUAGGCUGUUACUACACAUUAUGUCACAAUACUUAUGCCUUUUCUCUCUUAUUUUGCAAGGUUUACAUGAAGAGGGAGAAUGCCAGCAGCUGGAAUUCUGGGGUGGAAAAGGAGCAAAUAUUAGAGACCUAUUCUGCACAACUCCAAAAGUCCUGAAACUCCACGAAAGUCAGUUUUGGAAUAUAUUAAAAAUAUUGGGCGAAGAAAGCACCAGAGGGGGGGCACCCACUGUCCACGAGGGUGGAGGGCGCGCCCCCUGCCUCGUGGGCCACCUGGCAGGCCCCCGAUGCCCAUCUUAUGGUAUAUGGUGUCUUUUGCCCUGAAAAGAUCAUAAGGAAACUUUCGGGACGAAGCGCCGCCAUCUCGGGGCGGAACCUUGGCGGAACCAAUCUAGGGCUCCGGCGUAGCUGUUCUGCCGGGGAAACAUCCCUUCGGGAGGGGUAAAUCGUCGCCAUCAUCAUCGUCAUCACCAUCGAUCCUCUCAUGAAGAGGGGGUCAAUCUCCAUCAACAUCUUCACCAGCACCAUCUCCUCUCAAACCCUAGUUCAUCUCUUGUAUCCGAUCUUUGUCUCAAAACCUUAGAUUGGUACCUGUGGGUUGCUAGUAGUGUUGAUUACUCCUUGUAGUUGAUGCUAGUUGGUUUAUUCGGUGGCAGAUCAUAUGUUCAGAUCCUUUAUGCAUAUGAAUACCCCUCUGAUUAUGAACAUGAAUAUGAUUUGUGAGUAGUUACGUUUGUUCCUGAGGACAUGGGAGAAGUCUUGUUAUAAGUAGUCAUGUGAAUUUGGUAUUCGUUCGAUAUUUUGAUGAGAUGUAUGUUUUCUAUCCUCUAGUGGUGUUAUGUGAACGUCGACUACAUGACACUUCACCAUUGUUUGGGCCUAGGGGAAGGCAUUGGGAAGUAAUAAGUAGAUAAUGGGUUUCUAGAGUGACAGAAGCUUAAACCCUAGUUUAUGUGUUGCUUCGUAAGGGGCUGAUUUGGAUCCAUAUGUUUCAUGCUAUGGUUAGGUUUACCUUAAUUCUUCUUUCGUAGUUGCGGAUGCUUGCUAGAGGGGUUAAUCAUAAGUGGGAUGCUUGUCCAAGGAAGGGCAGUACCCGAGCACCGGUCCACCCACAUAUCAAAUUAUCAAAGUAACGAACACGAAUCAUAUGAGCAUGAUGAAAACUAGCUUGACGAUAAUUCCCAUGUGUCCUCGGGAGCGCUUUGCUUUAUAUAAGAGUUUGUCCAGGCUUGUCCUUUGCUACAAAAAGGAUUGGGCCACCUUGUUGCACUUUGUUACUUUUAUUACUUGUCACCCGUUACGAACUAUCUUAUCACAAAACUAUCUAUUACCGAUAAUUUCAGUGCUUGCAGAGAAUAUCUUACUGAAAACUGCUUGUCAUUUCCUUCUGCUCCUCGUUUGGUUCGACACUCUUACUUAUCGAAAUGACUAUGAUAGAUACCCUAUACUUGUGGGUCAUCAAGACUCUUUUCUGGCGCCGUUGCCAGGGAGUGAAGCGCCUUUGGUAGGUGGAAUUUGGUAAGGAAAAUUUUAUAUCGUGUGCUGAAAUUUACUGUCACUUGUUACUAUGGAAAUUAAUCCUUUGAGGGGCUUGUUCGGGCUAUCUUCUCCCCGACCAGUAGAGCAAAGAGUUUCUCCUCAACCUACUGAACCUACUAAAUUUUUUUACUUUGAAAUUCCUUCAGGUAUGAUAGAGAAAUUGUUAGCUAAUCCUUUUACAAGAGAUGGAUCAUUACAUCCCGAUAUAUAUGCACCUAAUCUAUGUUGAUGAAGUAUGUGGAUUAUUUAAGCUUGCAUGUAUGCCCGUGGUUGUUAUCAAGAAGAAGGUCUUCCCUUUAUCUUUGAAGGGAAAGUCAUUGACAUGGUUUAGGCUAUGUGAUGAUAUUGGAUCAUGGAACUACAACCGAUUGAAAUUGGAAUUUCAUCAGAAGUUUUAUCCUAUGCAUCUGGUUCAUUGUGAUCAUAAUUAUAUAUAUAAUUUUUGGCCUCGCGAAGGAGAAAGUAUCACUCAAGCUUGGGGGAGGCUUAAGUCAAUGUUAUAUUCAUGCCCCAAUCAUGAGCUCUCAAGAGAAAUUAUUAUUCAAAAAAAUUAUGCUCGGCUUUCUCUCAAUAAUCUCUCCAUGCUCGAUACUUCUUGUACUGGUUCUUUUAUGAUGAAGACUAUUGAAUUCAGAUGGGAUUUAUUGGAAAGAAUUAAACGCAACUCUGAAGAUUGGGAACUCGACGAAGGUAAGGAGUCUGGUAUACCACCUAAGUUUGAUUGUGUUAAAUCUUUUAUGGAUACCGAUGCUUUUCAUGAAUUUAGCACUAAAUGUGGACUUGACUCUGAGAUAGUAGCUUCUUUAUGUGAAUCAUUUGCUACUCGUGUUGAUCUCCUUAAGGAGAAGUGGUUUAAAUAUCAUCCUCCCAUUGAAGUAAAAGUAGUAGAAACUAUUAAAGUUGAAGAAAAGACAAUUACUUAUAAUGUCGAUCCUAUUGUUCCUACCGCUUAUAUUGAGAAACCACCUUUCCCUGUUAGAAUAAAGGAUCAUCCUAAAGCUUCAACUGUGGUUCGUAAGAGUAAUGCUAGAACACCUACACCCCCUGAGCAAAUUAAAGUUGAACCUAGUAUUGCUAUGGUUAAGGAUCUCUUGGUCGAAAAUAUUAAUGGGCAUGUUAUUUAUUUCUGUGAUGUAGCUGCUAGAAUUGCUAGACCCGAUACUAAAAAUAAACAUAGACAUGUUGUUGGCAUGCCUGUUGUUUCUGUUAAAAUAGGAGAUCAUUGUUACCAUGGCUUAUGUGAUAUGGGUGCUAGUGCGAGUGCAAUACCUCAUUCCUUAUACGAAGAAAUUAUGCAUGAUAUUCACACCCGCUGAAAUAGAAGGUAUUGAUGUUACUAUUAAACUUGCCAAUAGAGAUACUAUUUCACCAGUUGGGAUUGUUAGAGAUGUUGAAGUCUUGUGUUGGAAAAUUAAAUAUCCUACUGAUUUUCUUGUUCUUGGUUCCCCACAAGAUGACUUUUGUCCCAUUAUAUAUGGUAGACCCUUCUUGAAUACUGUUAAUGCCAAGAUAGACUGCAAAAAAGAUAUUGUUACUGUUGGUUUAGGGGAUAUGUCUCAUGAUUUUAAUUUUGCUAAUUUCCAUAGAAAACCCCAUGAUAAAGAAUUGCCUAGUAAAGAUGAAAUAAUCGAUCUUAAUUCUAUUGUCGUGCCUCCCAAUGAUCCUUUAGAACAAUAUUUGCUAGACCAUGAGAAUGAUAUGUUUAUGAAUGAAAGAAGCACUAGUGCAGAACCGGGCUUUAGCGCCGGUUCGUAAGGGCCUUUAGUGCCGGUUCUACAACCGGCACUAAAGAGUGGAGACUAAAGCCCCCCCCCUUUACUACCGGUUCGGCACGAACCAGCGCUAAAGUGCCACCACGUGGCACGAGCCAGGCCUGGGUGCUGGUAGACCAUUAGUACCGGUUGGUAACACCAACCGGUACUAAAUGUUUGGGGGGGGGGUUAUUUUUUAUUUUCCAUUAAUUUUGUGUUUUCCAUUUAAUUCUUUUUUGUUUGCUGGUAUUUUACGAUACUACAAAUUGUACACAUUAUGCAUAUAUAUAAAUAGAUUUUCUCGUACGUAGAACCGCAUAUAUAUAUAUAUAUAUAAAUAUCAUCGAAUGUCUCACAACCAACACCAUUAAUUAUUCACACAUACACAUGUAUAUACAUAUAUAAUUUCUCCUACAUGUUGCCUUGGUGCCUUCGGAGCACGAUGACAAGUGGUUCAUGGGGGUGGUAGCGGGUAAUAGUAUUCUCCUUUGGGAUCUAUGACCUAGUCGAGCAAAAAUCCCGCUAUUUCCUCUUGAAGUGCUAGUAUGUAGUCCGCUGGUAGGAGCUGCUCCCGCACCUCUCUGAACUGUUAAGAAGGAGAUCAAUAUGCAUUUGUAUUAGUUGUGUGAGUAGAUAUCGAUAAUGGUGUGAAUAGUGUUUUAACAAACGUGCCCAAUCCUGUCUUUGAGAUAUGCUCGAAUGUUCUCGCAAACAUAGAAUGCACACAGAUCAUUCCCCUACGCCUGCUUCAGGGCCUUUACGAGAAUGGAAUUGAAUCAAAUAAUGAUUAAUCAAGCAUGAUAAUUAAUUAAUGGUAUUGAAACAAGAAUUAAAGAGAUGGUAGCUAGCUAGCUAGUUAGUACUACUUAAUUACUUACCCUUGGUCGAUACCAAAACAGCUUUUUUGCCCAUUUGCCUGGAGUCACCUUGAUGAACUUUGCCCAAGCCCUGCCCGGCGGCAAAGAAAAUUAAUAAAGGGGUUAUUAAAUAGUUCAUAUCAGGAAAUGACGAACUAAAUAGGCUGAGAUAUAUUUAAUAAUGAUUGAAAUUACCUGUUGACUAUCCCCUUCACGAUGGUGUAGUCUUUUUCUUCAACUGUUCCUUUGUCAACUUUAAUGUCUAACAAGAUCCAGUGGAAACUGCAUGCGCACAUGUUUGCAUGUCUUAAUUAAGCGGGCAUGUGCAUAACACUAAUCAACUACCGUAAACCAUAUACACUUAAUUAUUAACAUCUAGCUAGCUAGUAAGCAAAAAUAGAAUUUGUAGUACAAGACAUUGUGACUCACAGGAAGUUGUAAGGAAGUAGUAUAUCUUCAUUGGUAUUGAGGCGCUUGAAGAACUCUAGCAUGCUUUCCUCUAAACUUACUCGAGAAGUUGGAAGAUUCCAUGUGUACUCAUUAAUGGUAUUUGGGUCAAUGAACCCAAUGCCAUUGCGUCCAGAUUUUUUCAUUUCAUACAUCUUCAUCCUGCAUAUAAUACCACAGAAAAGAAUAUAUAGUGAGGAUAAUUACAUGUAAUGAUUGAUCAAAAUGAUAACUACAGCUAGCUUGAGACUUAAAUUACAGAAAGAAAUCACUUACAGACAAUAACAACUUACGAUAGAUUUGCCGAGUGCGUCUUGAUUGUAUAACUGAAAUAGUUCUGAAUACUGAACGGAUAGAGCUUUCUCAUGGAAGUAAUGCUCCUCCUUGACAUUCACCAUGAGGGACUCUCGAUUGGAAAUCUUGGUAAUGUUCAUGUACCAUUGAUGCAAUUCAUACAUUCUCGUUGGGAGGUUCUUGACCUUGUCUGGCUCGACCAAAGGUUGGCCCCAGAGAUAUCUUCGUUUUAUUUCCUCCUCUCUAAGCGGAGACAUGCACUCGAUUUCGAGGAGUUGUCCAACAGUGAUCUUGAGCAUUUCAUCCUGCAUUAUAUGCUCCUCCGUUAUUACCACAUCGCCCAGCUGGGGAACGUUAAUGGUUUGCCCACAAUAAUAUUGGGNNNNNNNNNNNNNNNNNNNNNNNNNNNNNNNNNNNNNNNNNNNNNNNNNNNNNNNNNNNNNNNNNNNNNNNNNNNNNNNNNNNNNNNNNNNNNNNNNNNNNNNNNNNNNNNNNNNNNNNNNNNNNNNNNNNNNNNNNNNNNNNNNNNNNNNNNNNNNNNNNNNNNNNNNNNNNNNNNNNNNNNNNNNNNNNNNNNNNNNNNNNNNNNNNNNNNNNNNNNNNNNNNNNNNNNNNNNNNNNNNNNNNNNNNNNNNNNNNNNNNNNNNNNNNNNNNNNNNNNNNNNNNNNNNNNNNNNNNNNNNNNNNNNNNNNNNNNNNNNNNNNNNNNNNNNNNNNNNNNNNNNNNNNNNNNNNNNNNNNNNNNGGUCAAUUGCGCCGCCUGUUCUCCCAGCUGGGGAAUGGUUUUCCCGCAUUUUUUGCCAGCUGCUUGUUGGCUCAAGCUUGAGAUCGCUUCCUUCUAUAGUCGUGCUCGAUAUGACUUCCUGAUUUGGCGCUCAUAGUCCGAGUCAACAGCCUUGGGAGCUGGUGCUCUAGCCAUACGAAUGAAGUGGUCAAUCUUUUCCUCAGGCACUUUCUCCCUUGGUGGCGGUGCCGUUUUCGGUGCAAAAUGGGCGUCCACUUGGGCCUGCACUAUGGCUGCGUUCUGCUCCUCGGUCAUGUCGUAAGGCCUCUGAGGAAGAGGAGCGAGGCUUGGACCAUAUUUAUAUCGCUUGUCUCCGCCUGUACUUCCUGUACUACUUCGACUCAUACCGUUACGCACCAUAGCUGCGGCGUGUCUCUUCUGCGAUUGCUGAGACGGCGGAGAUAGCUGACGUGGCUGAGUUGGAGCAGGAGGAGUGGCCUGAUGCUGUGCCGGACUUGAAGCAGGAGGUGUGGCCUGACAUAGUGUCGGACUUAAAACCGGAGGAGUGGCCUGACGCUGUGCCGGACUUGAAGCAGGAGUCUUCUCACGCGUUCGGGGACUUGGAGGAGGUGGCGGACUUCAAGGAGGAGUUGGCUCACGCGUUCGUGGACUUGGAGGAGCGGAAGUCUGCUGACUCAGUGGCGGACUUCGAGGAGGAGUCGGCAGACGACGCGGUGUCGGUGGACUUUGAAAGAUGAUGCAAUCCUGUCUCCAUAGGAUGAUACGAUGUAUGGUCUCUCCCAGUGUGCGCUCGUCGUCACCUCCAGGAAUGUCAAGCUGUAGCCCCGAAUAUGGGUCCACCACUUCAUCAACCAAGACACGAGCAUAGCCCUCUGGAAUCGGGGUGCAAUGGAAGGUUGCUUCGGGGGUAAUUGUAAAAGCAACGCCGUCCGCCACCUUCAUGGAUAUGUUCUUCAUUUUGGAGUGUAGCUCACAGUUAGUGUUCUCUAUGAUGUCAUCCACAGGGUAUGUAUCCAGCAGUGUGUCGCCCGGGGCAGAACCAACGCUGCUUCUCGGCAUGUAUGGGACAGUGCUAUCCAAUGCUGGACGAUCAUCUGCUUGCUGCUGCCGCUGCUGAGAACCCCUUUCCUGGCUAAGUGAGUCAAUCUGCUGCUGCUCCUACUGCUGCUGGGAUUUGAGUGCCAAGUCUGCAUGCCUUGCUUCUAGGCCUUGAAGGCAUUCUGCGUCCUGCUUCCUCUGCUCCUCCUCCAGCUUACUCUUCUUCUCCUCCUCCAUCUUCUUUCUUGCGCGGGACCUGUACUCGUCAUUUCAUUCCGAAAAGCUCUCAUACCAGGGAAUAACGCCCUUGCCUUGUGUUCUUCUCGGGUGUUCAGGAUUUCCCAGGGCGCACGUAAGCUCGUCAUUCUCUCUGUUUGGCAUGAACACCCCCGUUUGAGCUUCUUCUAUUGCGUCAAGUAUCUUUUGUUCGGCUCCUUUUAGACUUGCCUUCUGCAAAACCAGGCCUGUCUUCGGGUCCAACGCCCCCCAUGUGCAUAGAACCAAGUUCUGCACCUGGGGGGCUAGCUCCUAGUAACCGGAGUGACCCCUGCAUCCUCCAUCUCUUGCUCAGACUUAUCCCACUUAGGCAUUCCCACCGCAUAGCCACCUAGACCCAGCCUAUGGAACUGUGUCUUUUUUGCGGCAUUGGCCUUGUUUUUUAUCAAUCGUUCCUUAGAUAAUUCUGAUUCCUUGAAUUUCACGAAAUCGGCCUAGUGUUCUCUUUGCUUCUCAAGUGUUCCCGUGAAUUCUGGAGUCUUCCUUGCUGCAGCGAGGUAGUUGGCCCAUACAAUUUUCUUGUGGGUGUUGAAUGCAAUUGCCAUCUUCUUAAGAGCAGCGCCCUUGACUUUCUGCACAUCUGCUUCAGUGAAAUAAUCUGGUAGGGUGAAAUGUUCCAUCAGGGAUUCCCAAAGGUUUUUUUGCUCUGUCGUCGACCCAAGUAACACCUGGACGUUUAGUUUUUGGGUCUUUCCAUUCUUGAAUGGAGAUCGGGAGUUGGUCCUUCACAAGAACUCCGCACUGACGAGUCCACUUGUUCGCAAUGUUCUUAGGCGUGAGGGGUUCGCCACUAGGUUUGAUGGAGUUGAUGUUGUACUUUACACCCUCCUUCAACUUUUUGCCCGGGCCUCGCUUUGUCCUGCUGUCUGUAGAAGCAGAUUUGCUCGAUCCGGAGGGCUGAAAGAAGAAAUAUCGAUUUGUUAAUAUAUCUUCAAAUAAAAACAACAUGUGAUGAUCACCAUGAUGCCUGCUUAUAUAAAUAUACCUUGCCGGUAGUCUUUGUUAUUUGAAGAUCGGCAUUGUCUGUGUCAUCAUAAAUAUUGUCUGUGUCAUCAUAAUCAUAAUCGUAGUUCAUGACUUCAUCAGCUCGGUCGUCGAGAUCGAAUAUCUUUUCAUCACCCUCUCCGGUAUUGUUCAGAUAUUGGGAGCUGUCAUCUGCUUCAUUCAGAUCAUCUAGCCUGCGAGGGCUGCGUAUGAUGUCGAACAAUUCCUCUUCUCUCUCUCUGCCGGUAUUGUCCGCCAUAGCUUUUACUUAACUAAUAGAGAAGAAAUAUAAAACAAUUUAGUAUUCAAAUUACAAUGCAUGGAUGCAAUCAAUAAGGAAAAACUGAAUCAUAUAGUACAUAAUAUGCAUCGUCUCGAUUAAUAUAUAAUCUCGAAUACAUCAUCGUCUCGAAUAAUAUAUAUAAUCUCGAAUACAUCAUCUCGAAUAUUAUAUAUCGAAUACAUCACUGGCUAGGUACCUAUUAAAGAUCGAGUACUACAGAGGAAUCUAGGCCACUCGCGGUUCCUGGGGCGCGGGCGGUGGACACCCAAAGAGAAGGAACCAUCACAGGAUCAUAUCUCCGGUCAUCUGCCCAAAGAACCUGCCAAGUAUUGGAGAACCUGACGUCCAUAGCAGCCAUGUAGCGAUGGACGUGCUCGUCCUCCUGCCUGACAUGGCGGUGCACCACCUCCGGCGGGGUCGGCUCCCUCUGCACCGAAUGUGGCCCAUGCGAACGCCACCAAAGGAGAUCAGGGUCGACGACGGGACCCGAGGCCAGGUUCCUCACCAAGCGGCGCGCCCCUCUAGGUAGCACCUCCCAGUGCCAGCCUGGCGGAGCCCAGUCCCGGACAUGGGUCCUCUGAAGCAGGACGUCGUCGCGAACAGGUCGAUGGAGAGGAUGCGGGCUGGGCAUAUUGUCGAGAACAAAUACUACAUGCCCGCAAAAAGUAACAUUUUUUAAAUGAUUCGAUUGUGAUAACUAAAAUUCUAUAUGCAAAUUCUAACAAUUUGACAUUAAUCUAAUUCAUCUAACUAAAACUAAUUCUAAAAUUUCUAACAUUUCUAUAUAUAUAACUAACAUUUCUAUAACAUUUCCAAUAUUUCUAUAACUAAAAACAGAAAAAUUGCUAAUAUUUCUAUAACUAAAAAACAGAAAAAAUUUAUAACAUUUCUAUAUUACUAACAUUUCUAUAACAUUUCUAAUAAUUCUAUAACUAAAAAACAGAAAAAAUUUCUAUAACUAAAAUUUAUAACUAAAAAACUAAUGUGUGUGUGUGUGUGUGUGUGGACAUGGCGGCCGGGGCAUGAGCUCAUCGGCGAGGCGUGGCGAUGGGGGGUGACGAUGGGGACGGAGACGGGUGGUGAUGACGGGGAUGGGGACAGGGCGGUGACGACGGGGACGGGGAUGGGCCGGGCGGGGACGACGGGACGGGGCGGGGUGCGGCGACGGGGACGACGGGGACGGGGACGGCCAGGGCAGCGACGACGACGGGGAAGGGGACGAGGGGCGGGGACAGCCGGGGCGGCGAUAGCGACACCGACGGAGACGGGGGCGGCAACGAGGGGCGGCGGCGACGGGGCAGAGGAGAAGAAGCAGAGGAAGAGAUGAGAAACUGAAUUUUUUGAAGCAGUUUCUUAUAUACAACACCCCUUUAGUACCGCUUGGAGCCACCAACCGGUAUUAAAGGUCUGUUUUGGUCAGGCCAAGCGGCGGGAAGCGCCCCCCCCUUUAGUACCGGGUUGUGGCACCAACCGGUACUAAAGACCUCCUCUUUAGUACCGGUUGCAGCCACCACCCAGUACUAAAGGGGUGCGCUGGCGCAGGUGCGGUGCGGCAAGUUUAGUCCCACCUCGCUUGACGAGGGGCGUCCGCACUGGUUUAUAAGCCCCAGUGUGGUAGCUCUCUCGAGCUCCUCUCCAAAGCAGGCCUACUGGGCCUACCUGUUCUUUGCUGCCCUAUGGGCCUACUGGGCCUUUGCGGGCCUGCAUCCUGGCCCAACAAAACAUUGUGUUUCUAGUCGUAUGCAGGCCGCUCUGGCCCAGUAGGCGGGCUUUUUUAUUUUCUUAAUUUUUUUGCUUUAUUUAUUUUUGUUUUAUUUAUUUUUGAGUUGUUUUUUGCUAUAUUUAGAGUUUCUCUGUGAAUAUUUUUGCUUUAGGUACAAAAAAUUACAAACUUUCUCUUAGUGCCGGUAGUUUUCAAAUUUGAAUAGUUUAAAUUUUGAAUUAUUUGGAAUUUGUGUGAAUCACUAGUUUGUGAAUAACUUGAUUUUGAAAAUAGAUUUUUCAGUGAUUCUUUUUCCUUAUGUUUAAUAUUAGUGUGUUUUAUCAUUAUAUUCAAUUUGGUAAUUCUUAGGUUAUUUAAAAAAUGAAAUGCCUUUGUAAUAGAUGAGUUUUCGUCCGAAACCCUGAUACUUCGAAAGAGAUUGUCCAUUUUGUACACGAAGAGCAUCCAGUUUUUGCCGUAACCCUCUCUACUUUUUUGCACAUGCUAUGUGGAUGAAAUUAUGAUACUAUGCCAACUUUAAACCUUUUCUGAGUUCAUUUGAAAUGCUUUUCAAUUUCAGGGUCAUUUAGCUGAAAAAAUUAGUAAAUGCAUGAAAGAAUUUGUUUGCACAUAAAAUUUCUUCGCGUUUCAAAUGCCAAAACACAUAAAUACCCUAACUAUUACAGAGAUUCCCUCAUGGGUGUGAAAGACAGAAGAAAUUGAUGAUAGUGAAGCCGAUCACAUCCCAGAUCUUUGGGUGUGAAACUUUUUCUUCGCGUGUGUCCCUUUGCGCCGUAGCCAUGGAAAAUCUUCAUCAUUUAACUGGAUGCUUGGGUCAAUAUUCACUGUGAAUGGAGCAAUUUCAUCAAACUUUUCAUAAUCUUCUGACAUGUCUGUCUUGUCAUCCACUCCCAUGAUGUUUCUUUUCCCUGAAAGAACUACGUGGCGCUUUGGCUCAUCGUAUGAUCCAUUCGCUUCCUUAUCUUUUCUGUUUCUCGGCCUGGUAGACAUGUCUUUCACAUAAAAAACCUGCACCACAUAAUUGGCUAGGACGAAUGGUUCGUCUGCAUACGCAAGAUUGUUGAGAUCCACUGUUGUCAUUCCGUACUACGGGUCUUCCGUUACCCCGCUUCGUGUCAUAUUGACCCAUUUGCACCAAAACAAAGGGACCUUCAAACCACCUCCAUAGUUAAGUUCCCAUAUGUCCUCUAUGUAACCAUAAUAUGUUUCCUUUCCCGUGUUGGUUGUUGCAUCAAAGCGGACACCACUGUUUUGGUUGGUGCUCUUCAUAUCUUGGGCGAUCGUGUAAAAUGUAUUCCCAUUUAUCUGGUACCCUUUGAAAGUCAUUGUAUUCGAAGAUGGGAACUCGAACAAUGAGUACAUGUCAUCUUCAAUAUCGCCAUCAUGCAUGGCACAUUUCUGCAACCAACCGGCAAAAGUCCUCGUUUGUUCAUGUGUAAUCCAGUCGUGAGACUUCUCCGGGUGUUUGGAGUGUAGAAAAUUCUUGUGUUCCUCCAUAUAUAUACGGAGCCACCAAGGCAGAAUUCUGUAGAACUGUGUAGUAUGCUUCAGUGAGAGAAUGCCCAUCCAUACAUAUUAUUUGAUCCCCUCCUAGUGUGCCUUUUCCAUCCAGUCUGCCCUUAUGUCGCGAUUCAGGAACACCAAUCGGCUUAAGGUCAGGAAUAAAGUCAAUACAAAACUCAAUGACCUCCUCAUUUUCAUGGCCCUUCGAGAUGCUUCCUUGUGGCCUAGCACGGUUAUGAACAUAUUUCUUCAAGACUCCCAUGAACCUCUCAAAGGGGAACAUAUUGUGUAGAAAUACAGGACCCAAAAUGUUAAUCUCUUCGCAAAGGUGAACUAGGACGUGCGUCAUGAUGUUAAAGAAGGAUGGUGGGAACACCAACUCGAAACUGACAAGACAUUGCACCAAAUCAUUCUGUAACCUUGGUAUGAUUUCUGGAUUGAUUACCUUCUGAGAGAUUGCAUUAAGGAAUGCACAUAGCUUCACAAUGGCUAAUCGAACAUUUUCCGGUAGAAGCCCCCUCAAUGCAACCGGAAGCAGUUGCGUCAUAAUCACGUGACAGUCAUGAGACAUUAGAUUCUGGAACUUUUUCUGUGCCAUAUUUAUUAUUCCCUUUAUAUUCGACAAGAAGCCAUACGGUACCUUCAUGCUGAGCAGACAUUCAAAGAAGAUUUCCUUCUCUUCUUCGGUAAGAGCGUAGCUGGCCUGACCCUGAUGUAUGCUGUCUUUUCCGUGCAUACGUUGCUGGUCCUCCCGUGCCUCUGGUGUAUCUUUUGUCUUCCCAUACACGCCCAAGAAGCCAAGCAGGGUCAUGCAAAGAUUCUUCGUCACGUGCAUCACGUCAAUUGUGCAGCGGACCUCUAGCUCUUUCCAAUAUGGUAGGUCCCAAAAUAUAGAUUUCUUCUUCCACAUGGGUGCGCGUUCGUCAGCGUCCUUCGGAACAGGUUGUCCGCCAGGACCCUGAUACGUCCAUUUUGCAUCAUGCUUUUAUUUCAAUAUUUAUUACAUAAUGGGCUAUUAUUACACAUUAUAUGUCAAUACUUAUGGCUAUUCUCUCUUAUUUUACAAGGUUUACCAUGAAGAGGGGGAAUGCCGGCAGCUGGAAUUCUGGCUGGAAAAGGAGCAAACAUUGGAAACCUAUUCUGUACUACUCCAAAAGUCCUGAAACUCGACAAAACUUAUUUUUGGAAUUAAUAAGAAUUAUUGAGCGGAAGAAACACAUCAGGGGGCCCACACCCUGGCCAGGAAGGGGGGGGGGGCGCCCACCCCUACUGGGCACGCCCCCUGUCUCCUAGGCCCCCUGGUGGUCCCCCGGUGUCCAUCUUCUGCUAUAUGAAGUCUUUUACCCUGGAAAAAAUCGUGGGCAAGCUUACGGGACGAAACUCUGCCGCCACGAGGUGGAACCUUGGCGGAACCAAUCUAGGGCUCCGGCGGAGCUGUUCUGCCGGGGAAACUUCCCUCCGGGAGGGGGAAAUCAUCACCAUCAUCAUUACCAAUGAUCCUCCCAUCGGGAGAGGGUCAAUCUCCAUCAACAUCUUCACCAGCACGAUCUCCUCUCAAAACCCUAGUUCAUCUCUUGUAUCCAAACCACAAAUUGGUACCCGUGGGUUGCUAGUAGUGUUGAUUACUCCUUGUAGUUGAUGCUAAUUGGUUUACUUGGUGGAAUAUCAUAUGUUCAGAUCCUUAAUGCAUAUUAUUACUCCUCUGAUUAUGAACAUGGAUAUGCUCUGUGAGUACUUACGUUUGUUCCUGAGGACAUGGGUGAAGUCUUGCUAUUAGUAGUCAUGUGAAUUUGGUAUUCGUUCGAUAGUUUGAUGAGAUGUAUGUUGUCUUUUCUCUAGUGGUGUUAUGUGAACGUCGACUACAUGACACUUCACCAUUAUUUGGGCCUACAGGAAGGCAUUGUGAAGUAAUAAGUAGAUGAUGGGUUGCUAGAGUGACAGAAGCUUAAACCCUAGUUUAUGCGUUUCUUCAUUAGGGGCUGAUUUGGAUCCAUAUGUCUAAUGCUGUGGUUAGGUUUACCUUAUUACUUAUUUUGUAGUUGCGGAUGCUUGCAAUAGGGGUUAAUAAUAAGUUGGAUGCUUGUCCAAGUAAGGGCAGUACCCAAGCACCGGUCCACCCACAUAUCAAAUUAUUAAAGUACCGAACGCGAAUCAUAUGAGCGUGAUAAAAACUAGCUUGACGAUAAUUCCCAUGUGUCCUCGGGAUCUCUUUUCUCAUUAUAAUAAAUUGUCCAGGCUUAUCCUUUGCUACAAAAAGGAUUGGGCCACCUUUCUGCACUUUAUUUACUUUCAUUGCUUGUUACUCGUUACAAUUUAUCUUAUCACAGAACUAUCUGUUACCUACAAUUUCAGUAUUUGCAGAGAAAACCUUACUGAAAACCGCUUAUCAUUUUCUUCUGCUCCUCAUUGGGUUCGACACUCUUACUUAUCGAAAGGACUACGAUAGAUCCCCUACACUUGUGGGUCAUCAAGACUCUUUUCUGGCGCCUUUGUCGGGGAGUGUAGCAAUUUUGGUGAGUGGAACUUGGUAAGGAAACAUUUAUAUAGUGUGCUGAAAUUUUCUGUUACUUGUUACUAUGGAAACUAAUCCUUUGAGGGGCUUGUUCGGGGUAUCUUCACCCCGAUGAGAAGAGCAAAUAGUUUCUCCUCAACCUACUGAACCUACUGAAAAUAUUUACUUUGAGAUUCCUUCGGGUAUAAUAGAGAAACUGCUAGCUAAUCCAUUUGCAGGAGAUGGAACAUUACAUCCCGAUUUACACCUUAUCUUUGUGGAUGAAGUUUGUGGAUUAUUUAAGCUUGCAGGUAUUCCCGAUGAUGUCGUCAAAAGGAAGGUCUUUCCUGUAUCUUUGAAGGGAGAUGCAUUGACAUGGUAUAGGUUAUGUGAUGAUACAAGAUGUUGGAAUUAUAAACGAUUGAAGUUGGAAUUUUACCAGAAGUUCUAUCCUAUGCAUCUUGUUCACCAUGAUCGUAAUUACAUAUAUAAUUUCUGGCCUCGCGAAGGAGAAAGCAUCGCUCAAGUUUGGGGGAGGCGUAAGUCAAUGUUAUAUUCAUGCCCCAAUCAUGAGCUUUCCAGAGAAAUGAUUAUUCAAAAUUUUAUGCUCGGCUUUCUCUCAAUGACCGCAACAUGCUUCAUACUUCCUGUGCUGGUUCUUAUAUGCUGAAGACUAUUGAAUUCAAAUGGAACUUAUUGGAAAGAAUGAAACACAACUCUGAAGAUUGGGGUUCCGACGAUGGUAAGGAGUCAGGUAUGACACCCAAGUUUGAUUGUGUUAAAUCUUUUAUGGAUACCAAUGCUUUUCGUGGAUUUAGCGCUAAAUAUGGACUUGACUCUGAGAUAGUAGCUUCUUUCUGUGAAUCUUUUGCAACUCACAUUGAUCUCCCUAAGGAGAAGUGGUUUAAAUAUAAUCCUCCCGUUGAAGUAAAAGUAGUUGCACAUAUUACAGUUGAAGAAAAGACUGUCACUUAUAGUGAUCCUAUUGUUCCUACUACUUAUGUUGAGAAACCUCCUUUUCCUGUUAGGAUAAAGGAUCAUUCUAAAACUUCAACUAUUGUUCGUAAGAGUAAUACUAGGACUUAUACACCUCCUGAGCAAAUCAAAGUUGAACCUAGUAUUGCUAUGGUUAAAGAUCUCUUGGAUGAUGAUUUAGAUGGGCAUGUUAUUUAUUUCUGUGGUGAAACUGCAAAUAUUGCUAGACCCGAUACUAAGAUACAUAGACCCGUUGUAGGCAUGCCUGUUAUUUCUGUUAAAAUAGGAUAUCAUUGUUAUCAUGGCUUAUGUGAUAUGGGUGCUAGUGCUAGUGCAAUACCCUAUGAUUUAUAUAAAGAAAUUAUGCACGACAUUACAUCCAUUGAAUUAGAAGAUAUUUGUGUUACCAUUAAGCUUGCUAAUAGGGACACUAUUAAACCAGUUGGAAUUGUUAGAGAUGUCGAAGUCUUGUGUGGGAAGGUCAAAUAUCCUGCUGAUUUUCUUGUUCUUGGUUCCCCACAAGAUGAUUUUUGUCCCAUUAUUUUUGGUAGACCCUUCUUGAGUACUCUUCGUGCUAAGAUUGAUUGCGAAAAGGAUGUUGUUGAAAUUGGCUUAGGGGAUAUGAAACAUGAGUUUAAUUUUUCUAAGUUUCGUAGACAACCUCGUGAUAGAGAAUCACCUAGCAAGGAUGAGAUUAUUGGUCUUGCUUCUAUUGCCGUGCCUCCUACUGAUCCGUUAGAACAAUAUUUGCUUGACCAUGAAAAUGAUAUGUUUAUGAAGGAAAGAAGGGAAAUAGAUGAAGUGUUCCUUAAACAGGAGCCUAUGCUGAAACAUAACCUUCUCAUUGAAAUUCUUGGGGACCCCCCUCCAUCCAAGGGUGAUCCCGUGUUUGAAAUCAAACCAUUACCUGGUAAUCUUAAGUAUGCUUAUCUUGAUGAAAAGAAAAUAUACCAUGUUAUUAUUAGUGCUAACCUUUCAGAACAAGAAGAAGAAACAUUAUUGAAAACUCUGAAGAAGCACCGUGCUGCUAUUGGAUACACUCUGGAUGAUCUUAAUGGCAUUAGUCCCACUCUAUGCCAACACAAAAUAAAUGUGGAGAAAGAUGCCAAACCAGUUAGAGAUCCUCAAUGACGACUGAAUCCCAAAAUGAAAGAAGUGGUAAGAAAGGAGAUACAAAAGCUCCUUGAGGCAGGUAUAAUUUAUCCCGUUACUGAUAGUGAUUGGGUAAGCCCUGUCCAUUGUGUUCCUAAAAAAGGGGGUAUUACUAUCGUUCCUAAUGAUAAAGAUGAAUUGAUCCCGCAAAGAAUUAUUACAGGUUAUAGGAUGGUAAUUGAUUUCUAUAAAUUAAAUAAAGCUACUAAGAAAGAUCAUUACCCUUUACCUUUUAUUGAUCAAAUGCAAGAAAGACUAUCCAAACACACACAUUUCUACUUUCUAGAUGGUUAUUCUGGUUUCUCUCAAAUACCUGUGUCAGCGGAGGACCAAUCAAAAACUACUUUUACUUGCCCUUUUGGUACUUUCGCUUAUAGAUGUAUGCCUUUUGGUUUAUGUAAUGCACCUGCUACCUUUCAAAGAUGCAUGAUGGCUAUAUUCUUUGACUUUUGUGAAAAGAUUUGUGAGGUAUUCAUGGAUGAUUUCUUUGUUUAUUGAUCCUCUUUUGAUGAUUGCUUGAGCAACCAUGAUCGAGUUUUGUAGAGAUGUGAAGACACUAGCCUCGUGUUGAAUUGGGAAAAGUGCCACUUUAUGGUUAAUGAAGGCAUUGUCUUAGGGCAUAAGAUUUCCGAGACAUGUAUUGAAGUUGAUAAGGUUAAAGUUGAUGCUAUUGAAAAGAUGCCAUGUCCCAAGGACAUAAAAGGUAUAAGAAGUUUCCUUGUUCAUGCCGGUUUUUAUAGGAGGUUCAUUAAGGACUUUUCUAAAAUCUCUAGGCCUCUGACUAAUUUAUUGCAAAAAGAUAUCCCUUUUGUCUUUGAUGAUGAUUGUAUAGAAGAAUUUGAAAUACUCAAGAAAGCUUUGAUCACUACACCUAUUGUUCAGCCACCUGAUUGGAAUUUACCUUUUGAAAUUAUGUGUGAUGCUAGUGAUUAUGCUGUAGGUGCUGUUCUAGGGCAAAGAGUUGAUAAGAAAUUGAAUGUUAUCCAGUAUGCUAGUAAGACUCUUGAUACUGCCCAGAGAAAUUAUGCUACUACUGAAAAAGAAUUCUUAGCAGUUGUGUUCGCAUGUGAUAAAUUUAGACCUUAUAUUGUUGAUUGCAAAGUUACUAUUCACACUGAUCAUGCUGCUAUUAAAUAUCUUAUGGAAAAGAAAUAUGCUAAGCCUAGACUCAUUAGAUGGGUCCUCUUGCUCCAAGAAUUUGAUUUGCAUAUUAUUGAUGGAAAGGGAGCUGAGAACCCCAUUGCAGACAACUUGUCUAGGUUAGAGAAUAUUCUUGAUGACCCACUGCCUAUUGAUGAUAGCUUUCCUGAUGAACAAUUAGCGGUCGUUAAUGCUUCUCAUACUGUGCCUUGGUAUCCUGAUUACGCUAAUUACAUUGUUGCUAAAUUUAUACCACCUAGUUUCACAUACCAGCAAAAGAAAAAGUUCUUUUAUGAUUUAAGACAUUACUUCUGGGAUGACCCACACCUUUAUAAAGAAGGAGUGGAUGGUGUUAUUAGACGUUGUGUACCUGGGCAUGAACAGGAGUAGAUCCUACACAAGUGUCACUCUGAAUCCUAUGGAGGACACCACGCCUGAGAUAGAACUGCACAUAAGGUACUGCAAUCUGGUUUUUAUUGGCCUACUCUCUUCAAAGAUGCCCGUAAGUUUGUUUUAUCUUGUGAUGAAUGUCAAAGAAUUAGUAAUGUUAGUAGACGUCAAGAAAUGCCUAUGAAUUAUUCUCUUGUUAUUGAACCGUUUGAUGUUUGGGGCAUUGACUAUAUGGGACCUUUUCCUGCCUCUAAUGGUUACACACAUAUUUUAGUUGCUAUUGAUUACGUUACUAAGUGGGUAGAAGCUAUUCCAACUAGUAGUGGUGAUCAUAAAACUUCUAUUAAAAUGCUUGAAGAAGUUAUUUUUCCAAGGUUUGGAGUUCCUAGAUAUCUUAUGACUGAUGGUGGUUCACAUUUUAUUCAUGGUGCUUUCCGUAAGAUGCUUGCUAAGUAUGAUGUUAAUCAUAGAAUUGCAUCUCCUUAUCAUCCGCAGUCUAGUGGUCAAGUAGAGUUGAGCAAUAGAGAGCUCAAAUUAAUUUUGCAAAAGACUGUCAAUAGAUCUAGAAAGAAUUGGUCCAAGAAACUUGAUGAUGCAUUAUGGGCCUAUAGAACUGCUUACAAAAAUCCUAUGGGCAUGUCUCCAUAUAAGAUGGUUUAUGGAAAAGCUUGUCAUUUACCUCUAGAACUUGAACAUAAAGCAUAUUGGGCUAUUAAAGAGCUCAACUAUGACUUCAAACUUGCCGGUGAAAAGAGGUUAUUUGAUAUUAGCUCACUUGAUGAAUGGAGAACCCAAGCCUAUGAGAAUGCCAAGCUAUUCAAAGAAAAAGUCAAACGCUGGCAUGACAAAAGGAUACAAAAGCAUGAGUUUAAUGUAGGUGAUUAUGUCUUAUUAUUCAACUCUCGUUUAAGAUUUUUUGCAGGAAAACUUCUUUCUAAAUGGGAAGGUCCUUACGUUAUCGAGAAGGUCUACCGUUCUGGUGCCAUAAAAAUCAACAACUUCGAAGGCACAAGUCCAAGGGUGGUGAACGGUCAAAGAAUCAAACAUUAUAUCUCACGUAAUCCUAUCAAUGUUGAAACUAAUAUUAUUGAAAUCGUAACCCCGGAGGAAUACAUAAGGGACACUUUCCAGAACGUUCCAGACUCCAAAAAGGAAUAUGUAUGUGGUACGGAAAGUAAAUCGAUUCCAAAACAAUUCUAAUGGCACUUUUUAUCAGUUUCAGAAUAUUUAAGAAUUUUAGGAAGAAAGAAGUAGACCGGGAAGGACACGAGGCCUCCAUGAGGGUGGAGGGCGCGCCCACCCUUACUGGGCGCGUCCCUGUCUCAUGGCCACCUUGUGUGCCUCCCGGACUCCGUUUUCUUGCAUGUUACGUAUUUUGGUCGGUAAAAAUUCAUUAUAUAAACUCCCGAAGGUUUUAACCAAUGUAUCACGCAAAUAUCCUCUGUUUUCGUUUCGAGUUGUUUCUGUUUCAGAUCUAGAGCACUAUGGCGUCACCCUCCUUCAACAAUAAAGACAAGGAUGCUUGGCUAUUAAAGAUAGAGCUGAAAAGAGAAGAACCGGAAGAGAUCAACAAGGAGGAAGGGAUCAAGAAGGCCAUGGAGGUUCAAGCUUCAGCGAUGAAAGAAGAAGACAUACCUCAACCCUUACCUAACCUCUUUACUCCAACCGAGAUUGAAGCUUUCAAGAUGAUUGAGUUAGCUUGCAUAUAGAAUAAGUAUCUCACAUAGGAGAAUAUUUUGCUGAAGGAUCAUAUCACCGGACUCAAGGGCAUUAUCCGCAAGUUGGAGGAGCUUUUACGCUCGAUGUGCGAUUAUCCACCAUCAUCAUCACCACCUCCAUCACCUCCAAGGACAUAAUCACAUGGGUAUGGGCACUACCCUUGGCAACUGCCAAGCUUUGGGGAGGUGCCCCUGUAUCAUAUCACCAUCACACUCCUAUCUUUACCUUUUUAUUUAGUUCGAUCUUUUUAGUAGUAUCUUGAUCUAGUAGAUUGAAGUUUUGAUAUCAAGUAGUUUUGAGUUUUUCUUUGAGAUCUCUUUAUGUAAUUGAGUCCGUGAGCUAUCUAUAAUAAAGAUUAGUGUUGAGUCAAGGGCUUUGCUAUCUUGCUAUGAUCUUGGGAAAGUAGAAAGAAUAAAAGGGUUCAUAUUGAUCUUAUGGCUAGUGAUGACUUCACACAUAGAAAGUAUGAGGCAUAAAAGUUGUUGAGAGUUGAUAAACGUAGUUUUGGUCAUCGUUGAAAUUAAUAGGAAGUAAUAAGGAAAGAGAGGUUCACAUGCAAAUAUAUUAUCAUGAACAUCUUUUAUGAUUGUGAAGCACUCAUUAAGUAUGACAUGCUAAAAGAGUUGAUGUUGGACAAGGAAUACAACAUGAUGGUUUAUGUUUUCUCACAUCUUAGUUAAAGUAUAUUGUCAUUGAUCUUCCCAACAUGUUGAGCUUGCCUUUCCCCCUCAUGCUAGCCAAAUUCUCUGCGCCAAGUAGAGAUACUACUUGUGCUUCCAAAUAUCCUUAAACCCAGUUUUGCCAUGAGAGUCCACUAUACCUACCUAUGGAUUGAGUAAGAUCCUUCAAGUAAGUUGUCAUGUUGCAGGCAAUAAAAAUUGCUAUCUAAAUAUGUAUGACUUAUUGUUGCAGAGAAAAUAAGCUUUAUACGAUCUUGUUAUGGAAGCAAUAAAAGCGACAGACUGCAUAAUAAAGGUCCAUAUACAAGUGGCAAUAUAAAGUGACGUUCUUUUGCAUUAAGAUUUCAUGCAUUCAACCCUAAACGCACAUGACAACCUCUUCUUCCCUCUGCGAAGGGCCUAUCUUUUACUUUAGGUUUUUACUUUAUGCUUGAGUCAAGGUGAUCUUCACCUUUCCCUUUUUCAUUUUAUCCUUUGGCAAGCUCCUCGUGUUUGAAAGGUCAUGAUACAUAUAUCCAAUUGAGUGUAAGUUAGCAUGUAUUAUUAUUGUUGACAUCACCUAAAGGUGAAUACAUUGGGAGGCAACACAAUAAGCCCCUAUCUUUCUCAAUGUCCGGCUAAAACUCCAUAACCACAAGUAUUGCGUGAAUGUUAGCAAUUGUAGAAGACUACAUGAUAGUUGAGUUUGCGGACUUGCUGCAAAGCUCUAUUCUUGACUCUUUCUGACGUUAUGAUAAAUUGCAAUUGCUUCAAUGACUGAGAUUAUAGUCUGUUAGCUUCCAAUGAAGUUUCUGAAUCAUGCUUGACAUUGUGAAUUGAUCGUUACUUGAGCAUAAGAAUUCAUAUGAUAAAAUCUAUAUAUGUUGUUGUUAUAAGAAUGAGAUGCCCUCAUGUCCGUAUUUUAUUUUUAUCGACACCUCUAUCUCUAAACAUGUGGACAUAUUUUUUGAUUUCGGCUUCCGCUUGAGGACAAGCGAGGUCUAAGCUUGGGGGAGUUGAUACGUCCAUUUUGCAUCAUGCUUUUAUAUCAAUAUUUAUUACACAAUGGGCUGUUAUUACACAUUAUAUCUCAAUACUUAUGGCUAUUCUCUCUUAUUUUACAAGGUUUACCAUGAAGAGGGGGAAUGCCGGCAGUUGGAAUUCUGGCUGGAAAAGGAGCAAACAUUGGAAACCUAUUCUGCACUGCUCCAAAAGUCCUGAAACUCCAUGAAACUUAUUUUUGGAAUUAAUAAGAAUUAUUGAGCGGAAGAAACACCUCAGGGGGCCCACACCUGGCCAAGAGGGUGGGGGCGCGCCGACCCCUACUGGGCGCGCCCCCUGUCUCCUGGGCCCCCUGGUGGCCCCCCUGUGUCCAUCUUCUGCUAUAUGAAGGCUUUUACCCUGGAAAAAAAAUCAUGGGCAAGCUUACAGGACGAAACUCCGCCUCACGAGGCGAAACCUUGGCGGAACCAAUGUAGGGCUCCGGCAGAGCUGUUCUGCCGGGGAAACUUCCCUCCGGGAGGGGGAAAUCAUCACCAUCGUCAUCACCAACAAUCCUCCCAUUGGGAGAGGGUCAAUCUCCAUCAACAUCUUCACCAGCACCAUCUCCUCUCAAAACCCUUGUUCAUAUCUUGUAUCCAAUCUUGUAUCCAAACCACAAAUUGGUACCUGUGGGUUGCUAGUAGUGUUGAUUACUGCUUGUAGUUGAUGCUAAUUGGUUUACUUGGUGGAAGAUCAUAUGUUCAGAUCCUUAAUGCAUAUUAUUACUCCUCUGAUCAUGAACAUGGAUAUGCUUUGUGAGUAGUUACAUUUGUUCCUGAGGACAUGGGUGAAGUCUUGCUAUUAGUAGUCAUGUGAAUUUGGUAUCUGUUCGAUAUUUUGAUGAGAUGUAUGUUUUCUUUCCUCUAGUGGUGUUAUGUGAACGUCGACUACAUGACACUUCACCAUUAUUUGGGCCUAGAGGAAGGAAUUGGGAAGUAAUAAGUAGAUGAUGGGUUGCUAGAGUGAAAGAAGCUUAAACCCUAGUUUAUGUGUUGCUUCGUUAGGGGCUGAUUUGGAUCCAUAUGUCUAAUGCUGUGGUUAGGUUUACCUUAAUACUUCUUUUGUAGUUGAGGAUGCUUGCAAUAGGGGUUAAUCAUAAGUGGGAUGCUUGUCCAAGUAAGGGCAGUACCCAAGCACCGGUCCACCCACAUAUCAAAUUAUUAAAGUACCGAACGCGAAUCAUAUGAGCGUGAUGAAAACUAGCUUGUCAAUAAUUGCCAUGUGUCCUCGGGAGCUCUUUUCUCAUUAUAAUAAAUUGUCCAGGCUUAUCCUUUGGUACAAAAAGGAUUGGGCCACCUUGCUGCACUUUAUUUAAUUUCAUUGCUUGUUACUUGUUACAAUUUAUCCUAUCACAAAACUAUCUGUUACCUACAAUUUCAGUACUUGCAGAGAAAACCUUACUGAAAACCGCUUAUCAUUUCUGUCUGCUCCUCGUUGGGUUCGACACUCGUACUUAUCGAAAGGACUAUGAUAGAUCCCCUACACUUGAGGGUCAUCAGACCCUUUCCAAAGAUUACCUUCAAAUCCUUGACCAUAUCAUGUACAUCAGCACCAGUAGGGUGGCGAGGCUUUGUCCGGUGAUCCGCCUCACCUUUGAUGCUUGCCUUUCUUUCUUACGGGAUGCCUGCUCGGAAGAAAUCGACGAUGUCCCAGGUACACAAUCUUCCUACAACUAUCCAAAUAUAUACUGUCGGUAUCAUCCAAACAGUGCGUGCAUCCGUGGUAUCCCUUGUUUGUCUGUCCUGAAAGUUUACUGAGAGCAGGCCAAUCAUUGAUGGGCACGAACAACAACGCCUUUAGGUCAAAUUCUUCUUGUCUGUGCUCAUCCCACGCACGUACACCUGUUCCAUUCCACAGCUGUAAUAGUUCUUCAACUAAUGGCCUUAGGUACACAUCAAUGUCGUUGCCGGGUUGCUUAGGUCCUUGGAUGAGCACUGGCAUCAUAAUGAACUUCCGCUUCAUGCACAACCAAGGAGGAAGGUUAUACAAACAUAGAGUCACAGGCCAGGUGCUAUGGUUGCUACUCUGCUCCCCAAGAGGAUUAAUGCCAUCUGUGCUUAGACCAAACCAUACGUUCCUUGGGUCACCUGCAAACUCCUCACUGUACUUUCUCUCGAUUUUUCUCCACUGCGAACCGUCAACGGGUACUCUCAACUUUCUGUCUUUCUUACGGUCUUCUCUGUGCCACCGCAUCGCCUUCGCAUGCUCUUUGUUUUGGAACAAACGUUUCAACUGUGGUAUUAUAGGAGCAUUCCACAUCACCUUGGCAGGAAUCUUCUUCCUGGGGCGCUCGCCCUCGACAUCACCAGGGUCAUCGCGACUGAUCUUAUAACGCAAUGCACCACAUACCGGGCAAGCGUUCAAAUCCUCGUACUCACCGCGGUAGAGGAUGCAGUCAUUAGGGCAUGCAUGUAUCUUCUGCACCUCUAACCCUAGAGGGCAGACAAACUUCUUUGCUUCAUACGUACUCUCGGGGAAUUCAUUGUCCUUUGGAAGCAUAUUCUUUAUCAUUACCAGCAACUUUCCAAAUCCCUUGUCAGAUACACCAUUCUUUGCCUUCCAUUGCAGCAAUUCUAGUGUGGUGCCCAACUUUUUUUUGUCAGCUUCGCAAUUCGGGUACAACAAUUUCUUGUGAUCCUCUAACAUGCGUUGUAACUUCUUCUUCUCCAAAUCACUUGCGCAGUUUCUCUUUGCAUCGGCAAUGGCCCGACCUAGAUCAUCAACGGGCUCAUCUGAUGCCUCUUCUUCAGCUUCUUCCCGCAUUGCCGGCUCAGCUUCUUCCCCCAUUGUUGUAUCAUCAUAUUCAGGGAAACCAUGGCCAGGAUAGCUGUCGUCGUCCUCUUCUUCUUCAUUGUCUUCCAUCAUAACCCUCUUUCUCCGUGCUUGGUCCAAAAAUUAUAGUGGGGCAUUAAACCGGACUCAAAUAGGUGGACGUGAAUGGUUCUUGACGUAGAGUAAUUGUGACCAUUCUUAUAGCCAGCACAUGGACAAGGCAUAAAACCAUCCGCCCGCUUGUUUUCCUGAGCGGCAAGCAGAAAAGUAUGCACGCCAUUAAUGAAUUCGGGAGAGCAUUGGUCAUCAUACAUCCAUUGUCAGCUCAUCUUCAUUACACAACACCGAAUAGACAAAAGUAAUACAAGUUCAUACAUAAAGUUCAUAUACAACACUUAAUUAAAUGCAACAUACAAAUAACUCUCUAGUUAAAGAAUUUAAAUGCAACAACAAAUGCGAUCAAGAUCGCAACGAAGGUAACAAUUGAUCCAACAACAUAAUGAUACCAAGCCACACUAUCAAUGGCAUAUUUUCUAAUCUUUCUAAUCUUCAAUUUUCUCCAUCUUGAUCUUGUGAUCAUCGACGACAUCGGCAACAUGCAACUCCAAUUCCAUCUUCUCCCCCUCAAUUCUUUUCAAUUUUUCUUUCAAAUACUCGUUUUCUCUUUCAACUAAAUUUAACCUCUCGACAAUAGGGUUGGUUGGAAUUUCUGGUUCACAUACCUCCUAGAUAAAAAUAUCUAUGUCAAUUUGAUGGGCAUAAUUUGUCAUAAACACGAAAUGCAACAACUAGUUUUAAAAUAAAAUAUACCACAUCCGAAUCAUAACAAGGACGAGGGCCGACAGGGACGGAUAUCAAAACCAUGGCACUAUGUAUAACAAACAACGUACGGGUAAGAUAAUUAUACGAGUAACUAUAUAUCCAAAUCACACAAACAUCAAUUUGGUAAUGUAAAACAUUCAUGAACAAGAGCCUCACCACAAGGUGGUGCCGGCGACGGGACGGUGCGGGCGAUCGACAGUGGUUACGACGGAGAUUUAGAAGGCACUAAGUAAACCACACCUACCUAUGCAAACUAAGUGUUAUUUUUGACCUCAAAUUGCAUAUAAAUCAAAUACUAGCACAUAUAAUUCCUCCCAAAUUAAAACUCACAGAUUAAUCACUAUACAAAGCAUUGCAAGAGCUAAUCUAGCAAUGAGAGAUGAAAGGACAAAGUUGCUAACCUUUGUGAUCAUUUGAAUGGAUGGGGGCCUUCAAAUCUUGACAAAUUUUGAGCAAAAUGUGUAAUGAGAUCGAGGAAGAGAGGAGAAGAACAAAGGGGGAGAGGGGAAAGGGGAAGAACAAAGAGAGCUCAGGUGGACCAAGGGUUUAUGUACGACGACCUCUUUCGUGCCACGAACUGGUACUAAAGGUGCUGGAGGAGCCCCAGACUGACAACAUCCUGCCACCACUCUCUUUAGUACCGGUUCGUGGCACGAACCGGUGCUAAAGGUUCGCCACAAACCGGUACUAAUGACAGCGGCCGUCUAGCCGUUGGAACCGGCACUAAUGGACACAUUAGUGCCGGCUCAAAAUCAAACCAGCACUAAUGUGCUUCACAUUUGACCCUUUUUCUACUAGUGAAGGGAAAUAGAUGAAGUAUUCUUUAAACAAGGACCUAUUUUUAAACACAACUUGCCUGUUGAAAUCCUAGGGGAUCCUCCUCCACCCAAGGGUGAUCUCGUGUUUGAGCUUAAACCAUUACCCGAUACUCUUAAAUAUGCUUAUCUUGAUGAAAAGAAGAUAUAUCCUGUUAUUAUUAGUGCUAACCUUUCAGAGCAUGAAGAAGAGAAAUUAUUGAAAACUCUGAAGAAGCACCGUGCUGCUAUUGGAUAUACUCUUGAUGAUCUUAAGGGCAUUAGUUCCACUCUAUGCUAGCACAAAAUAAAGCUGGAGAAAGAUGCUAAACCAGUUGUUGAUCACCAACGAUGGUUAAAUCCUAAGAUGAAAGAAGUGGUAAGAAAUGAAAUACUAAAGCUUUUGGAGGCAGGUAUAAUGUUUCCUGUUGCUGAUAGUCACUUGGUAUGUCCUGUCCGUUGUGUCCCUAAGAAAGGAGGUAUUACUAUUGUUCCUAAUGAUAAGGAUGAAUUGAUCCCACAAAGAAUUGUUACAGGUUAUAGAAUGGUAAUUGAUUUCCGUAAAUUAAAUAAAGCUACUAGAAAAGAUCAUUACCCUCUACCUUUUAUUGAUCAAAUGCUAGAAAUACUAUCCAAACACACACAUUUUUUUCUUUCUAGAUGGUUAUUCAGGUUUCUCUCAAAUACUUGUGUCAAAAGAGGAUCAGGAUAAGACCACUUUUACUUGCCCUUUCGGUACCUUUGCUUAUAGAUGUAUGCCUUUUGGUUUAUGUAAUGCACCUGCUACCUUUCAAAGAUGUAUGACUGCUAUAUUCUCUGACUUUAGUGAAAAGAUUGUUGAGGUUUUCAUGGAUGAUUUCUCCGUGUAUGGAACUUCCUUUGAUGAUUGCUUAAGCAACCUUGGUUGAUUCUUGCAGAGAUGUGAAGAAACUAAUCUUGUCUUGAACUGGGAGAAGUGCCACUUUAUGGUUAAUGAAGGUAUUGUCUUGGGGCAUAAAAUUUCUAAAAGAGGUAUUGAAGUUGAUAAAUCUAAAGUUGAUGCUAUUGAAAAGAUGCCGUGUCCUAAGGACAUCAAAGGUAUAUCCUUGCUCAUGCCGGUUUUUAUAGGAGGUUCAUUAAAGACUUCUCAAAAAUUUCUAGACCUCUCACUAAUCUCUUACAAAAAGAUGUUCCUUUUGUCUUUGAUGAUGAUUGUGCAGAAGCAUUUGAAAUACUUAAGAAAGCCUUGAUUUCUGCACCUAUUGUUCAGCCACCUGAUUGGAAUUUACCCUUUGAAAUCAUGUGCGAUGCUAGCGAUUAUGCUGUAGGUGCUGUUCUAGGACAAAGAGUUGACAAGAAAUUAAAUGUUAUCCAAUAUGCUAGUAAAACCCUAGACAGUGCCUAGAGAAAUUAUGCUACUACUGAGAUAGAAUUUUUAGCGGUUGUAUUUGCUUGUGAUAAGUUCAGAACUUAUAUUUUUGAUUCCAAAGUAACUGUUCAGACUUAUCAUGUUGUUAUUAAAUAGCUUAUGGAAAAGAAAGAUGCUAAACCUAGACUUAUUAGAUGAGUUCUCUUGCUACAAGAAUUUGAUUUGCAUAUUAUUGAUAGAAAGGGAGCUGAGAACCCCAUUGCAGACAACUUGUCUAGGUUACAGAGUAUUCUUGAUGACCCACUACCUAUUGAUGGUAGCUUUCCUCAUGAAAAAUUAGUUGUCAUAAAUGCUUCUCACACUGCUCCAUGGUAUGCUGGUUAUGCUAAUUACAUUGUUGCUAAAUUUAUACCACCUAGUUUCACAUACCAACAGAAGAAAAAGUUUUUCUAUGAUUUAAGACAUUACUUUUGGGAUGACCCACACCUUUAUAAAGAAGGAGUAGAUGGUGUUAUUAGAUGUUGUGCACCUGGGCAUGAAAAGGAACAAAUCCUACGCAAGUGUCCACUACUAGGGAAAAGCCUAGCAGUUGCGCUGGUUUUUGGCCUAUCUGUAGCGCGUGUAAGCGCGCUACUGAUACGAUGCUACAGCUAAAGUUUAGAAGUAGCGCCUACUGGCACUCGCUACUGCUAUAUCUACUUAGUAGUAGCGCUUUCCAAAACAAUUGCUACUACUAAUUACUGGUAGCGCUUUCGAAAACAACCACUACUACUAUUAUUUUGUAUUCUAUUUCUUUUGAAUUUUAGGUCGUAUUUAUACACCUCUUUAUACAAUUUUUCAUACAAUAGCAAUUUAGAGAUUGUUUUUACAUUAUAAUGAGUUAUUAAAUCACUAGGUGAAAGUACCUUGGAUUAGUUUCAAGUGCAUGGAUCCAAAGUAACCAAUGGUCACUUUGGAUCCAUCCGUUUGAAACUAAUCUGCGGUUCUUUCACCCAAUGACAUAAUAAUUUAUCAUCAUCAUCAUCAUCAUCAUCAUAAUAUCAUUAACAACUUAUCAUCAUAAUAUAUCAUUGUCAUAUAACUCCUCAUAAUCAUCAUUUUCGUCCAUGAGACAUCAUAUAACAACUUGGUCACCAGUUAUAAUAACAACUCCUCCUCCUCAUCAUCAUAGUACUCAUAAUCACUACUCCUACUCAGCAUCACCACCAAGUCUAAGACAUUGUAGUCAUAUAUAAUCAACACUAACUAAUUAUUUUAAUACUUAGGACCCACUCCUCUCUCCUAGCUAAAAUACCAUAAAACAGAUAAACCGGUCCUUCACCAUAAUGGAGAAUGGACAUAAACCUAUCUCCAACUUGUGGCUUGUGCACAUUCAUUUUGUCUCCAAUUAUUUGCAUGCGUGCAUUCAUCACUUUGCUCCAUUCUUUGAUUUUGAGCCUUCCAUCAUUUGAAGAAAUCAAGUAUGCAGUAUGGUAAGCCUUCGAAGGAGUUGGUCGUAAGCUAACCAUAUGCAUAUCACCUUUGGCAAAUAGCAUGUCAGGCACAACCUGCUUCGGGAGCCUCUGUUCAAAAACGUAAUAGUAACAUAUAUAGUUAGCAAUGUAGUUUAUUUAAGAACAAUGUAUGCAAUGAAGUUACCAUCAUUAACAAAAUCUUACCAAGUUUUUGGCAAUGAAGUUACCGUCAAGCAAUUUAUGGACUAGUGGCACGUAUCAAGUAUAAUUUGGUCUGAUAGAGUGACUUGUUUUGAAGGCCUCAACAUCUUCUAUGAGCGAGACAUGAUAACUUUUCUCCUCACAAUUAAACUUGGAGUCAUAGAUGUAGUAUGUGUUGUCUACUACCUUUCGAGUAUUUCUUGAAGAGAAGAAAUAAGCUGAAAAUUAUAAAUAAAUAAGUUUAGUACGGACGAACACCAAAUAUUUUUAAAUUAACAACAUAAAUUACUGAACUUAACAAAUUAGUUUGACAAACUCACAUCUAGGCAAAACUGGAGGCAUAUCCACAUCCACCCAGAUGUCGAUAUCAUCAUCAUCAUCAUCAUCUUCGGGACGAAUAUCAAAUCUUAUUCGCAUUCCCUCCUCAAAUACAUAUGCCUUGCAGAGAGCUUCCCAAUUAGAGCAACCGAAAUGGGAGCUUAACUAGAAACUCAUAACCAUGUUUAGUUCUUAAGUGAGCCCUCCUCGUCUCCACAUUCUCAAACUCAUCUAAACCAAAACCAAGCUUCUCCACUACAUAUGGUCUAGCAUGGCACGGGGUGUACUAAUCAAAUUGAAAAAAAUCCAUAAAUUACACGUUGAACAAAAGAAGCACAGGUGAUGAUAUUAAUUAUGAUAAAAUGCUUAUCGUUGCAUAUCGUACAAACAUCAAAGGUCUCUUCCAGCUUCACGGUGAAAAACCUAUCAUUUUGCAGGUGAGGCAACCUAUCGCACACACCCCGGUCAUCGUAGCAGUACCCGCACUCCGGGAUCCCAUCGUCAUUAGACAUCUCCUGUGUUCAAAAUUCAAAGAUUAUAACUCGACAGCAAAACCCAAAAAAUCCAGCAUGACCUUUGCUAAAAAAGGACAUAUUGAGCACCUGAAAUUUGCCGGAACGGAAAUUAAUCAACACUUCGGCAAAACAUAGGCCACUUAUCGAUGGUCAUUGCAUUUCAAUGGUUGAAAAUAUGAGCAAAAACAUUUGAAAAUAUCUUAUAUAUAAUCCUAACACUAAAUAAACUAGUUUAUUAAAUACUUACUAAAUAAACUAGUUUUAUUAAAUACUUACUAAAUAAACUAGUUCUAUUAAGCACUUACUAUCAGUAAACUAGCUCUAUUAAGCAAUUACUAAAUAAACUAGUUCUAUUAAGCACUUAAUAUAAAUAAACUAGUUAUAUUAAUCACUUACUAAAUAAACUAUUCCUAUUAAACACUUGCUAAAAAUUCUACUACCCUAGUUCUACCCUAAAUUUUCUUACUUCUUUUUUAUUCAAAACACCAAAAAUAGUCAAAAAAAUUAUCUAUUAAAAAACCUACAGUCUAUGAUGUCUACAUUCUAAAAUCUACAUUUAAAUUACCUACAAUUUGCAGGAACAGAGACAAGGGAGNNNNNNNNNNNNNNNNNNNNNNNNNNNNNNNNNNNNNNNNNNNNNNNNNNNNNNNNNNNNNNNNNNNNNNNNNNNNNNNNNNNNNNNNNNNNNNNNNNNNNNNNNNNNNNNNNNNNNNNNNNNNNNNNNNNNNNNNNNNNNNNNNNNNNNNNNNNNNNNNNNNNNNNNNNNNNNNNNNNNNNNNNNNNNNNNNNNNNNNNNNNNNNNNNNNNNNNNNNNNNNNNNNNNNNNNNNNNNNNNNNNNNNNNNNNNNNNNNNNNNNNNNNNNNNNNNNNNNNNNNNNNNNNNNNNNNNNNNNNNNNNNNNNNNNNNNNNNNNNNNNNNNGGGGCGGGGGGAGGAGGAUGAGGGAGGGGCGAUGGGAGGAGGUCUGCCGGCAAAGGAGGGAGGAGGGGAUGGCCGGAGGAGGAGGGAGGAGGGCGCGGUAGGAGGAGGAGGGAGGAGGGCACGGUGGGAGGAGGAGGAGGUAGGGAAGGAGGGAGUACCUUGGUGGCGGACGAACGACGGCGGCGGCGCCGACGGACGAUGGGUAUCGGCACGGGCGAGAGUGACUGAGAGGGAGAGUGACUGAGAGAGGGUCUGAUACGUCUCCAACGUAUCUAUAUUGUUUUUAUUGUUCCAUGCUAUUAUAUUACCCGUUUUGGAUCUUUAUGGGCUUUACUUUACACAUUUAUAUCAUUUUUGGGACUAACCUAAUAACCGGAGGCCCAGCCCGUAUUGCUGUUUUUUGGCCUAUUUCUGUGUUUCUAAGAAAAGGAAUACCAAACGGAGUCCAAACGGAAUGAAACCUUCGGGAGCGUGAUUUUUGGAACAAACGUGAUCCAGAGGACUUGGAGUGCAAGUCAAGAAGCAAUCGAGGAAGCCACGAGGGUGGAGGGCACGCCCCACCCCCAACUAGAGGAGGCCCCUAUCUCAUGGGCCCCUUGGGUGUCCACCGACCUACUUCUUCCUCCUAUAUAUACCCACGUACCCCGAGAACAUCAAAGGCGACCACGAAAAACUAUUUCCACCACCGUAACCUUCUGUAUCCGCGAGAUCCCAUCUUGGAGCCUUCGCCGGUGCUCCGCCGGAGGGGGAGUCAACCACAGAGGGCUUCUACAUCAACACCAUAGCCUCUCCGAUGAGUUGUGAGUAGUUUACCAUAGACCUUCGGGUCCAUAGUUAUUAGCUAGGUGGCUUCUUCUCUCUCUUUGAAUCUCAAUACCAUGGUCUCCUCGAUCUUCUUGGAGAUCUAUUCGAUGUAACUCUUUUUGCGGUGUGUUUGUCGAGAUCCGAUGAAUUGUGGGUUUAUGAUCAAGUUUAUCUAUGAGAAAUAUUUGAAUCUCCUCUGAAUUAUUUUAUGUGUGAUUAAGUUAUCUUUGCAAGUCUCUUCAAAUUAUUAGUUUGGUUUGGCCUACUAGAUUGAUCUUUCUUGCAAUGGGAGAAGUGCUUAGCUUUGGGUUCAAUCUUGCGUGUCCUUUCCCAGUGAUAGCAAGGGCAGUAAGGCACGUAUUGUAUUGUUGCCAUCGAGGAUAGAAAGAUGGGGUUUAUAUCAUAUUGCAUGAGUUUAUCCCUCUACAUCAUGUCAUCUUUCUUAAUGCGUUACUCUGUUCUUAUGAACCUAAUACUCUAGAUGCAUGGUGGAUAGCGGCCGAUGUGUGGAGUAAUAGUAGUAGAUGCAGGCAGGAGUCGGUCUACUUGUCACGGACGUGAUGCCUAUAUACAUGAUCAUGCCUAGAUAAUCUCAUAAUUAUUCGCUUUUCUAUCAAUUGCUCGAUAGUAAUUUGUUCACCCACUAUAAUACUUAUGCUAUCUUGAGAGAAGCCACUAGUGAAACCUAUGGCCCCUGGGUCUAUCUUUUAUCAUAUAAGCUUUCAAUCUAAUUUUAUUUGCAUAUUUACUUUUCCAAUCUAUAUCAUAAAAAUACCAAAAAUAUAUUUAUCUUAUCAUUUUAUCUCUACCAGAUCUCACUUUCGCAAGUGGCCUUGAAGGGAUUGACAACCCCUUUAUUGCGUUGGUUGCGAGUUCUUGUUUGUUUGUGUAGGUGCGUGGGACUUUUUAGAAGCCUCCUACUGGAUUGAUACCUUGGUUCUCAAAAAUUGAGGGAAAUACUUAUGCUACUAUUGUUGCAUCACCCUUUCCUCUUCAAGGAAAACCAAUGCAAGCUCAAGACGUAGCAAGGUCGGCCGCGUGGGGGGGGGGGGGAUAAGGUAGGGUGAGUAGUCGCGCGGGUCCGAUAAAAGCGCUAUAGCUAAGGAGAAUAGCAGUAGCGCUGUGCAAGGUUACACGCUAUUGCUAAGUUGGGCUAGCCAUGUGCGCCCAGUUCAGACAUAGCAGCAAUGCUUUUUGCUAGUACGCGCUACUGCUAAAGUUAUAGCAGUAGCGCGGUUUGUUUAUACGCGCUGCUACUAAGUAGCAGUAGCGCAUGAUUUUGUCCAGCGCUACUGUUAAGAUGUUGUGUAUAAGGUUUUCCCUAGUAGUGGUCACUCAGGGGCAUAUGGAGGACAUCACGCGGGAGAUAGAACUGCACAUAUGGUAUUGCAAUCCGGUUUUUAUUGGCCUACUCUCUUCAAAGAUCCCCAUAAGUUUGUCUUGUCUUGCGAUGGAUGUCAAAGAAUUGGUAAUAUUAGUAGAUGUCAAGAAAUGCCUAUGAACUAUUCACUUGUUAUUGAAAUGUUUGGGGCUUCGAUUAUAUGGGACCUUUUUCCUUCCUCCAAUGGGUAUACACAUAUUUUAGUUGUUGUUUAUUGCAUUACUAAGUGGGUAGAAGCUAUUGCAACUAGUAGUGCUGAUCAUAACACUUCUAUUAUGAUGCUUAAAGAAGUUAUUUUUCCGAGGUUUGGAGUCCCUAGAUAUUUAAUGACUGAUGGUGGUUCACAUUUUAUUCAUGGUGCUUUUCAUAAAAUGCUUGCUAAGUAUGAUGUUAAUCAUAUAAUUGCAUCUCCAUACCAUCCACAAUCUAGUGGUCAAGUAGAACUGAGUAAUAGAGAGAUUAAAUUAAUUUUGCAAAAGACUGUUAAUAGAUCUAGAAAGAAUUGGUCCAAGAAACUUGAUGAUGCAUUAUGGGCCUAUAGAACCGCAUAUAAAAAUCCUAUGGGUAUGUCUCCGUAUAAAAUGGUUUAUGGAAAAGCAUGUCACUUACCUGUCAAACUAGAACAUAAGGUAUAUUGGGCCAUUAAAGAGCUCAAUUAUGAUUUCAAACUUGCCGGUGAGAAGAGACUAUUUGACAUUAGCUCACUUGAUGAAUGGAGAACCCAGGCCUAUGAGAACGCCAAACUAUUUAAAGAAAAAGUUAAAAGAUGGCAUGGCAAAAGGAUACAAAAGCAUGAGUUUAUUGUAGGUGAUUAUGUUUUGCUAUACAACACUCGUUUAAAAUUUUUUGCAGGAAAACUUCUCUCCAAAUGGGAAGGUCCUUACAUUAUCGAGGAGGUCUAUUGUUCCGGUGCCAUAAAAAUUAACAAUACCGAAGGCACAAAUCCGAAGGUGGUGAACGGUCAAAGAAUCAAACAUUAUAUCUCAGGUAAUCCCAUAAAUGUUGAAACCAAUGUUAUUGACACCGUAACCCCACAGGAGUACAUAAGGGACACUUUCCAGAAUGUUUCAGACUCCAAAAAGGAAUAGGUAUGUGGUACGGUAAGUAAACCGACUCCAAAACAGUUCUAAUAGCAACUUUUCUCCGUUUUGAAAUAUUUUAAAAAAUAGGAAAAUAAGAAGUAGUCCGAAAGGGACAUGAAACAUCCACAAGGGUGGAGGGCACACCCUACCCCCUGGGCACGCCCCUGCCUCGUGGACACAUGUGCCCUCCGGACUCCAUUUUCUUGCAUGAUACUUCUUGUUAGGGAUAUAACUAUUUGUGUAAGCCGCCCAGGAGGGGCCGGGUUACGCAAAGAGACUCUCCAGAAAGAAGCCCAAGACCAAAGCAUGAAGAUGGCGGUUCAAUAGAGGGCUUAAGGCCCACAGGCGACUUAAGGCCCGUUGUAGUAAACCGCCACAGUAGCAUGACUUGUAUCAUAAGGUAGACUUAACUAGUCACCGAGCCGGACACUAUUUAUAAGCCGACCGGGACUCUGUAAGCCGCAGGGCAUCAACCCGUGUAUAUAAGGGGACGACCUAUUGGCGGCUUAGGGCCAGAAACAACUCAUCGAGAGCCGGGCAUAGCGUAUCUCGCUCCCUGGUCAUCGAAACAUCAAUACCAACCCAACUAGACGUAGGCUUUACCUUCACCGUAAGGGGCCGAACUAGUAUAAAACCUCUCGUGUCCUUUGUCCUGAUUAACCCCUUCAAGCUUCCUAGUUGCGGUGGCUCCACAACGAAGUCCUUUCACGAGGACAUCUGACGUGACAAUUCCAUGACAGUUGGCGCCCACCAUGGGGCCAGCGCAUGGUGGAUUUGAGUUCUUGAAGGGCAACUUCGAAGGGCUCAAGGGAUACGUAAUGGGUCGGAUGACCAAGAGUCGUCGCGGCAAGAUCUACAUCGAUGACGAAGGCUGGGGCCCCGACGCCGACUCAAUUGAGUACGGGUACCGGGUCCCCUUCGGCGGAAUCCACGUCUUCAUCGACCGGGUCAGAGAGCUGGGACCUGAGCCGGACAGCGGCACCGACUUCAUCGAGACGGCUCAGCGUGCGAGGAAGACCCGAGCUCAACCCAUCAUGAAGUGUGCUUUCGUGGGUUGCAUCCACGGAGAGGAACUUUCUAAAGGAUCUGAAGAUGAUGGUGAGACGGCUGUCCUCUCAGAUGGUGAUUCGUCCGCUGGUUCAACAGAUUUGUUGUAUCAGGUGCAAGACGGCGUGCUCGGGGGCUGUUCCCAUGGCAUCAGUAUUCCGGACCCCUAUGAGCCGCCAAGAUGGGCAGGAAUCUUCAUGGCUGGAAGUCAGCCCGGCUCUAACUCUACGGCUGCUGCAGCAAUAACAUCCGGAAUAGGGACAGCCGGGGCAGGUGGCCCUGUGCGCCCGCCGGCUCAGGUGCUGAUAGACCUCAUGGACAAGCUUACGACCCUGUUAACCACCACGGUAAUCCCUGCGAACAAAGAUGAGCAUGACGCGGAGGUGGCACGGGUGCGGGAGGAGAUAGCUCAGGCCAAGGAGGCCUUGGCAGCUGAGGAUACUAGACUAGCUACAGAGCGGGUGGCUCUCGACGCCCGGGCACAUCAGUUGUAGUCAGAAGCUUACCAUCUCACGAUGAGCUUAAACGCGUCCAAUGAGGUAAUGAGAAGGAGACACCAGAAAACCCAAUCCCGUUUGCCUCCGAAUUACGACUCUCGGGUUCUUUUCGCUACACCCGGAGCCGGCCCAAGUAAACCGCCAGAUACCAAUCAGUUUAUGACAGCCGGAGGAGGAGGACCGGCUCAGCCUCGAGAGAUGCCACCUCCUCAUGUGAGCAUGGCACCACCGCGUUAUGUGCCGAUACCGGAGGGUCACUUUUCCAACCCCAUGGAGAACUUAAUCGCGGCUUCGGCGCGCUUGGCGGCUCUGCCCAUGGACGGUGAUGACCCGACAGCGGUGGAGACCUGGAGGGUCAGAGAGCUUCUCCAGACGGCCCUGGCUCAGCAAGAUACCUAUUCUUACAACAGGGACAUGAUUCAUUCAACUCCUACGCCUUGGUUAGCACCGCCUCGUCAAAACCGGAGCCCGAGUUACAGCAGGCACAUUGUCGGUGUCAAAACCGGCGGAUCUCGGGUAGGGGGUCCCGAACUGUGCGUCUAGGCGGAUGGUAACAGGAGACAAGGGACACGAUGUUUUACCCUGGUUCGGGCCCUCUUGAUGGAGGUAAAACCCUACGUUCUACUUGAUUGAUAUUGAUAUUAUGGAUGUUUACAAGAGUGGAUCUACCACGAGAUCAAGGAGGCUAAACCCUAGAAGCUAGCCUAUGGUAUGAUUGUAAGGGUUGUUGUUGUUGUUCUAUGGACUAGAGCCAUCCGGUUUAUAUAGACACCGGAGAGGGCUAGGGUUACAUAGAGUCGGUUACAAUGGUAGGAGAUCUACGUAUCUGUAUCGCCAAGAUUGCCUUCCACGCCAAGGAAAGUCCCAUCCGGACACGGGACGAAGUCUUCAAUCUUGUAUCUUCAUAGUCUUGGAGUCCGGUCGAUGAUGAUAGUCCGGCCGAUGAUAGUUCGGCUGAUGAUGGUAGUCCGGCUAUCCGGACACCCCCUAAUCCAGGACUCCCUCAGUAGCCCCUGAACCAGGCUUCAAUGAUGAUAAGUCCGGCGCGUAUAUUGCUUGGCAUUGCAAGGCGGGUUCCUCCUCCGAAUGAUAGAAGAUUGUGAACACCAGGAUAGUGUCUGGCUCUGCAAAAUAAAUUCCACAUUCCAUCGUAGAGAGAAUAAUAUAUACACAAGUUCAAUCUGCUGACGUUUUUUGCGGCAUGUCGUCACGCCACUACCAAGCCAUUACUUGAAUCGUUUUUUACUCCACCACGUCAGCGCAUUUAGCGAAGCGGUUUCCUUGGCACAUCUCGUCGAAGCAGAGAUCGUGUUCCCCCUUAAUCCGGGAUUCUCAUCAAUACGGACGUGGGUAACCCAACCGCGCCAUUGAUGGUGACGCUUGGGGGAUAAGCGAGUUUUACCAGGCCGGUGGGGGACGUGUAGACUUCGCCCGCCCAUAUAAGGGAUAAGGAUUCACCUUUUCACCUAUGCCUUCUUCCUCCUUUGCUUAUCCAUCUCCGCACACUCGAGCUCCAGCGCCCAAGCCCGCACAUCCCGUCUCAACCUUCCCUAGUUAUGUCCGGAGCGGGAGGCAAGUGGAUGACCUCCUCCGUUACGGAGGAGCACAUCGAAAGACUGCGCAGCGCCGGCUACCUGUCCGGCGACAUUGCGCACCGGCUGCCCGACGAGGAGCAGCUCAUCCCCACCCCCAGGCCCCAUGAGAGGGUCGUUUUUCUUCCCCACUUCCUCCGCGGACUGGGUUUUCCACUUCAGCCCUUUGUCUGGGGGCUCAUGUUCUACUACGGCCUGGAUUUCCAUGAUCUGGCGCCGAACUUCAUCCUCAACACCUCGGCGUUUAUCGUCGUGUGCGAGGCCUUCCUCUGCAUCCAGCCCCACUUCGGCUUGUGGCUCAAGACCUUCAAUGUCAAGCCGAAGGUAGUGAAGGGCACUCAAGCGGAGUGCGGAGGCGCCAUGUUGGGCAAGAUGCCCAAUGUCCUUUGGUUUGAAGGGGCCUUCGUGGAAUCCGUCAAGGGGUGGCAAUCGGGGUGGUUCUAUAUCACCGAGCCGCGUGACCCUAAGUGGGCGGCGGCCCCCGAGUUUAGAUUUGGUAUCCCCAUGCAGCUCACCUCCUGGAAAGAGAAGGGCUUGCUAUGGGGUAGUUCGGAGGAGGUGACGGGACUCCAAGCCUGUAUCCAGAAGCUGGUGAAGAAGCUCAGGCUGGUUAACAUGGUCCAAGUCAUGCUCGUCCGCCGGAUUCUCCCAUGCCAAGAGCGGGCAUUCAAUCUGUGGGAGUUCAAUCCGGAACAGCACCAGGCGCUGAGCGGGCUCUUCGACACGACGUACGAAGGCGCCUGGAGGGUGCUGUUUAAGGGCGCCGAAGCCCCCGCAUCCACGACUGAAGAUCGCGAAUUUCGCUCGCAGCGCCAAGCCAACGAGGUAACUGAUUCUACCCCUUUACGGGACACUUGAUUUUCAUAGUUUGAUUCUAUGCGGGUUUUAAUUUCCCCUUUUCCUUUGACAGGACUGGAUGAGGAAGGCGGAGCAGAUUAUCUGCCCGGCUCCUAUGCCAGAAAACCCAGUAGACGCCCAUCUAGCGAGGCUGCUGGUUCCGGCACCGCACGUGGUGCCGGAGAAGAAGGCCAAGAAGGAGGCCACGGGUGCUCGAAAGAGUUCCUGUUUUCAGGUGUCCGACGACUCCGGGGCGGACUCCUCCCCCGAAAACGAGGAGGAGAAAGAGGACUCUCUCCCAGAGGAGGGAGAGAGGAAGAGGAAGGCUUCCCCAACAGGGGAGGCCGAAGGGUCCAAGAGGGGAAGGACUAUUCCCCCGGACAGCUCUGCCCACAUCAACGUUGGCGAGGAAGAAUGGCCUUCAAGGGCCAGGCCUCCGGCGAGAUCGUAAGUAUCCGGAUUCCUGAAUGAUUUAUAAUUUAUUUUUCUGCGUCACAUAGUGUCAUUCUGAUGCCGCAUGUUGCCUGUAGUCCGGCCAAUGAUGAUCUCCCCGCUUCAUCGAGCGGGUCGUUGGCUCCGUCGGAUGUAGACUCCAUCCUGACCGCCUUCACCCCUCGCGACACCGAGGAAGCCGAGGUGGGAUCCCAAGAAGGGACCCAUCAGGGGGAGGCUCCGGAGGCGCCACAAGGCAGCCUCCCGGACUUUGCGCCGGACUCCACAUCAGAACUCGCAGUGGUUCCGGAGUCCGGCCGGCGGCCCCUUCGCACGAAGGGAAAGACCGUGAUGCCGGCGGCUUCCGUCGAACCGGAGGCGCCGGACAAUUUGUUGGAGGCGCUCCAGAGCGCUUCCAUCGAGGAAGAACACCGCACUAUUAUGAGUGCGGUGAUUCAGAAGGUACAGCUUGCCAAGAGCGGGCUGACCGAAGCCUGCAGCAGCCUUCUAUCAGGCUUUGAGGUAAGAAGAUUAAAAUAUGCAAUGUAAUACCGCAUAGACAGUAGCCCCUGAUGCUCGGUUCGGUGUUCAAAAAGAAAAGCCGGACUGAGGAUCUGAAAAAAAAGAAGAUAUACGCAGGGUUGCUAAAAAAUUAUGUCAAUAUGGGUUGCAGGUUGCGCUGCUGACCUCUGCCGCACUGACUACGGAGGUCGGUGCUUUGAAGCAGGAGCUCGAGCGGUCCGAGCAAGACCUCGGCUGCGCCAAGAAGCAGAUCCAGGACAAAGAAGGUGAGUAACACCACUUUGAACUUGUACCUUACAGAAAAGGAUUUAGGUUGCAACAAAAAAUAACAAGGAUAACAUGGGUACUGCAGGGGCCACGAACGAGGUGGCGACCCUGAAGGAGGCCGUGUCUGCGGACGAACGCAAUGCGGCCGCGGAACGGGCAGAGCGAGAAAAGCAAGAGGCGCAGGUGGCGGUGGUUCAGCAAGAGCUCCAGGCUCUCAUGGAAAAGCAUGAGAGUUUGGAGCGUGACUCAAAGACUCGAGAGUCCGAGCUUGCCUCGGCUCUCGAAAGUGCCAAGACUGCCAAGGCCGAUGCCCAUAAGUCCCUUCAGGAGAUUGAGUUGGUGAGGAAGAUAGCGGCAGGUAAGGCAUUUUUCAUGCAAAGCAAGCAUGUGAAUGUAAAUUACGUGUUACUUACCCGAAUUCGGAGCUCUCCAGGGGCGUUUGCAGAUCUGCCUCGCAGCGUGUCUGAUGCCGCCGCAUUCUACCGAGCCGAGGAGGGGAGCUGAACGGAGAAGGUCUUCUGGUCUCAGUAUGCUGAGGCCGGCCAUCCGGUGGCCCCUAGCGACCAGCUGAAGCAGCUGGUCGAGCUCCACAAGGCGGCCGAGCAGGCCAUGAAGGGCCUCAUAGUCCGGCUGUGGCCUGGAGAGGCCAUGCCUGGGAGCUACUUUGGCCUCGUGCGACGGUUGUUGGAUGCGUGCCCCUGGGUGGAGGUUAUCAAGCGCUCCGCCUGUAUUAAAGGUGCUCGUCGGGCCCUUGCCCGCGCAAAGGUGCAUUGGGGCAAGAUGGAUGCGGAGAAGCUAAUCACUGACGCACCACCAGUGGGCAAGGAAUAUCGUACGCCCGAGAUGUACUAUAAGACUAUUCUGAAGGGUGCCCGCAAGAUUGCGGAUGAGUGCCCCAGGGAUGUAAUUAUUGAGUAAAUUCGCAAUGUGUUAUCCUGUGCGCUGAAAACUUUGUUCAUAUGCGCUAAGCAACGCUUGUUAAUUUAAAAUAUUACCUUCUGUGCGGCCGUUUAUUAAAUCUGAGAGAUAGCAAGUCGUCGGCUUCAGCCCCCAUGCCACGAGUGCUGGGGUGUUCGGGAUAAACUUGAGCACUCUUGUUCCCAUUUUUGGGUCCAUCUAGGGAGGCGCUCAACACAACGAACAAGGCAAUCGGACUUAUAGUGCUUGAACACUCUCACUUAUCCAUAGAAUUCUAUAAUUUUAAAUUUCGGCGAAGCCCCUAGUAUUCGGAAGACCGAAUUCGGGGCGCUAUCCACGCCUUCGUCGGACAUUAUCCGGAACUUUGCUCGAAGCGGCGUAGGUCUUUAAGGACCCGAAAAGACCUCUCGAACAGCGACCAGUCUCUCGCCUUAUCAUGACGGUUAGUUUUAGCUUUCUCCACUGAGGCGUUAACCCGGCUCAACCGGGGCGCAAUCGCAGUGGUUCUCCCAGUGCUACCUUAGCCGAUAGAACGGAACGUAAGGUGCCAAACUUGGGAGCCGGGCAAACCCAACUAUUGACCCAAGACAUGAUUCGGAGCCGAUUCAUAUAAUGCUAUAAGUUCGGGGUGCCGCACUUGUGAAAGUGUGCGGACUUUAUCACACCAUAAUGCGGGGAACAUAAGCCCCUGGUGUAUUUGGCCGUACCAAAAUGUACGGAUGCAACAUGUCGUAAAUGAACAUAUAUAUAUAAGGUAAUGCAAUUAUGGGCAAAAAGUGUUGAGUGUUCGUCGCGGCCUUUGUCCCUCCCUGGCUGUUGCAUCAUGAGUUCGGCAGGUUCGCCGCCGGACAGAGUUCUGUAUAAAAAAGAGAGACUUAAAAGAUAAAAAAGAGCGACACACUUGGGAGCCCCUGGUGUGGUCGAACCGCACUCUGGUUCUGUUGUGGUUGUGCCUCUCCCCCUAUGCCCAUGGUAUCUCCAGGGCGUAAUUAUGUACGCGGAGAGUUUGUCUUACAAUUGUGCGAGGGCUGGGGUUGAGGCCGCAUUGCUACGCGUGCUCGGAACGUGCCAGCUGGUCUUGGUUGAUGUUGCUCCGGGCGCGUUUGGCCGUGUCCGGUCGUUUAACGGCCGGACUCAAAAAUUGCCUUAAAAGGCUGCUCUGUACUUCUGCCGCGAGAGCCGCUGUAUGUUCCUCCGUUCGGAGGGAGCGUUCCGUGUUUCCAUUGACCGUGAUGACUCCACGAGGGCCUGGCAUCUUGAGCUUAAGGUAUGCAUAAUGCGGCACCGCGUUGAAUUUUGCGAACGCUGUUCGUCCGAGCAGAGCGUGAUAGCCACUGCAGAACGGGACUAUGUCGAAGAUUAACUCCUCGCUUCGGAAAUUAUCCGGGGAUCCGAAGACCACUUCCAGUGUGACUGAGCCUGUACAACUGGCCUCGACACCUGGUAUGAUGCCUUUGAAGGUUGUCUUUGUAGGUUUAAUCCUUGAAGGGUCUAUGCCCAUCUUGCGCACUGUAUCCUGAUAAAGCAGGUUCAGGCUACUGCCGCCGUCUAUCAGGACUCUUGUGAGGUGAAAUCCAUCGACGAUUGGGUCUAAAACCAAUGCGGCGAAUCCGCCAUGGUGGAUACUGGUCGGAUGGUCUCUUUGAUCGAAAGUGAUCGGGCAAGAGGACCAUGGGUUCAAUUUUGGGGCGACUGGCUCCAUCGCGUAAACGUCCCUUAGUGUACGCUUCCGCUCCCUCUUGGGUAUAUGCGUUGCGUAUAUCAUGUUUACCGUCUGAACUUGAGGGGGGAAUCCCUUUUGUCCUCUGUUGUUCGGCGGCCGAGUCUCUUCCUCGUCAUCACUGUGUAGCCCCUUGUCAUUGUAUUCGGCGAUUAAUUUGCCUGCCUGCUUGAAUACCCAACAAUCUCUAUUGGUGUGGUUAGCUGGCUUUUAGGGGGUUCCAUGUAUUUGAUAGGAGCGGUCGAGUAUUCGGUCCAAAUUGGACGGGCCCGGAGUGGUUCUUUUGAAUGGCUUCUUCCGUUGACCGAGCUUGGAGCCUCGGAAUCCGGCGUUGACUGCCGUAUCCUCAUUGUUGUCGUCGUUAAUGCGGUGUUUGUUUUUGUUUCGGCGCAACCUGCCGUUGCGGUCCUUGGUAUCCGGACUGCCAGUGUUUUUGCUGAGGUUGUUGCUGCGAGCUAGCCAGCUAUCCUCUCCCGCACAGAAGCGGGUCAUGAGUGAUGUGAGGGCUGCCAUGGAUUUCGGCAUUUCCAGUCCUAGGUGCCGGGCCAGCCACUCGUCGUGGAUGUUAUGUUUGAAGGCAGCGAGGGCCUCUGCAUCCGGACAGUCGACGAUUUGAUUUUUCUUUGUUAAGAACCGUGUCCAGAAUUGCCUGGCCGAUUUGUCUGGCUGCUGGAUAUGUGGCUUAGGUCAUCUGCGUCCGGUGGUCGCACAUACGUGCCCUGGAAGUUGUCGAGGAAUGCGGCUUCCAGGUCUUCCCAGCAUCCAAUUGACUCUGCGGGCAGGCUGUUAAGCCAAUGCCGAGCUGGUCCUUUAAGCUUGAGCAGGAGAUAUUUGAUGGCGUGAAGAUCGUCGCCGCGGGCCAUAUGUAUAUGGAGGAGAUAAUCCUCAAUCCAAACCGCGGGGUCUGUUGUGCCAUCGUAGGAUUCGAUAUUAAUGGGUUUAAACACUUCAGGGAUUUGAUGAUCCAUUACUUCAUCAGUGAAGCAUAGUGGGUGUGCGACGCCUCUGUAUUGAGCAAUAUCGCGACGUAGCUCGAGAGAGCGUUGUCUGCUGUGUUCGGCCCGGCCGGAGUAGUUGUAUCCGGCGCGACGGUAUUCGUCGUGGGUCUUGGGGCACCCACGUGAUCCAUAGAUAGAUUUGUAUUGUCUUGCCUUGUCCUCCAAUAUAUCCCGCAAGUCCGGCGCAUUCCCCCAUGGCUUCAUGCUUUUUGAGCGAUGCCGGGGUAUGGUUUUGGUGGAGGGCUUGCACGCCUCUUUGUCGCGGCCACGAGGUGGUCGGUCUACCGUAUUGUGCGCUGGUGAUGCAAGUUUGUAUGCUUCCUCCUCUAGUCGGGGGAGCAACUUGCGUCUUGGGUAACUUUUGGAGGGGCGUUCGAGUUCAUACUCUUCGGCCGCGAGGACCUCGGUCCAUCUGUCGGCCAGUAGGUCUUGAUCAGCUUGAAGCUGUUGCUGCUUUUUCUUUAGUCUGUUUGUCGUGGCCAUUAGCCUGCGUCUGAAACGCUCUUGCUCGACGGGAUCCUCGGGCACGACGAAUUCGUCAUCGUCGAGGCUUGCCUCGUCUCCGGAGGGAGGUAAGUAAUUAUCAUCCUCGACCUCUUCGUCUGCCGCCCUCUCGUGAGGGCUUGCUUCUGCUUCCUCCUCCACUUGAUCGUGCUGGAGGGGGUUGUCUUCGGCACUUUCUGGGGUGUUAUUGUCUCCUGUUGCGGAAUCUCUAUUCUUGCUGUGGCGGGAUUUAGAGCAGCGCCGCUGAUGCCGACGCUUGGGCUGUUUCUUUAAGGAAUCAGCCUCCGUUGCUUCUUCGCCGUCCCCAUCUUUUGGGUUGUCCACCAUAUAUAUGUCGUAUGACGAGGUGGUCUUCCAGUGUCCUGUAGGCAGUGGUUCUUGAUAGUCUCCGGCAUCGUCGUCCAUACCGUCGAUGUCUUCGGAGUCGUAGUCGAGUACGUCGGUUAGAUCGUCGACGGUGGCUACGAAGUGGGUGGUGGGUGGUGGGUGGGCCCUAAAUUUCUUUGUCGUCCGCAUCCCAACCAUCCUGGCCGUAGUUCGUCCAGGGCUCUCCGGAUAGCGAGAGAUGCUUCAGCGAAUUUAAGAUAUCGCCGAAGGGUGAGUGCUGAAAGAUGUCCGCAGCGGUGAAUUCCAUGAUCGCGCCCAGUCGGAUUCGACCGGCAGGGGCGCCGGAGGUUCGGAGUCCGGCAGAGAGUCCGGCACCUCGGAGUCAUGAGCUUUCUGCGGGACAAGGUAAGUGUUCGGCUCCAUCGCCGUAGAAGUUGCAGCUCCCGAGGCGGUGUCCAGCCAUCCGUCCUCGAUCUGAGCGAUCGGCUCCGGACUAUGGGUCGGAGCGGAUUCGUGUGCGGCCUCCAAGGUGCUGUCCGGCGGCAGAGUUAGGUCGUGCCCAUCAUGACAGUGCGGCACGCUCGGCUGUGGCUCAGAUCCAUCGAAGAUCAAGUCCCCGCGGAUAUCGGCCGUGAAGUUUAGGCUUCCAAACCUGACCUGACGGCCAGGGGCGUAGCUUUCGAUCUGCUCCAGAUGGCCAAGUGAGUUGGCCCGCAGUGCGAAGCCGCCGAAUACGAAGAUCUGUCCGGGGAGAAAAGUCUCACCCAAGACUACGUCGUUGUCGAUUGAAGAGGCCAUCAAGCCUAUCGGUGACGACACAGAGGAACUCUCAAUGAAAGCACCAAUGUCGGUGUCAAAACCGGCGGAUCUCGGGUAGGGGGUCCCGAACUUUGCAUCUAGGCGGAUGGUAACAGGAGACAAGGGACACGAUGUUUUACCCAGGUUCGGGCCCUCUUGAUGGAGGUAAAACCCUACGUCCUGCUUGAUUGAUAUUGAUAUUGUGGAUGUUUACAAGAGUGGAUCUACCACAAGAUCAAGGAGGCUAAACCCUAGAAGCUAGCCUAUGGUAUGAUUGUAAGGGUUGUUGUUGUUGUUCUACGGACUAGAGCCAUCCGGUUUAUAUAGACACUGGAGAGGGCUAGGGUUACAUAGAGUUGGUUACAAUGGUAGGAGAUCUACGUAUCCAUAUCGCCAAGCUUGCCUUCCACGCCAAGGAAAGUCCCAUCCGGACACGGGACGAAGUCUUCAAUCUUGUAUCUUCAUAGUCUUGGAGUCCGGUCGAUGAUGAUAGUCCGGCCGAUGAUAGUUCAGCUGAUGAUGGUAGUCCGGCUAUCCGGACACCCCCUAAUCCAGGACUCCCUCACACAAGUAGUCCGAAGCUUUGUCAAGCAACGCCCAAUGCCGCAACCAACAUGGUGGCUAUAACCCGGUGCAAGACCGAAUACGUCAGGAGAACGAGCGGGCAGCUCAGCUGGCGGCUCAACAGGCGGCUCAUCAGGAUAUCCCAGAGUAUCCAACGACUUCUGUUGAGGCGGGAGUAGCCACUUGAACCGGUGGUAUUCCUUGUUUGGUACCGGCCUUGCGCAACGUGCGCCUGCCCAAGGACUUCAAGGGACCUUGAAAGGUGCCGAAUUACACGGCCGACUUAUAGCUCGGAGCAUGGAUCGAGAGUUAUGAGAUGGCCAUGGAGCUGUUGGAAGUCAGUGACGCGACAAUGGCUAAAUAUUUCACCAUGAUGCUAGAUGGAACGGCCCGGUCUUGGUUAAAAGGUUUGCCACCCAAUUCCAUUGGUUCAUGGGAAGAGUUAAAAACUCGUUUCAUCCAGAACUUCAAGGACACCUGUAAGCAAUCUAUGUCGAUCGUGGACUUGACGAAUUCUAAGAAGGAGGAGGGUGAAUCCACCACCCAUUGGGUACGCCGGGUCAAGGAGAUAAUUCAUUCAUCUGACAAGAUGGAUGCCGGAUCUGCAGUCCUUAUGUUGGAGAAGAAUUUCAGCUUUGAGCCGCUGAGGCAGAAACUGGGGCGCCUUAAACGUGACUGCAAGGAUAUGAGUAUGUUGAUGGAGGCUUUAAUCAAAUAUGCCGAUUCUGAUAGUACCAAGGAUCUCGUGUCUGACGAUGAGAAGACAGGGAAGGGAAAAAGGAACGGCAAUGGAAAGGGUCAACAGCAUAACCUGGGGAACCAAAGCGGCAAUAAGCGUAAGUCGGACGGUAACCCAGAGUUUGUGGCCAAUGCCAAUGCGCAAGGUAACAAUAAGAGAUAUAAGGGUAAGCCUCCUCGAUCCGGCGGGUCAGGCCCAUCUCUUGAGCAGCUACUCAAUGAGCCCUGCCCGAAACACGGCACCCGGGAGCACCCCGCCACACACCUAUGGAAGGAUUGCGCGAUCAUGAAGGCAUUUAAAAAUUCCAACACCUUUGAUGGUAGUCAUGGAUCUGGCGGCGGCUCAGGGGCUGGCGGUUUUCAUGGCCCGGGCGGUGGUUCAAAUUCCGGCUUUCAGGGGCAUCUGGGUGGUAAUAAUCAGCAGCAGUCUGGUCAAGGAGGGCAGCAGCAGCAGCAGUCGGGUUAUCAAAGCCAUCCGAAACAGUUGAGUGGUGGGCAGUGUCACAUGUUUACCACUAGUUUAUGCAAACGUGACCAGAAGGUUCAUAAGAGGGCCGUGAAUUCUGUUGAGCCGGCAAUUCCUCGUUAUUUGAGGUGGUCAGAACAGCCCAUUAUAUGGAGCAGAGAGGAUCACCCUCCAUGGGUCGAUAAUCCGGGUCAGUUAGCCUUGGUGGUAGCACCCCAGGUUGGUGGAUAUAAAUUCACUAAGGUACUCAUGGACGGCGGUAGCAGCAUCAAUAUCCUCUACUAGAGACCUUUCAGCGCAUGGGGUUGACUGAGAAGAAUUUGAGAACAUCCAACACUAUUUUCCAUGGGGUGGUUCUGGGUAAGUCGGCUUACCCAGUUGGUAAGAUUGAAUUGGAGGUGGCCUUUGGAGAUGAGUACGACUCCAGGGCUGAGAAAUUGACGUUUGAAGUGGUUAAAAUCAGGAGUCCAUAUCACGCUCUGUUUGGGCGACCGGCUUAUGCUAAAUUCAUGGCACAACCAUGUUACGCUUAGUUACAGCUCAAGAUGCCAGGUUACAAGGGCACCAUCACUGUGCAUGGGAGUCGAAAGGUGGCCUUGGAAUGUGAAGAGGGCGACGCGUCUUACGCUGAGUCUGCCUGUGCUACGGAGGAGCUCAAAUUUUAUCAAGACAAUGUUGACCCAGCGGAUAUGACCUCCCUCAAGAAACCAACUACUGCGCAUGACCCGGUGUUGAAGUUUAAAUCGGCUGCUGAGACAAAGCUUGUUGACUUUACCCCAGGAGAUGCCUCUAAGCAGUUCAGUAUCAGUGCCAAUUUGGAUCCUAAAUAGGAAAGCGCGCUCAUCGAGUUCAUCCGUGAGAACCGGGACAUCUUUGCAUGGAAACCUUCUGACAUGCCGGGUGUACCAAGGGAACUCGCUGAGCACACUCUCAAUAUUGAUCCAAAGUAUAAGCCGGUCAGGCAGUUUCUCCGACGAUUCAACGAAGAGAGGCGGAAGGCUAUUGGGGAAGAGGUCGCCCGACUCUUAGCGGCCGAGUUUAUUGUUGAAGUUUUUCACCCGGAGUGGUUGGCUAACCCGGUGUUAGUGCUCAAGAAGAACGACACUUGGCGGAUGUGUGUGGAUUACACAGACUUAAGCAAGGCUUGUCCGGCUGAUCCCUUUGCUCUCCCCCGUAUUGAUCAAAUCAUUGAUGCUACGGCGGGUUGUGAAUGUUUGAGCUUCUUGGAUGCUUACUCUGGUUAUCAUCAGAUCAAGAUGGUAGUUAAGGACCAGGAGAAGACAGCUUUCAUCACUCCGUUUGGAGCCUUCUGAUAUGUAUCUAUGCCAUUUGGACUCAAAAGUGCCCAGGCGACUUAUCAGCGGUGUGUGCAGAACUGUUUGCACGAUCAAAUUGGGCGUAAUGUUCAUGCUUACAUAGAUGACAUUGUGGUGAAGUCCAGAGAAAAGGAAACCUUGAUAUUUGACUUGGAAGAGACCUUUGAUAAUCUUCGGGUUUACAAGAUGAUGCUUAACCCGGCCAAGUGUGUGUUCGGUGUACCUGCGAGCAAGCUCCUAGGUUUUCUGGUAUCAAACAGAGGCAUUGAAGCUAAUCCGGAGAAGAUUAAGGCGAUUACCUCUCUGGCUAAGCCGGCGUGUAUCAAUGAUGUUCAGCGACUGGCGGGUCGUGUUGCCGCUUUAAGCCGAUUUAUAAGCCGGUUAGGUGAGAAGGCCCUUCCAUUAUAUCAGAUGAUGAAGAAAACUGACACCUUUGUCUGGAGUGAUGCUGCAGAUGCUGCCUUUGAAGACUUGAAGAGGCAAUUGUCUGAACCACAGGUUCUUGCGGCUCCCAUUGACAGAGAGCCGUUGUUGUUGUAUGUGGCUGCUAAUUCACGAGCGGUGAGUGUUGCCAUCGUGGUGGAGUGUAAGGAAGCUGACAAGGAGCAUCCGGUUCAACGACCGGUUUACUAUAUCAGUGAGGUGCUCAUUGAGUCUAAACAAAGAUAUCCACAUUGGUAGAAACUCGUUUACGGAGUGUUUAUGGCCAACCGAAAGUUGAAGCAGUACUUUCAAAGUCAUCCUAUAACUGUGGUAAGUUCUGCCCCUUUGGGCGACAUCAUCCAGAAUAGGGAGGCCACAGGACGAGUCACCAAGUGGGCUAUCGAGCUUGGGCCUCAUGGUUUGAAGUACAUGCCACGUACUGCUAUUAAGUCUCAGGCCUUGGUGGACUUUAUCAAUGAUUGGACAGAGUUGCAGGCACCUGAGGAGAAGCCAGAUAACACAUAUUGGACUAUUCACUUUGACGGGUCCAGACAGCUAGAAGGCUCGGGGGCUGGAAUUGUUUUAACUUCCCCUCGAGGUGAAAAAAUUCGUUAUGUACUCCGGCUUAUGUUCCCAUGUACUAACAAUGCAGCUGAGUACGAGGCCUUACUCCAUGGUCUCCGGAUGGCCAAGGAGAUGAAAUUAAGCCGGGUAAGGUGUCUGGGCGACUCAGAUCUCGUGGCUCAAUAGGUGUCAGGCAAGUGGGAUUCCAAGGAUCCUCUCAUGGCGGCUUAUUGACGUGAAGUAGAUGCUAUGGCUGGACAUUUCAAGGGUUAUCAAGUGGAGCACAUUGAUCGAAGGAAGAAUGAGGCGACUGAUGCUUUAAGCCGGCUGGGAUCUCAAUGUAAGCCGGUGCCACCCAACACCUUUCUUGAUGUUUUGCAUAACCCUUCUGUCAAGGUGCCUACCGAGGAAGAACUAGCGGUGCCAGAUCUGGAGGCGCAACUGGUGGCGGCUCUUCACGUCAUCCCGGAUUGGACAGUGGCCUAUUUGGCUUACAUGACCCGGGGUGAGUUACCUGAGGAUGAGACCUUGGCAAGACAAAUUGUCAGGUGCUCCAAAUCUAUGACGAUUGUUAACGGCGAGUUACAUCACCUAAGUGUCACUGGGGCAUUUCAAUGUUGUGUGUCCCCUACGGAAGGCCAAGAAAUACUCUGUGAGAUCCAUGAAGGGGAUUGUGGCCAUCAUGCCGAGUCAAAAUCUCUUGUGGCCAAGGCCUUCCAUCAUGGUUUCUACUGGCUCACGGCUCAUGCUGAUGCGGAGGAUCUGGUCAGUAAAUGUGACAGUUGUCAGAAGUUCUCACGAUGUGCUCAUGUGCCGGCUCAAGAAAUAAGGAUGAUCCCAAUUACUUGGCCGUUUGCAGUCUGGGGGCUUGACAUGGUUGGACCUUUAAAAAGGUCUAAGGAUAAAAAGACACAUCUCCUGGUGGCAGUGGAUAAAUUUACAAAGUGGGUUGAGGCGGAGCCAAUCAGUAAGUGUGAUGCGGCCACAGCGGUUCAGUUCAUGAAAAAGGUGAUCUUUCGUUUUGGUUUCCCACACAGCAUUAUAACUGAUAAUGGCACAAAUCUCUUCAAGGGAACCAUGGAAGAGUUCUGUCAACGAGAACAUAUCCGGCUUGAUGCUUCGGCUGUUGCUCAUCCUCAAUCCAAUGGUCAAGCGGAAAGAGCUAAUCAAGAGAUCCUGAAGGGUAUCAAGCCCCGGCUCUUUGUCCCCUUAAAACGGACUCCGGGUUGUUGGGUGGAGGAGUUACCCUAUGUACUAUGGAGCAUCAACACUACGCCUAACAGAUCUACGGGUUACACACCUUUCUUCAUGGUCUAUGGAGCAGAGGCAGUUCUGCCAAGUGACAUCCGACACGACUCACCCCGUGUGGUGGCUUAUGUUGAGGCAGAUAACGAGAAGGCUCGUUAGGAUGCACUUGACUUGUUGGAUGAGGAGCGAGACUUGGCAAUGGCCCGCUCGGUGAUUUACCAGCAAGACCUGCACCGCUAUCACAGCCGCCGGGUUAAGAGCAGAACCUUUCAGGAAGGUGAUUUGGUACUCCGGCUCAUCCAAGAUCAAUAUGACAUGCACAAGCUAUCUCCGCCUUGGGAAGGACCCUUUGUGGUCAGCAAGAAUCUGAACAAUGGGUCAUAUUACCUCAUUGAUGUUCGAGAGCACAAAGACUCACAUAAGUCGGAGGAGGAGACCCGCCGGCCGUGGAAUAUUGCCCAUCUUCGGCCUUACUAUACUUGAGCCACCGGAUCUUAGGAUGUAUAUAUUUUUGAUGAUGUACAUAUUAUAUAAAGCAAUAAAGCAGGACCUCUGUCCUUUUUUCCUCAAAGAAUGUUUUUAUGUCUUCUUUAUCAGGUGGCGGAAACUACCAACAGGGAGCGGAUCAUAUCUGAAUCCGGCUUUCCCUUUGGUCCGGCUUAUGAUCAUAUCUGAAUCUAGCCAUGAUCACUUGGGGGCUUCCUGUUCAAACAUAGGUCGUAUUUGAACCAAAGAGAACAUAGCUGUCGAUACCCGCUUGAUCGGCAUACUGCCAAACCCACUUGGGGGCUCUUGAUCAUAUUUGAAUCACAGCUUAACUCCUUUGGGUCUGAGGUGGAUCGUAUUCGAAUCAACGUCAUUAAACAACUCUUAUGGUCACUUGGGUGCUUCUUGUUCAAACAUAGGUCGUAUUCGAACCAAAGAGAACAUAGCUAUCGAUACCCGCUUGAUCGGCAUACUGCCAAACCCACUUGGGGGCUUCUUGAUCAUAUUUGAAUCACAGCUUAACUCCUUUGGGUCUGAUGUGGAUCGUAUUCGAAUCAGCGUCAUUAAACAACUCUUAUGGUCACUUGGGGGCUUCCUAUUCAAACAUGGGUCAUAUUCGAACAAAGAGAACAUAGCUGUCGAUACCCACUUGAUCGGCAUCGCCAAAGCCACUGGGGUCUAUAUGAUUGUAUCCGAAUCUUAGCUUAACCCCUUUGGAACGGUUUACUGAUCGUAUUCGAAUCAGAAGCCUCUGAACAUUAUUUAUUAUAUGUCAUAAGCAUAAUUGCUUGAUUAUCUUGAGACCUUUUUUGAAAGCACUAUGAGAUGGCUUUUGAUUCUUCCGGCUUAAUAUUAAUUAUCCCAGGUUGUUAAGUGCUAGGUGAGCAUUAUAUGUUCCGACUUUUAGGAGUUGAAACCAUCCACAUGGUGAAGGUCACAUAAACAGGUGGGAUUACCAAAGGGAUUGCAGGAUGAGGCAAGCAAAUUUAACAUCAAGGAGACAAACGAUCAACAUGAGCUAGAAAUAUAUAACAAUGGCGGCUUACGAAAGUAUUAAGCGCCAUAAACAUGCGCGAAGGCAUGACAAACAUUGAGAAGUUUUUUAUAUCCUAUUACAAGACUCCCCGAGUCUGAAUAAGUGGAGCAUUGUUUUUGCGAAGUUAUAAAACGCCUGGCGGUUCAUUCCUUCGGCGGGCUUGAAGACUCCGGGUUAUCCUUCUCCGCCUAUCCGUCGAUUGCUUUGUCCUGGAAGGUGGACGAGGCCCAGUCAAUGCCACUCAAGGCAUCAAACUCCACUUCAUCAUCUAUUAAACCGGCCGGGUCCACUUCAGGGGAAAAGGUAUGCUUACGCGUUGGAGGGAUCAGGCUGACUUGGUCAUAGGGAUGUUUGGAAUUCUCCGGUUCUCGCUAUCAUAGCCCGGCGAAUACUUUGUAAGAUCAGUAUCAUUCCCAAUAAGGGUAGCCAAGGGACGUACGACUUUGACACAGGCAGUGAAAUCUUGAUCAUCAAAUGCAGAACCGUCCUCCUUAAGGCGCGGAUAUCCAAGAGAGAGAUCAGCUAAGUCAAGCUCUGGCGUCCAUGCCUUUGCCCGUCUCAGUGCGGCCACGGCUCCGGCUCUUGCGGAUGCCCGCCUUAAAUCUUGAAUUCGUUGAGGUAGCACAGCGAGAUGCUUCAGCACGUCUUCCAAAAGGCGGGGAGGGGUGUUUAAUAAGGCUACAACGGCCAAGGCACGUUGUGACCCGGAGUACAGCUGUUCCACUAAGGUGUAAACUGCUUUAAGUUUGAUCAGCAUGUUUUGCUUCAGGUUGGUACUCCCGGGGCCUGUGUGUGCACAAACAUAACAGUCAACCGGAGGUAACCAUUACAAUAGUCAUUGGAAGAUUACAAUGUUUGAGGUUUUGCAUAGUAACUUACCGAAGAUGGCUGAGACCAUUUGAGAUAUCUGCCGUUUUAAGUCGGAUAGCUCAGUUGUUGCCUCUGCAAGAGAUAUUUUUGCUGUCUCGGCCCGAGUCACCAGUGCAGCCUUCUCAUCAGCCCAAGCUUUCUUCUCUGACUCAAAAUUUUUCUUCAACUUCUCAUUUUCAGAGACACUGAAUUCAAAUUUGGAGUUGGCCUUCUGAGUUUCAAGUUCUUGAGUUUCCAGACGACUCUUCAGGACAGCAAGCUUCGAUUCAAAUUAACUUAUGGUGGCCUGUAUUGACACCAGCGUAUGGUAAGGAUCACGGUAAGGUAACAUUCAAAGUCCCAAGCAUUUUAAAAGUAAAGAUACUUGGCACUUGGGGGCUAAUGUAUGCUGAAGAAUUUUAAACCUACCAUACCGGGUCACACAUAUUAAGUCUCAAGCACUUUACAAGUAAAGAUACUUGACCCUUGGGGGCUAAUGUGUAUUGCAAAUUUAAAACUAUCAUGUUAUAACCGGGUUAAAUAUAUUCUCUUUGAACUAGACAAACAAACAGUAAACAGAUUUCUAAGUCUACAGCAUAUUAUUUCAUAAGCAAUAGACUUGGGGGCUGGUACAGUAAGUAAGAUUCAAGAGAAUAGCAUAAGUUAUACCUCAGAUUUGUGAUGUAUUUGUUUCACCAUAUCAAUUUCCAGGUCACGCCUAUUAUGCACUUGGUUCAGAUAGCCCGAGACUAUAUCACCAAUGCUUAAGUGAGUAUAGUCAGUGAUGUCCUGUUUGGCUUUUCGACGUUCGGCAAAUUCUUCCUUGGCAAUACAUUGGGCAAGAAUAGUAGGCUGCCCCGGUUCAACAAAUUGCUUUUCAGAUAUACAACUUCUGGGUCAGUCGUCUUGGCCGGUCUAGGAACUUUCGGAUUAUCAGAGUUGUGGAUAACAUCUUCUGCAGGCGGGUCAGAGGUUGGCACCGGAAUGUCAGAAGCCGGUUCAGGCGGUGGCUGAUGGGUGAGCUAGCAGGGGCGGACGAGUCAAGCACCAGUUUAGUGACAACCAGGUCUUGGGACGACUUAUUUUUCCUCGCCUUCUUGUUGGGCUUCACUUGCAGGCUGUCAAUAAAGGAAGAAGGAUGAGUAUUAAAGCAUAAAGUAUGAUAAAACUUAAAGUAAGAAAGGUUACAUUACCCGGGAGCCGUUUUGAAAGCCGGCAUGUUUGAUUGCAUAGACUCGUCAGAAGAAGGAGAGGUAUUCUGAUAAUUGGAGUCAGAUGAAUUGAGAGGUUGACGAAUCAAACCCGCCAAAGGUAAAAUAGAACGUAAAUCAGAGAUAACCUCGGUCUGGCGCUUCCUAGUUACAUUGGGUAAGCCAGAGGAGAGUUCUGCAUCUUGAUUGGCCUGAGUCUGCCUCCAGUUCUCAAGCUGUUGUUGCUUCAAAAGAAAUUGAGGAUCUUGAGAAGCUAGAGGAUGUGAAAAUCUUAGUUUCCGGGUCACCCUUCGGGUUUUUUGUUUUGGCAAAGGCUCUGAGUCGGAGGAGAUUAUAGUUACCUCUUCUUCAACUGCUUGACUGUUCCCUGUAUCCUCCUGAAAGGACAGAAUGUCAGUAAAAUAGCAACAAGGGAGUUAAGAAAGUUAAAGGAUUACCUCUUCAUCAUCCGAAGAAGUAUCAUCCAAUUUGAAUAACUCAGAGGCGCUGGGUUUCUUCUUUUUUGAGGUUCCCAUCUUGGCGGCUUUCCUUUCGGUUUUCUUAGCUUCCCUGGCUUGUUUGGCAGCGUCAUGAUCAUAUUUGACCUUCCAGAAGUUAUCAUCGGCCUGUGGAAAGGAUAAAGAAUUAUGAGCUCAAAUAAGGUAUAACGAAGCAGAGAGUAUUUAUUAAGAUUGAUAACUCACUGCAGGGGCCGGGUUCUUCUUGCAGAAGGGAAGUAAGCCAAAGGUAUUACUGGUUACAGUGCCCUCCUUCAGCAGUGACUGGGUUGUGGCAUCUACCACAUCAUCUGGUAAGUCCUCAGGACUAUGGCGCAUUGGAUCGUCCUUUUCGCCUGUGUAAGUACACAUUAAGCUGGGGCAGCGGCUUAAUGGAAGUAUUCGCCAAGUGACCCAGACUCGGACUAGAUCGAUGCCAUUUAAACCAUUUCCAAAAGAGCUUUAAUCUUCUUGAUGGUGGGAUUAAGAGGCAGACAUUCAACAGUGGUCAGGUUAUCCGCCAGCGGAUGGUUGGACUCAAGGCGCAGGGCGCGAAAGCCGGGCAGAGGCUUCUCAUCAGCCGGAGAAGUGUCCUGACAGUAGAACCACGUCUGGUUCCAAUCUUUUGGGUGACUCGGUAGCUCAGCUUAAGGAAAAAGGCAGUCUCUCCAUCGCUGGAUCGAGAUGCCGCCAAGCUCAAGACUAGGCCCGUUGGCACGUUCAUUCUGCCGGUUCAAGUAAAAAAGUUCUCUGAACAAAAGCAGACUUAGCUCCUCUCCCAGAUAUACCUCACAAAAGACUUGAAAAUUGCAAAGGUUUGACACGGAAUUGGGUCCAAUGUCUUGAGGUCUAAGAUCAAAGAAAUUCAAAACCUCCCUGAAGAAUUUUGAGCUGGGAGGGGCAAAUCCCCGGUUCAUGUGAUCCGUGAAAACUACCACCUCCCCUUCUUUGGGUUGAGGCCAUUCUGCAGACGGGUCAGGAGCACGAUAAGACAUGACCUCCUCUUUUGGCAGGUGGCCAGACUUCACGAACUCAGCAAGUUUACUCGUAGUAACUAUGGAUGGGACCCAAUUGCAGGUUACAGGGGCCUUGGCCGCCUUAGGUACCAUGACGACAGUUGGCCUAUUACAAAAUAAGAAGUUCCGGUUCAAAUUUUAAACCGGGAGAAAUAUCCAAAUUAUUUAAGGUAGCGGCUUACGAAGGGGCCUAAUGAUAUAAGGAUGACUGUGCAACAAUAUUUAAGCUGCUACAAGUAUCAAGAGUAGUUCAAAAUUCUUGAGUUCAUGAGAAGCAAGCAAGGCUCACAGAUCAGUGUCAUUUAUUUAAGCCGGACACCUGGACAGUUGUGUUUAAAGGGCAUCUAUCAGAAGAAGUUUUCCGGGUGAUAAAAACAGGUUUCAUAAUCUGCUGCUAAUAUUUGAGAUCAAAGAUCUGUUCUGAUAAGAAAAUUUUCUAGACCUAAAAACAGGGCAGAGAAGUUCAUACACUCGAAGAGGGUUUCCAAACAAGUAAAAUGAGAUCUGUUUCUAUGCAAGAUAAACACAAACAAUUACCGCAGCAGUUCUAUGUAGUUUUUACAAUCUAAACAGGGCAUUGGAGGUGAAAACUAGCAAGGGUUUGCAUCGGGCGGUGAUGAACACCGAUGAACUCAACAAAGUUCCAAUGUAGAUCUAAGAAAGGGAAGGAGAGGAACUCACGGAUGUGGACGAGCUGCAGAGGUUCGCCGUCGUUUUCUGGUUAGAGUCAGGUUGAUGCAGCGGCCUGAGUCGGUGAAGACGAGGGGUUCGACGGCGGCGGCGGCGGAGCUCAAGAGGAAGCAAGAGGAAGAAGAUGACUGAAAGAGGGAAGAAGGAAAUACCUAGGUCACCCUAUUUAUAAAGGAAGACUUGCCGAGAUGGCGCGAGAAACGAGGAGACCAAAACAUCAUUAUCCAGCGGCCCCGACGCCUCAAUUCUCGGGAUGGUCAGUAAAGGCAAAGAUCCGUUGGAGGAUAUGAUGGAAUAAAAUAUGAGUUUUAUUGAAGAUGACGUCAUGGUGAUUUGACCCGGAUCCAGAUGAUGAUGUCACGACGGGUUAAAGUUUUUGCGCAAGACAAAAGAUUGAAGGCCAGUUCCAUAAGGUAUUUUAAGAUUGACAUGAACAGGUUCAAAUCAAUCUGGGGCCUAAUGUUGGGGAUAUAACUAUUUGUGUAAGCCGCCCAGGAGGGGCCGGGUUACGCAAAGAGACUCACCAGAAAGAAGCCCAAGACCAAAGCAUGAAGAUGGCGGUUCAAUAGAGGGAUUAAGGCCCACAGGCGACUUAAGGCCCGUUGUAGUAAACCGCCACAGUAGCAUGACUUGUAUCAUAAGGUAGACUUAACUAGUCACCGAGCCGGACACUGUUUAUAAGCCGGCCGGGACUCUGUAAGCCGCAGGGCAUCAACCUGUGUAUAUAAGGGGACGACCUGCUGGCGGCUUAGGGCAAGAAACAACUCAUCGAGAGCCGGGCAUAGCGUAUCUCGCUCCCUGGUCAUCGAAACAUCAAUACGAACCCAACUAGACGUAGGCUUUACCUUCACCGUAAGGGGCCGAUCUAGUAUAAAACCUCUCGUGUCCUUUGUCCCGAUUAACCCCUUCAAGCUUCCUAGUUGCAAUGGCUCCACAACUAAGUCCUUCCACGAGGACAUCUGACGUGACAAUUCCAUGACACUUCUUGUGGUCGGUAAAAAUUCAUUAUAUAAUCUCCUAAAGGUUUUGACCACCGUACCACGACAAAAUCCUCUGCUUUUGUUUCGAGCUGUUUUUCUGACAGAUCUAGAUCACCAUGACGUCUUCAAGCGCCCCAAGGACAAGUUUUUCGAGAAGGUCAUCAACCUUUACCUCGCGGAGGUGCUGCAACACCCUCAAACCAUUGAGAUGCGCGAGGGGGUGCUGCACAUCUGUGAUGUUGAGGGACCAAGGAGGACCGUAAGCGUGGAGACAAGACUCGAAGCAAUGGAGCAACAAGUUUUCAAGUGCCAAGGGAUGGUGGAACGCAGACUCAACACCAACCACAUGAUGAUCGCGGAGUUCACCAACAACCACAAGCUGGAUGCCAAGAACAUUGGGGAGACCAUCUUCAAGCUUCACGAGAAAAUCGAACACCUCCAAGCCCAGAUCUAUGACCUGCAAAACCAAAACUGUGAGUAUGAAUAUAGAUUCAAGAGGAUGAGUUUGGCUGCAGAUUUGAGGAUCCCGGAGACUCGAUCAUCCUUUUAUGAUGGUGAGCCUAUCCCUUGGAAGAUGAACGACAAGCCUACAUCAUCAACAACUCCACCAUCACCACCUCCAAAGAAAGAGACAUAAACACAUGGGUAUGGGCACUCCCCUUGGCAACUGCCAAGCUUGGGGGAGGUGCCCCGGUAUCGUAUCACCGUCACACUUCUAUCUUUACCAUUUUUCUUAGUUCGAUCCUUUUGGUUAUAUCUUGAUCUAGUAGAAUAAAGUUUACUAUGAUCGAGCUUUGAGUUUUGUGUUGAUCCCUAUCUAUGUAGUCGAGUACGUAAGCUAUAUAUAAUAAAGAUUAGUUUUGAGUCGAGGGCUUGGCUAUCUUGCUAUGAUCUUGAGGGAAUAAAAGAAAGAAUAAAAAGAAAUAAAAAGAUCAUAUUGAUCUUAUGGAGAGUAAUGACUUCACAUAUAAAGAGUAUGAUGAAUAAAAGUUGUUGAGAGUUGACAAACAUAGUUUUGGUCAUCGUUGCAAUUAAUAGGAAGUAAUAAAGAAAGAGAAGUUUUCACAUAUAAAUAUACUAUCUUGGACAUUUUUUAUGAUUGUGAGCACUCAUUAAAAUAUGACAUGCUAAAAAGUUGAUGUUGGACAAGGAAGACAACGUAAUGGGUUAUGUUUUCUUAUAUCCGAAAUAAAUUAUGAUGUCAUGGAUCAUCCAACAUGUUGAGCUUGCUUUUCUCCAUCAUGCUAGCCAAAUUCUUUGCACCAAGUAGAGAUACUACAUGUGCUUCCAAACAUCCUUAAACCCAAUUUUUCCAUGAGAGUCCACCAUACCUACCUAUGGAUUGAGUAAGAUCCUUCAAGUAAGUUGUCAUUGUUGCAAGCAAUAAAAAUUGCUCUCUAAAUAUGUAUGAUCUAUUAGUGUGGAGAAAAUAAGCUUUAUACAAGCUUGUGAUAUGGAAGAAAUAAAAGCAACGGACUACAUAAUAAAGGUCCCUAUCACAAGUGGCAAUAUAAAGUGACAUUCUUUUGCAUUCAGAUUUUGUGCAUCCAACCAUAAAAUCACAUGACAACCUCUGCUUCCCUCUGCGAAGGGCCUAUCUUUUAUUUUUGUCUUCUACCUUAUACAAGAGUCAUGGUGAUCUUCACCUUUCGUUUUUACACUUUAUCCUUUGGCAAGCACUAUGUGUUGGAAAGAUCCUGAUAUAUAUACCCAAUUGGAUGUAGGUUUUCAUAAAGCAUUAUUGUUGACAUUAUCCUUGAGGUAAAAGGUUGGGAGGCAAAACUAUAAGCCCCUAUCUUUCUUUGUGUCCGAUUGAAACUUCAUACCCAUAAGUAUCGCGUGAGUGUUAGAAAUUGUGAAAGAUUAAAGGAUAGUUGAGUAUGUGGACUUGUUGAAAAGCUCUUAUAUUAACUAUUUCCGAUGUUAUGAUAAAUUGCAAUUGCUUCAAUGACUGAGAUUAUAGUUUGCUAGUUUUCAAUGAAGUUCCUGAUUCAUACUUUACAUUGUGAAUAGAUUGCUACUUUAGCAUAAGAAAUCAUAUGAUAUAUAUAGGGUAGGUCUAUUAUGAUAACACCCUUAAGAGUCUUAUUAUGAUAACACCGAAGCUUAUUCUGAUAACACCCCGACCCACCUGUAGCUACAAACUAACCAUGACCGGACUGCAGACGCAAAGAAAAAAAACACCCCGCCUUAUCCUCUCCUCCACCCCUCGCUCUCCCCGUGCUCCACACCCGCACGACCACCUUCCACCGUGUCGCCACCGCCCUGUGCCGUCGGAGCACCUUCCCCACGCUGCCGCACCACCUUCCUACCCUGCGCCACCUAGCCGCCAUCUUCGCCUGCGCCACCGCCCCACCUCCUUCCCCCGCACCGCCGCGACGCCAUCCCGACGACCUCCUACUAUGUCAUCGCGCGGUGGCUCCUGCCAUCGGAUCUGGGACCUGCCAUCACCUUCGUCCUACCCCACGUCGGCCCCUCCCUGCGACGCCGCCGGCCAUGUGCCCAUGCCGCCACCAGCGCCCUGGUCCCGCCCAAUCCCGCCACUACUUCCUCCUCGAAAUGGCCAGAUCCCAUCCUCUUCCCCAGAUCUAGCAAAAGAAGGGGCGACACUGGUGUUCACGGUGGCCGCUGGCCCCAGAAGCUCGAGAUGGAUCGAGCAGCACCCUCUCGCCCAGUUGCUGGCCUCGGUCAACCAUAGAGCCUUGCACGCCGAAUCUAGCGGAUUUGGUUCUUCCACGCGCCGCCACUUGGUCCCUGAGCGCCCACAGGAGAUGACUCCGGCGCUCCGCCAACUAACAAGAGAGGAGGGCGACGACACGAGCUCCUCCUCCGGCGAGGAUCCCAGCAACUACCCAGCCGCCCCAUGGAACUUGUCCUGGCAAGGAUGAGGGUCGAGGACGCCUAGAUGUGGGCUGCUGCUAGCAUCCUAGUUCCCUGGUGCAGUCCAGCAUCCCCGAUGAGCUCCCUUCACCAACGCCCCCUCUCUGCAGUUCGGAUCGAGCACAGGUGCAUCUUCUUAUCGUCAUUACGGUCCCCUCUGGCCUCACCCACAGUUUUGAUUGGAGCUUGUUGAGGUUCUAUCAGCAAAAAGUAUAGAUAAAGCAAAAAAAACUAAUGGUGUAUUUGGGCGAAUGCAGUUCUUUCAAUUAUUUGAGAAAAAAUGUGCAGUACGGUUGAAUGCCACGUUGCAAUUUCUGUUCUUGAUUGAGGUUCAGUUUGCUUACUUUUGCAGGAAGAAAAUUGUGUAGUUUGGCUGGAUGUCGUGUUGCAUUUUUUGCAGGUCCUAGUCGUGGAGUUCAGACAUGGAGCCUCCCUCCCUGUAGUUCUUUUCGAUUAGUUCAGACGUGCUUGCUAAAAAAUCAUUUGUAAAAGAAAAUUAUGAGGUUCACUUUUAUCUGCAGUUCAUUUAGUUUUGGUCGUUGCUUUUAUCUGCAGUGAGAUCCUGGUAGAUCAAUUCAAAGUAGCUUUGGGUUUUGUUGAUGUAGUGCGGCGUGCCUAUUUGCAUAGUUCGACUCCUUUCAUGGGGAUGUUCUUCUAGCGAAACUCUUUUUUCCCUAAAAAAUAAGGGUUAAUUAUCCUUUUGCCCUCAGUGGUGUCUCUGUGCUCAGUUUUGCCCUAAGAUGCAAAUUGUGCUUAGUUUCGCCCCUAGUCCAUGCACAGCUACUAUGACGAGGCCAAACGGCCAUAUUUGAGUCCAUUCCGUCCGCCAGCAUUAAGUUGUGGGUCCAGAGCUUACACGUGGGACCGCGUGGCGUGGGUCCGGAGCUGACAUGUAGGCCCGUGCAACUAAAUCCCCAAAUCAUUCGUAGCUCACUCUGCCCAUCCGCUUCCCGGCCAGCCGGCUGACCUGCGCCGCCGCCAGCACUUGCGCCACGGCCAGGACCUGCCCUGCCACCAGCUACAUGCCUACUCCAUCGCUACCUUUCUACGCCUACGCUCCAUGGCUGCCUGCAACGCCCGCCACCUUCCUGCGACGCUCGCCACCUUUCUACGACGCCACGGGUGGGGCGCCCGCCACCUGCUCGACCCACGGCGCGGCCUCCUUCCGUGCGCCCGGCUGGAGCGCUCAAAGGUGGGGGGCUGCUGGAGCUAUUUGAACUAGGAGGAAGAACCCUAGGGCAAAAUGGAGAGCAGCAGCGACCCCGGAGUAUUUGGCGAGGCAGGCAUCGGGCCGGAGAUCCGCCACGUCCACGACUGGGUUCCCGAGGGGUAAGUCUCGCCUCCUGUUUAGAUUGAGCUUAGUUGUGCAUUUAAACACUCGAUUCGAGUAGGAUUGCCCAAUUAGUGUGCUGAUUGCGUCUCUGUUUUUUGCCUGUUAGGAUGGAGUUGCGGUUUGCUUUCUUGAUGCACAUUAGAAGGGACUGGUACACGUUCAAUGCAAAGGAUCAUAAGAAAUACCAAGGAGGUUUUUAUUAUCGGUUGCUAAUGGCUAGUAAUUGGAGUUUCAGACAAUUUGGGGAGGUAAUUUGUAGCCAAUAUCCUUGGGGUUUGCUUGAUGAAGUGGUAUACAAAUACUAUGAUGGGGAAAAGAAAUGGGUGACAUUUAGUAAUGAUGAAGAGCUAGCUACCAUGUUUGUUAGGCAUAAAGAGAAAGAUAAUUUUCAUGUGAGGCUGCAAGUUGAUGUGCUUGAGCAGGCAUUUGGACCUAGGAUGACAGGUGCAACAUCUCGGGGAGAACCAAGUCGUCGUAAUGGCAUCUCUAGCCAGAACAGUUCAGUUGGUGCACAACGACGUGGUGGCUCAACAAGUGUGGGCAACAGCAGUAGGGUCCCCCUUGAAGUGGAGCAUGAUGACUACAAUUCUGGGGUUGAUGAAGAGAAGCUAUAUUCUGAUGUUAUUCGAAAUUUACGACGGGCACCUCGGGCUGAUAACCAAGAUGAGGCUCACAAUGCAGUCCGUGUGGAUGAUGACGCGGUGGGUGAGGACGAAGACCUUGCAGCUUUUGAAUGGGACCCUUUGAACCCUAAUUUGGAAGAAGGUACAGUUUUUGCAUCCAUGAAUAAGUGUAGAAAUGUAGUUGUGACAUACUGCAUCAAGGUAGAACGUACUUUCAAAGUUGACAAGAGCGAUGAAGUACGUUACAGAGUGCAUUGUCCGACUGAGGGUUGUCCAUGGAGGCUGCUCGCAUCUAAAAUGCGUAAUAGCACUAAUGUUCAGGUCAAAGUGAACCCUUUUAAGCACACAUGCCAGGAAUCAACCCUUAGGAAGGAUACAAUCAGUAGAGCCAAGUCAAGAUGGGUGGCAGAAGAAGUAAAGAAGUGGGUGAAAGAAAACCAGCAAGUGGGUCCAAAGGAAUUGUAGAAGAACAUCAAAGAUAAAUUCAAGAUAGAUUUACCAUACAUGAGGUUGUUCAAUGGUAAACAACAUGCUAUGGAUUCUAUUUAUGGUAACUGGCAGAAAAGUUUUCAAUUGUUGUAUUCAUUCAAAGGUGAAGUGGAGAGGACAAGCCCAGGUAGUAUUGUAGAUAUUGAUCACCACACCGUGGAGUACACAUUCAGGGGAGUGACAAAGACCAAGGAAUGCUUUAGGAGGGUUUUUGUCUGCUUUGAGGCUUGUUGCCGGGGUUUUUUGGCAGGUUGCAGGCCUUAUUUGGCUAUUGAUGCCACUUUUCUCACAGGGAGGUUUAAAGGACAGUUAGUAGCUACUUGUGCAGUUGAUGCACACAGUUUUGUAUUUCCAGUUGCCUACGGUGUGCUGGAGAUAGAGUAUGAGGAGAGCUGGACUUGGUUUUUGCAUAAUCUGCACCGGGCUAUUGCACAUCCCAAUGGGUUGGUCAUUCAUACAGAUGCCUAAAAAGGUUUAGAAGUGGUCGUGGACAAUGUGUUCCCUGGAGUAGAGCAUAGGGAAUGCAUGCGUCACCUUGCUACAAAUUUCAUGAAGAAAUUCAAAGGAAAGGUGUAUACCGACAAUUUAUGGCCAGCAUCUUUGACUUGCAGUGUGAAGAAGCACAACUACCACUUGAGGCAGUUAUACAUGAAUCCCAAAGUGAAAGAAUACUUGGAAACACACCACUCCAAGUUAUGGGCCAGAAGCCAAUUCAGUGAACUGAGCAAAGUUGACUAUGUGCACAAUAAUCUAGUAGAGUCUUUCUACUCAACAAUCCGAAAACUAAAGGGUCAUUAUGUGGUGGAUUUGCUGGACAGGAUAAGGAUAGAAUACAUGCAUAAAUUUCAUUAUCGUGCAGGAAUAGCCGAGGCAAAAUUCAUGGGCCACAUUAUCAUCCCUGCCGUGAUGAAUGAACUGAUGCAGAAAACAACAGGCUUGGAAAUGAACAUGACUCUUUGCUCGGGUACCACAGCAGAGAUAUCAUAUUUGGAUAAAGAGAAGAGGGAAUGGAGAUAUCCAGUGGAUUUAGAAGCUAGAACUUGCAGUUGUAGGCAAUGGUAGAUAACUGGGUUGCCAUGCAUUCAUGCCUUGUUUUUCAUCACUUCUCUCCCUGGUCCAGCAGGGAACAUUCAGCAGUAUGUGCAUGAUUACUACUCUGUUGCAAGGUUCAAAGCCACAUAUGCUUAUGCCUUGCCUGCUAUGUAGGGAAAACAACAAUGGGACAUGGUGGACCCUGGAUUCAAGCUUUGCGCUCCAGUUCUAAAGAGAGUAGUAGGUAGACCAAGGAAGAUUCGAAUCAACCUCGCAGCAAAGGAGUUGGACUUGGAGUGAGGAAGCGUAACUACACAAGAUGUGGUGGGUCCGGUCAUUUCGGUAAGUAUUGUGAUAACACAGUAGAUCCAGCGUUCGGAGAGAGUUUCGAUGAAGGCUUCGAUGAAAAUGAUGGACAGCAGCCGGUUGCAUCAGAUGAGGAUUUUGACGAGGUUCGAAAUGAUGAUGGUCAACAGCCGCAUGAUUUUGACGAUGAUCCAAGUGAGGCUCCAAAUAGUGAUCAUGGUGAUCCAAGUGAGGCUCCAAAUAGUGAUCAUGGUGAUCCAAGUGAGGCUCCAAAUGAUGAUCAUGGUGAUCCAAGUGAGACUCCAAAUGAUGAUCUUGGUGAUCCAAGUGAGGCUCCAAAUGAUGAUCAUGAUGAUCCAAGUGAGGCUCUAAAUGGUGACCAACCUUCUAUUGUUGUGAGUUCUGCUAGGUAUGUAAAUUUUGCAAGGGUCAAAUACUACUGUACCUUUAUGGGUCACUUAACAUGUUCUCAUUACCCUUUAUGUUUUGCACAGCUCUAUGAUAGGUUUGAAGAAGACGCACAAGGUACCGACAACCAAGAGGAGAAGAGAAGAAGCAAUGAGCACAAGGUGCACGAGGAGCAAAGUGAUGGCAAGAAGCUCAAGGAACAGACAAAAGCCCGAACUCUAUAUGUGAAUAAUUAUGAAACAUUAUGAAUAAUGUUGUAUUUCUGUUGGAUGAUGUUAGAACUAUGUUUGACAUGAUGUUUAAAUCUGUUGGAUGAUGUUUGAAUGAGCACAUGGUUUUUCCUUUUUUUGAUUUUUUUAAUUUUGUUUUGCUCAUUUGAAUUCUGGUCAAACUUAACUUUGACCAAGAUUUAAAUAAGUGUAAAACAUCAAAAUGAAAAACUAAGCCUGGAUCCUUCUUAGUCAAUCCAAAAUGAAGUUGUGGUGAGGUUUUUGAAAUUUUCACGAAAAAUGUGCUAAAAUGAGGGUCCAAAGGUAGGGUAAACGGCCUCAUCUCUAAGCAAGGUUUUUUUGACCUUGUCUAAAUCAGCCAAAUAACUUUCCUAAACAUAUAUUUUAUAUAUUCUAUAUAUACGGACUAUGUGCGCUGGUUUUUCCAUUUUUUGAUUUUUCUAAAUUUGUUUUGCUCAUUUGAAUUCUGGUCAAACUUAACUUUGACUAAGAUUUAAAUAAGUGUAAAACAUCAAAAUGGAAAACUAAGCCUGGAUCCUUCUUAGUCACUCUAAAAUGAAGUUGUGGUGAGUUUUUUGAAAUUUUCAUGUUUAUUUCCCCAAAACACUUCUCUUCACUUCAUACAAAAGAGUUUGAGAUACUCGAGAUAUCAUACAAUACACAUGAACUUAUCGUUUAAAUGUAUGUAAACCUUGUUUAUCAACUUAAAUCGUUAGUAUAUGACAUAAGAAGACUAUGUGCAUAGGUUUUUUAUUUUUCUGAUUUUUAUGUAUUUUAUUAUGCUCAUUUGAAAUCUGGUCAAACAUAGAUUUGACUGCUCCAAACCCCUCCCAAACCCCGCUAACCCUAGCGCUGAACCAGGACCGUUCAUCUAACCCUAGCGCUGAACAAGGGUCGUCGAUCUAACCCUUCUAGAAGGAAUCUGUGGGGAGGAGAGGGGCGAUCCGCGAGAUGCAAUCUGAUUGGCUGGGAGAUUCGUUUUUUUAAAACAAAUAUCGGGCGCGCUGGAUGGACCGUUGGGCCGUCUUGUUGUCUGGGCCUGAGACCGCUGACACCGCAGUAAAUAGCCCGUCUUAGCCUUUCCAGGCCUUACAUGCAUGCAUGGGAGGCGGCAACGUGCAUAGGCUGCGACGUGGGUUUGCAUGCGCGGGAGGCUGCGACGUGCAUGCAUGCGAGCGAGGCGAGUGAGGUGUGCUAGGCGCGCUAGGCUAGCGAGUCCAGCUAGGUGGUUCAACGAGUCAGAUGCACUAUCCGAUCAAAGAGCUAUGCAGUGAUUCAAAUGCACGCACGCACCCCAUGCAUGCAUCAUUUUUGUGCAAAAAUUUAAGAGUGCAAAGUGUAACGGAUACACACACGCGUUCGGAUUCACACACGCACCAUUCUCACCCUUUAUCUCUUCCUCUCCCACCCAUAGGCCUAUAAAUGGGGUGCCUAUCUUCCUCUCCCACCCAUAAGCCAGAUCAAAUCCAUUCUCUCCAACUUCAAACACCCAAUCGACCGAGUCUUCCCCAAGCGAGACCAUGCAGUUCAAUGUGCCGACCUUCAGCCGUCCGCCUGUCAUGCCGGAGCGGCGCUACCCACCGGGCGUGCUCGUGGAGAGGGAGCUCCGCCUGUGGGCUUUUUCAAGGUGGAGGGGUUCCGUCGAACUCACCCGCGCCUUCCUCAGAGCCGGCUAUGCCCACCUCCCACGGGGCUCCCCGAGGAUGUUCAUCGUCAACGAGGUUCGUGACCGCGGUGGCAUCGUCCUACUGCUCACGGCCAAGUCUUUUGGUGCGGCUGCGAGGCCAUCUUCUUCACCGUCUACAACAUCUACACCAACUACGAGAACAUCUUCCCCACUCCAUCCGGGAUGCACUCCCUUCCCUACGACGACGAGGAGGAGGUGUGAAGAUGAAGACGGUGUUGAAGGGGCGCGCGCGGCCAAAGUGGAAGGACGAGAUCAAGAUGAAGGUUGUUUCGUUUUUUAUUUGUUGCUUUUCUAUGCCAUGUCGUGUCGUGUCAUGUUUCGUCAUGUGUCCGUGAACUGUCCGUGAACUUAUUAUUGUAAUGGUACUUGUGUUGCAUCUUAUCUAAGUUAUUUAUUAGGGUUUAUUAUGUGUGUUAAAAAAUGUCCGUGCCCAAGCAUAUAAUUUCUUCCCUAAACCAAGUCAUGAAGCUCGAGAACUUGUGGUUGUCAUUCAAAAGAGGGGGUGAGAAGCCCUCCGUUUUAUUCAAAAAAAAUAAGUCAUGAACUAACAUGCAAAUUUAUUUUGUUUAAAUCCUAAACCAAGUGCCACUCUAACACUAAACCAAGUGCCACUCUAACCAAAACCACGUGGCAGUGCAAACAUACGUUUUCAACCUUCCAACCCUCCAAAAUUUCAGUGCAAAACAAAGGAAAACCACUCUCACGCGUGUGCAAACAUUCACGGUCUCACAUUUUUCUUUACAAAUUUCACAGUCUCACUAUGUAUACAUUCCUUCCCUACCCAUGUCAAACUCUUGCCAUCUGUCCUAGCGGUUACCAGCGCAGCCCUAAACACCACAGACCCACGCGGUCUUGGGUUCGAGUCCCCAGCUGCACCAAUUUUUUGUGCAUUUUCCACCCUUCAUUUUUUUGACAAAUUUCACAGUCUCACUAUGUAUACAUUGCUUCCCUACCCAUGUCAAACUCUUGCCAUCUGUCCUAGCGGUUACCAGCGCAGCCCUCAACACCACUAACCCACGCGGUCUUGGGUUCGAGUCCCCAGCCACACCAAUUUUUUGUGCAUUUUCCACCCUUCAUUUUUUGGACAAAUUAGUUUCUACUCAAUGUAAUGCCCUUAAAAAAUGUUCAUUAAUUUUGGCACUAGGUGUAAACAUCUACCAGAGCUGAGGCACAUUUUCCAUGACAUUUUGGUCUUUGAUUUAAAUCACGGUGUAUUUGAAUUGUAUUACUUAAAUGGCUAUUAAAUAUUUAACAGAUCCAAAUAAUUUCUAACCUUAAUUGUUUGGCUCUGGAAUAAUUCAUUAGCUGCAUUUCAUUGAUCAAAAGUUUCUGAAUUCCUCAUUUCUUCUCCUUUUUUUCAACAUGGUCACUUCUUCUCUCUUUUUUUCAACAUUUAAACAACUUUGACCAACAUUUAAACUAGGUGAAUUUCUCAUACAAUUUCAAGAUUACAAAUUCCUCCAUAAUUCAUGUCUUUCCAUACAUUUUCAACAUUACAACCAGUGCGAUUACCAUACCUACAAAUGCCCAAAAGUAUUUGCAAAUGGGUAUUGGUAGUGCUUGAUCUUCAAGCUUCCUAACCUUCUUCUUCAACAUCCUAAGCUCAACAGCUAGCUCUCUGUCAGUGCGUGCUUCGCCCUCCAUCUCUUCUUCCGGAGCUCGUGCUACGGCCACUGCGGUUUGGGGCAGCAUGCGCAACCAUUCGUCAUUCUCUUCUUGCAGUUCAUUUAUCAGAGUCUUGGCCAGAGCAUCAACCCAAAGAAAGAAGCAUGCCACCUGCAUGAACACGGAACAGAUCAACCGAUUGCUCAAAGAUCUCGACCACAAAAAUGGUGCAAUUGCCCCGAUUCUUACCCCAUUCUCGCUGCACACGUAGAACGGACGAUUGUGGUUCCUCGGUGUGUGAGAAACCCUCCGAUCAACGCUCGCCCGGCACCGUGGACAAACGAAGACAGGCAUCUCCACACGCGCCCGGCUCUGCAUCCGCGAGGUGGCGCGGGAGCUUGCGGAAGACAUGGAGCUCGGAGCUAAACAUGAUCUCAAUGCCGUCGCGCCCUCCACAUCUAGCUUCCCACUGCCGUCGUGCUCUCGCUCUCUCGCCGUGGUCAGCGUCGUGCUCUCUAUCACCGUGGUCACUGCCGCUGUCGCCCGCUAAUAUAGCACACACCCGCAAUGGCUCUAUGCUCAACGGCUCUCUGCUGGGUCCCGCAAGCCACGCGUGCAACAGUCUGAAUAAAAUUGGCCGCCUCUGCCGCCUGGUCCCACCUGUAAGGGCCGAGUCAAAACGUUGACCUGACGGAGACGCCAAAGUUCACAGAACGAGCCGGUGCGCACGGACUAGGGGCAAAACUGAGCACAAUUUGCAUCUGAGGGCAAAACUGAGCAGAUGGACACCACUAAGGGCAAAAGGAUAAUUAACCCAAAAAAUAAUGCAGUAAAUUAGCCUCGACCAUUCGGUACAGACACGUUUGUAAUAAAAAAAUUCAGUAAACGACAAAAGUAGUUCACUCCAUUUGUGUAGCAGCUCAUUACCCAGUUGUAUGAAGUGCAAUUUGUUUCGCUUGUUUAGAAAAAUAAAAAACCAGUCGAUUAAAUCAAAACACAUGCAGUGCGUCUGGUCCUCCGAUGUGGUGAGAGUGAUGUUGUUCACUUGUGCAAAGCGUGGAAGUGUGAAAAAAAUUAGCGGAAAAAAUAGUAAUGCUGUUCACUUCCAUGUAAGUCGAGGUCCAUUUGUACUCGUCUCUACGGUCCACUCUCGUUCAUAAAAAUUGUUGCAAAAAAGAAAACAAAAACUCGUUCGAUAAAAUUUACGUCCCACAAAAAAGAAAUCAUGCAGUGCACUUGUCCAUCCAAUGAAGUGCGGUUUUCAUUCUAAAGCAGUGCGGUCAGCCGUGUGAUGUUCAUCCCAUAAGUGCAAAAAUUUUGUUACAGAAGCGAAAAAAGUAAUCGGUUCACUUCUUGAUAGUGUUGUGAUUCAUUUACACCCAAUGUGAAGUGCACUCUACUUUCUCGUCUUUGAAAAAAUUACGUUUGAAUAAAAGAAACCAUGCAGUUCUCUUACCCGUCUGAUGCAGUGCAGUUUUUCGUCCAAUGCAGUGCGGUUUUCAGUCAGAUGAAGUAUCCAUGUCGAUUUGGGUGUCGCAAAAAAUAGUGUCCGUAUUUCGGUAAAUAAUUAGAGAGAUUUUCUACAUGAAAAAGUUGUGCCUCGUCAAUAUCUUUCCAAUGGCGUAUCGUUUGAAUCGUUUCGACCAGCGGUUUGUAAAAAUUUCACGAAAAACGGCCGCUCCCACUCGUCGUCCACGCACGAUUUUCAAAAUUAACUUAAAAUCGUAAGGAAUCUCAAAAACAUUUCAACAUAUGAAAGUUGCGCCUCGUCCAUAGUUUUCAAUGAUAUAUCACAUGCCUCGUUUGAACAAACGGUUAAAAAACUGGAGCGAAAACAGUACAAAAAAUUUGAAUUUUUUUUUGAAAAAAAGAAUUCCGCGAUUUAGUAAAUUUGAAACUGCUCUUAAACCAUAACGAAUUAGAGAAAAAUUUACCUAUGAAAAAGAUGCGCCUUGGUGAUAUCUGUCCAACGGUUUAUCAUUUGCUUCAUUCUGAUGAGCGGUUUAGAAAAAAGCGAAAAAACGUUCGCUGCCACUCGUUGUGGGCCGCACCAUUUUUAAAACUGCUCUAAAACCGUGAGAAAUCUCGAAAAGUGUUCAACAUGGCAAAGUUGUGCCUAGUCCAUAGCUUUUGAAUGGUAUAUUACACGCCUUGUUCCGACAAACGGUUAAAAAACUAGUGCAAAAAGGUACCAAAUAAACACAGUGUGCAGUUUUUUGUGACGGGAAGUUCACUCGCGUGAGUACUGCAGCACACUUGGUUCAAACAAUGACGUGCACUUGCAUUGAUCGUGCAGUGUGGAAGUGUUAUCAGAAUAGUUAUUCUUCUAAUAUUAGCAGAAUAUAUGUAUGUUGUUGUUCUAAGAAUGAUCAUGAUGCCCUCAUGUUCAUAUUUUAUUUUAUCGACACCUCUAUCUCUAACAUGUGGACAUAUUUUUCGAUAUGGGCUUCCGCUUGAGGAUAAAGGAGGUCUAAGCUUGGGGGAGUUGAUACAUCCAUUUUGGGUUGUUACUACACAUUAUGUCACAAUACUUAUGCCUUUUCUCUCUUAUUUUGCAAGGUUUACAUGAAGAGGGAGAAUGCCGGCAGCUAGAAUUCUAGGCUGGAAAAGGAGCAAAUAUUAGAGACCUAUUCUACAUAACUCCAAAAGUCCUGAAACUCCACGAAAGUCAGUUUUGGAAUAUAUUAAAAUAUUGGGCGAAGAAAUCACCAGAGGGGGCCACCCACUGUCCACGAGGGUGGAGGGCGCGCCCUACCACCCUGCGCGCGCCCCCUACCUCGUGGGCCACCUGGCAGGCCCCCGAUGCUCAUCUUCUGGUAUAUGGUGUCUUUUGCCCUGGAAAAAAUCAUAAGGAAGCUUUGGGGAUGAACCGCCGCCGUCUCGAGGCGGAACCAAUCUAGGGCUCCGGUGGAGCUGUUCUGCCGGGGAAACAUCCCUCCGGGAGGGGAAAUCGUCGCCAUCGUCCUCACCAUCGAUCCUAUCAUCGAGAGGGGGUCAAUCUCCAUCAACAUCUUCACCGGCACCAUCUCCUCUCAAACCCUAGUUCAUCUCUUGUAUCUUACCGUUGUCUCAAAACCUCAGAUUGGUACCUGUGGGUUGCUACUAGUAUUGAUUACUCGUUUUAGUUGAUGCUAGUUGGUUUAUUCGGUGGAAGAUCAUAUGUUCAGAUCCUUUAUGCAUAUUAAUACCCCUCAAAUUAUGAACAAAAAUAUGAUUUGUGAGUAGUUACGUUUGUUCCUGAGGACAUGGGAGAAGUCUUGUUAUAAGUAGUCAUGUGAAUUUGGUAUUCAUUCAAUAUUUUGAUAAGAUGUAUGUUGUCUCUCCUCUAGUGGUGUUAUGUGAACGUCGACUACAUGACACUUCACCAUUGUUUGAGCCUAGGGGAAGGCAUUGGGAAGUAAUAAGUAGAUGAUGGGUUGCUAGAGUGAUAGAAGCUUAAAUCCUAGUUUAUGCGUUGCUUCAUAAGGGGCUGAUUUGGAUCCAUAUGUUUCAUGCUAUGGUUAGUGAGGGAGUCCUGGAUUAAGGGGUCCUCGGACAGCCGGACUAUAUACUUUGGCCGGACUGUUGGACUAUGAACACACAAGAUUGAGGACUUCGUCCCAUGUCCGGAUGGGACUCUCCUUUGCGCGGAAGGCAAGCUUGGCAAUUCGGAUACGUAGAUCUCCUUCUCUGUAACCGACUGUGUAUAACCCUAGCCCCCUUCAGUGUCUAUAUAAACCGGAGGGUUUAGUCCAUAGGAUAACAACAAUCAUAAUCAUAGGCUAGCUUCUAGGAUUUAGCCUCUACGAUCUCGUGGUAGAUCAACUCUUGUAAUACUCAUAUCAUCAAGAUCAAUCAAGCAGGAAGUAGGGUAUUACCUCCAUCGAGAGGGCCCAAACCUGGGUAAAACAUCGUGUCCCCUGCCUCAUGUUAUACCAUUAGCCUUUGACGCACAGUUCGGGACCCCCUACCCGAGAUCCGCCGGUUUUGACACCGACAUUGGUGCUUUCAUUGAGAGUUCCACUGUGCUGUCACGAUAAGGCUUGAUGGCUCCUUCAAUCAUAUUCAACGACGCGGUCUAGGGGGAGGUUUUCCUUCCCGGACAAAUCUUCAUAUUCGGUAGCUUCGUACUAUGGGCAAACUCACUUGGCCAUCUGGAGCAGAUCGAUAGCUACGCCCCUGGCCAUCAGGUCAGGUUUGGAAGCUUGAACUAUACUGCUGACAUCCGCGGAGAUUUGAUCUUCGACAGAUUCGAGCCCAUGUCAGGUGCGCCGAACGGUCACGACGAGCAUGACUUAGAUCUGCCAUCGGUCAGUGUUCGGGAGAUCGCGCCUGCGGCGGCGUCGGAAAUCAAUCCGGAGGAGAUCGUGCUUUCCGAGGACGGGUGGAUGGACCCCGCCACGGAGGCCGCACAUUCAUCAGCGCUCGAGCCGAACACUCAUCCCACCUCCUGUGAAGGUGGUGUCAUCGGACCCUCGGACUCAUCUCCGGCUACAGGAUCCGAACCGCGUGCGUCCGUGCCUAUCGAAUCUGAUUGGCCACCGGUCAUGAGUUCACCGCCGCGGAUAUUUUUUUAGCACUCGCCCUUGGGUGAUGGGCUAAACUCAUUAAGGUCUCUUUCUUUGUCGGGAGAUUCGUGGCCGAACUAUGUCCGGCUCGAGUGGGAAGCGGACGACGAAGAAAUUCGUUCCCCACUCACCACCCACUUAAUAGCCACUGUCGACGACUUAACUGACAUGCUUGACAUCAACUCCAAAGACAUCGAUGGUAUGGAGGACGAUGCAAGAGAAGAACAGGAACCGCCGCCUAUAGGGCACUGGACAACCACCUCAUCAUAUGAUAUAUAUAUGGUGGACAACCCCAAAGAAAGCAAUGGCGAUGAGGCAAUGGAAGAUAACUCCUUGGAGAAGCAAUCUAUGCACCGGCAUCAUAGGCGCCGCUCCAAGCCCCGCCAUGGCAAAAAUAGCGAUACCGGCACAAAGAUAACAAUCCGCAUGGUGCCGAAGACGAAAACAAUCCUGCCCAGCCAGGCUUCGAGCAGGCCGAGCAAGAGGAUGGGCACGCUAGACCUAUGGAACAGGUGACAGAUGGAGAAUCAGAGGACGAUAAUUACACGCCUUUCUCCGAAGACGAAGAGAGCCUUGGCGACGAAGAAUUCAUCGUGCCUGAGGAUCCCGUCGAGAAGGAGCGCUUCAAGCGCCGGCUUAUAGCCACUGCAAAAAGCCUAAAGAAAAAGCAGCAACAACUUCAAGCCGAUCAAGAUCUGCUAACUGAUAGAUGGACCGAGGUCCUGGCUGCCGAGGAAUACGAACUCGAGCGCCCUAGCAAAAGCUACCCAAAGCGCAGGUUGCUACCUCAACUCAAGGAGGAGGCCUUAAAGCCCACGCUACCAGCGCAUGAUGCAGUUGACUGGCCACCUUGUGGCCGCGACAAAGCGGCGUACCGGCACGAAGUCUAGACUGCACCCCGGGGCUACACGAAGGACCUGCGAGAUGUAUUGGAAAACAAAGGAGGACAGUCAAGAUCGAUCUACGGAUCACGGGGGCGCACCACAAGACGUGAUGAUGACCGUCACACCGGAUACAAUAAACCAAAGUCCGGCCGGGCCGAAUACAACAGACUAGAUUCAUUUGAACUACGUCGGGAUGUACCCCGGCAUAGAGGCGCCGCACACCCCCUAUGCUUCACUGAUGAAGUUAUGGAUCACGAAUUCCCAGAAGGGUUUAAACCCGUAAACAUUGAAUCAUAUGAUGGCACAACAGACCCCGCGGUAUGGAUUGAAGAUUUUCUCCUCCACAUUCACAUGGCCCGCGGCCAUGACUUACAUGCCAUAAAGUACCUACCACUUAAGGUCAAAGGACCGGCUCGGCAUUGGCUGAAUAGCCUUCCAGCAAGCUCCAUGGGCAGUUGGGAGGACUUGGAAGACGCAUUCCUCGACAACUUCCAAGGAACUUAUGUGCGACCAUCGGAUGCUGAUGACUUAAGUCACAUAACCCAACAGCCCGGAGAGUCAGCCAGGAAAUUCUGGACUCGGUUCCUAACUAAAAAGAACCAAAUUGUCGACUGUCCGGAUGCCGAAGCCUUAGCAGCCUUCAAGCAUAACAUCCAUGACGAAUGGCUCGCCCGACACCUUGGACAAGAGAAGCCAAAGUCCAUGGCAUCCCUCACGACACUCAUGACCCGCUUUUGCGCGGGCGAGGAUAGCUGGCUGGCUCGUAGCAACAUCACACCCCAAAACUCAGGCGAUUCAAACGCCAGGGAUAGCAACGGUAAACCAUGACGAAAUAGACACAAGCAACGCAACAAUGGCGACAACGCCAAAGACACGGCAGUCAAUGCCGGAUUCAGAGGCUUCAAAUCCGGACAGCGGAAAAAUCCAUUCAAAAGAAAUAGUCCGGGCUCGUCCAGUUUGGACCGCAUACUCGAUCGCUCAUGUCAAAUUCACGGCACCCCAGAUAAACCAGCCAACCACACCAACAGGGAAUGCUGGGUGUUUAAACAGGCUGGCAAGGUGAAUGCCGAAAACAAGGAAAAGGGGCUGCAUAGCAAUGACGACGAGGAGCCCCGGCCGCCAAACACAGGAGGACAGAAGAAAUUCCCUCCCUAGGUGAAAACAGUGAAUAUGAUAUACGCAACCCAUAUUCCCAAGCGGGAACAGAAGCGUGCACUAAGGGACGUCUAUGCAAUGGAGCCAGUCGCCCCAAAGUUCAACCCAUGGUCCUCUUGUCCGAUCACUUUCAAUCGCAGGGACCAUCCUACCAGUAUCCGUCAUGGCGGCUCGGCCGCAUUGGUCCUUGACCCCAUCAUCGACGGAUUCCAUCUCACACGAGUCCUCAUGGACGGUGGCAGCAGCCUGAACCUGCUCUAUCAGGAUACAGUGCGCAAAAUGGGCAUCGACCCCUCAAGGAUCAAGCCCACAAAAACCACCUUCAAGGGUGUCAUACCCGGCAUGGAGGCCUGUUGUACGGGAUCAAUCACACUGGAAGUGGUCUUCGGAUCUCCGGACAAUUUCCGAAGCGAGGAGUUAAUCUUCGACAUCGUCCCCUUCCGUAGUGGCUAUCAUGCAUUGCUCGGACGAACCGCAUUCGCCAAGUUCAAUGCGGUACCGCAUUAUGCAUACCUCAAGCUCAAAAUGCCAGGACCUCGUGGGGUUAUUACAGUUAAUGGAAACACAGAGCGCUCACUCCGCACGGAGGAGCACACUGCGGCCCUCGCGACAGAAGUACAAAAUAGCCUUCUUAGGCAAACAGCCAAUUCGGCGAUAAAAAACCCGGACACCGUCAAGUGAGUCUAAAGUACUCCACGACAGGAUUAUCCGGCACGGUCAGAGCUUGACUAGCAAUCCGGCCUCCGUCCUCGUCCCAGUCAAGCGGCAAAAUUUGUGCCGCGUGUACACAACUACGCACUUAAAAUACCUGGGGCACAGGCGGAGGCACGGCCAUAACACGGUCCACAAUGCGGUUCUACCGCCCCAGGACCCACGCAUCUUUGCACUCCCUUUCCCUUUUUCUUUUAGGUCCUCAUCUUCGGGAGGCCCCUCCGAUAGACAGACUAUCAGACACAUAGCAGGACGGACACACCAGGAGGAUAAGAAGCUUUGGCAUACAAGGGAAUCCUUAGGUGGUCUCUGAUAAUGAUCGUUAUACCUGUUUUACUUACCAGCAUACAGCCCACCCCUGGUCAUGAUGUGUCAAACAGUCCCAUCUUGCUUAUCGCACUACUUGUAUACGUACGCUUUGACAUAUCAUUUGAAUAACAAGGGAAAAUAGUGUACAGCGCCAGCAUGCUAUUACAUUUGUUUACCCCUUCCCUUUACUGCUUAUUUGUUAUACCCGUGCAUUUUGGCACGACCAGUUUGCCAGGGGCUUCAGUGUACCCCAUAACCUGGCAAGAAAAAUUCCGAAUACUUUUGAUAGUGCGGCACCCCGAACUUGUAGCACUAUAUGCAUCAGCUCCGAAUCAUGUCCUGGGUCAAUAGUUGGGUUUAACCGGCUCCUAUGUUUUGGUACCUUACGUUCCGCUAUAUCGGCUAAGGUAGCGCAGGGAGAACUACUGCGAUUGUGUCCCGGUUCUUCCGGAUGAGCACCUCAGUAGAGAAAGCCGAAAACUAACUGUCAUGAUAAAGCGAGAGCCGGUCGCUGUUCAAGAGGUCUCAAAUCCUUAAAGAUUUUUACCGCUUCAGGCGAGGAUUUGGCCUUGUCCUAUUUAGGCGUGUAUAGUGCCCCGAGUCCGGCCUUCCGGAUACUAGGGGCUUCGCCAAAAUUUAAAAUUUUAUACUUCUAUGGCUAAGUGAGAGCGAUAAAGUUGUAUAGUCUAAUUGCCUCGUUUCGCGGCGCUAAACACCUCCUUAAAAGGACCAAAAAUUUGGAUAAAAAGUGUUUAUAUUUAUCCCGAACACCCCAGUACUAGUUGCAUGGGGGCAGAAGCCAACGACUGGCCAACUCUCAAGAUUUUAUAAAUGGCCGCACAGAAGGUAAUAUUUUAAAUUAAUAAGCGCCAUAUAGCACACAUGAACUGGUUUUCAUAUUACAUGAUGACACGAGUACAUUCAUUCAAACAUUACAUCCUUAGUACAUUCAUCCGCUACAAGGCGGGCACCCUUAAUGACAUUGUCAUAAUACUGCUCGGGGUGGCGAUGCUCCUUGCCCUUCGACGGCCCCUCUGUCACCAGCUUCUCGGCGUCCAUCUUUGUCACGCCCAAUAUGCGACCCUAUUCAAAAGGAACUCGAAGGUCCCACCAAGGAUAGACCCGCAUAUUGAAACGCUUUUGCAAGGUGGAUAUCAUUACAUCAACAUUACAUAAUAGAUGGGGAUACAUACAAGAGGCAUACAAUGCCACAUGAAUACAACAUCAUAAUACAUAAAAGCAUCAUCCGACUACGGAUGAAAUACAAACAGAAACUCAAACGACAUCCACCCUGCUAGCCCAGGCUGCCGACCUGGAACCUAUCCCCUGAUCGAAGAAGCAGAAGAAUAACUCAACACAAGCAAGCAUUGCUCUCGCGUCAUGAUCAUCGCAUAAACCUGUACCUGCAACUGUUGUUGUAGUAAUCUGUGAGCCACGAGGACUCAGCAAUCCCAUUACCAUGGGUAUCAAGACUAGCAAAGCUUAAAGGGAAAGGAAGGGGUAAAGUGGUGAGGUUGCAGCAGUGACUAAGCAUAUAUGGUGGCUAACAUACGCAAAUAAGAGCGAGAAGAGAGAAAGCGGAACGGUCGUGAAGCUAGCAAUGAUCAAGAAGUGAUCAUGAACUCCUACUUACGUCAAACAUAACCCAAAGACCGUGUUCACUUCCCGGACUCCGCCGAGAAGAGACCAUCACGGCUACACACACGGUUGAUGUGUUUUAAUUCGGAUCUGGUGUCAAGUUAUCUACAACCGGACAUUAACAAAUUCCCAUCUGCCAAUAACCACAGGCACGGCUUUCGAAAGAUUAUACCCUGCAGGGGUGUCCCAACUUAGCCCAUGACAAGCUCUCGCGAUCAACGAAGGAAUAGACCUUCUCCCAAGAAGACCCGAUCAGACUCGGAAUCCUGGUUUACAAGACAUUUCGACAAUGGUAAAACAAGACCAGCAAGACCGCCCGAUGCGCCGACAAUCCCGAUAGGAGCUGCACAUAUCUCGUUCUCAGGGCAACACCGGAUAAGCUAAGCGUACAGGUACCGACGUAACCCAAGUUGCCAAGGGAUGGUCCCGCACGGUGCUCUAAUUUGGACCAACACUUAGACAGGCACUGGCCCAGGGGGGCUGUAAUAAAGAUGACCCUUGGGUUAAUUACUCCCAAGGGAAAUAUAGGUGGUGGUGAGGCAAAUGGUAAAACCAAGGUUGGGCCUUGCUGGAGGAGUUUUAUUCAAAGCGAACUGUCAAGGGGGUCCCAUAAAUCACCCGACCGCGUAAGGAACGCAAAAUUCAGGAACAUAACACCGUUAAUGACGGAAACUAGGGCGGCAAGAGUGGAACAAAACACCAGGCAUAAGGCCGAGCCUUCCACCCUUUACCAAAUAUAUAGAUGCAUUAAUAAUAUAAGAGAUAUUGUGAUAUCCCAACCAAAAUCCUGUCCACCAUGGAGCAAUCUUCAACUUCACCUGCAACUAGCAACGCUAUAAGAGGGCUGAGCAAAGCGGUAACAUAGCCAAGCAACGGUUUGCUAGGAAGGGUGUCAAAGGUUAGAGGUUCAUGGCAACAUGGGAUGGCUCGACAAACAGAUGAUAGGUAGCGCAGCAAAGCGAUAGAACGAAGCAACUAGCAUAGCAAUGAUAGUAGUGAGAUCCAGGGUAGCGGUCAUCUUGCCUGCAAUCCCGCUAGGAAGAAGAACGAGUCCAUGAAGAAGACAAGCGGAAGUAGUCGAACGAAUCCUCACAAUCGCAACAUUACCGGAACUAAGAAGCAACACCGGAAAGAAACAAACAACACGGUAAAUGCACAAGCAUAAACAUGGCAUGAUGCACAAACAAGUAUGUUGCAUGUCCGGUUUAAAGAGGCAUGACAUGGCAAAGUGCAACAAACAAUACUACAAGUUAAGUGGAGAUCAAUAUGCAAUGAGUUGCAUAUUGACGAAACACCACAUCUGAGUUAUUUAGCUCGCUCUCGUUUAGGUACACAACCAUGUUAAAUGUUGUUAAACAUGGCAAGGGGUGAAACAUAAUGAAACUACCUAUCUAGGCAAGUUUAAAUGAGGCCAGAAACAACAAACAACAAUUCCAGUAAUCCCCACAUGUCAUUUAGCAAUUUUAAAGCAAACAACAAUUUAAGCAUUUUAAUUAUUGUUAUCAUGAUGCGGAUGACAUGUGCAAGUUUUAUGCAAUUUUAUGAAAAUGUUGACAUGAGCAUGUUUUGAAGCAUUUGUCAUCGUGGUGGAACGAAAGAGGUGCCACGGCAACGACAACGAAAAUGGUGCCAUGGCAACAUUCCGAUGAUCCGGUAACUCAUUGAGAUAUCGGUGCAAAAGAGCCAGUGUGCGGAUGUGCGGAACAUGCAAAAGAUGGUGGGGUGAUCCCAGCUACCGGGUUCCCACGGGUCGACGGCAUGGCAAACGAGGAGGAGCGUGCAAGGAUCAAUUGGACAUGGUGUAAACAUACGGUUCAUCUCAUACAACACACAAGCAUUCAUUCACGGGUGGUCAUCUCGGGGUUAUACCUUUGAAGCGUGCAUUUCGGGGCGGUUCAAAAACAUCGAGGGAAGUAGUUGUUCAUGGGUCGUAGGGGAAGUAGUCGUUCACGGGUCGUAGGGGAAGUAGUCGUACACGUUUCGUAGUUGUACACACUCCAUAGAUGUUCGGGGUCACGUCAAGGAACUUGACGUCCACGGGGUCUUCAAGGUCGACGGUAGUGGAAGUAGUGGUACACGGUGACGGUAGUCGUACACGAGUUGUAGUCGAACUUGACGGAGCCAACGUCCUCGAGGGUAGUCGUGGUACUUGGGGUCUUCGGACUUGCCGGUCUCGGUCUUGGCCAUGGUACAGUGGCUCCAUGAACACAAUAGGGCCAGAUGGAUGCAAGGUAAUGGCAGCAACGGGUCAGAAAGCUUGACCGUAACCGAAGUCAACAGUGCUCGAGGGCAGGGGCGCUCGGGGCAGUGGUGUGCAGGACGCUGGGGCGGCUGGUCAGCAGGGCAAGGACGACAGCAUGCUAGGUCGCUGGAGCGGUUGGGCAGGAGGCACGAAGAGCAGCAGGCGCGUGCAAGGCGAAACAGGAGAGGUCGCCGGCAGGGUAGGAGAGCAAGGGGAACACGGGCUCCUGGUGGAGCUCAUCGGCGACGGCUGUCACCGGCACAGCGCGGCAAGGUGCGGGUGGCGAUGGAACUUGAUGGCGAGGCGAAGGACGAACACGAGCCGUGGGUGAUCGUGGCUGAUGGAGGCCGACGAGGCAGGGGCGACGGGAGCCGGCGGGGACGCGGGGUCGCGCACUCGAUGCGGGAGGUUGUUGGCGCGCGGACGAAGCAGCAGCGGGCAACGGCGGGCAUGGGAGGCGCCAUUGUGUGCGCCCGUGGCAUCGAGCACGGGAGGAGAGGCGGACGGGGUCCUGCGACGUGCGGCUCUGGCCGCUCGAUGUAGGGGCGCAGCAGGGGCCGAUGCAGGUCGUGAGGUCCGGGGUGGGCGGCGGAGCCGCGGGGCUCGGCGCGGGUCCUCGAGGCGCCGGCGGCAGGAGCGGCGACGGGGUCACGAGGCGGAUGGCGAGCUCGUCAGGACGGCGGCGCGCGGGACAUGGCAGCAGGGUGGCGGGAUCGGACAAAGGAGCACGACCAGGAGGGGAUCGGGAGGGCUCGCGGCGGAGGAGCUCUCGCUCCCUGCACUGGCUGUGUGCGAGAGGCGGCGGUGCGAGAGAAUGAGGACGAUGGAUCGAUGGAGGGGUCGGCCUAGGGUUAGAUAGGGGGCUGCUGGGCCUAGGGGAGGUUGGGCCGAUCUGGGUUGGCUGCUGGGCUCUCUCCCUCUUAAUUCUCUUCCUUUUCUCAAUUUCCUCAAACAGAAAAUAAGAGAGAAAAGCUCAGAGAUAAAGGGAAGGCAUGAGAGAGAUAUGAGAAAAUAUCUGGAGUCCAGAAUUUGUGCAGAAUUUUUAUAAAUUGCUUUGGGCAUUUUUAAGUAUAGAAAAAUAAUUCAAGUUUGAAUUAAAUUCAAACUUGAGCCAUUUUUGAACCCAACCAAAACAACUCCAAAAAGGAUGAUAUUUGACAGAGAGGUAUAAGGCAUGGAGUAAGAUCAACAGGGAAUAAAUGAACAUUAAAGGAGAAGGGAGAAAUGGCACUAGCAAAAAUAAAGGAAUAAGAAGGAAGAAGGAGGUGAUGAUACAUGGGCAUGGCUUGAGAGAAGAGACAACAAGGACUGAUGCACACACAACAAUACACCAAUAUGAAGAAUGCAACCCACAUGAUGAUCAUGAUGCAAUAAAUGACAAGAGGCAUAAUGCAACAUAACAAGUGAAAUGAGCAUGGUGCAAGAAGCAAACACACGACAAGGCACUCAACAUGAUCAUGGCAUAAACAUGUAGAAUAAAAUAUGCAAAACAAUUAUGAUAAAGCAACAAACAAGAAUAAACACACGGCAACAACUAAGAUAAAUGGAAGGCAACUGGAGCAUCGGUCUCGGGGCGUUACAAUCUUCCCCCGGUGCACUUUCGCAUGGGCCAAGGCCCUGCGUGCACUCUCAAUGCAGGCGGACCGCUUAACGACUUCAAGCCGCGGACAGGCAUUUACCAUCCACUUGACAAGGCUGAAGUAGCUACUGGGCAGGGGCUCGCUAGGCCACAGCCGGACUAUGAAGUCCUUCAUGGCCAGUUCGGCCGCCUUGUGAAGUUCGACCAGUUGCUUCAGCUGGUCGCUCAAGGGCAUCGAUUGUUCGGCCCCAAUAUACUGGGACCAAAACAUCUUAUUCAUCAAGCUCCCCUCCUCAGCCUGGUAGAACUCUGCGACAUCAGAGAUGCGGCGCGAUAGAUCUGCGAAUGCUCCUGGAGAGCUCCGAACUCAGGUAAGUAAAAGGAAAGUGUCCUUCAGAUGCUUACUUUGCAUAAUGAAAGCCUUACCCGCAGCUAUCUUCUUGGCCGCCUCAAUUUCCUGGAGGGCCUUCUGGGCUUUGGCCUUGGGGUCUAGCGCGCCCUAACAGGCCUUUGCAAGCUCCGACUCUUGCGUUUUGGAGUCACGUUCCAAGGACUCGAAUUUUUUGACGAAGUCCUGGAGCUCUUGCUGGACCUCAUCAACUCGAGCCGCUUGUUUUUCGCGCUCGGUGCGCUCCCUGGCCGCUUUGCCUUCGGCCUCGGACAGCGCCUUCUUAAGGGCCACCACUUCGGCCUGGGCCCCUAUUAAAAUUCAUCGUGCUUACAUCAGCAUCAGCGAUUUUUUCCUUUAUAUAACAUUCACACGGGGUAUUACUUACCUUUGUUCUCCUCGAGCUGCCUCUUCACGAGGCCGAGCUCUUCUUCGGCCCGCCCCAGGUUCUGCCUUAGUCUGGAGACCUCCGCAGUAGCGGCAGCGGCGGCCAGCAGCGACGCCUGCUCAUUGACAUAGACAUAAUAUGAUUAGACUCCUGGGAAUAAAAUUUGAUCCUCUGUUUGGCCUUUCUUUCCGAACACCAAACAGAGGAUCAGGGGCUACUGUCUGUACUGUGAUACUUUCUCACAAUUUGAAUUACUCACCUCAAAGCCUGUCAGGAGACUGACGCAGGCUUCGGUCAAUCCGCUUUUGGUGGACUGAACCUUCACAAUCACCGUACUCAUAAGAGUAUGGUGUCCUUCAUCAAGGGAAGCGCUCUGAAGCGCUUCCACCAAGUUACCCGAUGCCUCUGGAUGGACAGAGGUCAUCGGCACAGGCGACUCGCCCCCCUUGGCGAGGGGCUGCCUACCUAAAUCCGGAACCACUGGAGGUUCCAGCGUAGUAUUCGUCUGGGGGCCAAGCUUGCUGCGACCCCCCUCAUCAGAUUCCAUGGGGAUCUCUCCCCCCCCCCCAUGAGCCCGGCAUCGAUGGUAUCGCCUUGAGGCACCUCCAGAACUAUCUCUCACUAGCCCAGUAUCCUCUGAGAUAACACCUCGGUAUCAUCCGCGGCCUGGGGAGUGGAGGCCGUCGGGAGCGAAAAGUUGUUCAUCUCCGAUGAAUUCAAGGACCCGUCCGAGGAGGAUAAGUCGAUGUGGGAUUUGGACGGACUGCACAAAUAUAUUUUGAUAUGAUAAAGAAGCCAUAAAGCUAAACAUGCCAGAACUAUUCUGGUAUCCGGAUAUUUACGACUUCACCAGGGGCUUGGCCCUUGGUAGCCACUCCUCGUCGCUGUAGGCGGCUGUGGUGGAGUGGUCCGGAGGGAGGGUCCUUCCUUUCUUGGACCCUUCGGCCUCCCGGAAGGGGCCGCCUUCCUUUUCUUCUCCCCCUCGGUUUGGGGGAGAGGGUUUUCCUCUUCCUCCUCCUCAUUGUCGUUGGAGGAGUGCGCCUCGGUGUCUUCAGACGAUGAGUCCGACACCACCUUGCACCGGAGACUUCUCCUGGUCCCCGUGGCUUUCUUCUUGGCCUUCUUCUCCGGCACCUCAUAGGGCGCCGGAAACAGCAUCUCCGUCAGGAGAUUAGUUGCUGGAUCUUCAGGCAACGGAGCCAAACAGUCGAUCCGCUCCGCCGUCGCCGCAUAGUCCUGUUAAAUCAGUAUGAUGGCUUAGGUUCCUCCCACGAAUAUACCAAGGAAAGGCACAUCUUGCGAAAUAUAGAAUGCUUACCAAAUUGGCGUGGCGCUUGGCGCUGAGUCCGCGGUCCUCGAUGGUGGGAGGAGGAACUUCACUGGCCUUGAACAACACCUUCCGGACGUCUUUGUGUGUCAUGUCGAAGAGCUGUCGCAAUUUCUGGUGUUGGGACGCAUCGAACUCCCACAGGUUGAAUGCCUGUCUUUCACAUGGGAGGAUCCGGUGAAAGAGCAUGACCUGGACCACGUUGACAAGCUUGAUCUUCUUGCUUAUUAUAUUUUUAACGCAGUUCUGGAGUCUGGUCAGCUCCGCGGGCGCGCCCCAGGCUAAACCCUUCUUCUUCCAGGAGGUGAGCCGCAUGGGGAUGCCGGAUCGGAAUUCGGGGGCCGCCACCCAGUUGGUGUCACGCGGCUCGCUGAUGUAGAACCACCCCGAUUGCCACCCCUUCACGGUCUCCACAAAGGAGCCUUCGAGCCAGGUGACGCUGGGCAUCUUGCCCACUAUGGCGCCUCCAUACUCCGCCUGCUGGCCGACCACUAUCUUUGGCUUCACGUUGAAGAUCUUUAGCCACAGGCCGAAGUGGGGCCUGAUGCGGAGAAAAGCCUCACACACGAUGAUAAACGCCGAGAUGUUGAGGAUGAAAUUAGGGGCCAGAUCAUGAAAAUCCAGCCCCUAAUAAAACAUGAGCCCGCGGACAAAUGGGUGGAGAGGGGAUCCCAGUCCGCGGACGAAGUGGGCAAGGAACACAACCCUCUCAUGGGGUCCCAGAGUCGGAAUGAUCUGCCCUGCGUCCGGGAGCUGGUGCGCAAUGUCUGCCGCCAAGUAUCCGGCCGCCCGGAGCUUCAUAAUGUCCUCCUCCGUGACGGAGGAGGCCAUCCACUUGCCUCCCGCUCUGGACAUGUUUGGUUGUACGGAGAAGGUGAGAACUGGGGCGCUGGAGCUCGAGCGUGCGAGAAUGGAGGAGCGAAGAAGGAAGAAGGCGUGGGUGAAAGAGGAGAAUCCCUAUCUCUUUAUAAAGGCGGUAGAAACUGUGCGCCUCGCCACUUGCCCGUUAAAAUCUCUUAUUUCCCAAGCGCCACGAUUGAUGGCGUGGUUGGGUUACCCAUACACGUAUUGAUGAGAAUCCCGCAAUAAGGCGACACGAUCUCUGCUUCGACAAGACGUGUCAAGGAAACCGCUUCGCUUUACGUGCAGUAGCUGGUUGUGAAAAACGGUUCGAAUAAUGACUGGACAGUGGCGUAAUGUCAUGCUACGAAAAGCUGUCAGAAGAUUAGAUUUGUGGAAUAUUGUACUCUCUACGGUGGUAUGUGGAAUUUGUUUUGCAGAGCCAGACACAAUUCUCGUGUUCAAAAUCUUCUAUGGAGUAUUUGGAGGAGGAACCCGACUUGCAAUGUCGAAGACAAUCUGCGCGCCGGACUCAUCGUCAUUGAAGCCUGGUUCAGCGGCUGCUGAGGGAGUCCUGGAUUAAGGGGUCCUCGGACAGCCGGACUAUAUACUUUGGUCAGACUGCUGGACUAUGAAGAUACAAGAUUGAACACUUCCUCCCGUGUCCGGAUGGGACUCUCCUUUGCGUGGAAGGCAAGCUUGGCAAUUCAGAUACGUAGAUCUCCUUCUCUGUAACCGACUCUGUGUAACCCUAGCCCCCUCCGGUGUCUAUAUAAACCGGAGGGUUUAGUCCGUAGGACAACAACAAUCAUAAUCAUAGGCUAGCUUCUAGGGUUUAGCCUCUACAAUCUCGUGGUAGAUCAACUCUUGUAAUACUCAUAUCAUCAAGAUCAAUCAAGCAGGAAGUAGGGUAUUACCUCCGUCGAGAGGGCCCGAACCUGGGUAAAACAUCAUGUCCCCUGCCUCCUGUUACCAUUAGCCUUAGACGCACAGUUUGGGACCCCCGCUACCCGAGAUCCACCAGUUUUGUCACCGACAGUUAGGUUUACCUUAAUUCUUCUUCGCAGUUGCGGAUGCUUGCGAGAGGGGUUAAUCAUAAGUGGGAUGCUUGUCCAAGGAAGGACAGUACCCAAGCACCGGUCCACGCACAUAUCGAAUUAUCAAAGUAACGAACACGAAUCAUAUGAGCUUGAUGAAAACUAUCUUGACGAUAAUUCUCAUGUGUCCUCGGGAGCGCUUCGCUUUAUAUAAGAGUUUGUCCAGGCUUGUCCUUUGAUACAAAAAGGAUUGGGCCAUCUUGCUGCACUUUGUUACUUCUAUUACUUGUCACCCAUUAUGAACUAUCUUAUCACAAAACUAUUUGUUCGAUAAUUUCAGUGCUUGCACAGAAUACCUUACUGAAAACAGCUUGUCAUUUCCUUUUGCUCCUCGUUGGGUUCGACACUCUUCCUUAUCGAAAGGACUACGAUAUAUCCUUAUACUUGUGGGUCAUCACGGGCGCAAGAGCAGACCCCGCAAAGCCGACCUGUGAAAAAGUAUAUUCCGCGAAUAUCCUUUUUUACGGGUCCGUUUGGGGGGUCUGCCUUUGCGGCCGUCCGCGCCGGCCCGCAAAGACGUUUUUCCGCGAACUGCAAACGCGUUUUGCGGGCCGGCGGGAUGCGGGGUCUGCUAGAGUUGCUCUUAGCGUUGCGGCCCUACGCGCUAAGUAUCGAGCGUGAAACCGCACAUGCCACUUCUCACCUACAGGGCGGUGCUACUGGGCCAACCCAAUAGUGUAGCUGCACGCCAGUUUUUUCCUGUGGUUCCUUAUUAGUUUUUUCGUUGUUUUGCAUCGGCGUUCUUUGGGUUUUCUUCAGUUUCUCUUUAGUUUUCUUUGGAUUUUUCUUUUUUUUUCUCCAGUUUUAUUCUACUUUUUUUAGUUCUAUUUUUUCUAACACAUGUGUAAUUUAUUUGAAUACAUUGUAAAUUUGUCAUGUAUAUCAGAAACAUUUUUUAAACAUGUUCAAAACAAAUUCUAAUAGAUGAUUAACAUUUUUUAUAUGUGUUAACUCUUUUCAAAUAAAUGUUGAAACUUUUUUUAAUGAUACAAAACAUUUUUAGGCUAUGCAAACGUUUCUUUACAUUGUAUAAACUUUUUUAAUGUCACAAACAUAUUUUUGAAAUGCAUGAAUUUAUUAAAAUGCAACGUACAUUUUUUUGAAUGGUACUAAAAAAUAUUUUGAAUUGUAUGAAUAUAUUUUUAAAUGUCACUUUCAUUUUUUUCAACGGUACAAAUAUUUUCUAGAAGUUGAGCGAACAUUGUUUUACGCUACAUGGAUAUUUUUUUAAUGUGCAAUGAACAUUUUUAAAAAGUAACUAUUUUUCAUAAUAUAAGAAUUUAUUAUUUUUGUAAAUAUAAACCAAGGCAAAAAAACGACAUGUUCAGUCAACAUGACGAAACCAUAUGGCUAUUGGGUUGCCACUUUCGGUUCCUGUAGGUGAGCUCGGCUUCUGUCUCGCUAAAGGAGACUUCUUUGUUGAAUGGAAUUAUUUUAUUCUUUUAGCUGGAGUUGGUAGAACCCUAGGUGGUUCUCGGAAGAGGUAUCAAUUUUUUUCUAAAGUCGGAACUUAAAGGAACGCAUAAGCCAAUGCUUCCAUAGAUAUGAUCGUGAUUUAUUCACAAUUAUAACUUCCACACCUAUUCAUUUGUCAAUUUGGGAUAAUUUCCCAUAUAAAGAAAUAAAAAGACUCGAAGAAAUUAUGGGGGAUGUUUCCCAUGUCAAAUAGAAAAAAGAGGUGAAUGAUACCAUAACAAUGUGUAUCAGACUGGUGGUUUCCUUGUAGUUGGACAUAUAUACUUGCUCGCGGAUAGCACCCCACGUAGCUAGGGAAGUGGGCCCGUGCAUCAUCAUUGGCUCUCACGCUAGUAGGAUGUUUCUCCUUCCAAUUUCUUGCUUUCCCCAAAAAAAAUUUUUUUGCGGGAUAAUACUUGUAUUACUCAAAGUUAAAAAUUACAAUCAUGACUGGCAAUGCCUAAAAGUUCGUCCGGACCCGACCCAAGCCACACAACAGUUCGGCAUUGUGAUCGUCCAUAGCUUGCCAGGAAAUGACUAGCAUUGUUUUUGCUACGCACAAUAUGAGUAAUACAAGAAUUACGCUCGAUCAAACUAUCUUUGAUCUCUUUAAUAAGAAAAGCGUGUUUAGACUUAUUUGUAUCUCCACUCUGAAUAAUCUUCACUGCUUCUAAAUUGCCCGAUUCAACAUCAACAGGUAGACUACUCCAUUGCAAGGCAAGUAGCAAACCCUCCCGAAUUCCCAGAAUUUCAGAUUCGAGCACGUCAUCACAAGCAAAGAGAUGUCUACAUGAACUGAAGAUGAUGCUGCCACUAUGGUCUCUAAGAAUCAUACCUGUUCCCGCCACACCAUUAAGAACUGAACCAUCCGUGUUCAACUUCACUCGCCCAUCCACUCGAGGAGUCCAUGGGCUAUGUUGUUGGCUCUUUGUACGGUGUGUCGUUCCCAUGAGAGGAAAACACACCUGAACAGGGUACUUUCCCUUAGUGUGGUUAGCUUCCGGAUGUGCAGCAAUGGAAUUCAACGAAGAAACAUAGCUUGAUAGAAAACGACAGGAGACAUCGACCGGCGGGGCAGGUUUGUAAUGGACUAUCUCGUUCCAGUCAUACCAUAUCCGCCAAAGGAGCAUCAUAAAUUGAAGUCGUCUUGGUUCAGUCAAGUCAGCAAAUGCUUGGACAAACCAUUCUUUCUCCGUUGGUAGAAUUUUUGUAACAUCUGGAAGGUCCCAUUCUGAAGCCAUUGCUCUCCAUAAGCGCUUAGCAUUGAUGCAGGAGCAGAAAGUAUGGAACGAGUCCUCCUCUUCGCAGCAACAAAUCGGACAGUUAGCAUUUAUCUCCAAAUUCCGUUUCUGUUUGUUUUUCCAAGUAGCAAGGGAGUCUGUUGCUAACCUCCAAGCAAAGUUAAGAACUUUCGGUGGAGCAGGAGUAGACCAGAUGCAAGUCCAACCUGCACGAGCUCCAUCUGAGUGAUAACUCGAAGUUGCAACAUAACUAUCUUGCUUUCCCAAUUAACAUAAUGUAAAAAAAAGGUUACUACAAUUAUACCAUGGCAAAACAAUAAUCCAAAUUAGCUGCUUAAAGAAAGAACUUCCUAUUCCUCUAGAAUGCCAAAGUUUCACUUAUGCUAUGAAUGUGUCCAUGAAAACGCGGCAAAUGUCUGCGGAGGAAUGACGUUUGCGUUAGCUUAUUAAGAUGAAGCUGCUAGGUUUGGCGCCCCACGAGAGGACUAUUGUGAGGAAGCAUUCGAGUGUGUUGGGGAUUUAAGGAGAGUCUUUGAAGCACAUGUUUAUUACACGCUAGUCACCUGAGAAAGAAAGUCUUCAUCUCUUCUCUCAAGAUUAAUGGCUCACUUACAUCCGAUCAUGACGAGAAGGCUACAACAAUGUAUUCCUUCAUCUUUGAUAUGUUGGGUUCAUCACCAAAUUACCUCCAAGUCCCCAUUUUUGACCUACACCAUCUUUUGGUGGGUUUGUCAUAGGAGGAGGUGUGUAAUGUGGUUAAAAGUUAAAUCACAAAAGAUGGACAAGGUGAUGGGACAUGAUGGUUUCUCGGCGAGGUUCACAUGUUGGCAUCUCAUCCGAGAGGAUGUAGACACAAAUUUCUAAAUGUAAGGUGCACAGAAUUAGAAUCGGAGUGUUCAGUGAAGACACAUAGAUUUUAAUACCCCAGUUUAAAUUAUUGGCACAUUGUGCAUAUGGAUAGGAGAGGUCGAGCCACAACUCUGAUGUCGGGUGGUUGGUGCGACAUAUGCCAAGGGAUGGCUAACCAUCGUGGGAGCUAGUAAGACGCCGCCGGUGUCUAGAAACGGGAUGAGGCGAAGACAUGCACGCCGGUAAAUCUUACCCAGGUUCGGGGCUCUCCUAGGAUAUAACACCCUUAGUCCUGCUCUACGGGAUCUCCGCAUGAUCACUAAGUCAACAAGUAGCUACAAGUUGCUCCUUGAGCUGUUCGGCUAGAGGAGGAAGAAGGGCAAGGCUAGCUCUACUGCUCUCCCCAUGUGUGUGUGGGAAAUUCUAAGAGAUCAACCCUUUGCAUGGGUGCCCUGGUGGGUUUAUAUAGGCUUACCCCCCAAGGGUACAAUGGUAAUCCAGCCGGGUGUAGGCCCAGGCCGUCAGUGUCUGUGGUCGCCGGCUUCUCCGCCGGCCACUUGGGCCCGCCGACUGGUGGAUCCCGCCGGUUGCCGGGCUCUAGGCCGACAGGUUGGCCCCAUCGCCUGUGGGCCCUGUCGGCUGCUCAUCACUGUGGCCUCGCCCCUGAUGAUGGUGGCUUGGUCGGGGCGAGAGUGGCUACAGUACCGCCGCCUGGUGGGUGUUCACUGUAGCCACACCCCGUCUCAUCCGGUUAAUGGCGCACAAACUUCGUGGGGAGGGGAGGCUCGACUGUCGGAAGCCGGCCUCCCCCUCCGUCGACUAGUCUAGGCAUGCCGCAUUCUGGUAUCUCGCUGGUAGGUAGGGUCCGCCACCUGCCGGCCGUACCGGCAGCCCGUCGUGGGACUAUGGUAGCUCUGCCAUGGAUGAUGUCAUAGUCAACGUGGCAACAGUGCUGUGCCGGGCCAGGGAUGGCCGCCUGGUACGGUGCACUGUGGACACGCCCGCUCCGGGAUUCGGGGGUGGCAGUCUGCACUGUAGCCAUGCCCGUCUCGUCGCCGUUAUGUGGGUGCAAACUUUGAGUGUGCAUGGGAGGUAGAUAAGACUACCCGUGGUCAUUUACUUCGAGAGUAGUCCCCAAAGCUGGUAGGGCAUCGCUACUGAAAAGGCGAGAGGCCUCAGCAGCUUUCUAAUCUGAAGAGCCGACAACUAGGAGUCGGCAACGACCAGGCACGCUGUCUUGAUGAUUUCAAAACAUGAAGGCGGGAGCCAAGUGGCGCGCGCACCGGGCGUCGAGCCGGCCGCCCGUUGUCCGUGUGCCAUGCGGCGCCGGCCGGCUGGACCAGCCUACCAGCCCACGCGCGCGACGGGACGUUGCCGCAGGCUAGGGCCCGCCAGGAUCUACUGUGGCCGAGGCAGACGGUUGGCAUUCCGUGCGUGGUUAAUGCAUGCCAUUAUGGCAUGAUAAACACAGAGUCGUGGGGACGUGGGCGCAGUUAAUCCCACGACCCCCACCUCCCGCCCCCUCGACUUUGCCGCUUGGGGCUAUAAGUAUGGGAGGAGGGGAGCGGCAGACGCAAGCGCGCCCUCCUCCUCCUUCGCCAUCUUCUUCCUCCUUUCUCCCUCUGCUGCUGCUAUUCGCCGCCGCACCGAGCCUCCGGCCACCCUACAGCGCUGCUGCUCCACCGCGGGUCUAUGCACUCAUUGCCGCACCGCCCCUCCAUCAAGCUUCACGCGCUCAUGGCGCGCUCCGAAGCAUGGGACGGCUCCAAUGUCCAUGAGGACCACAUCGACUUCCUCCGCCGGACGCAACAGUUGCCCGGCGCGGAUUACGUGAAGGUUCGCCUGGCGCCCGAAAGGGAGAUCUCACCGGCGCCGAAGGAAGGCGAGCGCGUCAUCUUCCGGUCGCACUGCCUACACGGCUUCGGCCUGCCGGCAAGCGUCUUUCUGCGCUCCUUCCUCUAGUUCUACGGCCUCCAGCCGCACCACCUCACGCCAAACAUGGUGGUGGUGCUGUCCGUCUUCGUCACCCUCUGCGAAGGCUACCUCAGCGUCCUCCCCACCCUCAAGCUCUAGGGAGAGUUCUUCGACACGAAGCUCGGCACUAUCACCAAGGGGGUAGCGGCGCAGUGCGGUGCCUUCAUCGCGGUGCGGAGGCCGGCUGCUGAGAACCCCUUCCUAUCCAUCACGUUGACACAGUCGGUCAAGCUAUGCUAACAAUCCUACUUCUAUGUCAAGAAUGUCCACCCGGAGGCCAACUUCGUCAGCCUGCCGGCCUAUGCAGUCGGCCCGCCGACUGGAUCCUGCUCCAACUGGUCAUACCGACCAAAAACACUGUCGCCCGACUCCGCCGCCGUCGUCGAGCGGCUCAAGGCGAUGACGAGGAUGGAAGGCCUCACGGGGGCGGACUUGCUGACCACCUUCGUGGCACGCUAGGUGCUCCCCCUUCAAGGUCGGCCGCACAUGAUCUGCCAGAUGAGUGGGAACCGGGACCCGUGCCGAAUGAGCACCAAGGAGAUUCCACACGCGGAGGUGGCUCACUUGGUGAACCACAUCUUGAACUGCAAGCUCCCGGCAGAGGAGUGGCAGUUCGGCAAGGAACCGUAUUCGCGCGUGCACCCGUCGCCUGCGGUAAGUCUUCAUUCCUUCUCUUUACUUUUUAGUUGUCGGGUUCUCAUCUACCGGCUGACCGGUCGGACAUGAACUCGAUCAUCCAGUCGGCAACUGGCGUAGCAGGGCAGGCCCACGAGUAUCUCCCCGACCGAGCGGUGAGUGAUGUGGAUGACCCUGAAUUGGGGGUGACCGCCCUGGAGGACGAUGAUGCCACGGGCGGUGGCGGUGGAGCAGGCGGCUCCGGAGGUAGAGGCGGGCUCGACGACUGGCCGGACAACGACGAUGAAGAGAACACGCCGCACCACUAGCUAGCCACCGACCGGGCAGGCGCGAGGUCAUCAGCUGCGUCGGCUCCACCAGGCGCGCAGAGAAACACCAGGGCACGCCGUCGAAGUACAGAAGCUAGCCAAAGAAGCCCAGGGGCUCGAUGGUGGCGACCAAGCGGGAGGAGGCGGCCGCGAAGGCGAACCGCUUUCGGAAGGUUGCGAAGGAGCCCCCAACGGUGUCUGCGUAAGUGUUGACUCUUUAUUGUGUCCCUUCUUCUUUUUUCUUGCAAACACCCUUCUAAACUUUUUUCUGCUUACUCAAUCAUGGCCUUGCUCUCUCUCGAGAGGUCGGGCGCCGCCCCCGUGGUUGGGACGGCGGAGGGAUCUGCCAACUCUCGCCGUGUGGACCCGCGCGCCGAGCUCCUGGCGGCGUCGAAGAGGAACGCGCAGGAGGCGCACGAGGAGCUGGAGGCGGAGCGGAAGAAGGCGGUGGCAGCCAGGUCGGCGCAGGAGGAGGCGGACGAGGCCACGAAGACAUAAGUCGACACCGUCGCCAAGGCCGAGGAAGAUGCCGUGGCCAAGGCACAGGCGGAAGAGGCCGCACGCAGCCAACCCCCACAACUCGUCGUCCCCCUCCGCGUCGUGCCACCCGCACUCAAAGACUCAGCGGCGCCGCCUGAAGGAGCCGGCGGCGACCAUCCGGCCAUGGAGAGGGAGGGGCGACGGUGUCGCCAUGGGGGUGAACGUUCCUCCGUCGGUGCCGACCAUCGAGGACCAAGGUGGCCAGCCCAGUCCACCACCGGCGCCACCUGUUGGCGGCGGACCGGUGGCAGGGCGGACCCCGUGGUCCGCUCUCCGGCACGCCGGCGCGCGGAGAAGGCGGCCUCGGUGCCACAGCCGUAGAAGGCCGGGGGCGCAAGCUCGUCGGCCCUGGAGCUGGAGACCGCCAGCAUCAGCUCGCUGGAGUGGACACCUGGGGGCGGGACGGCUGUGCUGAACGCGGUUGCACAGGACGUCCGGGCCCGGCUCCAGGCUCAGGCCACCGCCCUCCACAACUACCACCAGGAGUUUCUGGCAUCGCGGACGGCCAUCCGGGAUAUGUUCCUUGCUUCUGGCUUCUUAUUCUUGUAUUAUUUUAUGGGGGUGCGUCAGCGCACCCACUAGGCAUAGUCCCCGAGUUCUGGGCCGGCUGCUGAGCAGGCGGCCUGGAACUCUCAAGUAGGUUCGGGUGCUGAGUUGCUUUCUCUUGUCUGUUGUCCUUAUUGCAGGAAUAUCAUAAUCUCCACGCGGCCGCCUUCAACUCCCAUGUCCGGGAGCUGGCCCUACAGACCGCCGACUUGUCCGAAAGCAGGAGUAAGCAUUCCGCCUUCUUUCUCUUUUGGGGGCGUGUCAGCGCACCCGCUGGGUGUAGUCCCCGAGAUUCGGGCCGACUGCUGAGCAGUCGGGCCAGAUCUCUUCUAGCAACUUCUCGUUUUCUUUCUUGCUUGCUGAUCAUUCUUCUUUGAUGUCUUUGGAGAGGCCAACGCCGCCUUGCAGCAAUAGAUGGGCGAGGCCCAAACCACGCUGCGCGCCAAGGAGGAAGAGUGUAGCAAGGUGGCCCAGGAGCACGACAGCUUGGCCAAGAAGCUAGCUGGCCAGAAGGAGCUUCGUAAGGCGGCCCUUCAGGCGAUGAAGGACGGCAAGACCGCCCUCCAGGCCGAGUACGAGACCCAGGCAUCAAACUGGGCCGAUGUGGAGCGGGCGCUGAAUGACGGCUACAGCCGGGUCGAAGACAUGGUCGACAGUGAGUUGCUUUCCUCUUCUUUCCUUCGUGUUCCUUUUUUAUUCUUUGCGCAGAGUACUUUCCUGGCUACACCGUCGCCGCCAGUCAAGCCAUCGAAGCCAACCGCGAAGAGCGGAGGCAGGAUAGUGCGAAGAUUGCACCGAACGCCCGUCGGACGCUUGACGAGCAGCUCCUGGCCAUCCAGGCCCGUCUCUAAACGGCUCACCAGAUGCUCCGACGGCUGUAGCGUGUCGGAGACCAGGUGAUUUCCGCCCUCUGGCCCGACAUCCUAGCUCCACGCACCCCCAGUCGGACUGCCGACUGGCUGGAAGUGGCAGUCGGCUGCUUCGAGGCGUGGAAGGCCUCCUCGGCCCGGGCAGGCACCAGGCGGGCCUUGGAGUUUAUCAGGGCAUGGUACCCUGGGCUAGAUCUAGCCCAGUUGGCCACGUUCUGGCGGGAGGCCAACGAGGAGUUGGUGGCGGUCAGGCCCGCUCUAAAUCAUCCCGCCGCAGCGAUCGCCGACUACACUGAUACCAGCAUCUUCGUCCCCGAGCUGAACGAGGACGGUGUUGAGGUGUCGGCGGACCUGUUUGGGCAGAACCCGGAGGACGGCGAGGACUCGGCGGAGGAGAUCGACUCCAGCGACGAGGGAGAGGACGAGGAGGACAGGGAUGGCGAAGACGCUGCGCCAGACGAUGGAGCGGACGGCUAGCCUCAACUCGAUCACGCCUCCUAUAACAAGCCGCGUGCGAGCAUGCCGACUGCUGUCGGGGAUGACCAAGCUGAGACUUGCCAGCCGGCCACUCCACCAGCCGGCACCGCCGACUCUGCCAACCUGCCGGACUCGCCUGCUGCGCCCUUGGCCUAGGCGGCCAAGUUUAUCUUUAAUUUUUCCUGCCUAGAAGUCUUUUGAACAACACAUGUUAGAUUCCUAUAGUUGCAUCCACUGGGGGUAUAUUCAAACUAUGUUGAAUUCUGGCUUUCUUGAUGUAAAUAUUAUUUCUCUUGUGCUAUGCUUAUGUUGCAUUCUGGAUUUGCUUGCUUUUGGGUCCUUUUCGGCUUUUUCCUUUGCUGCCCUCCCUUGGCUGCCGGCUUGCCAGCCGGACAGCCGCUCUGUAGACUGCGGCUGGGACAAGUGCUUAGCCGUUUUGGGAGGACAAGUACUUCGGCUUUUUAGGACGUAGCAAGGGAAGUGAGAAGCCGGUCGGCCGACUACUCAGCAGCUGGUCGGCAAGGCGGGGAGUCGGCUAAGGUUAUGUAAGUGUGUUGGUCCUUAGCCAUUUUUCAUAUGGGCAACGUUUCCUGCCUUUGAGUCUUGCCAACCGGACAGCCGCUCUACGAGCUGCAACUUUGCGGCAAGAGAAGGCUUAGAUGCCGGCACACUACUUGUCCGACUGCAGGUAGCACUUAACAUAAUACAAGGCGGCAAGCCCUCGGGCCGACUGGUCAAACCCGGUGCAAGGCGAAAAAAAUGUAGUAACACAUUCAUAGGCAUAAAACUUAUAAUAUAGAUAAAAGAGCAGUCCCCGAGUGCGCCUCGGGGACCCGAUGUCUUGUACUUAAUACAAAAGAUAGCGUGGUAAGUGUAUCAACUGUAAAAUCUUUGAAGGAGAUUUGUGUUCCAUGGGUGCUCUGAUUCCUUGUCGGAGUCAUCCCUCUUGCGUACCCUGGGCUUCUAUGCAUCGAUUAGGUAGUAGGAGUCGUUGCCCAAGGCCUUGCUGAUGACGAAGGGGCCUUCCCAAGGGGCUGAGAGCUUAUGCUGGCCGACUAUUCGCUAGAUCAGCCGGAGCACAAGGUCUCCCUCUUGGAAGGCCUUUGGCUUAACCUUCCGACUAUGGUAGCGGUGCAGGCUCUGCUGGUAGAUGGCAGACUGGCUGAGUGCCAACAAUCGGCCCUCUUUCAGCAGAUCGAUGUCGUCUUCUCGUGCUUCCUUCGCCUUCGCCUCCGUGUACAUGGUGACGCAAGGUGAGUCAAACUCGAUGUCAGUUGGGAUGAUGGCCUCGGCACCAUACACAAGGAAGAAGGGAGUGAAGCCGGUUGACUUGUUUGGAGUGGUGCGCAGGCUCCAGAGGACGACCGGCAGCUUGUCGAUCCAGCAGCCGGCCGAGCGCUCCAGUGGCUCGACCAGUCGGGGCUUGAUGCCGGAGAGGAUGAGGCCGUUUGCUCGCUCGACUUGGCCGUUUGACUGCGGAUGGGCAAUGGACACUAAGUCCAAUCGGAUGCCCUGCGUCAUGCAGAAACGUGCCAAUGCUCCUUUGGCAAAAUUUGUGCCAUUGCUGAUGAUGAUGCUGUGUGGUAUGCCAUACCGGACGGUGAUAUCUGCGAUGAAGGUCACAUCAGUCGGCACAUUGAGCUUCUUGAUUGGCUUUGCUUCAAUCCACUUGGUGAAUUUGUCAACGGCGACAAGCAGAUGAGUCAUGCCGCCGGGUGUCGUCUUGAAUGGGCCCACCAUGUCCAGCCCCCAGACGGCAAAGGGCCAAGUGAGGGGUAAGGUCUUGAGUGCAGAAGCUGGCAGGUGUUGCUUGGAACUGAACAUUUGGCACCCUUGCAGUGUUUGACCAAAUCGUUGGCGUCUUCCAAAGCAGUCGGCCAGAAGAAACCGUGGUAGAAAGCUUUGGCAACAAGUGAUCUUGAGGCCGCAUGGUGGCCGCAUUUGCCUUGGUGGAUAUCUUUGAGGAUCGACAUGCCCUUCUCUGGCUCUACGCAACGCUGGAAGACUCUAGUCAUGUUGCGUCUCACGAGCUCUCUGUUUACUAUUUUGUAGGCUCCUGCUCAGCGCUGAACUUGCCGGCCGAGAUCUGAUCAGCUGACAGCUCCCUGUUCACCAAAAAAAUUGAGGAUGGGCUGGGCCCAUGAUGGAGCUGCGACUUCUUCUAUUGUCAACACGGCUACUGCAACUAGGGCGGUUGGACUGUGAGGUGGUGGGUUGGAGUUGACCACCGCCUGUUGUGUCGUUGAAGUCCCCGAGCCAACUGCAGCAGUCCUCGGGCUGGGCUCUAAAGUCCCCGGGCCAGGUGCGGCUACUGCAAUCCCCGAGCCACCUGCCAAAGUCCUCGGUCCGCCUGUCAAAUUCCCCGAGUCAGAUCCGAAUGCUUCGGAGUCGGCCGGCACGAAGAUGGAAUCAGAUUCUGGUGAAGGCUUGACAGAUGGCUCGAGGAGGCGCUGAAGGGAGAUGCUGGUUGGUAUAGCUUGCCGAGUGGAGACGAUUCGUGCCAGGGCAUCUGCUUGCUCGUUGUCGGCCCGUGGCACGUGAAGGAACUCGCACCCCUCGAAAUGUCCGCUGAGUUGCUGGACGAGGAAGCGGUAGCUUGCCAUGUUUGCAUCUUUGGCGUCCCAGUUGUCGGACGACUGUUGGACCACCAAAUCCGAGUUGCCAUAACACAGGAUCCGGCGGAUGUCAAGUUCUUUGGCCAGCCGCAGCCCAUGUAUGAGCGUCUCAUACUCGGCCACAUUGUUGGAGGCGGCGAAGUAGAUUUGCAACAUGUAUCCGAGCUUGUUGCCUUUGGGAGAGGUGAGGACGAUGCCAGCUCUCAAACCGGUGCGCAUCUUGGAUCUGUCAAUGUGCAUCCGCCAAUGGCUGGAGUCCGGUGCUGGCAGCAGGUACUGGGUCUCGGCCCAGUCGACGAGGAAGUCGGCCAGCACUUGGGACUUGAUGGCGGUGCGAGGCUGGUAGAAUAUGGUGUAAGGAGCCAGCUUGAUGGCCUACUUGGCCACCCGACCUGAUGCAUCCCGGUUGCCCAUGAUCUCGGCAAGCAGGGCAGUACAAACGACCGUGAUGGGCUGCUCUUGAAAGUAGGGCUUGAGCUUCUUGGCGGCAAAAUACAUGCCAUAGCACAUCUUCUGGUAGUGGGGUAGUUCUGCUUUGAGGCUGACAGUACUUCGCUCAAAUAAUACACAGGCCUCUGGACCUGCUGGGCCUUGCCAUCUUCUGGGCGCUGGAUCAUGAUGACUGUGCUGACCACCCGGCUGGUUGCGGAAAUGUAAAGGAGUAUGGGCUCUUUGUCAGUCGGAGCCGCCAGGACAGGCAGUGUGGUCAACAUCUUCUUCAGCUGGUGAAGGGCUUCGUUUGUCUGGUCGUUCCACUCGAAGUGAGUGGUUUUCUUCAUGGGCUGGUAUAGGGGAAGAGCCUUCUCUCCCAGCCGGCUGAUGAAGCGUCUAAGGGAAGCCAAGCACCCGGUGAACUUCUGGACGUCUCACAGUCGGGUGGGAAUCUCCAUCCUCUCUAUGGCCUUGAUCUUCACAAGGUUGCACUCAAUGCCGCGUUCGGAGACCAGGAAACCAAGGAGCUAGCCGGCUAGUACUCCGAAGACGCAUAUCUCAGGGUUGAGCUUGAUUUGAAAGCGGCAUCGAUUGUCAAAUGUUUCCUUGAGAUCUUCCACUAGGGUGCUAUGCUUCUCCGUCUUCACCACAAUAUUGUCUACAUAGACGUGGGCAUUUCUGCCGAGCCAUUUGAGGAGGCACUUCUGCAUGCAACGCUGAAAAGUGGCACCAGUAUUUCUCAAGCCGAAUGUCAUAGUCAGGUAGCAGAAGGCUCCAAAUGGUUUGAUGAAGGUGGUCUUCAGGCGGUCGGCUGGGUCUAACUUGAUCUGGUGGUACCCUGAGUAGGCAUCCAAGAAACUCAACAGCUCGAUCUGGCUGUGGAGUCUAUCACUUGAUCAAUCCGAGGCAAGCCAAACAGAUCUUUGGGGCAGGCUUUGUUGAGGCUGCUAUAAUCAAUACACAUGCGCCACUUGUUGUUCUUCUUUAGUACAAGGACUGGGUUGGCAAGCCACUCUGGAAAGAACACUUCCAUAAUGAAGUCGGCUGCUAGAAGCCGGGCUAUCUCUUCACCAACAAUUCUUAUUUCUCCUCCAACAAUCGGCGGAGGGGUUGCUCGACUGGUUUUGCGUCUGCUCUGACGUGUAGCUUGUUCUCGGCGAAAUCCAUCGGAACACCUGGCAUGUCCUUGGGGGACCAUGCAAAGAUAUCUCGAUUCUCAUGGAGGAAAUCGAAGAGCUCACUUUCCUAUUUGCUGUCAAGGUUGGUUCCUACAAGAGCGAACAUCUUCGGGUGGUCCGAGUCCAAAGGUAUCUUCUUGGUUUCCUUGGCCGGCUGGAAGGAGCCCUGAGCCUCCAAGUCCUUGGGGCAACAGGUCCGGCUGCUUACUGGCCAUGGCCACAACCCAGUCAAGGAUCUUCUUUUCUGCAGCUAUCACGAGGGACUCGGCCAGUUGGCUGCUCGCCGCAGCACAGGCGAACGACUUCUUGUAGUCUCCGACUAUGGUGAUGAUGCCCUUGGUGCUUGGCAUCUUCAUCUUGAGAUAGGCAUAGUGAGGCACUGCCAUGAAUUUGGCCAAAGCAGGUCGGCCAAGCAAUGCAUGAUAAGGGCUCUCCAGGUCCACUACUUCAAACCAAACUGCUUCGCGGCGGAAGUGAUCCCUAUAUCCGAAGAGGACAUCUAUCUUGAUCUUGCCGAUUGGUGAGCAGGAGAGGCCGGGUACAAUGCCAUGGAAGACGGUUCGACUGGGCAAGAGUUGCUUCGUCUUGAUGUCCAGCUUCUCCAUGGUAUCGCGGUAAAGGUUGUUGAUGCUGCUACCGCCAUCUAUUAGGACUCGGGAGAAACGAGCAGCUUGCCUCUCUAUUGCAAAGGUGGCAUCCAACACCAUGGCAUAGGAACCCGGAGAAGGCAUCACCUCCAUGUGGUCAGCUCGGCUCCAACUGAUGGGCUUCUUAGACUAGUGCAUGAACUCUGGAACUUUGGAGGUGACAAUAUUGACCUCUUGGUGCUGCCGGCGCCGGCUGCGCCUGUCAUCAGCCUGGCCUGUGAAGACAACAUAGGCUCCAUGCUCUUCGGGGAACUCGUCUUGGAUGGCGCUGACUGCUGGGCAAGACGCCGGCUGCUGAGGAGCCGGAGGCGGCUGGCCAGCAGGCGGAGGAGGCAGCAGCCCCUCGCCUUUGGAAAUUCGGGUGAGCCAGUGGCACUUCUGGGUUGUGUGAUUGGAUGGCUUCGCGCCGCUGUGGAACUUGUAGGGUGCAUCAAGGGUUUUCUCAUAGGAGAAAGCGGGCUGCCAAGCCGGCUUGCCGCCUUUCUAACGCUUGGGUAUGGGCUGCCCUUCCGGCUGCUGAUCUUCGACUGUUGCCACCUGUCGGCUGGUGGACACCGGCAUCGGGGCCUUGCGCUUGUUAUCGUUCUGCUGUGAGCGCCGACUGGUGUCGCCAGCCAGCGUUCUGGGAGCCGGAGGGAGCACCUUCCCAGAGGCGUCCACCCGAAGCUCCGACUUCAUUGAGGAGUCGGUAGUGGCGUACUUGUGUGCUAUAAUCAGCAGCUCGUCGAGUGUAGCCGGCUCGUCGCAGAGGAGUCGGUGCUUGAGGAGGGUGCCUUCUCAACACCCGGCAGUGAAGUACUCUAUAUCUUUCACCUCGUGCACCCCUUCGCAGGAGUUGCAGAGUUCGGCCCACCGCGCCAGGUAGUCGUGACUGGACUCGAUUGGGCCUUGGACGCACAGAGAGAGCUGGCGAGGCUUGGGCGCCCGCUUGGACGUGUUGGUGAAGUUGCGGAUGAAGAUUUUAGUUAAAUCCACCCAACUAUUAACGUUGUAGGGCUUGAGGCUGUUCAGCCAGGUGCGUGCCGUGGCUUGAAGCAUGAGGGGGUCGUACUUCACGGCAACACGCCUGUUGCCGUUUGCUAUGCUGACUGCGGUGGAGUAGUCGAUCAAGCAGUCUUCCGGCUUCACCAAGCCGUUGUACUUGGGUGUGUCUCUUGGCAGCGAGAACCCUUUGGGGAAGGGCUCGUCGCGAAUGCGGGGGCCAAAACAAGGCGGGCCAACCGCAUCCUCUUCUUCUAGCGCCAGGUAUCGUGCCAGGCGGUCGAUCCGAUGGCGGGCAUCGUUUGCUUCGAUUCCUUCCUGGUGGCCCAGCCGGCUGCUGAGCAUCGGGUGUUCAACAGGCUGCGGGGAAGGAUAUCUCUCCUUGCGAGGUGGAGGAAGAGGCGGACAAUCGGUUCACCGCUCCACGGCUCAUGGGCGUCCGUCUUUGUUGCGCUCAAUGCCGAGGUGUGUCCGACUGCGGCUAGCAGCCGGCUCUCUGUCUUUUCGCUCGCGGGCGCCACCUGCAGUCAGCGUCUGGGAGGUCGCGUCGUGCUCUCAGCGGAGGGGAGGAUUCUCGGUGCAGGCGCCGGCUUCAUGCCGCUCGACAGCCGUGUCGAUGAGCUGCUGGAUGCGCUCUGUCAUGUAGCAUCGUUCGUCACCGUCCAGGUUCUCUAGCUCGUCUGCUGCCGCCUGGGCAGGACACAGGUUCUCGAUGGGUGUGGCGUAGACUAGGCGGUCGGCCCCCAGCAUGCUGGCGAUAGCGGCACCACGCUGUUUGAUAGUGCCCAGGCGGCUAGGCCCGCCAGCGGCAUGAUCAACCUCGCGCUGAUAGGCCUCGGUGAGGCGUCUCAUGGAGGCUAGCUUCUUGCCGCUCUCAAUGAGCGCAAGGCAGUGGGCCUCCAGUGUAUUGGCAUCGGCGUCGCCUGCGAUGGGUGCAGACAGGUCGGGUAUUGUCGCCUGCAGCGCGUCGGGGGCGUCCGCACCGGAUGCUGCGCUGUGGCUAAUGACGAGCACCUCGGUGACGGUGCUGCCGCCGCUGUCGACAUGAGGGAGGGGGUCGUCGAUGACCACUACGUUGGUGGGGAAGGCGUCAAGGGAUGCCAUGUCAGAGUCGACAAGCAUCGGGUCGGUGGAGCCAAUCUACUCCAAGUCGGAGGUGGGCUCGCUGGCGAUGUCAAGCUUGCCAAGGAGGUCGAUGAGGCAGCUCUCGGAGCUGGCUGCGCCGUGCCCGGUGCGGGCUCGUCGGAGAGGAGGAUCUCGCCGAGGAGAUCGGUGAGGCAGCCUGCUGCAUAGGCGGCUUCGAUGCCAUGCAGCGCGUCAAUGUAAGCGCCAUCGGGCGUGCUGGGCUGGCUAUGCUCGGUGGGAAGGAACAGGGUUCCCGUCCAGAGCAGGUCUCCGGACGACGGUGCACCUAGCCCCACGGUGGGCGCCAAAUGUUAGGUGGUUGGUGCGACAUAUGCCAAGGGAUGACUAAUCAUUGUGGGGGCUAGUAAGACGUCACCAAUGCCUGGAAACGGGAUGAGGCGAAGACAUGCACGCCGACGGGUUCGGGGCUCUCCUAGGAGAUAACACCCCUAGUCCUGCUCUGCGGGGUCUCCACAUGAUCACUAAGUCAACAAGUAGCUACAAGUUGCUCCUUGAGCUGUUCGGCUAGAGGAGGAAGAUGGGCAAGGCUAGCUCUACUCCUCUCUCUAUGUGUGUAUGGGAAACUCUAAGAGAUCAACCCUUUGCAUGGGUGCUCUGGGGGGUUUAUAUAGGCUUACCCCCCAGGGGUACAAUGGUAAUCCGGUCGGGUGUAGGCCCAGGCCGUCGGUGUCUUUGGUCGCCGGGUUCUCCGCCGGCCACUGGGGCCCGCCGACUGGUGGGUCCUGCCGGUUGCCAGGCUCUAGGCCAACAGGUUGGCCCCAUCGCCUGUGGGCCCUGUCGGCUGCUCAUCACUGUGCCCUCGCCCCUGAUGACGGUGGCUUGGUCGGGCCGAGCGUGGCCACAGUACCGCCGCCUGGUGGGCGUUCACUGUAGCCACACCCCGUCUUAUCUGGUUAAUGGCCCACAAACUUCGAGGGGAGAGGAGGGCCGGCUGUUCGGAGCCGGCCUCCUCCUCCGCCGACUGGUCUAGGCAUGUCGCCUUCUAGUAUCUCACUGGUAGGUAGGGUCCGCCACCUGCGGGCCAUACCGACAACCCGUCGUGGGAGUAUGGCAGCUCUGCCAUGGAUGAUGUCAUAGUCAACGUGGCAAUAAUGCCGCGUCGGGCUAGGGAUGGCCGCCCGGUACGGCGCACUGUGAUCACGCCCGCUCCGGGAUUCAGGGGUGACAGUCUACACUGUAGCCACGCCCCGUCUCGUCGCCGUUAUGUGGGUGCAAACUUUAAGAGAGCAUGGGUGGGCCGCCUGUUAGGAGUCGGCCAUUCUGGUGGCCGUCUGCUAGGAGUCGGCCCACUUUGGGACCGCUCAUUGAGCCUUGCCACCUUCCUGCAGCCACGGAAAGGCGGCUCUUCGUCUUGGAUGCUUGAGGGGCGCAGCCAACCCCUAUGUCUUGAAACGCCAUGAGAGGCAGAUAAGACUAUCCGUGGUCAUUUACUCCGACAUCUGAGGACACAAAAGUCUCUGCCUUCUUAUCCUUGAGAUAAGUUCCUUGAAACUCACCCAAUUACUCGGGUAGAUCUUGCGAUGAUCUUCGGGCCGUAAAAAGAAUCAUUCUUUGGCCAUUGCACACUGGAAGCUGAGUGACUCCUAACCGGCUGGAAAAUGCAUAGUCUUCAAGAGUAACAAAUCUCAGUAGACUUUGAUCAAUUUCUUUGUGGCGCUUUAGGAAUUGGUUGGUUUUUCUCACUUACAAUAUCUUGAAAUUAGUGCGUGCAGUGAUGCUCUCUGUGUAACACUAGGCAGGAAUUUUUCUCGAGCAACCACCUGCUAUCUGCGAGGUUAGAUUUCUAUUGAUAGUUGCAUCCCAUGGUUGGCUAGCGAUAUGUCUGUUAGACAUGGGCACCUAGCAAUGUGUUGUUGCUAACCGUGAUAUAUCUAUAUCUAUAUCUAUAUCUAUAUCUAUACCAAUAUAAAAAGGCCCAAAGGGACAGAUCCAAUUAAUCUUGGUCAUCAAAACAUGUCAAUCCAACGACCUAAACUGCUUCAAUGUCGAGCGCUCAACAUGUUUAGCGUGCAAUUAAUUUCAUGUCAAAUAUAGUGCUAAUCACAUGAUAACACGGAAAUAAUAGAUCCUAAAAAAACACAAAUAAUAUCCUACUUAAUAUGCGCAUGCAUUUAAUAUACUUCCGAAUUAACGUGCAUUGCAUGUACAUAUUGACUAGUAAUAGUAAAAAAAUUGAACUCUCAAAUUCACCUGUUCCUCAAAACUUAGGACAACCUCAAUGGCCACUUUCCUAACUCCUUAGCGAAGAAGUCGAACUCAGGUGUUUCAGAAAAUCACCUUCACCACAAGAGCUCGAAGACUUUUCCUGAAAAGAGAUUUUCAAGUCUUCACUCAUUAGCAUAGAUAGGUUUGUUUGAUCACACUCAAAUACUUUCUAUCUUGCUUCACUUUGACCCCCUUAACAGUACGGUUUUUUCCACGACUCAAAAAAGAAUAAAAGAAACUAACAGAUAAUCCCUAUUCUUCAAACUUCAAUUCUUUAGAGGGCACUAUGAGUUGUUAAAUGUUAUCACAACAUUUUUAGGGGUCAUAACCCAUUAUUUUAACCAAAUCAUCGGGGACUUCAUCUGUGUGUACUCACAAAUGCAUUAGUUUUUUAAUAAUUUUAUCAUUAAUCAUCCAAAACCCACAAAGGGCACUAAAUGCACUUACACUUUCAGCUUUUCUGUGGAGACCAAAUCAUUUGGAUCAACAUUUUUACUACUUUUGGGUGGUCUUUUCUCACUUCUUUUGUUUUGACUCGGUAGCAUCCAUCUAAUGUGAAUUUUCAACCCGCGUUCAAAUACUGCAGCUAUCUAGCCUAGCAAAUCAAGUUCUCCUGAUGCUGAAAUUCCAAUGACAUAGCUCUAUGCUAUUGUCUUCUCGAAUUGCCCACUUCAUAAUUGUCCACGAAAAGCAUAUUGUCCAUAUGCGAUGUGUUUAAUAAAUAUUUCAUAACAUUACAUAUCUAGCGAGUUAAAUUGAUGAUCCAGAAGUACGCGGAUGCCUUAUGCACCGGAAGGAGUGGUUACUUUCGUUCGUGGUACACGCCGACUGAGAGUUUCGAGCUGUCAUUUGCUCGAAGCAAAGAAGUCGACCUUUGCGAGCCGAAAGAAGUAUCCGACGAGUUUCCCAGAUUGUCUUCUUCCCGGACGAAAGAUAGCUCUCAUCUUCUCACCUGUGUGUCAUCACUUACUGCUUCGAGAACGAGCUGAGACGUGGCAACCCGGACGCGCCCAGCGCCUGCACACGUCCGCCCUCUCUUUAUGGGCAAGCCACCAGUCACCGCCCCCCAGCCCCACGACCCACCCGCGCGAGCACACGUACCACCCUACCGUGGCACUCGAUCCGUCCGACCCGUCCGGCUAUCUUUAUCCCCUCGCCACAAACUGCUUUAUAAAUAGUGCCUCGUGCUGCACCUGCUUACACAACAAAGUGUACCGACAAAAAGAAGUACAAACAGCAGCAUACUAGAUUUUGAUUCCCCCUGUGACAAGCUCAGCUCAGCGCAGCGCAAGAUGGAGUACCAGGGACAGCAGCAGCGUGGCCGCGUCGACGAGUACGGCAACCCGGUGGCCGGACAUGGCGUCGGCACCGGCAUGGAGACGCACGGCGGCGUCGGCACCGGCGCGGCCGCCGGUGGGCAUUUCCAGCCCAUGAGGGACGAGCACCAGACCGGCCGUGGGAUCCUGCACCGCUCCGGCAGCUCCAGCUCCAGCUCGGUGCGUAUAUACGGUGCUUCUUUUGCUGAUACUACUAGCAUACAUGGUUUGUGUUUUGUAUACUGAUUUUUCUCGUUGGUCGUCAUAGUCUGAGGAUGAUGGCAUGGGCGGGAGGAGGAAGAAGGGCAUCAAGGAGAAGAUCAAGGAGAAGCUCCCCGGUGGCCACGGUGACCAGCAGCACACCGGUGGCACCUACAGACAGCAGGGUACUGGCAUGGUCGGCACCGGCGGCACCUACGGGCAGAAGGGUCACACUGGGAUGACCGGCACCGGCGGCACCUACGGGCAGCAGGGUCACACUGGGAUGACCGGCACCGGCGGCACCUACGGGCAGCAGGGCCACACUGGGAUGACCGGCACCGGCGGCACCUACGGACAGCAAGGCCACACCGGGAUGGCCGGCACCGGGGCGCAUGGCACCACGGCCACUGGUGGCACCUACGGGCAGCCGGGCCACACCGGGAUGACAGGCACGGGGGCGCACGGCACCGGAGGCACCUACGGGCAGCACGGCACUGACACCGGCGAGAAGAAGGGCAUCAUGGACAAGAUCAAGGAGAAGCUCCCAGGCCAGCACUGAGCGCUGAGGAGAGCCCGCG
rnacentral:lncRNA from 1 species